UGUCUUGAUGGUAGGAAAGCAUGUAGGCUCGAAUCUCUUAAAAACUUGGAACACCUUCAAGUAUGUGGUAUACGUGGACUGGGUGAUGUAUCAGACGUGGGCGAGGCUAAGCGAUUAGAACUUGACAAAAAGAAAUACCUCUUCAGUUUGACCCUUGAGUUUGACGAGAAGGAGAAAAGAGGAGGAGAAAGGAGGAAGAACGAGGACGAUCAACUUCUUCUUGAAGCCCUGCGACCACCUCCGUAUUUAAAGGAAUUAGCGAUAUGCUCAUACAGAGGCAACACUGUUUUCCCCAGCUGGAUGACGUCAUUAACCAAUCUAAGGAGUUUAGAUCUCAAUUGGUGCAAAAAUUGUGAGCAGCUGCCUCCUUUGGGAAAAUUGCCGUCCCUUGAAGAACUCAGAGUGGUUUACACGCCGAGUGUGAAAAGAUUGGGUGAUGAAUUUUUGGGGAUAGAAAGUGAUCAUCAUGACUCAUCGUCAUCUUCAUCAGUUACUAUUGCCUUCCCCAAAUUGAAAUCACUUUCAAUUGAGUCUAUGUUCGAAUUGGAGGAGUGGGAUUAUGGGAUUACAAGAACGGGAAACACCUUCAUCAACAUCAUGCCACGUCUUUCUUACUUGGAAAUUUAUUUAUGCCGCAAAUUAAAGGCACUGCCCGACCACAUUCAUCAAACGACAACAUUGAAGAAAUUGCGCAUUGAGGGGUGUGACCUUCUGGAAGAACGUUACCGCAAGGGGGAAGGAGAAGACUGGCCUAAGAUAUCACACAUUCCCAACCUCCAUUUUGGGCUUUGACAAGUAAUUUCUUCUCUUACUCUGAUUUGCUUUGUUGUUGUUUUUAAUCUAAUUAAGAAGCGUAAAUAGCAUUUUGAAUCAAACUCUAUAUCAGAAAUCUGCAAUACAUACUUUCUAAUAUUCUGAUUUUCAUAUCUUCUGAAUGUACGAUUUUUAAUUUGUGAGAUGGGUAACGUUACCGUAAAAGAUUAUUAAUGCAAUAUGAGUAAUUCUUUUGCAGGACAAGUGACCUACAUUUAGUUUGGCUUUGGAGUUGAAUAAUAACCUUUCGAGGUCCCGACAACCAAAAAACGAAGCUUAAUUUGCCACAGAUUGAACGUAUUGCCAUUAUUGACAAUUUUCUGCACAAGCGUGACUGAACUUAGGUUGAUGUCAAAACAGGUAAAUUACUGGCAUGCCUGACUAUUUUGACCAUUACAUGAUUCAUAAGUUUACAUUAAUUUUGAUUUUGAGUUGAGUGAUUAAUUUUCUAGGUUUGCUUACUUUAACUGGGUGACCAAUUUCUUGUAACUAAAUGUAUGAUGUGAUGCAGGAAGCAGGGCAGGACAUGAAAAGAGAAGCUUAUUAGAGGAAGGAUUGCCAGUAACAGAAUCCAAAGAAAAAGAAACCAUUUCGAGGCAGCAGUUGGCAGUUGGCAGUGAAUGGAGCCCCUUGAAAAAAUUCCCAAGCCGUUGCACUGCAAUUACGAUCAUCCUCGGCCUCAGGUAAUUUCUUCUCCUGCAUUUUUGUUAUUUGCUAUCAAGUGACUAUUUUAAGUAUGAUUGCAUUAAACUGCUGCUGGGAAAUUUGAGGUUUUGAUGACUGCCCAUGCUAUUGUCAGAAGCUGCGGUUCUUUUCAUCAGCCUGAACCUGGACCUGCCGCUAUGGAUAACUCAGGUUUUUUUUUUUUUUUAAUCAACUGCCAUCUUUUCCACUGUUUUGAAACUCUUAAGAUUAAACUUUAGUAAAGUUGUUUUAGUUAUCCAUGUAAUCAGGCUGAGGAUACUUAGCUGCCUAUUUAGGCAAAUGUCAGAAUUUAGUAUUGUUCGCUGGGAACUGGUGUGGACUGGCAAAGGAUGAUGAGAUAGUUUUUUGAGUGAGCAAAUUUUGGGAGCUUGAGUGUAUUGGGAUUUGCAAUUACAAUCAUCGUCUGCCUCAGGUGAUUUCUUCUCCUGCUCUGUCAUUGUUUGUUCUCUAAUUCAAAAGCAUAAAAUAUUUCAAUCAAUUUUUAUGCCAGGAAUAUGCAAAAGUUUCUAAUAUUUUAUUUCCAUCUGUUACAAGAUCAAACUGAAGCAGAACUCAAACAAAAUUAUGCUACUUCUUGCAGAAAUCUUGCCUUUGUUCAGAUUAUGAAACCAUUUCCAUGCAGCAAAUUCAUCCAAAAGGUUGAAUAAGUUUCAUGGUUGGACACUGUUGGCUUCUUUUUCUUCUGGGGUGCAUUUAGGUGCUAUCAAGUGACAGCUGUAAGUAUGAUUGCACUAAGCUGCCGCUGGGAUAUUUGAGGUUUUGAUGGCUGCCUAUGUUAUUUUCAAGAAACUAUUGAUGUAAGAAGCUGUGGUUCUUUUCAUCAGCUUGAACCUGAAACUGUUGCUGUGGAUAACUCAGGUUUUUGUUAUCAACUAUAUCAUCUUUUUCACUAUUUUGAAACUCUUAAGAUUAAACUUUAGUAAAGUUGUUUCAGCUAUUCAAAUGAAAAACUCAUUGAUUUGAGACUUCCUUCAUUAUUGUUUCUAAUUACAGUGCUAACGAUCCAGAUAAAAUAAUAUUUAAUCGGCGAAGGUGUCCCUUGGAAGUACGUCCUUCUUUUUCUUUUAUUAUAUAAAUUCUUGCAAUGAGCUUAGUGAAGCUGUUGUGCUAAUCAUGCCACUGCAUAAUUUGGCCCCUAAUGUGGGUACUCUGUUACAUUGUUCUGCAAAUUCUCCAGAAGUUAAAAUCAAUAAAUUUUCUAUUAGCUCUAGUGCUUUGACCUAAAUGCUAUUCUAUAUUCUGAUUACAAUGUUUUAACCUUUAAAUUAACUACCCCUAGAUGUUGGAUUUUCUAGAACUUCAAAAUGAUUAAUGGAGAAAGAUCCCAUUAUCGUUAUUGCUAUAAGAAAUUGAUUUAUGCAUCCAAAGAUACAUUAUAUAUUUCUGUGUCUCUAUUUAUAGAUGACAUUUAAGCAUCCAUAAACCGUCAGACAGAGGAAGGGGGUUCAGUGCAAAGAUUCUGUAGACCUAGGGUUGACUGCAUAAUUCCUUUCNNNNNNNNNNNNNNNNNNNNNNNNNNNNNNNNNNNNNNNNNNNNNNNNNNNNNNNNNNNNNNNNNNNNNNNNNNNNNNNNNNNNNNNNNNNNNNNNNNNNNNNNNNNNNNNNNNNNNNNNNNNNNNNNNNNNNNNNNNNNNNNNNNNNNNNNNNNNNNNNNNNNNNNNNNNNNNNNNNNNNNNNNNNNNNNNNNNNNNNNNNNNNNNNNNNNNNNNNNNNNNNNNNNNNNNNNNNNNNNNNNNNNNNNNNNNNNNNNNNNNNNNNNNNNNNNNNNNNNNNNNNNNNNNNNNNNNNNNNNNNNNNNNNNNNNNNNNNNNNNNNNNNNNNNNNNNNNNNNNNNNNNNNNNNNNNNNNNNNNNNNNNNNNNNNNNNNNNNNNNNNNNNNNNNNNNNNNNNNNNNNNNNNNNNNNNNNNNNNNNNNNNNNNNNNNNNNNNNNNNNNNNNNNNNNNNNNNNNNNNNNNNNNNNNNNNNNNNNNNNNNNNNNNNNNNNNNNNNNNNNNNNNNNNNNNNNNNNNNNNNNNNNNNNNNNNNNNNNNNNNNNNNNNNNNNNNNNNNNNNNNNNNNNNNNNNNNNNNNNNNNNNNNNNNNNNNNNNNNNNNNNNNNNNNNNNNNNNNNNNNNNNNNNNNNNNNNNNNNNNNNNNNNNNNNNNNNNNNNNNNNNNNNNNNNNNNNNNNNNNNNNNNNNNNNNNNNNNNNNNNNNNNNNNNNNNNNNNNNNNNNNNNNNNNNNNNNNNNNNNNNNNNNNNNNNNNNNNNNNNNNNNNNNNNNNNNNNNNNNNNNNNNNNNNNNNNNNNNNNNNNNNNNNNNNNNNNNNNNNNNNNNNNNNNNNNNNNNNNNNNNNNNNNNNNNNNNNNNNNNNNNNNNNNNNNNNNNNNNNNNNNNNNNNNNNNNNNNNNNNNNNNNNNNNNNNNNNNNNNNNNNNNNNNNNNNNNNNNNNNNNNNNNNNNNNNNNNNNNNNNNNNNNNNNNNNNNNNNNNNNNNNNNNNNNNNNNNNNNNNNNNNNNNNNNNNNNNNNNNNNNNNNNNNNNNNNNNNNNNNNNNNNNNNNNNNNNNNNNNNNNNNNNNNNNNNNNNNNNNNNNNNNNNNNNNNNNNNNNNNNNNNNNNNNNNNNNNNNNNNNNNNNNNNNNNNNNNNNNNNNNNNNNNNNNNNNNNNNNNNNNNNNNNNNNNNNNNNNNNNNNNNNNNNNNNNNNNNNNNNNNNNNNNNNNNNNNNNNNNNNNNNNNNNNNNNNNNNNNNNNNNNNNNNNNNNNNNNNNNNNNNNNNNNNNNNNNNNNNNNNNNNNNNNNNNNNNNNNNNNNNNNNNNNNNNNNNNNNNNNNNNNNNNNNNNNNNNNNNNNNNNNNNNNNNNNNNNNNNNNNNNNNNNNNNNNNNNNNNNNNNNNNNNNNNNNNNNNNNNNNNNNNNNNNNNNNNNNNNNNNNNNNNNNNNNNNNNNNNNNNNNNNNNNNNNNNNNNNNNNNNNNNNNNNNNNNNNNNNNNNNNNNNNNNNNNNNNNNNNNNNNNNNNNNNNNNNNNNNNNNNNNNNNNNNNNNNNNNNNNNNNNNNNNNNNNNNNNNNNNNNNNNNNNNNNNNNNNNNNNNNNNNNNNNNNNNNNNNNNNNNNNNNNNNNNNNNNNNNNNNNNNNNNNNNNNNNNNNNNNNNNNNNNNNNNNNNNNNNNNNNNNNNNNNNNNNNNNNNNNNNNNNNNNNNNNNNNNNNNNNNNNNNNNNNNNNNNNNNNNNNNNNNNNNNNNNNNNNNNNNNNNNNNNNNNNNNNNNNNNNNNNNNNNNNNNNNNNNNNNNNNNNNNNNNNNNNNNNNNNNNNNNNNNNNNNNNNNNNNNNNNNNNNNNNNNNNNNNNNNNNNNNNNNNNNNNNNNNNNNNNNNNNNNNNNNNNNNNNNNNNNNNNNNNNNNNNNNNNNNNNNNNNNNNNNNNNNNNNNNNNNNNNNNNNNNNNNNNNNNNNNNNNNNNNNNNNNNNNNNNNNNNNNNNNNNNNNNNNNNNNNNNNNNNNNNNNNNNNNNNNNNNNNNNNNNNNNNNNNNNNNNNNNNNNNNNNNNNNNNNNNNNNNNNNNNNNNNNNNNNNNNNNNNNNNNNNNNNNNNNNNNNNNNNNNNNNNNNNNNNNNNNNNNNNNNNNNNNNNNNNNNNNNNNNNNNNNNNNNNNNNNNNNNNNNNNNNNNNNNNNNNNNNNNNNNNNNNNNNNNNNNNNNNNNNNNNNNNNNNNNNNNNNNNNNNNNNNNNNNNNNNNNNNNNNNNNNNNNNNNNNNNNNNNNNNNNNNNNNNNNNNNNNNNNNNNNNNNNNNNNNNNNNNNNNNNNNNNNNNNNNNNNNNNNNNNNNNNNNNNNNNNNNNNNNNNNNNNNNNNNNNNNNNNNNNNNNNNNNNNNNNNNNNNNNNNNNNNNNNNNNNNNNNNNNNNNNNNNNNNNNNNNNNNNNNNNNNNNNNNNNNNNNNNNNNNNNNNNNNNNNNNNNNNNNNNNNNNNNNNNNNNNNNNNNNNNNNNNNNNNNNNNNNNNNNNNNNNNNNNNNNNNNNNNNNNNNNNNNNNNNNNNNNNNNNNNNNNNNNNNNNNNNNNNNNNNNNNNNNNNNNNNNNNNNNNNNNNNNNNNNNNNNNNNNNNNNNNNNNNNNNNNNNNNNNNNNNNNNNNNNNNNNNNNNNNNNNNNNNNNNNNNNNNNNNNNNNNNNNNNNNNNNNNNNNNNNNNNNNNNNNNNNNNNNNNNNNNNNNNNNNNNNNNNNNNNNNNNNNNNNNNNNNNNNNNNNNNNNNNNNNNNNNNNNNNNNNNNNNNNNNNNNNNNNNNNNNNNNNNNNNNNNNNNNNNNNNNNNNNNNNNNNNNNNNNNNNNNNNNNNNNNNNNNNNNNNNNNNNNNNNNNNNNNNNNNNNNNNNNNNNNNNNNNNNNNNNNNNNNNNNNNNNNNNNNNNNNNNNNNNNNNNNNNNNNNNNNNNNNNNNNNNNNNNNNNNNNNNNNNNNNNNNNNNNNNNNNNNNNNNNNNNNNNNNNNNNNNNNNNNNNNNNNNNNNNNNNNNNNNNNNNNNNNNNNNNNNNNNNNNNNNNNNNNNNNNNNNNNNNNNNNNNNNNNNNNNNNNNNNNNNNNNNNNNNNNNNNNNNNNNNNNNNNNNNNNNNNNNNNNNNNNNNNNNNNNNNNNNNNNNNNNNNNNNNNNNNNNNNNNNNNNNNNNNNNNNNNNNNNNNNNNNNNNNNNNNNNNNNNNNNNNNNNNNNNNNNNNNNNNNNNNNNNNNNNNNNNNNNNNNNNNNNNNNNNNNNNNNNNNNNNNNNNNNNNNNNNNNNNNNNNNNNNNNNNNNNNNNNNNNNNNNNNNNNNNNNNNNNNNNNNNNNNNNNNNNNNNNNNNNNNNNNNNNNNNNNNNNNNNNNNNNNNNNNNNNNNNNNNNNNNNNNNNNNNNNNNNNNNNNNNNNNNNNNNNNNNNNNNNNNNNNNNNNNNNNNNNNNNNNNNNNNNNNNNNNNNNNNNNNNNNNNNNNNNNNNNNNNNNNNNNNNNNNNNNNNNNNNNNNNNNNNNNNNNNNNNNNNNNNNNNNNNNNNNNNNNNNNNNNNNNNNNNNNNNNNNNNNNNNNNNNNNNNNNNNNNNNNNNNNNNNNNNNNNNNNNNNNNNNNNNNNNNNNNNNNNNNNNNNNNNNNNNNNNNNNNNNNNNNNNNNNNNNNNNNNNNNNNNNNNNNNNNNNNNNNNNNNNNNNNNNNNNNNNNNNNNNNNNNNNNNNNNNNNNNNNNNNNNNNNNNNNNNNNNNNNNNNNNNNNNNNNNNNNNNNNNNNNNNNNNNNNNNNNNNNNNNNNNNNNNNNNNNNNNNNNNNNNNNNNNNNNNNNNNNNNNNNNNNNNNNNNNNNNNNNNNNNNNNNNNNNNNNNNNNNNNNNNNNNNNNNNNNNNNNNNNNNNNNNNNNNNNNNNNNNNNNNNNNNNNNNNNNNNNNNNNNNNNNNNNNNNNNNNNNNNNNNNNNNNNNNNNNNNNNNNNNNNNNNNNNNNNNNNNNNNNNNNNNNNNNNNNNNNNNNNNNNNNNNNNNNNNNNNNNNNNNNNNNNNNNNNNNNNNNNNNNNNNNNNNNNNNNNNNNNNNNNNNNNNNNNNNNNNNNNNNNNNNNNNNNNNNNNNNNNNNNNNNNNNNNNNNNNNNNNNNNNNNNNNNNNNNNNNNNNNNNNNNNNNNNNNNNNNNNNNNNNNNNNNNNNNNNNNNNNNNNNNNNNNNNNNNNNNNNNNNNNNNNNNNNNNNNNNNNNNNNNNNNNNNNNNNNNNNNNNNNNNNNNNNNNNNNNNNNNNNNNNNNNNNNNNNNNNNNNNNNNNNNNNNNNNNNNNNNNNNNNNNNNNNNNNNNNNNNNNNNNNNNNNNNNNNNNNNNNNNNNNNNNNNNNNNNNNNNNNNNNNNNNNNNNNNNNNNNNNNNNNNNNNNNNNNNNNNNNNNNNNNNNNNNNNNNNNNNNNNNNNNNNNNNNNNNNNNNNNNNNNNNNNNNNNNNNNNNNNNNNNNNNNNNNNNNNNNNNNNNNNNNNNNNNNNNNNNNNNNNNNNNNNNNNNNNNNNNNNNNNNNNNNNNNNNNNNNNNNNNNNNNNNNNNNNNNNNNNNNNNNNNNNNNNNNNNNNNNNNNNNNNNNNNNNNNNNNNNNNNNNNNNNNNNNNNNNNNNNNNNNNNNNNNNNNNNNNNNNNNNNNNNNNNNNNNNNNNNNNNNNNNNNNNNNNNNNNNNNNNNNNNNNNNNNNNNNNNNNNNNNNNNNNNNNNNNNNNNNNNNNNNNNNNNNNNNNNNNNNNNNNNNNNNNNNNNNNNNNNNNNNNNNNNNNNNNNNNNNNNNNNNNNNNNNNNNNNNNNNNNNNNNNNNNNNNNNNNNNNNNNNNNNNNNNNNNNNNNNNNNNNNNNNNNNNNNNNNNNNNNNNNNNNNNNNNNNNNNNNNNNNNNNNNNNNNNNNNNNNNNNNNNNNNNNNNNNNNNNNNNNNNNNNNNNNNNNNNNNNNNNNNNNNNNNNNNNNNNNNNNNNNNNNNNNNNNNNNNNNNNNNNNNNNNNNNNNNNNNNNNNNNNNNNNNNNNNNNNNNNNNNNNNNNNNNNNNNNNNNNNNNNNNNNNNNNNNNNNNNNNNNNNNNNNNNNNNNNNNNNNNNNNNNNNNNNNNNNNNNNNNNNNNNNNNNNNNNNNNNNNNNNNNNNNNNNNNNNNNNNNNNNNNNNNNNNNNNNNNNNNNNNNNNNNNNNNNNNNNNNNNNNNNNNNNNNNNNNNNNNNNNNNNNNNNNNNNNNNNNNNNNNNNNNNNNNNNNNNNNNNNNNNNNNNNNNNNNNNNNNNNNNNNNNNNNNNNNNNNNNNNNNNNNNNNNNNNNNNNNNNNNNNNNNNNNNNNNNNNNNNNNNNNNNNNNNNNNNNNNNNNNNNNNNNNNNNNNNNNNNNNNNNNNNNNNNNNNNNNNNNNNNNNNNNNNNNNNNNNNNNNNNNNNNNNNNNNNNNNNNNNNNNNNNNNNNNNNNNNNNNNNNNNNNNNNNNNNNNNNNNNNNNNNNNNNNNNNNNNNNNNNNNNNNNNNNNNNNNNNNNNNNNNNNNNNNNNNNNNNNNNNNNNNNNNNNNNNNNNNNNNNNNNNNNNNNNNNNNNNNNNNNNNNNNNNNNNNNNNNNNNNNNNNNNNNNNNNNNNNNNNNNNNNNNNNNNNNNNNNNNNNNNNNNNNNNNNNNNNNNNNNNNNNNNNNNNNNNNNNNNNNNNNNNNNNNNNNNNNNNNNNNNNNNNNNNNNNNNNNNNNNNNNNNNNNNNNNNNNNNNNNNNNNNNNNNNNNNNNNNNNNNNNNNNNNNNNNNNNNNNNNNNNNNNNNNNNNNNNNNNNNNNNNNNNNNNNNNNNNNNNNNNNNNNNNNNNNNNNNNNNNNNNNNNNNNNNNNNNNNNNNNNNNNNNNNNNNNNNNNNNNNNNNNNNNNNNNNNNNNNNNNNNNNNNNNNNNNNNNNNNNNNNNNNNNNNNNNNNNNNNNNNNNNNNNNNNNNNNNNNNNNNNNNNNNNNNNNNNNNNNNNNNNNNNNNNNNNNNNNNNNNNNNNNNNNNNNNNNNNNNNNNNNNNNNNNNNNNNNNNNNNNNNNNNNNNNNNNNNNNNNNNNNNNNNNNNNNNNNNNNNNNNNNNNNNNNNNNNNNNNNNNNNNNNNNNNNNNNNNNNNNNNNNNNNNNNNNNNNNNNNNNNNNNNNNNNNNNNNNNNNNNNNNNNNNNNNNNNNNNNNNNNNNNNNNNNNNNNNNNNNNNNNNNNNNNNNNNNNNNNNNNNNNNNNNNNNNNNNNNNNNNNNNNNNNNNNNNNNNNNNNNNNNNNNNNNNNNNNNNNNNNNNNNNNNNNNNNNNNNNNNNNNNNNNNNNNNNNNNNNNNNNNNNNNNNNNNNNNNNNNNNNNNNNNNNNNNNNNNNNNNNNNNNNNNNNNNNNNNNNNNNNNNNNNNNNNNNNNNNNNNNNNNNNNNNNNNNNNNNNNNNNNNNNNNNNNNNNNNNNNNNNNNNNNNNNNNNNNNNNNNNNNNNNNNNNNNNNNNNNNNNNNNNNNNNNNNNNNNNNNNNNNNNNNNNNNNNNNNNNNNNNNNNNNNNNNNNNNNNNNNNNNNNNNNNNNNNNNNNNNNNNNNNNNNNNNNNNNNNNNNNNNNNNNNNNNNNNNNNNNNNNNNNNNNNNNNNNNNNNNNNNNNNNNNNNNNNNNNNNNNNNNNNNNNNNNNNNNNNNNNNNNNNNNNNNNNNNNNNNNNNNNNNNNNNNNNNNNNNNNNNNNNNNNNNNNNNNNNNNNNNNNNNNNNNNNNNNNNNNNNNNNNNNNNNNNNNNNNNNNNNNNNNNNNNNNNNNNNNNNNNNNNNNNNNNNNNNNNNNNNNNNNNNNNNNNNNNNNNNNNNNNNNNNNNNNNNNNNNNNNNNNNNNNNNNNNNNNNNNNNNNNNNNNNNNNNNNNNNNNNNNNNNNNNNNNNNNNNNNNNNNNNNNNNNNNNNNNNNNNNNNNNNNNNNNNNNNNNNNNNNNNNNNNNNNNNNNNNNNNNNNNNNNNNNNNNNNNNNNNNNNNNNNNNNNNNNNNNNNNNNNNNNNNNNNNNNNNNNNNNNNNNNNNNNNNNNNNNNNNNNNNNNNNNNNNNNNNNNNNNNNNNNNNNNNNNNNNNNNNNNNNNNNNNNNNNNNNNNNNNNNNNNNNNNNNNNNNNNNNNNNNNNNNNNNNNNNNNNNNNNNNNNNNNNNNNNNNNNNNNNNNNNNNNNNNNNNNNNNNNNNNNNNNNNNNNNNNNNNNNNNNNNNNNNNNNNNNNNNNNNNNNNNNNNNNNNNNNNNNNNNNNNNNNNNNNNNNNNNNNNNNNNNNNNNNNNNNNNNNNNNNNNNNNNNNNNNNNNNNNNNNNNNNNNNNNNNNNNNNNNNNNNNNNNNNNNNNNNNNNNNNNNNNNNNNNNNNNNNNNNNNNNNNNNNNNNNNNNNNNNNNNNNNNNNNNNNNNNNNNNNNNNNNNNNNNNNNNNNNNNNNNNNNNNNNNNNNNNNNNNNNNNNNNNNNNNNNNNNNNNNNNNNNNNNNNNNNNNNNNNNNNNNNNNNNNNNNNNNNNNNNNNNNNNNNNNNNNNNNNNNNNNNNNNNNNNNNNNNNNNNNNNNNNNNNNNNNNNNNNNNNNNNNNNNNNNNNNNNNNNNNNNNNNNNNNNNNNNNNNNNNNNNNNNNNNNNNNNNNNNNNNNNNNNNNNNNNNNNNNNNNNNNNNNNNNNNNNNNNNNNNNNNNNNNNNNNNNNNNNNNNNNNNNNNNNNNNNNNNNNNNNNNNNNNNNNNNNNNNNNNNNNNNNNNNNNNNNNNNNNNNNNNNNNNNNNNNNNNNNNNNNNNNNNNNNNNNNNNNNNNNNNNNNNNNNNNNNNNNNNNNNNNNNNNNNNNNNNNNNNNNNNNNNNNNNNNNNNNNNNNNNNNNNNNNNNNNNNNNNNNNNNNNNNNNNNNNNNNNNNNNNNNNNNNNNNNNNNNNNNNNNNNNNNNNNNNNNNNNNNNNNNNNNNNNNNNNNNNNNNNNNNNNNNNNNNNNNNNNNNNNNNNNNNNNNNNNNNNNNNNNNNNNNNNNNNNNNNNNNNNNNNNNNNNNNNNNNNNNNNNNNNNNNNNNNNNNNNNNNNNNNNNNNNNNNNNNNNNNNNNNNNNNNNNNNNNNNNNNNNNNNNNNNNNNNNNNNNNNNNNNNNNNNNNNNNNNNNNNNNNNNNNNNNNNNNNNNNNNNNNNNNNNNNNNNNNNNNNNNNNNNNNNNNNNNNNNNNNNNNNNNNNNNNNNNNNNNNNNNNNNNNNNNNNNNNNNNNNNNNNNNNNNNNNNNNNNNNNNNNNNNNNNNNNNNNNNNNNNNNNNNNNNNNNNNNNNNNNNNNNNNNNNNNNNNNNNNNNNNNNNNNNNNNNNNNNNNNNNNNNNNNNNNNNNNNNNNNNNNNNNNNNNNNNNNNNNNNNNNNNNNNNNNNNNNNNNNNNNNNNNNNNNNNNNNNNNNNNNNNNNNNNNNNNNNNNNNNNNNNNNNNNNNNNNNNNNNNNNNNNNNNNNNNNNNNNNNNNNNNNNNNNNNNNNNNNNNNNNNNNNNNNNNNNNNNNNNNNNNNNNNNNNNNNNNNNNNNNNNNNNNNNNNNNNNNNNNNNNNNNNNNNNNNNNNNNNNNNNNNNNNNNNNNNNNNNNNNNNNNNNNNNNNNNNNNNNNNNNNNNNNNNNNNNNNNNNNNNNNNNNNNNNNNNNNNNNNNNNNNNNNNNNNNNNNNNNNNNNNNNNNNNNNNNNNNNNNNNNNNNNNNNNNNNNNNNNNNNNNNNNNNNNNNNNNNNNNNNNNNNNNNNNNNNNNNNNNNNNNNNNNNNNNNNNNNNNNNNNNNNNNNNNNNNNNNNNNNNNNNNNNNNNNNNNNNNNNNNNNNNNNNNNNNNNNNNNNNNNNNNNNNNNNNNNNNNNNNNNNNNNNNNNNNNNNNNNNNNNNNNNNNNNNNNNNNNNNNNNNNNNNNNNNNNNNNNNNNNNNNNNNNNNNNNNNNNNNNNNNNNNNNNNNNNNNNNNNNNNNNNNNNNNNNNNNNNNNNNNNNNNNNNNNNNNNNNNNNNNNNNNNNNNNNNNNNNNNNNNNNNNNNNNNNNNNNNNNNNNNNNNNNNNNNNNNNNNNNNNNNNNNNNNNNNNNNNNNNNNNNNNNNNNNNNNNNNNNNNNNNNNNNNNNNNNNNNNNNNNNNNNNNNNNNNNNNNNNNNNNNNNNNNNNNNNNNNNNNNNNNNNNNNNNNNNNNNNNNNNNNNNNNNNNNNNNNNNNNNNNNNNNNNNNNNNNNNNNNNNNNNNNNNNNNNNNNNNNNNNNNNNNNNNNNNNNNNNNNNNNNNNNNNNNNNNNNNNNNNNNNNNNNNNNNNNNNNNNNNNNNNNNNNNNNNNNNNNNNNNNNNNNNNNNNNNNNNNNNNNNNNNNNNNNNNNNNNNNNNNNNNNNNNNNNNNNNNNNNNNNNNNNNNNNNNNNNNNNNNNNNNNNNNNNNNNNNNNNNNNNNNNNNNNNNNNNNNNNNNNNNNNNNNNNNNNNNNNNNNNNNNNNNNNNNNNNNNNNNNNNNNNNNNNNNNNNNNNNNNNNNNNNNNNNNNNNNNNNNNNNNNNNNNNNNNNNNNNNNNNNNNNNNNNNNNNNNNNNNNNNNNNNNNNNNNNNNNNNNNNNNNNNNNNNNNNNNNNNNNNNNNNNNNNNNNNNNNNNNNNNNNNNNNNNNNNNNNNNNNNNNNNNNNNNNNNNNNNNNNNNNNNNNNNNNNNNNNNNNNNNNNNNNNNNNNNNNNNNNNNNNNNNNNNNNNNNNNNNNNNNNNNNNNNNNNNNNNNNNNNNNNNNNNNNNNNNNNNNNNNNNNNNNNNNNNNNNNNNNNNNNNNNNNNNNNNNNNNNNNNNNNNNNNNNNNNNNNNNNNNNNNNNNNNNNNNNNNNNNNNNNNNNNNNNNNNNNNNNNNNNNNNNNNNNNNNNNNNNNNNNNNNNNNNNNNNNNNNNNNNNNNNNNNNNNNNNNNNNNNNNNNNNNNNNNNNNNNNNNNNNNNNNNNNNNNNNNNNNNNNNNNNNNNNNNNNNNNNNNNNNNNNNNNNNNNNNNNNNNNNNNNNNNNNNNNNNNNNNNNNNNNNNNNNNNNNNNNNNNNNNNNNNNNNNNNNNNNNNAUCAGAUGUGGGCGAGGCUAAGCGAUUAGAACUUGACAAAAAGAAAUACCUCUCUUGUUUGAGACUUCGGUUUGAUAAGAAGGAGGAAGAAGAAGGAGAAAGAAGGAAGAACGAGGACGAUCAACUUCUUCUUGAAGCCCUACAACCACCUCUCAAUUUAAAGGAAUUAGAGAUAGAGUACUACCGAGGCAACACUGUUUUCCCCAGCUGGAUGACGUCAUUAACCAACUUAAAGAGUUUAGAUCUCUCUUCCUGCGAAAAUUGCGAGCAGCUGCCUCCUUUGGGAAAAUUGCCAUCCCUUGAAGCACUCAGCCUAUGGGACAUGAAGUGUGUGGAAAGAGUGGGUGAUGAAUUUUUGGGGAUAGAAAGUGAUCAUCAUGGCUCAUCUUCAUCGGUUAUUAUUGCCUUCCCCAAAUUGAAAUCACUUUCAAUUGAGUUUCUGCGCGAAUUGGAGGAGUGGGAUUAUGGGAUUACAAGAACGGGAAACACCGUCAUCAACAUCAUGCCACGUCUUUCUUCCUUGACAAUUGCUCAUUGCCCCAAAUUAAUGGCACUGCCCGACCACUUUCAUCAAACAACAACAUUGAAGGAAUUGCACAUUUGGGAGUGCAGGCUUCUGGAAGAACGUUACCGCAAAGGGGAAGGAGAAGACUGGCCUAAGAUAUCACACAUUCCCAACCUCCGUAUUGGGCUUUGACAAGUAAUUUCUUCUCUUACUCUGAUUUGCUUUGUUGUUGUUUUUAAUCUAAUUAAGAAGCGUAAAUAGCAUUUUGAAUCAAACUCUAUAUCAGAAAUCUGCAAUACUUACUUUCUAAUAUUCUGAUUUUCAUAUCCUAUGAAUAUACAAUUUUUAAUUUGUGAGAUGGGUAACGUUACUGUAAAAGAUUAUUAAUGCAAUAUGAGUAAUUCUUUUGCAGGACAAGUGACCUACAUUUAGUUUGGCUUUGGAGUUGAAUAAUAACCUUUCGAGGUCCCGACAACCAAAAAACGAAGCUUAAUUUGCCACAGAUUGCACGUAUUGCCAUUAUUGACAAUUUUCUGCACAAGCUUAGGUUGAUUUCAAAAGAGGUAAAUUAUUGGCAUGCCUGACUAUUUUGACCAUUACAUGAUUCAUAAGUUUACAUUAAUUUUGAUUUUGAGUUGAGUGAUUAGUUUUCUAGGUUUGCUUACUUUAACUGGGUGACCAAUUUCUUGUAACCAAAUGUAUGAUGUGAUGCAGGAAGCAGGGCAGGAUAUGAAAAGAGAAGCUUAUUAGAGGAAGGAUUGCCAGUAACAGAAUCCAAAGAAAAAGAAACCAUUUCGAGGCAGCAGUUGGCAGUUGGCAGUUGGCAGUGAAUGGAGCCCCUUGAAAAAGUUCCCAAGCCGUUGCACUGCAAUUACGAUCAUCCUCGGCCUCAGGUAAUUUCUUCUCCUGCAUUUUUGUUAUUUGCUAUCAAGUGACUAUUUUAAGUAUGAUUGCAUUAAGCUGCCGCUGGGAAAUUUGAGGUUUUGAUGACUGCCCAUGCUAUUGUCAGAAGCUGCGGUUCUUUUCAUCAGCCUGAACCUGGACCUGCCGCUAUGGAUAACUCAGGUUUUUUUUUUUUUUAAUCCACUGCGUCAUCUUUUCCACUGUUUUGAAAAUCUUAAGAUUAAACUUUAGUGAAGUUGUUUUAGUUAUCCAUGUAAUCAGGCUGAGGAUACUUAGCUGCCUAUUUAGGCAAAUGUCAGAAUUUAGUUUGUUCGCUGGGAACUGGUGUGGACUGGCAAAGGAUGAUGAGAUAGUUUUUUGAGUGAGUAAAUUUUGGGAGCUUGAGUGUAUUGGGAUUUGAAAUUACAAUCAUCGUCUGCCUCAGGUGAUUUCUUCUCCUGCUCUGUCAUUGUUUGUUCUCUAAUUCAAAAGCAUAAAAUAUUUCAAUCAAUUUUUAUACCAGGAAUAUGCAAAAGUUUCUAAUAUUUUAUUUCCAUCUGUUACAAGAUCAAACUGAAGCAGAACUCAAACAAAAGUAUGCUCCUUCUUGCGGAUAUCUUGCCUUUGUUCAGAUUAUGAAACCAUUUCCAUGCAGCAACUUCAUCCAAAAGUUUGAAUAAGUUUCACGGUUGGACACUGUUGGCUUCUUUUUCUUCUGGGGUGCAUUUAGGUGCUAUCAAGUGACAGCUGUAAGUAUGAUUGCACUAAGCUGCCGAUGGGAAAUUUGAGGUUUUGAUGGCUGCCCAUGUUAUUUUCAAUAAACUAUUGAUGUAAGAAGCUGUGGUUCUUUUCAUCAGCUUGAACCUGAAACUGUCGCUAUGGAUAACUCAGGUUUUUGUUAUCAACUAUAUCAUCUUUUUCACUAUUUUGAAACUCUUAAGAUUAAACUUUAGUAAAGUUGUUUCAGCUAUUCAAAUGAAAAACUCAUUGAUUUGAGAAUUCCUUCAUUAUUGUUUCUAAUUACAAUGCUAACGAUCCAGAUAAAAUAAUAUUUAAUCGGCGAAGGUGUCCCUUGGAAGUACAUCCUUCUUUUUCUUUUAUUAUAUAAAUUCUUGCAAUGAGCUUAGUGAAGCUGUUGUGCUAAUCAUGCCACUGCAUAAUUUGGCCCCUAAUGUGGGUACUCUGUUACAUUGUUCUGCAAAUUCUCCAGAAGUUAAAAUCAAUAAAUUUUCUAUUAGCUCUAUUGCUUUGACCUAAAUGCUAUUCUAUAUUCUGAUUACAAUGUUUUAACCUUUAAAUUAACUACCCCUAGAUGUUGGAUUUUCUAGAACUUCAAAAUGAUUAAUGGAGAAAGAUCCCAUUAUCGUUAUUGCUAUAAGAAAUUGAUUUAUGCAUCCAAAGAUACAUUAUAUAUUUCUGUGUCUCUAUUUAUGGAUGACAUUUAAUCAUCCAUAAACUGUCAGACAGAGGAAGGGGGUUCAGUGCAAAGAUUCUGUUGACCUAGGGUUGACUGCAUAUGUCACUUGUUCGCAAUCUAUUAUUUAUUUUAUAUUUUGAAGAAUUUAAUGGGUAAUCCUAAUUGUUUGUUUUGGCAGGUUUGUGUUGUUAUCUCCUUCUAUCUUACAGUCGUACCUAAAUAGCAUAGUUUCAUCUGUGUUACCAUGUGAUGUACAUAAUUUCACAUUUGCCUCAGAUUAAGCUUAAUUUCCCACAAAAUAGAGCUGUCGCGACUGGACUUAGGUUGAUGUCCAAAGAGGUAAAUUAUUGGCAAUGCCUAGAUAAUUUGGCCAUUUCCUAAUUCAUAAGUCUACCUUAAUUUUGAUUUUGAGUUGACUGAUUUCUUUUCAAGGUCUGCUUCCUUAACGGAGUGACCAAUGUUUUUCAACUAAAUUUAUCAUAUGAUGCAGGAAGCAGGGCAGGAUAUGAAAUGAGCAGCUCAUUGGUGGAAGUAUUGCCAGUAACAGAACCCAAAGAAAAUGAAACUAUUUCAAGGCAGCAGUUGGCAGUUGCAAGUGAAUGGAGGCCCUGACAAAAUUCUCAAGCGGUUGCAAUGCAAUUACGAUCAUCCUCAGCCUCAGGUAAUUUCUUCUCCUGCUCUGUUUUUAUCUGUUAUCUAAUUAAAAAGCAUAAAGUAUCUUGAAUCACUUUCUGUAUCUGGAAUAUAUGCAGCAGUUUCUAAAAUCUUCAUAUGAGUGUAAUGAUGGUAAUUUCUGUUUUUUGUCUGUCUUUGAAUGUUAGACAACUUUCAGUGAGACUCUUGAACCGAGACAUUUUUGACAAAUGAAGGACAAUUGCUGAAGAGUGGGAAUGGUGCUAGAUUGGGGAAUAAAGACAAAGGAGGUAAAUUAUUUGCAGUUUAUUCAGCAUUAUUUGCUUUGGACCAGCGCCUGAUUCACAAGUCUCCAUAAUUUGGCUUUUGACCAGUUGUUAAUAAAUUUUUUUAUUCCAUUGGUGCUAAAUGUACACGUGAAGCAGGCAGAGCAGGACUGUGGAAAUGAGAAGGUUUUUAGUGAAAGCUUAAACUCAGGUAAUUCUAAAAAGUACAUGUUUUUGCUGAUUUAUCUAAAUCAGGAAAUUUUAUUUCCAUCUGUUACAAGAUAAAACAGAAACAGAACACAAAGAAAAAUAUUCUACUUCGUGUGGCAAUCUUGCCUUCAUUCAGACAAUGAAACCAUUUCCUUUCACCAAUUUCUUCCAAAAGUUUGAAUAAGUUUCAUGGUUGGACAUAGUUAGCUUCUUUUUCUUUUGGUGCAUUUAGGUCCUAUCAAGUGACAGCCAUAAGUAUGAUUGCAUUAUCGGGAAAUUUUAGAUUUCGAUGGCUCCCCAUGUUAUUGCCAAGAAAGUCCUCAUGUCAGAAGCUGCGGUUCUUUUCAUCAGCCUGAACCCGAACCUGUCGUUAUGGAUAACUCAGGUUUUUGUCAUCAACUAUAUCAUCUUUUUUACUGUUUUGAAACUCUUAAGAUUAAACUUCAGUAAAGUUGUUUCAGUUAUCCAUGUAAUCAGGCUAAGGAUAUUUAGCAGCUUAUUUAGGCAACUGCCAGAAUUCAGUUUGUUCGCUCGAAACUUGUAUGGUGACAAGGAUACUGGCAAGGAUAGUGAGAUAGUUUUUUGUGUGAGUGAAAUUUGAAAGCUUGGGUGUUCUGGGAUUUGCAAUUGCAAUCAUCCUCUGAGUCAGGUGAUUUCUUCUUCUGCUCUGUCUUUAUUUUCUCUCUAAUUGAAAGCAUAAAGUAUUUCAAUCAAAUUCUGUACCAGGAAUACGUAAAAGUUACUAAUAUUUUAUUUCCAUCUGUUUGCAUAGAUAACUUGGCGGCAUAUGUUCUAGUUAAAGAACAAACAGAAACAGAGUUCAGGAAAAAGUUUCUUCGGCCACCAUAUUUGAAAAUGAAACCAUUUCCAGGAAGCAGUUGGCAGCAAAUUCAUAUGGAGUGUAGACAAUGAUGAGCAAAAAGGUGAUUCGCAAUUUCUUUUUUUUUUUAAGUGAAAUUAUUUGUUAGAUUGAAGCUGAUAUUGUAAGAAGGCCAUUGAGCUAACCUAUGUCGCCACUUGCCUAGAUUGCAGGGGGUCAAGACUCAAAAGAAGCACUGAAAUUUAAAAAGCAUGCAAUAGUUCUUUUACCAUGUGUCAAUUAAUGCGAGUUUGAGUAAGUUUAUUGGCUGAACGAUGUUAGCUUCUUUUCCUUUCGUGCACUUUGGUAUGCUAUCAAGUGACAACCGUAUGUAUGGCUUGCAUAUAGCUGCUGCUGGGAAAUUUGACGAUUUCAUGGCUGGCCGUGUUAUUGUCUUAAAUUAGUUGUGAUAAGCUGUUGCUUGGAGAUUCUGUUGCCAAGACUUUGCUCACAUCAGGAGCUGUGGAAUCUGAACCCUUCGUUAUGUAUCAUCUUUUUCAUUGUUUUAAAACUCUCAGGAUUAAACUUGAGCGAAUUUGUUCGGUUGUCUAUAUAAUCAUGUAUUGAGUAAACUCUCAGGAUACUGAGCAGGCAAAUGUUAUAACUCGGUUUGUUAGCCAAAAACUUGUUGAAGAUUCUUGACAAAGCUGCAUCAAGUGAAUUGUCGGAGCUCUGAGGGUGAGAGAAAUUAGAGGGUGUAUAGGGAUUUGGAUUUGUUAGGAAGUUAUCAUUUUUUUUUUUUUUUCCCAGAAAAUCUUCUGGUGGUGCUAUAUUUUCAAACGACAGUCCGAUUCAAAACUUGAUAUUCCAAUUAUAUUCAUAAGCUUCUAUAGUUAUCUUCAAAAAGACAAAUGGAAGGCUUUGAACGGCUUGGGUCUGAGUAUUGUAGUUUGAUUUAUUUUGAUGAAAGUACCUUUUGACAUUGAGAUUCUUUCAUGAGUUAAACAUUCUUUUUAAAACCAACUUAUUAAAAAAAAAGUAACUAACAUAUAUUAUUUUGUUAGUGCUUUUUAAAUCAAAUAUAAAAAAGAGAACUGUAAUUCUUAGCAACCAAUUUUUCACUGAAUACACCUACAACAAACUAUUAAAAAAUAAAGUGAUAGAAAAUGCCUGAUUUUUCGUACUUUUUAAUUAUUUUUGGUCCUAAAAUAUGGCGAUUUGUGUAAUAAUAAGCCCAUGUAUAUCUUUAUGCCAUUAGUUUGAUAAAUAGCUAUCAAGGAUAACUUAUUAAGCUAAAAAUAUUUGAAGGAUAAAUUGGUAAAACUAAAAGGGUGGGAGUAAUAUAGUUAUUUAAGAUUACAUAGUAGUCAACUAUAUUCGAGGGGAUAAAUAUUAAAAGGUUUACUUAAAUGAUCAUAUAAAUCCCUUUAGUUUCUACAUAGUUAUACAGACCCUCUUAAUUUCAUAAAUUAUUAUUAUACUUUUAAUUAAAACAACCUAAAUGAAUAUAAAUAUAGUAAUAGGAUAGAAAUAAUAAAUAAAUAUCAGAUGAAACAAAUAAAAUAUUACAAUAAAUACAAUUAAUUAAAUAACAUGUAUGAUGAAAAUUUUAUUCAUAUUAAGUUAUUAUUAGUCUAUCCCGAUGGAUUUACUCAAAUCAAUUAAUCCAAAAUUUAAUUUUAAGAUUGAUAUUAAUAUGGACAUAAUUAAAUAAGAUGUUGUAAUAUAUACUACUUUGAAUGUUAAGUAUAAUUAUCUAAUAUUAUUAGUAUGUGAAAUAGAUUUUAAUAUUAUUAAAGAAUAUGACAAUAUAUAAUUUUGAAUUAAAUUUUUUAGUAUUCAUGAUAUUUUAUAAAUUUUAUGUGAUUUUAUAUAUUAUAUUUUUUAAUUUUAAUGUAUUAUAUAUGAUCAUUUAAGCAAAUUUUGGAGGUGCGGUGGUCUUUUCCCUAUUAAUUUUGUAGCAUAUUUAAAGUGUUAUAUCAUACAUGAUACAUCACACUUUUGUUAAAGUGUUAUGUUAUUAAAAAUUAAACUUUGCAUUUAUAAUAUACUACCAUUUUAAUGUAAAGGUAAUAGAAAAUAUGAAGAUAUUUUUAAGUAGUCAAUUGUAGCUUUCUUUUACAAAAUAGCAGUAUAGAAAUACAAUUGGUAAAAUGUAAUAAAAAUGGUAUGGAAAAAAGUUAGUAGAGGCAAUUAUUCUUGUAGUUGCUAAAACAUAUGAAGUGACACACACACACACAUAUCAAGUACUUGUAUGUUCCCCUAACUUUUAUUAAUGGGAAGGAAAUUAAAUUCGUAAUUUUUCCGGUGAAUUAUGAAUUGAUAAAUGAAAUAUAAAUAUUAGUAAAAAUUAAUUUGUCGACUAAAGAAGUAAACCAUAUUUUAUGGGCAUUUAAUACAUUAAUUUAAGGUCAAAUGAGAUAUAUCACAUGAUAUUUGAUACAGUAGUCCAAUUUUUCAACAUUUGCAUAUAGUUUCUAAGCUAGUAAUCUAAUAAAAUAUACCAAAUGAGAAUUUGAAGGCUAUUAUUUAUAUUUCACCAUUGGACAAACACCAUACAUUAGAAUAAAAAAAUCUCACAGUAGAGACGGCAUCUGUUUGCAUGUUUUGAAAAUAGAUUUUGAAAUUAGUUUAAUUACAUGAUAAUUAAAUUAUAUUAUAAAAUUAAGAAUAUGAUUUAAGUACUAUUUUAGCAAUUUUGAGUCUCACAUUGAGUAUUCAAGUUAAUUAAAUGUUGAAACUCUUUUCUAUUUGGCUUGAAAUCACUACUUAAUAAAAUUACAAAAAGUUGAUAAUGAAUGAUGUAGGACACAUAUGUAAAAUAAAUUUUAAAGUGUAAUUAAACAUUCCUAUCAAUAUUAGUUUCGUAUACAUGUUCAUAUAUUUUACUGAAACCAUAUAUAAUUAAAUUUUGUGUAAUUAAGUAAAAUAUAUUAUUCAAGUGAAUUUAUGAGAAUAUUUAAAAUUAUAGGGGUGGUCACUGAAAUUUGCCAAACUUGAGCCAACCGUGCACGAUCAAAUUCUCAAUAUGUUAGCCUGUUUGACUGUUGGCAAAAUAAAUUCCUAUCAGCAGUGGAACACAAUUCAAAAUCAUAUCUGCAUACAACGAACAAUAUCUCAUCAAAGAUCAAAUUAUACAUUUUUUACACCAAAGCAUAAAUAUCUAAAUUGUCCUUCUUCAACUCACCAAGCUCAUACCUAACAACAGCAAGAUUAAAUGUCAUUUGAUCCAUCUUUUUUAUUAAGCUUUAUCAAUUCUUCUCAUGGUUGCAAUUUUGAAAGCUCGCUUCGCUAUUUCCAUUUGCUUUUAUGCUUUGUUUGAGCUCCAUCUUUUCUCUCCAUCUACAUUUUACACUGUAAAAAAAAAUUAAAAAAAAUUACAAAGCUUCUUAUACUAGAAUAUGAGCAACAAUAUAAAUAAUAAACAAUAAAGUUAUGAUAGCACAGCAUACUCAUUAAAGUGCUUCUUUUUUUUUUUCAACAAGAAAUUACUACUGAAUUAAAGAAUUGGCUUUGCAUUAAGGUUUGCCUUCAAUAACUCAACUCCCCACUUGGGUUUUGUCGUUUUCUUAAAAUCUCUGCUCAAUCAAUUUAAAGAUCCAUUUUUUUUUUCUUUCCAAAGAUCUAAAAGAAAUGUCUUUUAUUGGUACCCAACAAAAAUGCAAGGUCUGUGAGAAGACAGUUUGUCCAGUUGAGCAGUUAUCUACUGAUGGGGUUGUUUAUCACAAGUCUUGCUUCAAGUGCUCUCACUGCAAAGGCACACUCAAGCUAAGCAAUUACUCAUCCCUGGAAGGUGUUCUUUACUGUAAGCCUCACUUUGAGCAGCUUUUGAAGGAGUCGAGUAACUUCAACAAGAAUUUCCAAUUACCUGCAAAGUCAGCUGAGAAGUUAACUCCUGAGCUGAGAAGGUCGCCUAGCAAAGUUGCCAGCAUGUUCUCUGGGCCCAAUAAAAAUGUGCUUCUUGCAGUAAAACAGUGUGUCCGUGGGAGAAGGUAGCAGCGGAAAACCAAGCCUCUCACAAGACAUGUUUCAAGUGCUCACAUGGUGGUUAUUCCAUUAGCCCGUCAAAUUACGCAGCCCUAGAAGGCAUCUUGUAUUGCAAACAUAAUUUCUCCCAAUUGUUCAAGGAAAAAGGCAGCUACAACGACCUUAUAUCAAAUCUGCUUCCAUGAAGCGUGCUGCAGUCUCUGUUCAAGAAGCUUGAACAUGCUAUGUUAUCUUCCAUAAAUCUUAUUUGGCGUGGGUUUUCUCUGGCUUGAGGGUGUGCUUUCUAUUUUGAUCCCUCUUGUUGUUUUUGCGGGGAACUACCAAACCUUCGGUUCCCUCUGCUUCUUUGGAUCAUCUUUGUUGGGACAAAUUUCAUGUAAUUAGAGAUACUGAUUUAUGGGAGGCAUAAUCCCAUGGUCGUAAAUUGACCAUUUUCUGGCAAUGUUCUUUUUAAAAAGAGAUGAGCAGUUGUUUAACAAAAAAAAUAGCUUGCCUUCAUCAUUGUAUGUUACCAAACUGCUAUGUAUAGCUGCUAAAUAUGAGCAUCCGAAAAUAUGGUGCAUCGUGAUUCAUGUAGUGCAAUAUGGCUACCAACGCAUCCUAAAUGGAGUAUUACUCAGGUAGUCGGCAAAAUAAGACAACAUAACUGAUUAAAAAAAAAACUACAUUAAUAAGUGGGCAAGAUCAUGCCAGUUUAACUUUUCGCGCGUCGCUGUUGGAGAUAAUCAAAUCGGGGCAGAGAAAAGGAGAAUGGAAUCAGAGGCUAAGAUUAAUAAGUGGGCUUCUGCUUGCUUUGCCCCUCUUUCUUAAGCGAUUGGUAGACUGCUGCUUCCACCGAUUAACCGGGUCUUCAACCACUGCUUUUACUGCCUGCCAUCUUGUUGUUUGUUGAAGGGAUGAAUUCGAGUCGAAAAGAGAAAGCGCGCUGAAAAAGAUAAAUCACUAGUGGUUAACUGCUGACUCAGCCAAGUGUUGGCUUCACUUGAUUCACCGAUUGAGGUUAUUUUGUCUUCUAUCUAAUGCAGCGAAGAAGCUUUGCUGCUUAACAUGCUGCAAUGCAACUUUAUCCUUUGAAGUUCACACUUCAGGGCUGCGCACUUUAUGUAAUCCUAUGAGUAAAAAGAAUUUGUUUUCAAAUGUGAAAAAAGAAAAUGUAAGGUAGUAACUAAAUAUAUUAUAGCAUCAAAGCAAGAUUUGAUAUGAAUUUAGUACAGCAAAGAACAUCAAAUCUGUGAUUCCUUGUCUAGUGUUACCAUCGAGCAACAAAUUUAAAAGCCUACCUAUCAAAUACACGAGGCAAUAAACGGAGAAAAAGUUGAAUUACAAGAACAAGUGUACAAUUCUUGUCAAUGUUUAAUGAUUCGUGAACUGAGACAGCAUUCAAGAAUCCAAUUUCAAUACAACAACGUAAAAGAUAAACAGAUGAUGAAUUUUAUGAGAUAAAGAAGGAGAUCGUGUUUUAUCGUAUCUCUAUUUUCUUUCUUUUUAAAUUUAUGAGAUAAAGCGGUUGGUCCAGUUACGGUGUUAUGCUAACGGGUUUAAAGGUUCCGAUCCAAUGAGUUAGGGUGGAAUAUGAAUAUAUAAAUUCCAUAGCAUGUAAGGACUAGGAUUUGUUUGUUCAUAUCAAGAAAAAAGAUCUGAAAAUUUGAUGAUCAGAAGAUAAAAACACUUAAACACGUUUAUUUCAGAGAAACAAACGACAACAUGAUACUAGUAGUAGUUAUUCUUUUCAUCCGAUAUAUUACAUUGUAAUAUCACUACUCGUUCCACUGGUUUCAUAUACACCAUCGACCAGCAACAUGAUAAUUUCGUGUCAGUUCAUUUUGUUUGUAGGAAAGAGCAGUGUAUUUCUUAGAGCUUGAAAAUAAUAAAAAGAUUUUAAAAUAUAAAUUGCAUAUUUGUUUAUUACUGUUGUUUGGUCUAAUUUCUUAUGUAGAAUUGCUUGUCAUUCUUUGGACGUUAUUGAUUAUAUUUUUGUCAGACUUGGCGUAUAUAUUCACACAUACGUUUUAUUUUGUCAUUUUGUAGAACAAUUUUACACGCCAUAUUAUCACGACUCUUCUCUGUCUGAAUAAGAAGAAAGCAUAAUGCGACCCUCCAAUAGCUUAAUCUAUGGAAUUAUCGUGUUUUGUAAGUUGAGGACCAAUGGCGUUUUGGCACAUCAUAUGAUAGACCACUAUAUUGCGUUGCUUUACAAAAGAUUAAUAUUUUUAAAUUUAUUAGUUAAGUUUAGGCUCAGUGGCACUUUAACUCAUGAUAUGAUAGUCCAGGUUUUCGAGGACCACUAUAUUGUAUUGAUUUAAAAAAAAUUAAUAUUUUUUAAUAUUAAUAUUCUAAAUUAUAUUCAGUUAAAAUAUUAAAUAUUAAAUACAUUCUUAAUAUUAAUAUUCUUAGAUGAAAUUCUUUUGCUGACUUAAGAAUAAAAUAUUAAAUAAUUUUAUUUUUCUUUUAUUGUGUAACGUGGACCCAAAAAAAAAAAAGGAAAUGAAUUUAAUAAAACCUUCAUUCCUCCACCAUCCAUGUUAAUUGUUUCCAAAUUCCAACCUCCGUACUCUCUUGAGGAGUUUCCCAUUCAUCAAUUAUUAUUUUUUAUAAUCCAUACCAUCCUGAUAUAAUUAAACACCAUUAAUAAUGUACCAGCCUUUAAAUAGUAAUUUAUUUAUUUAUCUAAUUCACCAAAUGUCAUUUCCGGUACAUAUCUCCAUUGGUAUCAAGAAGAGGCAGAACCCAAAGAAACGUUUCUUACAUCUUCAUAUUUGUGCGAAUUCAUCCUUUCAUUGAGAAUAACCAUUUCCAGGCAGCAGUUGGCAAUCAAUUCAUGCGCACGUCGAUGCUAUUCAUAGAUAUUAAAGACAAUGAUGAACCAAAGGUGAUAAAUCAUAAAUACAUAAUUACCAAACCUCCAUCCUUCUCUCAUUAUGAUUUGAUUUUAAAUGAAUUAUUGCUUGGUAACAUUAUUUCCAACCAUGCGUUGGAUGAAUGGAUCACAGGAAGACGCAAAUUGCAAAUUGAGGGUGGCAUUGGUGAAAAUGCUCUUAUUGCUCCUCAUAAGAAAAAGAAGGUACGUUUCUACUUUCGUGCCUCUUGUCUUGGAUUCAAACAAGAAGAAUUUGGCUCAAACAAGUCUUUCUACGUCAUGACAUUGCUGACAAGAUCAAAGAAAACAAUGAAGAGCUACGUAAUAUUGCCACUCAAAGAGACAUGUUUAAAUCUGAGAGUGGCAGUAAAAGUAGUGAAAGACCCAGGCGUGUACAGAGUACCUCCUUGAUUGAUGAGGAAGAGAUUUGUGGUAGAGUUGGUGAGAGGAAUGAACUCUUAAGCAAGCUGUUGUGUGAGAGUAGUGAGCAACAAAAAGGCCUUCAUAUCAUCUCAAUCGUUGGUAUGGGAGGCAUAGGAAAAACAACUCUUGCACAACUAGCAUGUAAUCAUGUUGAGGUGAAGAGAAAGUUUGACAAACUUUUAUGGGUGUGUGUAUCGGACCCUUGUGAGCAGUUUAGGAUUGCCAAAGCGAUCGCUGAAGCUUUAGGCAUUCCCUCUUCUAAUUUAGGUGAAUUUCAAUCUCUUCUUAAACUUAUAUCUGAAUCUAUUACUGGAAAACGAUUUCUUCUUGUCUUAGAUGAUGUGUGGGAUGGAGAUUGCAUAAAAUGGGAACCAUUCUACCUUUGUCUAAAGAAUGGUCUCCAUGGAAGUAAAAUUUUGGUUACCACACGUAAAAAAUCAGUUGCAUCUAUGAUGGGAUCUACUGAUACUGAUAUUAUCACUGUCAUGGAAUUGGCUGAAGAAGAAUGUUGUUCGUUGUUUAAGCGGUUAGCAUUUUUCGGUCCAUCUAUUAAUGAUUGUGAAAAAUUGGAACAAAUUGGGCGAAGAAUUGCAGGCAAGUUUAAAGGUUUGCCUCUUGCUGCAAAGACAAUAGGGAGUCUCAUGCGCUCUAAACAAAUUGAAGAAGAGUGGGAAAGGAUUUUAAAUAGUGAUUUAUGGAGAGUAGAAGAGAUGGAGAAAGGUGUUCUGUCCUCAUUGUUGUUGAGUUACAACGAUUUGCCGUCCAAAGUAAAAAUAUGUUUUUCCUAUUGUGCUGUCUUUCCAAAAAACUACAAUAUAAAAAAAGAUGAACUAAUUACAUUGUGGAUGGCUCAAGGUUAUAUUUUAGCAUCUUAGCUUCUCGCUCUUUCUUUCAAGAGUUUGAGAGAAGUUAUGAUAAUCGUAUUAUAGAGUGCAAGAUGCAUGAUAUGGUACAUGAUUUUGCCCGAUUUGUAAGUCAAAAUGAAUGUUUUUCGAUGGAAAUUAAUGGUAGUGAGGAACCAAACACCAUAAACUCUCUUGAUGAGAAGGUUCGUCAUUUAAUGUUGAUCAUUGGUAGGGAGGCUUCAUUUCGUGUCCCUAUUUGUAGAGUGAAAAGAAUUCGUAGCCUCUUAAUUGAUAAUAGUAGAACUUCUUGUUCGUAUUUUAAUGGUGAGAUCCUAGAAGAAUUAUUUAGGGAAUCGACAAGUUUAAGGGCAGUAGAUUUUUGGGGAUCAUAUGACGUAAGCCCAUUUUGGACUGUAAAGAUUCCAAGAAACAUAGAAAAUCUAGUACAUUUAAGAUACCUUAAUCUGUCUUGUCAGAAUAUAAGGAAACUACCGGAGACAUUAUGUGAGUUAUAUAAUCUAGAAAAGUUAUAUAUUACUCGUUGUCUGUAUCUUGAAGAAUUACCUGAAGGGAUUGGGAAGUUAAUAAACAUGAAGCAUUUACUAAAUUAUCGUACAGAUUCUUUAAGGUACAUGCCAGUAGGGAUUGGGAGAUUAACGGGUCUUCGGACCUGGGAUGAGUUCCAUGUGAUUGGAGGAGGAGGUGUUGAUGGUAGGAAAGCAUGUUGGUUUGAAUCUCUUAAAAACUUGAAACACCUUCAAGUAUGUGGUAUACGCAGAAUGGGUGAUGUAUCAGAUGUGGGCGAGGCUAAGCGAUUAGAACUUGACAAAAAGAAAUACCUCUCUUGUUUGAGACUUUGGUUUGAUAAGAAGGAGGAAGGAGGAGAAAGGAGGAAGAACGAGGACGAUCAACUUCUUCUUGAAGCCUUGCGACCACCCCUGGAUUUAAAGGAAUUACAGAUACGGUACUACCAAGGCAACACUGUUUCCCCAGCUGGAUGACGUCAUUAAUCAAUUUAAGGAGUUUAGAUCCCUCUUUGUGCGAAAAUUGCGAGCAGCUGUCUCCUUUGGGAAAAUUGCCGUCCGUCCUUUGAAAAACUCAGCCUAUUGCACAUGCGGAGUGUGAAAAGAGUGGGUGAUGAAUGUUUGGGGAUAGAAAGUGAUCAUCGUGGCUCAUCUUCAUCUUCAUUAGUUAUUAUUGCCUUCCCUAAAUUGAAAUCACUCACAAUUUCUACAAUAAUGGAAUUGGAGGAGUGGGAUUAUGGGAUUACAAGAACGGGAAACACCGUCAUCAACAUCAUGCCACGUCUUUCUUCCUUGGAAAUUGUUGCCUGCCCCAACUUAAAGGCACUGCCCGACCACAUUCAUCAAACGACAACAUUGAAGGAAUUGCGCAUUGUGCAUUGUGGGCUUCUGGAAGAACGUUACCGCACGGGGGAAGGAGAAGACUGGCCAAAGAUAUCUCACAUUCCCAACCUCGAGAUUUGGCCUUGACAAGUAAUUCCUUCUCUUACUCUGAUUUGCUUUGUUGUUCUUUUUAAUCUAAUCAAGAAGCAUAAAUAGCAUUUUGAAUUAAACUCUAUAUCAGAAAUCUGCAAUACAUAUUUUCUAAUAUUCUGAUUUUCAUAUCUUAUGAAUGUACGAUUCUAAUUUGCAAUAUUUAACGUUGCUGUAAAAUAUUAUUAAUGCAAUAUGAGUAAUUCUUUUGCAGGACAAGUGACCUACGUUUAGUUUGGCUUUGGAGUUGAGUAAUAACCUUUCGAGGUCGCCACUAUAAAAAAGCGAAGCUCAAUUUGCCACAGAUUACAUGUAUUGCCAUCAUUGACAAUUUUCUGGAUAAGUGAUGAAGGGUGAGAAUGGUGCUAGAAUAUUGAAUAAAGCUGUCGUGACAGAACUUUGGUUGAUGUCAAAAGGGGUAAAUUAUUGGCAUGCCUAGCUAAUUUGACCAAUACCUGAUUCAUAAGCCCACAUCAAUUUUGAUUUUGAGUUGAGUGAUUAAUUUUGAAGGUUUGCUUACUUAACUGGUAACCAAUUUCUUUUAACUAAAUGUAUCAUAUGAUGCAGGAAGCAGGGCAUGAUAUGAAAUGAGAAGCUUAUUAGUGGAAGGAUUGUCAGAAACAGAACCCAAAGAAAAUGAAAACAUUUCGAGGCAGCAGUUGGCAGUUGGCCGUGAAUGGAGCCCAUUGAAAAAAUUCCAAACCCAUUGCACUGCAAUUACGAUCGUGAGUAUGAUUGCACUGCAAUUUCGAAGCUUCUUCUCCUCCAUUUUUGUUAUUUGAUAUCAAGUGACAUCCGUAAGUAUGAUUGCAUUAAGCUGCUGCUGGGAAAUAUGAGGUUUUGAUGGCUGCCCAUGCUAUUGUCAGAAGCUGCGGUUCUUUUCAUCAGCCUGAACCUGGACCUGUCGCCAUGGAUAACUCAGGUUUUUUUUUUUUAAUCAACUACGUCAUCUUUUCCACUGUUUUGAAACCCUUAAGAUUAAACUUUAUUAAAGUUGUUUUAGUUAUCCAUGUAAUCAGGCUGAGGAUACUUAGCUGCCUAUUUAGGCAAAUGUCAGAAUUUAGUUUGUUCGCUGGGAACUGGUGUGGUGACAGCGUCCUGGCAAAGGAUGAUGAGAUAGUUUUUUGAUUGAAUAAAUUUUGGGAGCUUGAGUGUAUUGGGAUUUGCAAUUACAAUCAUCCUCUGCUUCAGGUGAUUUCUUCUCUUGCUCUGUCAUUGUUUGUUCUCUAAUUCAAAAGCAUAAAAUAUUUCAAUCAAUUUUUAUACCAGGAAUAUGCGAAAGUUUCUAAUAUUUUAUUUCCAUCUGUUUGCAUUGAUAACUUUGCGGCAUAUGUACUACUUAAAGAACAAUAGAAACAGAGCUCAGUUAAAAGUUUCUUCUGCCAUCAUAUUUGAAAAAUGAACCCAUUUCCAGGAAGCAAUUAACAGCAAAUUCAUAUAAAGUGUGGACAAUGAUGACAAAAGGGUGAUUAACAAUUUCAUUUUUUAUGAAAUUAAUCGUCUGGUUGGAGCUGAUAUUGUUAGAAGGCCAUUGAGCUAACCUAUGUCACUACUUGCCUAGAUUGCAGGGGGUCAAAACUCAAAAGAGGCAUUGAAUUUUUAAAGGCAUCCAACAAUUCUUGUGGCCAUAUAUCAAUUCAUGUAAGUUUGAAUGCAAUUAUUGGUGAAGUGGUUUCACUUCCUGUCUCUGAAUAAAAAUACUGAUUCUUUAAGGUACAUGGCACUAGGGAUUGCGAUAUUAACGAGUCUUCGAGCAUUGGAAGAGCUCCAUGUGAGUGGAGGAGGAGGUGUUGAUGGUAGCAAAGCAUGUGGGCAGUGGGCUUGAAUCUCUUAAAAACUUGGAACUCCUCCAAGCGUAAGUAUCCGUAUACUGGGAAAUGUGUUAGAUGUGGAUGAGGCUAAGAGAUUAGAGCUUGACAAAAUGAAAUACCUCUUUCGUUGAGACUUAAAUUUGAUGGGGAAGAAGAAAAAGAAGAGGGAAGGAGGAAGAAUGAGGAUAAUCAACUUGUUCUUGAAGCCUUGCAACCACCUCUGAAUUUGAAGGAAUUAGAGAUUUGGUCAUACAGAGGCAACAUUGCUUCCCCCAGGAUGAUGCAAAAAUUGAAGGAAUUUACCAAUCUAAGGAGUUUGAUACUGUAAAAACUGCAAAAACUUGAGAGCAGUUGCCUCCUUUGGGAAAAUUGUGAUCCUUUGAAAAUCUCAGCAUAUUGUACAUGGAGAGUGUGAGAACAGUGGGUAAUGAAUUUCUGGGAAUAGAAAGUGAUCUUCAUGACUCAUCUUCAUCUUCAUCAGUUAUUAUUGCCUUCCCCAAAUUGAAAUCACUUUCAGUUGAGGGAUUGAUGGAAUUGGAGGAGUGGGAUUAUGGGAUUAAAAGAACAGGAAACACCUUCACCAACAUUAUGCCACGUCUUUCUUCCUUGGAAAUUAGUGUGGGGUUAUGGGAUCGCACAACGACGUUGAAGGUAUUGCAGAUUGUGGCAUGUGGUACUCUAAGAAGACGUUACAGACAGGGUAGAGCAGAAGACUGGCCUAAGUUCUCUCACAUUCCAGACAUCAUGAUUGUGUGAAAAGAUGCCCUUGACAAAAUUCUCUAGGCGGCUACAUGGAGUACAAUCAUAAAAUGCUAAUGUGGCCACCCUGGUUCUUAAUUAAGGUUGUGAAAUAUUAUUGUAAAAGAUGAUUAAUUCAAUUUGAGUCAUUCGUUUGCUUUGAUAAUGAUAGUAAUUUUAUAUUUUGACAAUUUGCAAGGUGAGAAUGGUGCUGAUUGGUGAUACAGGAUAUGGUUCAAACACCAUUGAAUAAAGCUACGGACAUGGUGGCUCAACUUAGCUAGACUGCUGUCAAAAUUGGUAAGUUGGCUUGUCAAUGUAUUGAUGCUUUUGUUUUCUCUCAACCCUAAUUACCUUACCUUCAUUUAGUUUGGCUUUGGAGUUGAGUAAUAACUUUCAAGGUUCUCAAACAGAGCAGGACAACCGAAAAAAAAUAGCUUAAUUUGCUGCAGAUCACGUGUUACCAAUUAUUUAAGGUAAUUCUCGUUUACUUGCUUCUACACUAUAGAGUACGUGUUCUGGCUGGUUUAUCUAAUUCAUCAAAUGUUAUUUCCUUAUUGUUCCAUUGAUAUAUUUGUUAGAAAAUGAAACCAUUUCCAGGCAGCAGUUGGCAGUGAAUUCAUGCAAAUGUUGAUGCCAUUCAUAGAUAUUGAAGAUAAUGAUGAGCCAAAGGUGAUAAAUCAUUAAUGCAUAGUUACCAAAACCUCCAUCCUUCUCUCAUUGUAAUUUGAUUUGAAAUGAAUAAUUGCUAGGUAAUUGAAGCCAAUAUUGUUAGAAACGGUGUUGAGCUACCCAAGCUAAGAAGUUAGCUGCCAAAAAAUGCAGGGGAUCAAAAGAAGCAUUGCAGUGCUACAAUGCUGCUACUGGGAAAUUUAAAUCCCAUAUUAGACUUUCCUCACAUCAGAAGCUGUGGAUCUUCGGACAUCAGGUUUUUUCACAGUUCUUAAACUCUCAGGAUUAAACUCUAUUAAAGUUGUUGUAGUUGUCUACGUUCUCAGGUCAAGGAUUCUAAGCUGCCGAUUAAGGCAAAAUAUCAGAAUUCCCCUAUUAUUAUUUUUUUUCAUGUAAAUUUAUGUUGUUGUCUUCGCCCAUGAAUCUUAGCAAAAUUCUGAACCAAUUGUUUGCUAUUAUAAAUUUCAUUGUUAAAUAUUAAUUGUGAUGUUGGUGUUGAGUUUCUUUUAAAGUCACAGAAGCCUGACGAUUGAGUUCCGUGGGACUCUGAGAAGCAGUAAUAUUUUGAACAAGUGAAGGUUCUUCGUUUUUAAUUAUGUUCUGCACUUUUACAGUAUGUGCAGAUGUCUAAGAGGCAGGAUUUUAAUUUCUGUAAUGCUAAAUUUCGCAAAACAAUAAAAAAAAUAAAUGCAUGACAGUGACUUCAAGAAUUUAGAUUAUUGAAUUUGGCCAUUUCAAAAUUGAACCAGAGCUCAGAAAUGUAGAAUAUAAAUAUUGGAGAUUUGAACUUCAAUCAUUAGAUUUGAAGCUAAAGAGGUAAGCCAUUAAUUACAUCAAAUGAUUUGGAAAAUGGAGGAAUUGGAAAAAGGAAACUUUUUCUUUGUCCGAUUCAAGGGGAACGUCACAGAGAGGGGUAAAGAGAAGAGUAGCCUAAGAUAUUAAAGACAAUGUUGAGGCAAAGGAAACAUAAAUCCCAACCAUUGCAUGUGAGCAUGAUCACAAUAAAUCCCAACCAUCCAAACCAUUUUUUUGAGAAUUUUCAAUUGAAAGUGAAACCUUUUGACAUUUACCUAAUAAAGUAAGUUAAACGAGAGAAAUAAAGGGGGGAAAAAAAGUUGACUCAAGUCAAUACAGAAUUAUUAGUUCAACCUGGAGAAACUAAAACAGAGACACUAUAUUUUCAAAAAUAUCUGCAUUCAUCACCUUCUCCAACAGCUAAUGAGCUACACACGAAUCAUUUCCUUUUAGCAUUUUUGCAGCAUCAAUUUAUCCCCUCGUUUGUCAUCAGUUUCUCCCUUCGUUUCACCAAUACCAUGGCUGAUGCAAUCCUUUCCCCUCUCUUGGAGCAGCUGAUUAUCUUCGCUGCUGAAGAGAUGAGACAACAGGGGAAGCUGGUGAGUGUUGGAUGAGCGGAUCACAGCAUGCGCCAAAUUGCAAAUUGAGAGCGGCAUUGAUGACAAUGCUCUUGGUGCUCCUUAUCUGAAGAAGAAGGUAUAUUCCUGCUUUCCUGCUUCUUGCUUUGGUUUCAAACAAGUCUUUCACUGUCAUAACAUUUAUUGUAAUUUCAUUUGGAGAUAUGUAAUAUCUGUUGUCCAGAUAUAUUUCAUACACCAGCUGCUAAUAAUUCUGCUUGAAGAGAACUUGCAAAGGAGCUGUGUGAUGUAAUAGAAGACUAUAGUCUGGUCAAUUUUUUCAACCUUAGAUAUUAGGAAGUUAUGUAUUUCAUUAUCAGUUAUCAUUAUGAUUCUUAUCUUCAAAAAGAUAAAUGGAUGGCUUUGAAUGGCUUGUGUUUGAGGAUUUUAGUUGGACUUAUUUUGAUUGAAGUACUUUUUGACAAUAGAAUUCCUUCAUGAUUUAAACAUUCUUUUUAAAAUCAAAUAAUCAAAAAAAUUAAAUAAAUAAAUAGAGUAACUAACAAAUAUGAUUUUAUUUUGUUAGUGUUUUUCUCAUCAAAUAUACAUAAGAGUACUGUAAUUAAUUGCAACCAAUUUUUCACUAAAUACGCCUACAACAAACUAUUAAUAAUAAAGUGAUAGAAAAAUGCCUAAUUUUUCAUACUUUCUAAUUUCUUUUGGCCCUAAAAUAUAGGUAUUUAUGUCAUAAUAAGCCCAUGUGGAUCUCAAUGCCGAAAGUUCGAUAAAUGGCUUUCAAGGAUUACUUAUUAAGGUGGCGUUUGUUUUUUAACUUAAUGACUUAAAGUGACUUAACUUAAUUAAUUAAGUUAAUUAGAGGUGUUUGUUUUUAUAACUUAAUGAAACUUUUUAGAUAAUUUUGACUUAAUAAAAUAAGCUAAUUUUUUUGGCUUUUUACUUAAUUGAGAAAUAUGAAUUAAGUCAAUUACUUGCUAAUGUCAAAAAUAUCCCUGUUUUAUAAUUUAUUUUUCAUGUCUAUCCCAAAACUCACCCAUAGAUAAUUACCCCACAUAAAAAUAUCCCUAUUUUUUCUUUUUUAUAUUAUAUACGAUAAAAUUUAAAAUUUAUGGUAUUUUAUAUAUUAAAAUUCCAAAAUAAUUAUGUAUUCACUUGAAUAUAGUUUUACUUAUAAAUGUUAAAAUAUUGUGGUAUUUAAUAUAUUAUUUAUUUAACAUUCAAAUUUAAUAAGGAUACAAAUGUAAAAGUACAUAUUUUCAGCUUUUUAAGCUGAAAAAACAAACAACUUAAUACUUAUUUUUCGAGAUUCAGACGAAAAAACAAACAUAUUAUUCAGAUUCAGAUAUUCAGACCUAUUCAGAAUUCAGACUAAUUCAGGUCUACUCAGAUUUCAGAUAAACAAAACAAAUGCCACCUAAGUAAAAAAUAAUUCAAAGGACAAAAUGGUAAAACUAGAAGGGUGGAGUAAUAUGGCUACCUUGGGUUACAUAGUAAGUUGACUACAUUCAAAGUAUAAAAUAUUAGAAACUGAACGGUGGAGUAAUCGUCGUUUAGAUGAAUGAUAUGUCUAAGACGUUGCAUGCAUCAAGAAAAUUGCAGAUGAUUAAACCUUGCCAUCUAUGCGUUGUAUGAGGUUAUAGCAACUAUCUAUCUGGUCACCGUUUUCAAGUCUCAAUUGGUAGUCCAAAGAAAAGAAUGAUUUUGCAAUAGCAUUAAGUGUUAAUUGGACACAAAAGGAAGUGUUUUAACCACUUUAAGGAAAGUAAAUGUAAUUUUCUGUCCUAAAGAAAAGGUAAAUGUAUGCACUUUCAAUUAAUCUUUGGUCGACCAGCAACAUCAUAAUUUCGUUUAGGUUCAUUUUUGUUUCUUAGAGUUUGUAAAAAGAAUGGAAAGAUUUUAAAAUAUAAAUUUCAUAUCUGUUUAUUACUGUUGUUUGGUCUAAUUUCUUAUGUAGAAUUUUCAGAAUCUGUAGGACAUUAGUUUAUAAUUUUGAGAUUUUGCAGCCAUAAAUGUAUUUUUCUUUUUUUGUUGCCAUUUUAUUUUGCUCCUUUAUCUAUGUGCAUGUUGACUGGCUGCAGUGAGUGAAAAUUUACCUAUAUAUGCUGGCUAUUCUUGGACAAUAUUAGAGAAAAUAAUCAUAUUAUUUCGCGUGAUGUGAACUUCCAUAACUUAUCAAUUGAAUUGCUGUAAAAUAUUAAAUAGUUUUAUUUUUCUUUUAUCGUGUAACUUGGACCAAAAAAGGAAAUGAGUUUAACAUGACCCUCAUUCCGGCACUAUGCCUGUUUUUCUUGUAUUGAUGACAGUGCUCUUGGUGCUUCUCAUCUGCUUCUUGCUUUGGUUUCAAACGAGUCUUUCUCCGUCAAGACAUUUAUUGUAAUUUCAUUUGGAGACAUCUAUCGUUCAAUAUAUUUCAUAUGCAAGCUGUUAAUAAUUCUGCUUGCAGAAAGCCUACAAAGCAGCUGUGUGAUUUAAUAGAAGACCAUAGUCUCGUCAAUUUUUCAACAUUAGAUAUUCAGUGUCAUAUUUGGCUGCAUCUAGAAGCCACUGCAUCUAGAAGCCUUGAAUAAGCAAAGUUGGCUUUGACAGCCGGCCAAAGAAAAUGUUGAAGAAUUUGGCAGCAGCAAAUUUGGAAUGAAGAAAAAGAAGAAAGAAGAAAAUAGAAGAAUGAAGACGGUGGUAAAAAUAAUAAUUUAAUAGCCAUUUUUUUGGCUAUAAAAGGCAGAGCUCCUCAUUUCAUUUUGUAUCCAAUUCCAUUCAGAGAGCAAUUUAGGGAGUUGAGAGAGAGUUUGAGAGCUUGCAUUUAUAAGCUCUUGUUACAGUGAUUGAGAGAGUUUGGGUGUAUUGGGGUUUUAGGGAAGUGAGCUAAAAUACUACAAUACUUGUAACUCCUUUUCACUAGUAAAAUAUUUCCUUCUGUCUUCGCCCGUGGAUGUAGGCUAAAAGCCGAACCACGUAAUUUCUGGUGUCCUCUAUUGUGCUGGUUCUUUAUUUUUUCUUCCAAUUUCAUUUUAGCUGCGGUCCUACUUCACCCACCAAUUUCCUAACAGUGGUAUCAGAGCCAGGUUGUAUUUUUUGGAGUCGGGAACUGUUCCGGUCCUACUUCACCCACCAAUUUCCUAACAGUGGUAUCAGAGCCAGGUUGUAUUUUUUGGAGUCGGGAACUGUUCACGUAAGGGGUACUAUUCACGUAUACGGCACCGUACACGUAUAUGAAACUAUUCACGUAUACGGUACUGUUCAUAUAUACGGUGUUGUUUACAUAGACUGUACUAUUCACGUAUAUGGUACUAUUCACGUGAAGCGGUGGAAGCGAUCCAAGAAUUUUACGGUGCAACUAUUCAAGGUGGUACACUAACUUGUGUGCAGUAUUUAUCAACAAAAUGGCGGCAAAGUAUGAAAUUGAGAAAUUUAACAACUAUUCAAGGUGGUACACUAACUUGUGUGCAGUAUUUAUCAACAAAAUGGCGGCAAAGUAUGAAAUUGAGAAAUUUAACGGAAAUAAUUUUUCGUUGUGGAAAAUGAAGAUGAAAGCUGUAUUGAGGAAAAAUAAUUGUUUGGCAGCAAUUGGAGAAAGGCCCAUGGAGAUAACUGAUGACAAGUGGAACGAGGUAGACGGCAAUGCCAUUUCUGAUCUACACUUGGCAGUUGCGGAUGGAGUAUUAUCCAGUGUGGCAGAGAAAAAUACGGCGAAGGAAAUAUGGGAUACUCUCACAAAAUUGUAUGAGGCCAAGUCACUACACAACAAAAUUUUCUUGAAGAGAAAACUCUAUAUUCUUCGAAUGACGGAAUCUACAAUGGUGACCGACCACAUCAACACAUUGAAGACUCUAUUUUCACAACUCACAACGUUGGGUCAUAAUAUAGAGGAAAAUGAACGUGCACAGCUUCUACUUCAAAGUCUACCAGAUUCGUAUGAUCAACUCAUCAUCAACUUGACGAACAACAAUCCAGUGGAGAGUCUAGUUUUCGAUGAUGUUGCAGCCUCCGUAUUAAAUGAGGAGAGCAGGCGGAAAAAUAAGGAAAACAGACAAGCAAGUUCGCAGUAAGCAGAAGCGCUAUCGGUGACGAGAGGGAGUUCAACGGAACGUGGCCCCAGUGGGAGUCAAAAUCAGGGUAGAUCAAAAUCCAGAAGUAAGAAGAAUGUUAAAUGCUACAACUGUGGCAAGAAAGGGCAUGUCAAGAAAGAGUGUUGGAGUAACCAGAAGAGAAGAGAGGGCAAAGAACCUGAGUCAUCAAAUGCUCAGGGGUGUGUAGCAAGUACCUCAGAUGAUGGCGAAAUUCUCUACAGUGAGGCAACAACUAUUUCAGAAGGCAGAAAACGACUUUAUGAUGUCUGGCUUAUAGACUCAGGAGCUACCUAGCACAUGACCUCUAGGAGAGAAUGGUUCCACACAUAUGAACCUAUCUCAGGAGGAUCUGUAUAUAUGGGUAACGAUCAUGCCUUGGAGAUCGCUGGUAUUGGUACUAUCAAAAUAAAAAUGUUUGAUGGUACAAUUCGCACAAUUGGGGAGGUACGACAUGUCAACGGCCUGAAGAAAAAUCUAUUGUCUUUGAGACAAAUAGAUAGUCAUGGGUACAAAACUCAUGUGGAGAAUGGAAUUAUGAAGAUCGUUAAAGGCGCGCUUGUAUUGAUGAAGGCAGAAAAGAUCGGUGCUAAUCUAUACAUGCUUAAAGGAGAAACGCUACAGGAGGCAGAUGCGUGUGUCGCAUCAAAUGGAGAAGAGUCAACGAUGAUGUGGCAUCUCAAACUUGGCCACAUGUCAGAACAAGGUUUGAAGAUUCUCUCUGAGCGAAAAUUGCUUCCGGGGCUCAAAUCGGUAAGUUUACCAUUUUGCGAGCAUUGUGUUACAAGUAAGCAGCAUAGAUUAAAAUUCAGUAGAUCUAUUGCUAGAAGUAAAUGCAUUCUAGACUUGAUUCAUUCUGAUGUUUGGGAAUCACCGGAUAUAUCCAUGGGAGGUGCAAAGUACAUGGUGACUUUCAUUGAUGAUUAUUCCAGAAGAUGUUGGGUGUAUCCAAUUAAGAAAAAGUCAGAUGUAUUUCCAGUGUUUAAAGAAUACAAAGCGCGGGUGGAACUUGAAUCUAGUAAAAAGAUCAAGUGCUUAAGGACGGAUAAUGGUGGAGAGUAUACAGACGGCGAGUUUCUUGCUUUCUGUAAGCAAGAAGGUAUUCAGAGGCAGUUCACGGUGGCAUACACUCCUCAACAAAACGGAGUAGCGGAGCGGAUGAACAGAACUCUUACAGAAAGAAUAAGAGCUAUGUUGAGGACUGCUGGUCUACCCAAUUCAUUCUGGGUAGAAGCAGCAAAAACCGCCUGUUAUAUAGUAAAUCGGUCGCCAUCUACAGCUAUUGGGUUGAAGACAGCGAUGGAGAUGUGGACUGGAAAGCCAGCUGAUUAUUCCUACCUACAUGCAUUUGGAUGUCCUAUGUACGUGAUGUACAAUGCCCAAGAAAGAACAAAGCUGGAUGCAAAAUCUAGAAGAUGUAUCUUCUUGGGGUAUGCUGAUGGAGUAAAGGGGUAUCGUCUGUGGGACCCCACUGCCCACAAGAUCGUCAUCAGCAGAGAUGUUAUCUUUGUAGAAGAUCAACUACAAAGAAAAGAUGGAGAUGAUGGCACUGUAAAAGAAAAGUCAGAGACUGUACCAGUAUAUGUCGAAAAUAAUCUAGAAGAUUCAAAUUCUUCUGAAGUAGCACCAGAGCACGAUGAACAAGAACCAGUCGAGUCCGAGGCUCCAGAAGUUCGUCGGUCAACUCGUGAGAGACGACCGCCGGCGUGGCACUCGGAGUAUGUCACAGAGAUCAACGUUGCAUACUGUCUUCUAACAGAGGAUGAAGAGCCUUCAACUUUCCAUGAAGCUUUAAACAGCUCAGAUGUUGCUUUGUGGAUGACAGCAAUGCCGGAAGAAAUUGAAGCUCUACACAAGAACAAGACAUGGGAACUUGUACCACUACCACACGGAAGAAAAGCCAUUGGAAACAAAUGGGUCUACAAGAUCAAACGUGAUGGCAAUGAUCAAGUGGAGCGGUAUCGUGCGAGAUUGGUGGUGAAAGGAUAUGCUCAGAAAGAAGGUAUUGACUUCAACGAAAUAUUUUCUCCGGUGGUUCGACUCACAACAGUCAGAAUAGUCUUGGCGAUGUGUGCUACAUUUGAUCUACAUCUUGAGCAGUUUGAUGUGAAAACUGCAUUUCUUCAUGGAGAACUUGAAGAAGAAAUAUAUAUGCUCCAACCAGAAGGUUUUGCAGAAACAGGAAAUGAGAACUUGGUUUGCAGGUUGAACAAAUCUCUAUACGGUCUCAAACAGGCGCCGAGGUGUUGGUAUAAGAGAUUUGAUUCCUUCAUCAUGAGCCUUGGAUACAACAGACUCAGUUCAGACCAUUGUGCAUAUUACAAGAGGUUUGAAGAUAAUGAUUUCAUUAUUUUGCUAUUGUAUGUGGAUGACAUGUUGGUAGCAGGUCCCAACAAAGAUCGAAUCCAAGAAUUGAAGGCACAGUUGGCUAGGGAGUUUGAAAUGAAGGACUUGGGACCAGCAAACAAGAUUCUAGGGAUGCAAAUUCACCGAGACAGAAAUAAUAGGAAGAUUUGGCUUUCUCAGAAAAAUUACUUGAAGAAAAUCUUGCGGCGCUUCAACAUGCAAGAUUGUAAGUCAAUUUCUACCCCACUUCUUGUUAAUUUCAAAUUAUCCUCAAGUAUGUGUCCUAGCAAUAAAGUGGAGAGGAAGGAUAUGUCUCGAGUACCGUAUGCAUCAGCAGUGGGAAGUUUGAUGUUCGCUAUGAUAUGUACUAGACCAGACAUUGCACAAGCAGUGGGAGCAGUCAGUCGAUACAUGGCGAAUCCUGGUGGAGAGCAUUGGAUAGCUGUGAAGAGGAUUCUGAGAUACAUCAGAGGAACCUCAGAUGUUGCAUUAUGUUAUGGAGGAUCAGAGUUUACUGUCAGGGGCUAUGUGGAUUCAGAUUUUGCAGGAGAUCUUGAUAAAAGGAAAUCCACUACUGGUUAUGUGUUUACACUUGCGGGAGCAGCUGUAAGCUGGGUUUCGAAACUGCAGACCGUUGUGGCUUUAUCUACAACAGAAGCAGAGUACAUGGCAGCUACACAAGCUUGCAAGGAAGCUAUUUGGAUACAAAGAUUAUUGGAGGAGCUCGGGCACAAACAACAGAAAAUUUCUGUGUAUUGUGACAGUCAGAGUGCCUUGCACAUUGCAAGGAAUCCAGCCUUUCAUUCCAAGACAAAGCACAUAGGAGUUCAGUAUCACUUCAUUCGUGAAGUAGUGGAAGAUGGAAGUGUGGAUUUGCAGAAAAUCCAUAUGAAGGAGAACCUAGCAGAUGUUUUUACCAAGCCAAUAAAUGCUGACAAGUUUAUCUGGAGUAGAUCCUCUUGUGGCCUAGCAGCAACGUAGGCAACAUGAUUAUGGCGAAGCAUAAAGGAUGGUGUGGAGAUUGAUUGAUUCUCAAUCUAAUCUCCAAGUGGGAGAAUGUCAUAUUUGGCUGCAUCUAGAAGCCACUGCAUCUAGAAGCCUUGAAUAAGCAAAGUUGGCUUUGACAGCCGGCCAAAGAAAAUGUUGAAGAAUUUGGCAGCAGCAAAUUUGGAAUGAAGAAAAAGAAGAAAGAAGAAAAUAGAAGAAUGAAGACGGUGGUAAAAAUAAUAAUUUAAUAGCCAUUUUUUUGGCUAUAAAAGGCAGAGCUCCUCAUUUCAUUUUGUAUCCAAUUCCAUUCAGAGAGCAAUUUAGGGAGUUGAGAGAGAGUUUGAGAGCUUGCAUUUAUAAGCUCUUGUUACAAUGAUUGAGAGAGUUUGGGUGUAUUGGGGUUUUAGGGAAGUGAGCUAAAAUACUACAAUACUUGUAACUCCUUUUCACUAGUAAAAUAUUUCCUUCUGUCUUCGCCCGUGGAUGUAGGCUAAAAGCCGAACCACGUAAUUUCUGGUGUCCUCUAUUGUGCUUGUUCUUUAUUUUUCUCCCAAUUUUACUUUAGCUGCGUGUCUGCUUCACCCACCAAUUUCCUAACAUUCAGCUCAUCAGCUUCUCAUGAAUUCUUUCCUGAGUUUCUUUGAAUUAUUUGUGAUGCAAUAACUUGUGCAUUUGAGAAACUGUUCUCUGGAAUUCUUUCUUGAGUUUCUUUGAAUUAUUUGUGAAUAAGUUGUUAAUCGGCUGCUUCUCUUCAAGAUAAGGAAAGUGUUGCAAACUGGUGAAGCAGCUGAUAGAUAAAAGCAAUGCCAGUGUGGUUGAAUUCAGCAAGAUUGGCGUUCGUGAUGCAAACGAGAUUACAUAGUGGUUAAAAGCAAUAAUCAAUGUUUUAACCAUAAAAACUUCUUUCCACCUAUUUUCGGCCUUGUGAUUCUCAUAUCCAUAGAACUUUUUGGUAAUUUAAUCAUAUUUCAUCGUAUGCAUCUGCAUCUUCUAACCAGUGCGUUUGAGAAACUAAUUUUGCUGUUAGGCAGGUUUCAAGCUUGAUUAAUGUAUUUUUCAUAAAUGUACCAAAGUUAUGUAAACCAAAUAAUAAAAAAUAAAUAAAAGGAAAUGAGUUUAAUAUAACCUCCAUUCCAGCACUAUGCACGUUAAUUGUUCCCCAAGGACUCUCCUGAUUCUUAUUCCCAACCUCCAUGCUCUCAAGAGGAGUUUAGCACCCAUCAAUUUUUACUUUUGAAAACUCGUAAUGGUCUGAUAAAAUUAAACAACAUUAAAAAUGUUACCAGUCAUUAAAUAGUAAUUUAUUUAUUUACUUUGCCACCUAAAGGAAUCCUGCUGUAAAUAGAGGUUAAAAAUUUUAUUAGAUCUACUUACCUUUGUUCAUUCAGCAAACACAUACAAUUUACAACUAGUGAAUCUAUCCGUUGACAAUUGUGGAUUAAAAUUAUAACACCUGAAUUCAAACAUAUUUUACGAAGUUAUGAAUUUGUUCAUACUUCAAAUGAUUUUUUUUCCCCAAGCUAAUAAAGCUACCACAUUGAUCAAAUGACGACGUUGAAGGAAUUGCGUAUUUUUCAAUGUCCUUUUCCAGACACACGUUGGAGAGAGGGAAAGAAGAAGACUGGCUUAAUUAAGAUAUCUCACAAAGAUUAUUGAGUUAAAAUGUUAUUGUAAAAGAUGUUUAAUACGAUAAUAGUACUUCUUUUGCAUUGUUAUAAUAAGGUUGGUAGGUUUCCCCAGAGGAUGGAUCUGGCUCGCUAGUCUCCAUUUGGGAAGAUGCUAAUUAUCGGCCAUAAAAAAGUCAAGGGGUUGUGGCUCUUCUGUGGCCCAGAAAUUCCUAAUCUCAUAUCUCAAACUUGGGCAUUAUGUAAAUAUGUAUUUUUGAGAAUUAAACUAUUGCGUAGAAAAAUUUUGAGCCAUUGUAAUCAUUUUAUUUUGCUAAGAGAAAAUUUUACUUUGUGUUUCGAUUUGACUUUUGUUUUGUUUGUGAUAAUAAGAUUCAUACCAAUGUGAUUACACACCUAUCAUGCUUCUAUUUUCAUUUGCUUGUCAUGAUAGAUCAACAUGCUCAAAAAUAUUUAUUUAGGUUGGAAAUAUUUGAAUCCACUAAAAUACUAUACAAACCCAUUUUAAAAUUUUAAAAAAAAUGAUUAUCAUAAUACUCGUGAAGAUAACGCGAUAUCAUACAUAAAAUAAAAUAUUUCGCAAAAAAGAUAGGAUACAAAUCUUAAGUAAGUGGGUAUAAAAAAUAUUUUAGUGAGUUCAAGUAGCACUAAUGCCCCCUUAUCAAAAAAUAUAUAAAAAUAACUAGUCUGAUUGGGUAUACCGUUGGCUAAACUAAAGUUCUGAAGAUAUAUAUAUAUAUAUAUAUAUUGAUAAUUUAUAAUGUACAUUAUAGAGAAAGAUUUUGAAAGUAAUAUUUUUUUAGUAUUAUUAUAUAAUAUUUUGUAAAAAGUAGAGAGAGUGAGCAAAACCAAAUUAAUUUUCUAACCCCCCUCCUUUAGGAUUUAAACUCAUUUUUUAGUGUCGCCGGCCAUUCAAAUUUUCUAGUUGAAUAGGCUAAAUUGCAUGAAAUUGUGCUAGCUUAGCUUGAUUCUAGAAAUUUCCAGUACACUGUAACACAUUCCCACACUUGUACAUAGCUCGAAAUUCUCUAGAAUUUACUAUAGUAGCGUAACAUGUAGCUUGUACAUAGGUUUUUCUAUAACACUCCAGGCAUUACUAGGCAUGAGAGCUCUCACCAAGCUUUGAGAACUCUCUAGACAUAAAACAUUCUAGCGCAAGCCUACCCUAAAAAUAGGGCAUGAAGCUUGCCAUUCGAGCAUACAACAAGUAAGAACAAUUCAAGCAUACUUGUAAGCUCUCAAACUCUCUUAUACACACUCUUGUGAAUAAUAUAAUUUCCCUUUGGCUAUAUUGUUCUCUCUUCUCUCUAGUUUUUUCGAAAGCAUCAUAACUUAGCUAGUCGAAAAAUUCAAGGCUUACUUUGCAACUAUCUCGUAAAAGUUGUUUAAGUACCACAGGAGUUUGCUGUACAAAAUACUCAUCCCGUGACAUUAGUCAAAUAAAAUUGUUUGAAAGCCACUUACCCGGAUAUUAUUCUUUUAAUAUGCAAUCUUUUAAUAUAAACUUUUGUCUUAAUUUUCUAUCUCCUACGAUAAAUUUUAGAAUUUUAAAAAUUUUAAAAAUUAAUAACUAUUAGAUAGAGCAUUUACUGUUAAAAGAAAUCUAUAUAGAUAUAUAGAUACAUAGUAAUAUAAAAACUUACUACAAUAUAAUGUUUUUAGUUUCUUAUUUUUUCAAGAUAAAAUUCAAAGACACAAGUUAAAUGUUGUGGAAAAUCUUCCACCCAUACAAGAAAUCGUCACAGCUAAAUGCAAACCGAGCUAAAGUAUUAGUUGUUUUAUUACAAUCUCUAAAAAGAUGAGCGAUUCCAAAAUCUUUCUUUGUAACAAUAAGCACUACAGUUCAGCAACUAUCCAAGUCAAAAGCAACUCAAUGUGAGUGCUAAGCUAAAUCAAUUUCAUUAACAAAUUAGAUGCCAAAGAGCAAGGCUUCGUCCUCAAUUAUAUUGACAUUAUCUGAGUAAACUCUAAAUACCACAAUCAACCCCAAAAAACAUGACUAACUAUUGUGUUUAAAAUAAAUUUUUUUUUUUUUAGAUAUCCGUUGGUAGUAUCUCUUUAGAUGAAUAUAGGAGAUAAAAUAAAUAAAUAUUUAUUGUGUAAAUAAAAAUAAAUAAAUUUUUUUGAACGGAAAAAAUUCCCAAGAACUAAAUUGUUCAAACGUUUUUUAACAUCAUGUGUUUCUAAUAAUUUAGGGUUGGGCAUUCAGUUCGGUUUUUACCGAACUGAACAACUAAAUUAAAUUGAAAUUACCCUAUUCGGUUCAAUUGAAUAGACAAAAACUAGAGCUGGCAAAACGGGUCAUCGGGUCGUGUUCAUGUCGUGUCAGUUUCGUAUCGUGUCAAAUUUAGUUCAACCCAAACCCGACCCAUUUAAUAAUCAUGUCAAAAUAUUGAGACCCAAACCCGAUACGGAAAAAUAAUCGGGUCACCCAAUAACCCGCUGAAUAUCUAUAUAUUUAACAAAAGUUACAUCAAAUAUUUACACAUUAUCAUACAUGCGUAUGUACAUACAUAAUUUAUCGAUAUUAUAAAAUAUACAUAUCUACCAAAAUAUUACACAUUUACACUAUUGAGGUUUUAAUUAAUUAUAUAUAUAUAUAAUAUUAUAUAUUAAUAUUAUAAAAUAUACAUAUCUACCAAUAUUUUAUACAUUUACACUAUUGAAACUCUAAAUGUGUUUAAAAUUUUAUAAAUAAAAUAUUGUACUUAUAUUCAUCCUUUUAAAGAAUAUAAAUAAAAGAGAAAAUCAUCUCUAAUAUUUAAGUUUUGAUGACAAAAACCUACAAAUUAUUUUAAAAUAGAAAAUAUAAUCGGGUCAUUAGUCGGGUAAAUGGGUCAAUAAUUUUAACCCUAACCCGACACGGAAAAAAAUCGUGUCGACCCGAACCCGACCCAUUUAAUAAUCGUGUUAAAUUCAACGACCCAUACCCAUUUAUUUGUGUCGUGUUCGUAUCGAGUAAUCGGAUCGUGUCAAAUUUUGCCAGCUCUAACAAAAACCGAACAGUUUAUAUUUUUAUGAAUUGAAUGAUUUGUAUUUUAGUUUAGUUCGGUUCGGUUCUGGAUCUAAACCGAACCGAACCGUAAACCGUAAACUGCCCACCCUUAAAGUUUCCAUUAACCGCCGUUGCAUUGCUCAAAUCACAGUCUCUCGCUUUCAGCUCAGUCAGAGUUUCCAGGUCCAGAGACUUGCCGCUGACUGAGAGCUUUUUAGUAGCAGGUCUACAAAUAAUGGAAUAGAGCUGAUUUAAUGAUUAAUUUAUUUCCUUUUUCAAUUUCUUUUGAUUGCCAUGUAAUCUGGAUAAGUUAAACGUGAAUUGUUUAGUGCAGAUUAAAUGUUCGACGAAUUUCCCGCAAGAAUAUUAAGUUAAAGAGAAAAAAAGAAAACAAUUGAGCGUGAGCGAGAAUGGUGUUUGGCCAAGUGGUGAUUGGUCCGCUCGGCUCGGGAAAGCCCACUUACUGCAAUGGCAUGUCUUAGUUUCUCAGCCUUGUUGGCAGGUAACUUCGUUUCUUGAUUUCAAGCAGCUUUCUCUUUGAUGGCCAAAAAUAUUGAUUUGGGCUUUGCCCUUUAAAUUAAUGUAAGAGCGGUAGGGAAUAAUCGAGUUAUAGUCUUAGCUUUAAGUGAACAUUGAUGAUAACAUGCAUGUGAAGGUUGUAUGUGUUCAGCGGCAAGUUGUAUGCCAAUUUGGUCUAUAUGGUUUUUUUGUUGGUAACUUAUUAAUUUUUAUGCAGGAAGGUUACAGUCAUCAAUUUGGAUCCUGCUAGUGAUAGUUUGUCGUAUCCUUUGUCAGAACCUUUUUACAAAUGCUGUGGUUUGUUGUACUAUAAUUAGUUCAAUCGGAAACUUCCUUGAUGUUAAUAUAGAUAUGAGUGUGCUGUGAAUAUUGAGGACCUCAUUAGACUAAGUGAUGUGAUGAAGGAGCAUUCACUUGGUCCCGAUGGAGGUUAGUCAUCCUAUUGUUGUUUACUCUUUCUUGCUUUAUCACGCAAUGAUAUUCCUUUGCUUUACAAAAAAUUUCAUGAAAUUAACUUCAAUCAAGUGGCUACCUGUUGAGAUUUUAUGGAUAAUGAUUUGGUAGAGUUUAUAUGCCCUCUUCUUUCUUUUUGCAGUGAUAUGUUUGUAUUCAAUGUGCUUGUACUUAUUCUACGAUUUCUAACGUAGGUGUUUUUAUGAUAAACUAGGUCUUGUGUAUUGUAUGGACUAUCUAGAGAAGAUUAUUGACUGGUUGCAGUCGAAAUUGGAACCACUUUUGAAAGGUAAGAAGAGGCCAUUUUGCUUCAUUCUAAUGCCAAUAAUGCUGUCAUGAGACUCAUAAAAAUUGUUAAAACGUUAAUGUUUUUGGUAUUUUGCAGAUCAUUAUCUUCUGUUUGAUUUUCCUGGCCAAGUUGAAUUAUAUUUUCUUCAUUCCAAUGCCAAGAAUGUUAUAUGAGACUCAUAAAGAAGUUAAAUCUCAGGGUAUUGUUACAUCUUACAUAUAUGAAGGGACUCAAAGAGUUGAGAUGAAUUCAUCUUUGUUAUUUUGAUGCCAGAAUUGUGCAAUUCUCAGUUGGUUCCUUUCACAUGCAGUUGACUGCAGUGCAUCUAGUUGAUGCGCAUCUUUGCAGUUGUUUCUAAAGCUGGUACAUUUAAGAUACCUUAAUUUGUCUUUUCAGAAAAUAGUGAAACUACCGGAGACAUUAUGUGAGUUAUAUAAUCUAGAAAAGUUAGAUAUUACUCAUUGUGAGUAUCUUGAAGAAUUACCUGAAGGGAUUGGGAAGUUAAUAAACAUGAGGCAUUUACUAAAUAAAGGUACUAAUUCUUUAAGGUACAUGCCAGUAGGGAUUGGGAGAUUAACGGGUCUUAGGACCUUGGGUGAGUUCCAUGUGAGUGGAAGAGGAGGUGUUGAUGGUAGGAAAGCAUGUAGGCUUGAAUCUCUUAAAAGCUUGGAACACCUUCAAGUAUGUGGUAUAUGUAGACUGGGUGAUGUAUCAGAUGUGGGCGAGGCUAAGCGAUUAGAACUUGACAAAAAGAAAUACCUCUCUUGUUUGAGACUUCGAUUAGAACGAAGACAAUCAACUACUUCUUGAAGCCCUGCGACCACCUCUGGAUUUAAAGGAAUUAGAGAUACAGUUCUACCGAGGCAACACUGUUUUCCCCAGCUGGAUGACGUCAUUAACCAACUUAAAGAGUUUAGAUCUCUCUUUCUGCGAAAAUUGCUAGCAGCUGCCUCCUUUGGGAAAAUUGUCAUCCCUUGAACAGCUCUUCAUAUCGUACAUGUCGAGUGUGAAAAUAGUGGGUGAUGAAUUUUUGGGGGUAGAAAGUGAUCGUCAUGACUCAUUGUCAUCUUCAUCAGUGAUUAUUGCCUUCCCCAAAUUGAAAUCACUUAGUAUUGAGGGAUUGAUGGAAUUGGAGGAGUGGGAUUAUGGGAUUACAAGAACGGGAAACACCGUCAUCAACAUCAUGCCCCGUCUUUCUUCCUUGGUAAUUGAUAGUUGCGACGAAUUAAAGGCACUGCCCGAUCACAUUCAUCAAACGACAACAUUGAAGCGAUUGUGGAUUUUGAAUUGUGGGCCUCUGGGAGAACGUUACCGCAAGGGGGAAGGAGAAGACUGGCCUAAGAUAUCUCACAUUCCCAACACAGAUAUUCGAUAAAAAGGAUUCGCGCAUUCGAGAUUUGGCGUUGACAAGUAAUUUCUUCUCUUACUCUGAUUUGCUUUGUUGUUGUUUUUAAUCUAAUUGAGAAGCAUAAAUAGCAUUUUGAAUCAAGCUGUAUAUCAGAAAUCUGUAAUACAUAUUUUCUAUUAUUCCGAUUUUCAUAUCUUAAGAAUAUACGCUUUUAAUUUGUGAUUUGGGUAACGUUACUGUAAAACAUUAUUAAUGCAAUAACCUUUCGAGGUCGCGACUAUAAAAUGGUGAGAAUGGUGAGAAUGGUGCCCCUUGAAUAAACUUGUCGUGACUGAACUUUGGUUGGCAGUUGGCCGUGAAUGGAGCCCCUUGAAAAUAUUCCCAACCCAUUGCACUGCAAUUACGAUCGUAAGUACGAUUGCACUGCAAUUUCGAAGCUUCUUCUCCUGCAUUUUUGUUAUUUGCUAUGAAGUGAUAUUCGUAAGUAUGAUUGCAUUAAGCUGCUGCUGGGAGAUAUGAGGUUUUGAUGGCUGCCCAUGCUAUUGUUAGAAGCUGCGGUUCUUUUUCAUCAGCCUGAACCUGGACCUGUCGUUUCCACUGUUUUGAAACUCUUAAGAUUAAACUUUAGUAAAGUUGUUUUAGUUAUCGAUGUAAUCAGGCUGAGGAUACUUAGCUGCCUAUUUAGGCAAAUGUCAGAAUUUAGUUUGUUCGCUGGGAACUGGUGUGGUAACAGCGUCCUGGCAAAGGAUGAUGAGAUAGUUUUUUGAUUGAGUAAAUUUUGGAAGCUUGAGUGUAUUGGGAUUUGCAAUUACAAUCAUCCUCUGCCUCAGGUGAUUUCUUCUCCUGCCCUAUCGUUGUUUGUUCUUUAAUUCAAAGUUAUAAAAUAUUUCAAUCAAAUUUUAUGCCAGGAAUAUGCAAAAGUUUCUAAUAUUUUAUUUCCAUCUGUUUGCCUUGAUAACUUUGCGGCAUAUGUGCUAGUUAAAGAACAAAUCGAAACAGAGCUCAGUUAAAAGUUUCUUCUGCCGUCAUAUUUGAAAAAUGAAACCAUUUCCAAGAAGCAAUGGGUGUUAAGGAAGCUCACAUGAGCAGAGUAGUCAGUGGAGCAGAGGAUUGCAACACCUGCAGCUUGCUGUUACAGGUUGAUGACAUGGCUUGCCAGCUGGAGCCUGGUGGUUAUAUAGUCUCUUGCACACGUGAAGAUUAACAGAGUUUGUUAUAGUAUUUCUUGUGCUUGUAAUUCGGUUUUAAUUAGUUAUAACCAGCUGAUUAGCACUUGCAAUUAGUUGAGAAUUAGUUCUAAUUACUACUGAUGUAUAUAAACAGAAGUAUGUACAGAUUCAGUCAAUUAAUGACUUGAGAUAAUAAAAACGAAGAAAGAGUUUUAGAAUUCUCUUAUUUUCCUUUAAGUUUUCUCUGUUUCCAAACAUCAUUGAAUUGUUACUUGGUAUCAGAGCCAACCAAUAAUGGCGUCUGUUAAUCUUGCUUCUUCUUCCUCAAUUCCAACUCUUAAUCAUGCUACAAAUUCAACAACUGUUUCCUUUACCUUUAACACACCAGUCAAGCUUGAUUAGUCCAAUUGUCUCAUAUGGCGAUCUCAAGUCCUAGCCUCAAUUCGUGGAAACAGGCUCGAAAAGUUUAUUGAUGAUGCAGUCACUCCACCUCCAUCUCAUAUAGCUCAGAGAGUUGAUGAUGAACUCAGAUCUGUGGAGAAUCCAGAAUUCGCAACAUGGAGAUCUCAAGAUCAGGUGCUGCUUGGAUGGCUGCUCUCUUCGAUGAGUGAAGGAAUCAUCAGUCUAGUGUUUAACCUGGAAUCAUCACUUGAAGUGUGGAAAGCUAUUAAGGUACAAUUUGGCUCGCAAUCUAAAUCCAGACUUUUACAUCUGAGAUACAUGAUGAAUUCAACAAGGAAAGAUUAUAUGAAAAUCAUAGACUAUUUUAUUAAGAUGAAAAACAUAGCUGAUAAUAUGGCAGCAGCAGGAAGUGCUUUAAGUAGUGAUGAUAUGAUUUUACAUGUAUUAUCUGGCCUAGGACCAGAUUAUAAUUCAGUAGCUACUUACAUUACUGGUCAAGUAGGAGUUGGUAAAAUGAAUGUAAAUGAAGCCUAUGCUAUGCUGUUAACUCAAGAGGCUAGGAUUGAACAACAAUCACAAAUGCUUGCUGGUGUGGAUAUGAAAAACAAUUUUGAGGCAAAUUAUGCUCAAAACAGAGGAGUAAAGAAGGGAAACAUAUCAGGUGGAAGAGGUUUUGGUGGUUAUGGCUAUAACUCUGGGUUUGGAAAAGGUGGUUAUUACAAAGGAAACUUUGGCACUGAAUCUGCUGGUGGUGGUACUGGUUUUAAUAGUCAGUUCAAAGGUUAUCAAUCUGGUAAUCAAAGAGGAGGAGGAGGAGGAAACUGGAACAAUAACACUAGAAUUAACAAUUUUAACAAUGGGAAACCACCUAUGAACUCUAAACCUCAGUGGAAUACUUCUAAACCUACCUGCCAAAUCUUCCUCAAGCCUGGACAUACUGCAAACAUUUGUUGGAAGCUGGAAGAAUUCAUUGCUUCAGGCUCUUACAGAUCACCUCCAAAUAGAGGACCAAAGGCUGCCUAUUUAGCCAACAUGGAUGCUCCAGCUGAUACAAAUUGGUAUCUUGACAGUGGUGCUACACACCACCUCACUAAUGAUAUGAGCAAUAUGAAUAUGGCUGAACCUUUUACAGGUAUUUCUAAACUUGUCAUUGGUAAUGGUGUUGGUUUAUUCAUAACACAUACAGGUUCUGCUGUUUUGAGAAUGAAAAGCUCUAUAAAUCAUGUUGAUCUUAAGCUAAACAAUAUUCUUCUUGUGCCUAAAAUAACCAAAAACCUGAUAAGUAUAUCAAAACUAACCAGAGAUAGUGAUGUUGUGGUAGAAUUUACUAAUGAUUUCUGUUUUGUUAAGGACAAGGUGAGGAAUUUGAUCAUGCUGCAGGGCAAAGCUGAAAAAGGAUUAUACAGAUUGCUAUUAGUCUCCUCAAAUAAAACCUCUCCUUAUCUGUCAAACCAAGGUCUUUUUGCUCAUGUUCAGUCAGCUGUCUCAACUCAACCUAUUUCCAAGUUUUCUGUUGUUGAUUCUAAAUGUCAGAAUAAAAUUGCUUCUCAGUUACAAACUGAAGCACAAUGUAGUCAAAACUCAGAUUGUAUGUUGAGUACUAUGGUUUUACACCAAAGAUUAGGUCAUCCCAAUGCUAGAGUGUUAAAUCAUGUUAUCAAUUCUUGUCCAUCUUUUAAAACCAUCGAUGGUAAUAAAGGUUUUGAUUCUUGUGAUGCUUGUAAGUUGGGAAAAAUGCACAAACUUCAUUUUCCAGUAACUGAAACUAAAACCAAAAAUGCACUUGAAAUCUUACAUACAGAUCUAUGGGGGCCUGCUCCUACACUUUCUAUACAAGGAUAUAAAUAUUAUAUCAACUUUGUAGAUGAUUACACAAGAUUCACCUGGAAUUUUCCUUUAAAAACCAAAGCUGAAGCAUUUCCAGUGUUCAAAGUUUUCAAAGCUCAAGUAGAGAAACAAUUAGAUAAACCUAUCAAGUGUCUUCAAUCUGAUUGGGGUGGUGAGUAUAGAUCAUUUGUUCAUUUUCUUCAAACAGAGGGGAUUCAGUUUAGACACUCCUGUCCCUAUACCCACAAUCAAAAUGGACUUGUGGAAAGAAAACAUAGACACAUCACUGAGUUGGGUUUAACCUUGCUUGCACAAGCCAAGUUACCUAUAAAAUUUUGGUGGGAUUCUUUUCAUACAGCUACCCAUAUUAUAAACAAACUUCCAACUCCUGUUCUUUCCUUGAAAACCCCUUAUGAAUAUCUAUUCCAUCAAAAACCAGACUAUCCAUUUCUCAAAACUUUUGGUUGUGCUUGUUUUCCUUUCUUAAGAGAUUACAAUCAUCACAAGUUUCACUUCCAUACUUCUAAAUGUGUCUUCUUAGGAUACAUCCCUUUACACAAAGGCUACAAGUGUCUUCAUCCAUCAGGAAGAAUUUACAUAGCUAGUCAUGUUCUUUUUUAUGAAACUUCCUUUCCAUAUUCUACUGAUUCUACCUUCUUACAGUCUAUGCCAUCUAAAUCUUCUGACUUCUUUUAUAAUUCCUUACAAGUAUAUCACAUCUCAGUUCCUAAUAGCAAUCAGAAUCCUUUAGCAGCUGCUCCUGCAGAUACAGAUUCUCAUGCCUCCAGUUCUACUCACAACAUCAUCUCCCUUCCUAUUCCUACAUCACAAGUAAAUUCCACCUCACUGAUUUCACCAAAUAAUACUAUAUCUUCACCCAUUGUCCACACAACAUCACCAGCUGCUACCAUAAACACUAUACCAAACACUACAACUUUACCUGCAAUACUACAAAAUUCACCUUCCAGAUCACUUCCCUCAGCUGCAACCAUAAACACUCAUUUUAUGAUUACCAGAGCUAAAGCUGGCAUAUUCAAACCAAAGGCCUUCUUGACAGAUCAUAACAGCCUAGAACCUUCCAAUGCUGGAGAAGCCUUAUCUGAUACUAAGUGGAAGGCAGCAAUGCAAGAUGAAUAUAAUGCUCUCAUUAGAAACAAAACCUGGAGCUUAGUACCAAUGAAUCCAGAAUACAAGUUAGUAGGCUGCAAGUGGGUCUUUAGAACUAAAUACAAUACUGAUGGUUCAGUCUCUAAGUACAAAGCUCGCUUAGUUGCAAAAGGGUUUCACCAAACUGCUAGGAUAGAUUACUCAUAAACUUUUAGUCCUGUAGUGAAAUCUUCUACUGUCAGAGUUAUUCUUAGCUUGGCAGUCAUGCAAGGCUGGAAUGUUAGACAAAUUGAUGUCAAUAACGCAUUUCUUAAUGGGAAUCUCACUGAGGAUGUAUACAUGCAACAGCCAGAGGGUUUUGUUUCAGAGGGAGGAUACAUCUGUAAACUAAACAAAGCUCUUUAUGGCUUAAAACAAGCUCCAAGAGCCUGGUAUGAUAAGCUUAAGGGAUGUCUUACAAGCUGGAAAUUCACUAAUUCUAAGGCUGAUACUUCUCUGUUUAUCAGGCAUGAUGUCAAAGGCAUAAUUCUUGUCUUAAUAUAUGUGGAUGACAUUCUGAUCACUGGACCAGAUUCAGACUUGCUGGAAUCUUUUAUUGCUAAGCUCAGCAAAGUUUUUGCAUUAAAAGACUUGGGUCUAGUAACAUAUUUCCUUGGUGUAGAAGUCAGCUAUACAGAUCAUGGAAUGCAUCUCUCUCAGACUAAGUACAUCAAGGAUAUGCUGUCCAAAGCCUCAAUGCAAGACUGCAAAGGAACUGACACUCCUUUCAGCACAGGCUACAAGUUGGAAAGGUCAGCAAAAGGCCUAUUGGGUGCUGAAUUUGAGAAUCCAACCCUCUAUAGAAGCAUUGUUGGAGGUUUGCAAUACUUAAUCUUAACCAGACCAGACAUUGCAUAUUCAGUGCAUAAGCUUAGUCAGUACCUCAGUGCUCCUACACUUCAACACUAGUUAGCUUGUAAAAAAGUGCUCAGAUACCUUCAAGCUACUGUCACAUAUGGUCUCUAUAUUCAACAGGAGGGAACUCUGGAAACUAUAGGACUAACAGGAUAUUCAGAUACUGAUUAGGCAUGUGAUAUUGAUGACAGAAAAUCCAUUGGAGCAUAUUGCAUUUUCCUUGGUAAUAAUUUGGUUUCCUAGUCUUCAAAAAAGCAAGCCGUUGUAGCAAAAUCUAGUACUGAGAGUGAAUACAGAGCCUUGUCAGCAGCCAGCUCUAAACUUUCUUGGCUAUAAUCAUUAUUCUCUGAGCUCAACAUCACAAAAUUACCAACUUCUGUUCUAUGGUGUGAUAACCAGAGUGCUGGAGAUCUAGCUAGAAAUCCAGUUUUUCAUUCAAAAUCAAAACACAUAGAGCUAGACAUUCAUUAUAUUAGAGACAAGGUUCUUAACAAUGAAUUGGAAGUGAGGUACAUUCCCACUGAAGAGCAAGUUGCAGAUGUUCUUACUAAGCCCCUGUCAUUUCCUAAGUUUAGUUAUUUUCGUUCCAAACUCAAUGUGUUCAGUAGACCCUUGAGCUUGAGAGGGGAUGUUAAGGAAGCUCACAUGAGCAGAAUAGUCAGUGGAGCAGAGGAUUGCAACACCUGCAGCUUGCUGUUACAGGUUGAUGACAUGGCUUGCCAGCUGGAGCCUGGUGGUUAUAUAGUCUCUUGCGCCCGUGAAGAUUAGCAGAGUUUGUUAUAGUAUUUCUUGUGCUUGUAAUUCAGUUUUAAUUAGUUAUAACCAGCUGAUUAGCACUUGCAAUUAGUUGAGAAUUAGUUCUAAUUACUACUGAUGUAUAUAAACAGAAGUAUGUACAGAUUCAGUCAAUUAAUGACUUGAGAUAAUAAAACGAAGAAAGAGUUUUAGAAUUCUCUUAUUUUCCUUUAAGUUUUCUCUGUUUCCAAACAUCAUUGAAUUGUUACUAUGGGCAGCAAAUUCAUAUAAAGCGUAGACAAUGGUGAUCAAAAAGGUGAUUCACAAUUUCACUUUUUUUAAUGAAAUUAAUUGUUUGGUUGGAGCUGAUAUUGUUAGAAGGCCAUUGAGCUAACCUAUGUCACUACUUGCCUAGAUUACAGGGGGUCAAAACUCAAAAGAGGCAUUGAAUUUUAAAAGGCAUCCAAUAAUUCUUGUGGCCAUAUAUCAAUUCAUGUAAGUUUGAAUGUAAUUAUUGGUGAAGGGGUUUCACUUCCCGUCUCUAAAUAAAAAUACUGAUUCUUUAAGGUACAUGCCACUAGGGAUUGCGAGAUUAACGAGUCUUUGGACAUUGGAAGAGCUUCUUGUGAGUGGAGGAGGAGGUGUUCAUGUGUAGCAAAGCAUGUGGGCAGUGGGCUUGAAUCUCUUAAAAACUUGGAACUCCUCCAAGCGUAAGUAUACGUAUACUGGGAAAUGUGUUAGAUGUGGAUGAGGCUAAGAGAUUAGAGCUUGACAAAAUGAAAUACCUCUGUCAUUGAGACUUAAAUUUGAUGGGGAAGAAGAAAAAGAAUAGGGAAGGAGAAAGAAUGAGAAUAAUCAACUUGUUCUUGAAGCCUUGCAACCACCUCUGAAUUUGAAGGAAUUAGAGAUUUGGUCAUACAGAGGCAACAUUGUUUCCCCCCGGAUGAUGCAAAAGUUGAAGGAAUUUACCAAUCUAAGGAGUUUGACACUCUUUAAAACUGCAAAAAUUGAGAGCAGUUGCCUUCUUUGGGAAAAUUGUGAUCCUUUGAAAAUCUCAGCAUAUUGUACAUGGAGAGUGUGAAAACAGUGGGUAAUGAAUUUAUGGGAAUAGAAAGUGAUCUUCAUGACUCAUCUUCAUCUUCAUCAGUUAUUAUUGCCUUCCCCAAAUUGAAAUCACUUUCAGUUGAGGGAUUGAUGGAAUUGGAGGAGUGGGAUUAUGGGAUUAAAAGAACAGGAAACACCUUCACCAACAUUAUGCCACGUCUUUCUUCCUUGGAAAUUAGUGUGGGGUUAUGGGAUCGCACAACGACGUUGAAGGUAUUGCAGAUUGUGGCAUGUGGUACUCUAAGAAGACGUUACAGACAGGGGAGAGCAGAAGACUGGCCUAAAAUGCUAAUGUGGAGUACAAUCAUAAAAUGCUAAUGUGGCCACCCUGGUUCUUAAUUAAGGUUGUGCAUAUUAUUGUAAAAGAUGAUUAAUUCAAUUUGAGUCAUUCGUUUGCUUUGAUAAUGAUAGUAAUUUUAUAUUUUGACAAUUUGCAAGGUGAGAAUGGUGCUGAUUGGUGAUACAGGAUAUGGUUCAAACACCAUUGAAUAAAGCUACGGACAUGGUGGCUCAACUUAGCUAGAUUGCUGUCAAAAUUGGUAAGUUGGCUUGUCAAUGUAUUGAUGCUUUUGUUUUCUCUCAACCCUAAUUACCUUACCUUCAUUUAGUUUGGCUUUGGAGUUGAGUAAUAACUUUCAAGGUUCUCAAACAGAGCAGGACAACCGAAAAAAAAUAGCUUAAUUUGCUGCAGAUCACGUGUUACCAAUUAUUUAAGGUAAUUCUCGUUUACUUGCUUCUACACUAUAGAGUACGUGUUCUGGCUGGUUUAUGUAAUUCAUCAAAUGUUAUUUCCUUAUUGUUCCAUUGAUAUGUUUGUUAGAAAGUGAAACCAUUUCCAGGCAGCAGUUGGCAGUGAAUUCAUGCAAAUGUUGAUGCCAUUCAUAGAUAUUGAAGACAAUGAUGAGCCAAAGGUGAUAAAUCAUUAAUGCAUAGUUACCAAAACCUCCAUCCUUCUCUCAUUGUAAUUUGAUUUGAAAUGAAUAAUUGCUAGGUAAUUGAAGCCAAUAUUGUUAGAAACGGUGUUGAGCUACCCAAGCUAAGAAGUUAGCUGCCAAAAAAUGCAGGGGAUCAAAAGAAGCAUUGCAGUGCUACAAUGAAGCUACUGGGAAAUUUAAAUCCCAUAUUAGACUUUCCUCACAUCAGAAGCUGUGGAUCUUCGGACAUCAGGUUUUUUCACAGUUCUGAAACUCUCAGGAUUAAACUCUAUUAAAGUUGUUGUAGUUGUCUACGUUCUCAGGUCAAGGAUUCUAAGCUGCCUAUUAAGGCAAAAUGUCAGAAUUCCCCUAUUAUUUUUUUUUCAUGUAAAAUUAUGUUGUUGUCUUCGCCCAUGAAUCUUAGCUAAAUUCUGAACCAAUUGUUUGCUAUUAUAAAUUUCAUUGUUAAAUAUUAAUUGUGAUGUUGGUGUUGAGUUUCUUUUAAAGUCACAGAAGCCUGACGAUUGAGUUCCGUGAUUCUGAGAAGCAGUAAUAUUUUGAACAAGUGAAGGUUCUUCGUUUUUAAUUAUGUUCUGCACCUUUACAGUAUGAGUAAAUGUCUAAGAGGCGAGAUUUUAAUUUCUGUAAAUGCUAAAUUUCGCAAAACAAUAAAAAAAUAAAUGCAUGACAGUGACUUCAAGAAAUUAGAUUAUUGAAUUUGGCCAUUUUAAAAUUGAACCAGAGCUCAGAAAUGUAGAAUAUAAAUAUUGGAGAUUUGAACUUCAAUCAUUAGAUUUGAAGCUAAAGAGGUAAGCCAUUAAUUACAUCAAAUGAUUUGGAAAAUGGAGGAAUUGUAAAAAGGAAACUUUUUCUUUGUCCGAUUCAAGAGGAACAAGAGUAGCCUAAGAUAUUAAAGACAAUGUUGAGGCAAAGGAAACAUAAAUCCCAACCAUUGCAUGUGAACAUGAUCACAAUAAAUCCCAACCAUCCAAACCAUUUUUUUGAGAAUUUUCAAUUGAAAGUGAAACCUUUUGACAUUUACCUAAUAAAGUAAGUUAAACGAGAGAAAUAAAGGGGGGAAAAAAAAGUUGACUCAAGUCAAUACAGAAUUAUUAGUUCAACCUAGAGUAACUAAAACAGAGCCACUUGAGUUUCAAAAAUAUCUGCAUUCAUCACCUUCUCCAACAGCUUAUGAGCUACACACGAAUCAUUUCCUUUUAGCAUUUUUGCAGCAGCAAUUUCUCCCCUCGUUUGUCAUCAAUUUCUCCCUUCUCUUGGGGAAAAAAGGGCAGUUGUAAAUUACAUUAUUUGUAACUUUGGCGGACUCUUUAUAUAACACAAAUUCUAUCAUUUAAAGAAAUUAUAAUGAUGCAAUCGUUUCCCCUCUCUUGGAGCAGCUGAUUAUCUUUGCUGCUGAAGAGAUGAGACAACAGGGGAAGCUGGUGAGUGUUGGAUGAGCGGAUCACAGCAUGCGCCAAAUUGCAAAUUGAGAGCGGCAUUGAUGACAAUGCUCUUGGUGCUCCUUAUCUGAAGAAGAAGGUAUAUUCCUGCUUUCCUGCUUCUUGCUUUGGUUUCAAGCAAGUCUUUCACUGUCAUAACAUUUAUUGUAAUUUCAUUUGGAGAUAUGUAAUAUCUGUUGUACAGAUAUAUUUCAUACACCAGCUGUUAAUAAUUCUGCCUGCAGAGAACUUACAAAGGAGCUGUGUGAUGUAAUAGAAGACUAUGUAGUCUGGUCAAUUUUUUCAACCUUAGAUAUUAGGAAGUUAUGUAUUUCAUUAUCAGUUAUCAUUAUGAUUUUCAUCUUCAAAAAGAUAAAUGGAUGGCUUUGAAUGGCUUGUGUUUGAGGAUUUUAGUUUGACUUAUCUUGAUUGAAGUACUUUUUGACAAUAGAAUUCCUUCAUGAUUUAAACAUUCUUUUGAAAACCAAAUAAUAAAAAAAUAAAUAAACUAACAAAUAUUAUUUUAUUAGUGCUCUUUUCAUCAAAUAUACAUAAGAGUAUUGUAAUUUAUAGCAACUAAUUUUUCAUUAAAUACACCCAUAACAAACUAUUAAAAAUAAAGUGAUAGAAAAAUGCCUAAUUUUUCAUACUUUCUAAUUUCUUUUGGCCCUAAAAUAUGGGUAUUUAUGCCAUAAUAAGCCCAUGUAGAUCUCAAUGCCGAAAGUUCGAUAAAUGGCUUUCAAGGAUUGAUAAUUAUCUAUUAACAUUCUUAAUUAUAUUCAGUUAAAAUAUUAAUAUUAAAUACAUUCUUAAUAUUAAUAUUCUUGGAUGAAUUUCUUUGUGGAUUUAAGAAUAAAAUAUUAAAUAAUUUUAUUUUUCUUUUAUUCCGUAACUUAGACCAAAAAAGGAAAUGAGUUUCCCAAGGACUUCUCAUGUUUCCCAUCCUCCAUACUGUGCAGAGGAGUUUAGCACCCAUCAACUUUUAUUUUUUAAAACUCAUAAUGGCCAAUGAAUAAAGCUGUGGUGGCUGAACUUAGGUUGAUGUCAAAGAGGUAAUUGAAUUGGCCUGUUAAGAUGGAUGCUUUUUGUUGAUCAGGCGACAGAGCAGGACUAUGAAAAAGACAAGCUUAUUACCGGUAACUCAAGUUUACUUGCUUGUUAUAUAAUAUGCUUUUUGUCACCGAAUUUCAUUUCCAGUACGUCUCCAUCGGUAUCAAGAAGAAACAGAACUCAAAGAAAUAUUUUUUCAAUCUUCAUAUUUGUCUGAAUUCGUCCUUUCAUUAAGAAUAACCAUUUUCAGGCAGCAGUUGGCACUGAAUUCACGCAAAUCUUGAUGCCAUUCGUAGUCGCAGACAUUAAAGACAAUGAUGAGCCAAUGGUGAUUAAUCAUAAAUGCAUAAUUAACAAACUUCCGUCCUUCUCUCAUUGUAAUUUGAUUUGAAAUUAAUUAUUGCUAGGUAACAUUAAUUCCAACCAUUGCAAGAUUUUUCCCUUAACAUAAUUCGGUAACAUUUAAUUGCAUGUGAAAUUGAUCAUAAUACCGUGAAGGACCUACCAAAACUUUUUUUUGAGAAAUUUCGAUUGAAAGUGAAACCUUUUGACGUUUACCUAAUAAAUUUAGUAAAUCUGGAAAAAAAAAAAAGUUGACACAAGCCAAUGCAGAAUAAUUAAUUAAAUCUGGAGUGACCACAUUUUCAAAAAUAUCUGCAUUCAUCACCUUCUCCAACAGCUAGUCAGCCACACACUGUUGGGGAAAAAUUAGGUUUUUAAAUUUUAUAAAACCUUUUGAAGAUCGCUCUCAUAUAAUAUAUAAGAAUUUGUAUUCUAGAAAUCGUACCUUGAAAAUCCGAGUUGGCUUUUUCCGCUGAAGUGAUUUAGGCUCCUAGAUCACGAUCCGCCACCACCACUCCUGUUAGAUCACAAUCCGUCACCACCACGCUUGUUAGAUCACGAACUGUCUCCAAUGAUCUUCCAAGUUAUAACUCAGGUUCGAUCUACACUUGACGUGUGGGUGCCUUUAUCACUACCAAAGCAACUAGCACGAGAAAAUUUUUCUUCAAUAGAGAGAAAAAUCUUAUUCUCCGAUUUGUAUAAAGUGGCUUCUACCUUUUCUUUAGAGAAAAAUAAGCUUUUUAUAUCACCCUUUAGUGAAAACCCUAGGCUCCAAAUAAUGCCCAAAAUAAAACUCACGUUACUUUUCAUUUAAUAGGGGACCCACCAUGUAAAAUAACAUAAGGCCCUUUACACAUAAGCUAAUUAAAUGGAGCCUCUUACUAAAUGAUAUAUUUAGGCUUUUGACCCAAAUAACUAGUUAUCUUGCUUAUUAGUCCAGUAGUGGUGCAGUCAAUUAAAUGAGCUAACCCGGGGAUCAUUUGGGAACAUACAAUAAUGGCUACAAUAAUUAGGCCUGUAAUUAAACUAGCCCAAUUAUUUAAUUUCAAAUCUACUCCACUAAAAGAUUGGAACUGACUUCCAUAAUUGCAUGCUCGAAUAAUAAUUCGUCCCAAGCCACAUUGAUUUCUUUACUGCACAAUCCUUUGUACCACAUCGUUAAUUAAAUUGAUAUCUCAACUGUCCAAUCAAUUUAAUAACAUCUUAUUCCUUGAUCCUUACUGAUUUUUUCUAAUGAUCAUUUUCAACAUACUAAAUAUGUUGACACACUCUGGCCAGAGAAUUCUAUGAUCAAGUGCCGAAAAUCUAUCAAGAGAUGUGUUGUACAAAUUCUAUAUUGUCAAUCCAUAACUCCAAUACUCAUAAUUGCUCCCACCAAGAUACCGGGUAAUCUUGACCACAAGGAUGUGUCGUGCCCAUUGGUAACUCAAAUGGAAUAACAAUUACAAUCAUGAAAUCAUAAUUAACUCAAGAUUAAGAUUACAGUAAAAUCAACGCCUAUGAGAUUUAAUAAGUCUGACAGUUAUUACAAAGUUAAUUAAAUCUCAUAUGUGAUCCUGUUCAAUGUAGUCGUACUACAUCAAUAAAUUCAUACAUGAUUAAGACAAAUCAUUCAAUGAAUUUAUUACAGUCUAUACCUAAAUAAAGUGCCCAACUUUAUUUAUCAACUGCAAACAAAAUUUAUUUAAUCAUAAGAUAACUUGUAUUUAUGUCUUCUGUGAAUCCACAUGGUGAUCACAUAAAUACAUAUAAUAUGAUUAAAUGGACUUUAAUAAAAAUAUUAAUACAAUUAAGAUAUUUGAAUAAAAUACCUCAUUAAUUUUAUUAAUCAGAAAAAAUGUUUAUUACAAUUAAAUAAACACAUAUGCUUUUAAAGAGCAUAUUUUCCCAACAAUCUCCCACUAGCUCUCAAAGCAUAUCUGGCAUAUUGCACAUGCUUUCGGGCUCUAAGUGCAGGUUAUAAAGGUUUCCCACUAAUGGCCAUUGUAAUAAGAUCUGCCAUUUAGCAUCUAAUGCCAUUUAGGGUACUGUCAUAUAACCUUUCUACACUAUUCCCUUAUAAGAUGAUACUUCAUGUCAGUAUGUUUUGUUUCUUGUGGUUCCUUAGAUUGAGCUACUGCACCACCAUUAUCACAAAAUAGUUUAAGGGGUGUAGUUACAACAGGUACCACCUCAAGAUUUUGUAGGAACUUGCGGAGCCUAUAUAGCUUCUUUUGCAGCUUCAGAUGUAGCCACAUAUUCAGCUUCAGUUGUGGAGUCUGUGAUACAAGAUUGUUUCACACUCAUCCAACUAAUAGCUCCACUUCCUAAUGUAAACACAUAGCCGGAAGUUGAUUUUCUAAAAUCCUUAUCUGACAAAAAAUCAGAAUUAGUAUAACUCACUAGAAUAAGUUCAUCACCAGAAUACACAAGCAUAUAAUUUUUAGUUCUUUUCAGAUACUUUAUAAUAUGCUUGACUGCAGUCCAGUAUUGAGGUCCAUGAUUAAAUUGAUAUCUGCUAACCAUCCCUACCGAAAAACAGAUGUCUGGCCUAGUGCAAAGCAUGGCAUACAUGAGACUUCCCACAGCUUCUGCAUAGGGAACUCAUCUCAUUCUCUCUAUCUCUUCAGAUGUUUUAGGUGAUUGAUCCUUAGAGAAUGUAAUUCCAUGUCUGAAUGGUAAUAAACCAGUCUUGGAAUUUUCCAUGCUAAAUCUAGCCAAUAUCUUAUCGAUAUAGACCGCUUGAGACAAGGCUAAAGUUUUAUUCUUCCAGUCUCGUAGUAACUUGAUACCAAGAAUAUAACUUGCCUUUCCCAGGUCUUUCAUAUCAAAUUGUUUUGCUAACCAAAUCUUUAUUGUAGUCAAUACAUAUAAUAUGAUUAAAUGGACUUUAAUAAAAAUAUUAAUGCAAUUAAGAUAUUUGAAUAAAAUACCUCAUUAAUUUUAUUAAUCAGAAAAAAUAUUUAUUACAAUUAAAUAAACACAUAUGCUUUUAAAGAGCAUAUUUUCCCAACACACACGAAUCAUUUCCUUUUAGCAUUUUGCAGCAUCAAUUUCUCUCCUGUUAAUCUGGAGGAAUCCGUCAGACUUUGGCUGGAUCGGCUCAAGUACGCAUCCUACGACAUUGAAGAUGUGUUGGAUGAGUGGAUCACAACAAGAGCCAAAUUGUAAACAAGAGGUUGAUGACAAAUAUAUCUGUUGCUUCUCAUCUGAAGAAGAAUGUAUCUUCCUGCUUCCCUGCUUUUUGCUUUGGUAUCAAAUAAGUCUUUCUCCGUCAUAACAUUUAUUGUAAUUUCAUAUGAGAUAUUACAUAAUAUAUCUGUUGUUCAAAUAUAUUUUAUAUACAAGCUGUUAAUACUUAUGCUUGCAGAAAGCUUACAAAGGAGUUGUGUGAUGUAAUAGAAGACUACAGUCUGGUCAAUUUUCAACUUUAGAUAUUCAGGUCAUCAGUUUCUCUUGAAUUCUUUCUUGAGUUUCUUUGAAUUAUUUGUGAAUAAGAUCUUAGUUGGCUGCUCCUCUUCAGGAUAAGGAAAGUGUGGCAAAACUCGUGAAGCUGAUAGAUAAAAGCAAUGGGUAUAUCUUUGCUGGCAUGGAUGCCAGCGCAGUUGAAUUCAGCAAGGUUGCCAUUCGCGAUGUUGAUUGGGAUUACUUCAGAUAUCCCUCUUUUCACCUAUUUUCAAUCUUGUGAUUCUCAUUUUCAUAAAACAUUUUGGUUAUUUAAUUAUGGCUCAUUGUAUGCAUCUGCAUCCUCUAACUUGUUCGUUUGAGAAACAAAUUUUGCUGUUAGGUAGGCUUCAAGCUUGAUUCAUGCUUUUUCCAUAAAUGUACCAAAAUCAUGGAAACAUCUUUUUCCCAGAUAUUGUAUCCACACUUUUCCCAUCUAAAAGACAAGUUUUGCUUAACAAAGAAAUCUACAGUAGCUGAAGUGCAGGAGAAGUACAUUAAGGAUGAUGACGAUGUUAACUAAAAGGGAACGCGAAGAUAUGUGGUGUGCAAAUCGUAAGCAAGCUGUGAGUUGAAUGAAUAAAGUUUGGUUUCCAGAAACGACCACGUUUUGGAGCUGUAAAACCUUCAUUAGUCACGUGCUGCUGUUCUUAACUGAAAACGAUUUAGUCGAAACGACAUGGGUGGAGCGCGUUUUACAUAUCAGUUUAAGUUAACCACAUGAGGAAGCAUGUGAUGAAGGUUAUUCUGAGUUUGUUAAAGGUUGUUAACCACGUGUCAACGAGCUGUACAAUCUAGAAAUCAAGUUGGCUGCCUAAACAGAGUAUAAAGGCUAGGUUUUGGGGAAAUUCAGGAACGAAUUUCAUGAGUCUUGCUGUGAGGGUUUUGUGAGAGAGAAAGUAUUAACUUGUUCUUUGUAAAGUCUGGUGGAAGGCUCUGUAACAAUCUCCAUUGUUGAUUCAAUAAAGCUCAUCUUGAGGCUUCUCCAAUGGAUGUAAGCUGAGCAUUCCAUGCUCAACUGAACCACGUUAAAUCUUGGUUUCUGUGGGUUUCUUGUUUCUAGUUCUUGUUCUUUUUGUUAUUGAGUGAGUUUGUCUAAUUAGAUCUUGGGGUUGUGCAACUUGCAUUGACUAGAUCACUAGCAUCCUGGGCAGUGAUCAAUUUAGCUUGGUUUAAAGGCUUGCUGUUCACUACAAUUGGUACUAGAGCUUGGUGUUCUGUGAUCAAGUCCAAGUAUGGUGUCUUCUAAGGUCGAUGUAGAAAAAUUUACAGGCAAGAAUGACUUCAAUAUGUGGAAGAUGAAAAUGGAAGCCUUGCUGAUCAUUUAGGGUUUGGGAGAUGCAAUUGAGCCUGAAAUGAAGGAAGGUAAAGGGGUUUCUUCAUCAAAGACUCCAGAGGAAGUUGUUGAAAUCCACAAAAAGGUCAGAAGUACAAUAAUCCUGAGUCUUGGUGAUUCAGUCAUUAAAGAAGUGGCCAAAGAUAAGACAGUUGCUGGAUUAUAGAGCAAACUGGAAAGUCUUUAUAUGACCAAGUCACUUGCAAACAGACUCUACAUCAAGAAAAGGAUGUUUACACUAAAAAUGGUGGAAGGAGCUUCACUGGAAGAACACAUCGAUGAGUUUAACAAGGUAUGUGAUACCCUGGAAACCAUUUAUGCUACUCUGGAUGAUGAGGGGAAGACUCUCUUGCUAAUCAAUUCAUUACCAAAAUCCUAUGAAAAUUUGGUUGAUGCCCUGAUGUAAGGAAGACAAACCCUAACACUUGAUGAAGUUAAAUCUACCCUAAAUACAAGGGAACUUCAAACUAAACAAGGGCAUUUGGAGAAUAAUAGAAGUGAAUGACUGAUAAUAAAGGUGAAAACUGACAAGAAGAAGAAGAAAGGCAAAUCCAAGAACAAAGAAAGAGACCUAAAAUGCUUUCAGUCUCACAAAGAAGGCCAUUUUAAGAGGGAUUGCCUUGAAAAGAGAUUCAAGCCCAAAGAUUCAAGAAACCAAAGUGGAGAUGCAGCUGUAGUGGAAGAGGAAGGAUAUGAGUCUGCUGGUGUAUGUGUGGCAAUAGAAAACAGCCAAAAAGGUAAAUGGGUUCUGGACUCUGGAUGCACUUUUCACAUGUGCCCUUUUAGAAAUUACUUUAAUAAAUAUCAAGAUUUUGAUGGAGGUAGAGUAAUUAUGGGAAAUAACUCUAUUUGUAAAAUCAUUGGAAUUGGGGAUGUAAGCCUUAAGCUACAUGAUGGUUCAAUAAGAGUGCUUAGGCAAGUCAGGCAUGUGCCAGACUUGAAAAGAAAUCUAAUUUCUCUUGAGGUGUUGGACCAAAUAAGGUGUAGAAUUAAGCUUGAAUCUGGAGAAUUGAGUGUUUUGAAUGGUUCAAAUCUAGUCAUGAAAGGGACGAGGAAGAAUGGAGUUUACAUCUUAGAUGGUGAGGUGAUAUCUGGAGUAGCUGAUGUAUCCAUUAAGCAUGCUAAAGAUAAAACCAGGUUAUGGCAUCCAAGGUUAGGGCACAUGAGUGAGAGAGGAUUAAAAGAGUUAGAAAAACAAAGGUUGUUUGGUUCUGACAAGAUUGGUAAUCUAGAGUUUUGUGAAGAUUGUGUUCUAGGGAAGUCUUCAAGAGGCAGCUUCAAUAGAUCUAGUCAAAAAUCAAAUGAGAGGUUGGAUUAUGCACACUCAGACUUGUGGGGGCCUGCACAGUGUGUAUCUCUGCGAGGGAAUAAGUAUUUUUUAUCUAUCAUAGAUGACUUCUCUAGGAAAGUUUGGGUGUAUGUGUUAAAGAACAAGGAUCAGACUUUUGAGAGGUUUAAAGAGUGGAAACAGAUGGUAGAAAACCAAACUGGUAAGAGAUUAAAGAAGCUGAAAACUGAUAAUGGUCUUGAAUUUUGCAACCAGCCAUUUGACAACUUUUGUGCAAAUAAAGGUAUUGGUAGACAUAAGACAGUAAGGAUGACCCCAUAACAAAAUGGGUUAGCUGAGAGGAUGAAUAGGACUCUAUUGGAGAAAGUAAGAUGUAUGCUGAUUUAGUCCAAGCUCCUAAAAACAUUGUGGGCAAAAAUCUUACUCACAGCAUGCUACCUUGUCAACCUAAGCCCUUCUAUUGGAAUUAAUUUCAAAACACCUUUUGAAUGUGGUCACGGAAACCUGCUGACUAUGGAAUCCUUAAAGCCUUUGGCUGCCCAACCUAUGUUCAUGUCAGUCAAGGUAAGCUAGCAGCUAAAGCCUUGAAAAGUGUUUUCAUAGGCUAUCCAGAAGGAGUCAAAUGGUUUAAAGUUUUGUGCACUGAGCUUAAUCCACCAAAAUGUAUAGUGAGUAGGGAUGUGGUGUUUAAUGUGGGGAGUUUGAUGAAGGUGAAUCAUGAACCUGAUCUGGAAACUGAAAAUUCAAGACUAAUAGAGAAACUAGAGUUUGAGGUGGAGCCAUCUACUUCCAGAAACACAACUGAAGCUGCAGAUUCAGGUGGUGUUCCUGAAAACACUGAUGACACACAGGCACCUCAAGAUCAAUCAAGUUCUCAGGAGCAAAUCAGAGAAUACCAGCUCACCAGAGAUAGACAAAAAAGGCAGAUCAAACCAACAAGGAGAUAUGGCUAUGCAGAUUUAAUAGGUUUUGCUCUAACAGUUGCAAAAGAUAUAGAUGGUGAGGAACCAAAGAAUUUUAAGGAAGCAACCCAGAGCCUGUUCAAAGAAGAAUGGCAAAGAGCUAUAGAUGAUGAAAUGGCCUCCCUCUAUAAAAACAACACAUGGGAGCUGGUCAAGAAGCCUAGAAAUAGAAGAGUGGUUGGCUGCAAAUGGAUUUUCAAAAUUAAGGAGGGCAUAAAUGGAUCUGAACCAAGGAGAUUCAAGGCUAGACUUGUGGCCAAGGGUUAUAAACAAAAGGAAGGGAUAGAUUUUAAAGAAGUAUUUUCUCUAGUGGUUAGACAUGCCUCAAUUAGAGUUAUGUUAGCCAUAACAGCUGUGCAAGACAUGGAGCUUGAUCAACUCAAUGUCAAGACAACAUUUCUGCAUGGAAGACUUGAGGAAGAAAUACCGAUGUCCCAACCUGAAGGGUAUGAGUUCCCAGGUAAAGAAGACCAUGUGUGUCAACUAAAGAAGUCACUCUAUGGGCUUAAACAGUCUCCCAGACAGUGGUACCUAAGAUUUGAUAAAUUCAUGCAACUGCAUGAGUUCAUCAAAUGUAGCUAUGACUGCUGUGUUUACUACAAGACAAUCAAGGAUGGUCUGUACAUAUACCUCCUUCUAUAUGUAGAUGACAUGUUGGUUGCUUGCAAAGAUAAAGAGGAAAUUGAUAAGCUCAAGGUGCUGCUGAAUUCAGAAUUUGAAAUGAAGGACCUGGGGUAUGCAAUGAAGAUUCUAGGAAUGGAGAUCAGAAGGAAUAUAAGUAAAGGGAUCAUGUUUCUGUCACAAGAAAAAUACUUGAAAAAAGUGUUAGAAACAUUUGACAUGAGUAAGUCUAAACCUGUGCAACUACCAUUAGCUUCACAUUUCAGGUUAAGCAAUUUGCAGUAUCCUUAAACAGAAGCUCAAAAGCAAGAUAUGGCAAAUGUGCCCUAUGCAAAUGCAGUAGGCAGCCUUAUGUAUGCAAUGGUAUUGACCAGGCCAGACAUAACUCAUGAUGUCAGUGUAGUUAGUAGAUAUAUGGCACAACUUGGGGAAGACCAUUAGAAGGCUAUAAAAUAGAUACUCAUGCAUCUCAAAGGCACUGUAAAUUGUGGUCUGAUGUAUGGCAAGACAAAAGCAAAUGAUGAGGUUUUGGAAGGGUAUGUUGACUCAGAUUAUGCAGGGGAUUUGGAUAAAAGAACGUCUCUUACAGGUUACAUAUUGAUGUUAAAUGGUUGUACUGUAAAUUGGAAGGCAACUCUACAAAGUGUAGUGGCUCUUUCAACAACUGAAGCAGAGUAUACAGCUGCUACAGAAGUUGUAAAGGAAACACUUUGGCUCAAGGGGUUGGUGACAGAGUUGGGAUUAAAUAAGAAGUCAGUAUCAAUCUGCUGUGAAAAUGGUGAAGAUUCAUACUGAUGAGAAUUCUGCAGAUGCUGUUACUAAGGUGAUUCCUGUGGAUAAGUUCAGAGCUUGCCUGGACCUAGCUGGCUUGUGCAGUCAGUGAUAUGCAUAAGGUUUGGAGAAGGAUUUAGAGUGAGGGUAAACUUUGAUUCAAGUUGGAGAAUUGUGAGUUGAAUGAAUCAAGUUGGUUUGCAUAAACGAUCGCGUUUUGGAGCUGUAAAACCUUCAUUAGCUCACAUGCUGCUCAGCUGGUUCUUAACUAAAAACGAUUUAGUUGAAAUGACAUUGGUGGAGUGCGUUUUACAUAUCAGUUUAAGUAACCACGUGAGGAAGCAUGUGAUGAAGGUUAUUCUGAGUUCAUUAAAGGUUGUUAACCACGUGUCAACGAGCUGAACAAUCUGGAAAUCAAGCUAGUUGCCCAAACAGAGUAUAAAGGUUGGGUUUUGGGGAAAUUCAGGAACGAAUUUCAUGAGUCUUGCUGUGAGGGUUUUGUGAGACAGAAAGUAUUAACUUGUUCUCUGUAAAGUCUGGUGUAAGGCUCUAUAACAAUCUCCAUUGUUGAUUCAAUAAAGCUCAUCUUGAGGCUUCUCCCGUGGAAUGCUCAGCUGAACCACGUUAAAUCUUGGUUUCUGUGGGUUUCUUGUUUCUAGUUCUUGUUCUUUUUGUUAUUGAGUGAGUUUGUCUAAUUAGAUUUUGCGGUUGUGCAACUUGCAUUGACUAGAUCACUAGCAUCCUGGGCAGUGAUCAGUUUAGCUUGAUUUAGAGGCUUGCUGUUCACUGCACAUGCCUUUUGCCUUUGUGGAUGUUCAAGCUUGUGAUUCAUGUUUGUUAAUCUAUUAUGCUCUCUUGCAGGAUUUAUAAAGUUUUCGAUCAAUCAAGCAUUUGACUCAAGUUCUUAGCUCUUCACUGCUUGAAUGGGUCAGAUAGGACAAGCGCCGAUGAGGUGGUUUUAAUCAGACCCCUCCUAAUUAUGAUGUAUGGUCCGAAUCUUGGACUUUUUGUACAAAUGUAGCUAUUGAGGACAAUGAUGAGACAAAGGUGAUCAUUCAUUAAUGCGUAAUUACCGAAACCUCCAUCCUUCUCUCAUUGUAAUUUGAUUUGAAAUGAAUAAUUGCUAGGUAAUUGAAGUCAAUAUUGUUAAAAACCGUGUUGAGCUACCCAAGCAAAGAAGUUAGUCGCCAAAAAAUGCAGGGGAUCAAAAGAAGCAUUUCAUUUGAAAAGGCAUGAGAUUCUGUUUAAAUUUGUGCUACUACGGUGCGGUAAUGCUGCUACUGGGAAAUUUGAAAAGGCAUCAGAAGCUGUGGAUCUUGGGACAUCAGGAUUUUUCACAGUUCUCAAACUCUCAGGAUUAAACUCUAUUAAAGUUGUAGUUAUCUUGUUGUCAGAAUUCCCAUAUUAUUAUCUUUUUCAUGUAAAAUUAUCUUGUUGUCUUCACCCAUGAAUCUAAGCUAAAAUUUGAACCAAUUGUUUGCUAUUAUAAAUUUCAUUGUUAAAUGUUAAUUGUGAUGUUGGCGUUGAGUUUCUUUUAAAGUCAUAGAAGCCUGACGAUUGAGUUCCAUGGGAUUCUGAGAAGCAGUAAUAUUUUGAACAAGUGAAGGUUCUUCGUUUUUAAUUAUGUUCUGCACUUUUACAGUAUGUGCAGAUGUCUAAGAGGCAGGAUUUUAAUUUCUGUAAUGCUAAAUUUCGCAAAACAAUAAAAAAAUAAAUGCAUGACAGUGACUUCAAGAAUUUAGAUUAUUGAAUUUGGUCAUUUUAAAAUUGUUGGAAUGUUGAACUUACGUAAUUUUGAUAAACCAGAGCUCAGAAAUGUAGAAUAUAAAUAUUGGAUAUUUGGACUUCAAUCAUUAGAUUUGAAGCUAAAGAGGUAAGCCAUUAAUUACAUCCAAGGAUUUGGAAAAUGGAGGGAUUGGAAAAAGGAAACUUUUUCAUAAACUUCAAGCAUUGGGCAUUUUCAUUUGUCCGAUUCAAGAGGAACGUCAUAGAAAGGGGUAAAGAAAAGAGUAGCCUAAGAUAUUAAAGACAAUGUUGAGCCAAAGGAAACAUAAAUCCCAACCAUUGCAUGUGAACAUGAUCACAAUAAAUCCCAACCAUCCAAACCAUUUUUUUGAGAAUUUUCAAUUGAAAGUGAAACCUUUUGACAUUUACCUAAUAAAGUAAGUUAAACGAGAGAAAUAAAGGGGAAAAGAAAAGUUGACUCAAGUCAAUACAGAAUAAUUAGUUCAAUCUGGAGUAACUAAAACAGAGCCACUAUAUUUUCAACAGCUAAUGAGCUACACACGAAUCAUUUCCUUUUAGCAUUUUUGCAGCAUCAAUUUCUCUCCUCGUUUGUCAUCCAAAAUUAUUCACCAAUACCAUGGCUGAUGCAAUCGUUUCCCUGGUCUUGGAGCAGCUGAUUAUCUUUGCUGCUGAAGAGUUGAAACAACAGGGGAAGCUGGUGAGUGUUGGAUGAGUGGAUAACAGCAUGCGUCAAAUCGCAAAUUGAUCAAUGCUCUUGGUGCUCCUUAUCUGAAGAAGAAGGUGCAAAUUGAGAGCUGAAUUGCACUGUCAUAACAUUUAUUGUAAUUUCAUUUGGAGAUAUGUAAUAUCUGUUGUCCAGAUAUAUUUCAUACACCAGCUGCUAAUAAUUCUGCUUGCAGAGAACUUGCAAAGUGAUUCUGGGAUAUGUAAUAUCUGUUGUAAUAUCUGGAGAUAUGUAAUAUCUGUUGUCCUAGAAAUAUAGAUGUGUGGUUCGCAAAAUUUUCUUGAUCUUAAGAAAGAGUUAUCUUGAAUAGAAGAUAACAUGGAGAAUUCAGCAACUAUACAGUCAUAUUGAUGUCUGUCAACUUGGGUCAGAUGGUGUCGUUUGGAUGGAGAUGUUAGGUCCCAGAUGGUAUGCUUGUUAUCAAUUCCAGUCUAAUUCAUUCAUGCUUUGAUGACAUAUGCGGUGCAGCUUCUUAUCUAAGACCUGUAUAUGUUCAGUCAUCAUUCAGUUCUGUAUUUGGCUGCCAUUCUUUCAAUGAAUUCAAACCACUUUCUGAAUACUUGCAAAUUCAUCCAGUGUUGUCAUUGAGAUGCCAAUAUGUAAAGGAGCAAUAGUUGCCCUUGAUAGUAUGCUUAUUGAUUGCCUCUUGCCUCACUCAGCCUAAGGAAUCUGGUUGUAUGGUGUUCUUGUAAUUUCAUUUGGAGAUAAGUAAUAUCUGUUGUUCAAAUGUAUUUUAUAUACAAGCAGUUAAUAAUUCUGCUUGCAGAAAGCUUACAAAGGAGCUGUGUGAUGUAAUAGAAGACUACAGUCUGGUCAAUUUUUCAACCUUAGAUAUUCAGGUCAUCGGUUUCUCUUGAAUUCUUUCUUGAGUUUCUUUGAAUUAUUUGUGAAUAAGAUCUUAGUUGGCUGCUCCUCUUCAGGAUAAGGAAAGUGUGGCAAAACUCGUGAAGCUGAUAGAUAAAAGCAAUGGGUACAUCUUUGCUGGCAUGGAUGCCAGUGCAGUUGAAUUCAGCAAGAUUGCCGUUCGCGAUGUGGAUUGGGAUUAUUACAGAUAUCCUUCUUUUCACCUACUUUCAAUCUUGUGAUUCUCAUAUUCAUAAAACUUUUAUGGUUCAUUGUAUGCAUCUGCAUCUUCUAAUUUGUACGUUUGAGAAACUAAUUUUGCUGUUAGGUAGGUGUCAAAUUUGAUUCAUGCGUUUUUUAUAAAUUUACCAAAAUCAUGGAAACUUCUUCUUCCCAGAUAUUGUAUCCACACUUUUCCCAUGUAAUUCAGUCAGACAAGUUUUGCUUAACAAAGAUAUCUACAGUAGCUGAAGUGCAGGAAAAGUACAUUGAGGAUGAUGACGAUGUUAACUAAAAUGGGACACGAAGAUAUAUGGUGCGCAAACCGUAAGCAUGCCUCUUACUUUUGUGCAUGUUUACUUGCUUGUGAUUCAUGUUUGUUAAUCUAUUAUGCUCUUUUGUUGGAUUUAUAAAGUUUUCAAUCAAUCAAACAUUUGACUGGUUCAGACAGGACAAGCGCGGAAGAGGUGGUUUUAAUCAAACCACUACUAAUUAUGAUGUAUCUCGGACCUUUGUACAAUAUCAAGCGAUUUUUUUAGUUGAAUCAGCUAGUGUACACAAAUGUCGUUUAUUGAUUUUUCUCUAGUAUAGUUCGUAAUUUUGGUAACACAUCUACUCUAGUAUCGAUUGUAAUUACAAGAAACAAAGUAAUGAAAUUUAUCACUGCAUUCAUAGUUAUGCUUAAGCUCAAAGACCACUGUCAAGAUCAUUUUGGGGCCUCUAUUUGUUCUAUAACAUGAUGUUGACACAUGUCAAAUUAUGAAGCUUGUGAUUAAAAUACUUUUCACAUAUAUAUUUUAAGUACCACUAAUAAUUAAAUAUAUGAAUAAAUAUGGUCAAUGAGGAGGGGAUAAAAUAAAAUGGUUUUAUUUUUUGAAUUACUCAACUGCUUCAAACUUCUAAGAAGUAGAUUUACGAUGAGCGGAAUCUUAAAUUGAGUACGAGCUAGGGAUAACUUAUAAAAUUGGGAUACAAGCUUCAAAGAAAGUGUAUUACUAUUCAUAUGUAGAUUUCGAAUUAAGAAGAUAUGCCAACUAAUUGUAUAAAAAUGUAAAAAUUGAUCACUGACAUAAUCCCAAAUGAUAAAAUGAGCUACCUCGAUCAAAAGGUCAAGAACCUACCUUCUCUUAGGGAUAAGUGAAAGCUUCCCAAUUGAAGGAAAGUGAAGAGAAGAUUCUAUGCUCUCAUUAUUAUUAUUAUUUGUUAGAAUGAAGUGCGAAGUGAGCACAUCAUGCAAGCUCAGCAGAAGUGAUAAGGUGACUUGUAACUCAGCUGGCACUCAAGAGACAAAGUGUAGUGGAGAAAAGUUUCCCAAUUGAAGGAAAGUGAAGGGAAGAUUCUAUGCUCUAAUAAUUAUUAGUUGACAAUGAAUUGGCAAAUAAAAACAAAAUAGCAAGCCUGUAAAGUAAUGAAGUGGAGACAAUGACCAUGUGAUUGAUUGGUAAAUAAAAACAAAAGAGCAAGCCUGUAAAGUAAUGUAAACUAUAGUGUAUAUUCAAGUUAAAGUAAUGGAAACAGUGUAUAUUCACAAAAAAUUCUUUUAUCUCUCAUUGUCUUGUUCUUUUCUUUAUUUACGUUGUCCAGAAGUAAAGCCAUACAUGUGAUGAAGCAUAAAUAAGAAAGCUAUCGCCCGAAAUUCAUUUUCACAAACACUUCAAUAUCCUUUUGAUCACUUUUGCAAACAUCAAUUUGUCUCCUCUUGUAUUCACCAUGGUUGAUGCCAUCGUUUCCCCUCUCGUGGAGCAGCUGAUUUCCUUCGCUGCUGAAGAGAUAAAACAACAGGUGAUCGAAGUUACACCCCUCAUAUUACAAAUACUUACAAUGAUUUUAUUUGGUUUUGCUUUUAUCAAAAACAUUAUAAUUAUAAUUUUUGAAAUUUGAAUUGAAUUUAAUUAAAAGGUGAUAUAGUAACCACUCAUUUUUAUUUUAUUUCAUUUAUAUUCUCGAUAACUACCCAUAUUGUGGUAACUUGCUAUAACUCUCGUAUAUAAGAAAUGAUCAAAACCCAUAAUUUUAACUCUGUAUAAAUAUUCAAUGUUGAGCUAAGGUUUUGUAGAACAUUCAAGUUUAUCAAACAGUCAUUAAUUUAAUGCUUAGUAAAAUCUCAACUCUGCACUGAAUCCCAUAACUAUUACUUAGACUCUAUGAAAAAUUUCAUAGUUUUCUUACAUUCUUUGAGUUUGGUAAGUGAUUUCAUAUAAUUUAUUUUCAAGUUAAAUUUUAAUUUGGUUUCUGAUAUAGUCUCUUUGCCGAAUUGUCUCUUUUAUGAUUCUUGGAUUUUGGGCUUCAACUUUUUAGGAUUUGAUAGUCACAUUUUAUGCCGUGCUCAGAUUGAUUUUCAUGAUUAUUAGUAGCCGUUAAGUGACUUACAAUUUGACGAAAGUUUGAAAGGAAAAAUGUUUCAGGAUUAUGUUUUAAUUGACCUUUUAGUGGAAAUAGGAUGCUUAUAACUUAAUGUGGAUGGUUCGUAAAAUCAUGAAAUUUGGAUAGGAUUCACUAGAAAUAUGUUCAAGACUCUCCAUAAAGUUUCAUAAUUUUUCAUUGGGUCUGGGCUGUUACAGGUGAUGCUUGUGACUGGUGUCGAGAAGGAAGUGAAAAGCCUUACGAACCACCUUCAUGCCAUUCAAGCUGUGCUCGAUGAUGCAGAGGAAAAGAAAGUGAAGAACAAAGCUGUUAGUCUUUGGCUGGGUAGGCUCAAGUAUGCAUCCUACGACAUUGAAGAUGUGUUGGAUGCGUGGAUCACAACAAGACGUAAAUUGCAAAUUGAGGGUGGCGUUGAUGACAAUGCUCUUGCUGCUCCUCAAAAGAAAAAGAAGGUGUGUUUCUGCUUUCCUGCCUCUUGUUUUGGAUUCAAACAAGAAGAAUUUGGUUUCAAACAAGUCUUUCUACGUUAUGACAUUGCCAACAAGAUCAAAGAAAUGAAUGAAGAGCUACAUGAUAUUGCCACUCAAAAAGACAUGUUUAAUCUUAAAAGUGGUGAAAGACCAAGGCGUGUACAGAGUACCUCCUUGAUUGAUGAGGAAGAGAUUUGUGGUAGAGUUGGUGAGAAGAAUGAACUCAUAAGCAAGCUGUUGCGUGAGAGUAGCGAGCAACAAAAAGGCCUCCAUAUCAUCUCAAUUGUUGGUAUGGGAGGCAUAGGGAAAACUACUCUUGCACAACUAGCUUGUAAUCAUGACGAGGUGAAGAGAAAGUUUGACAAAAUUCUGUGGGUGUGUGUAUCAGAAACUUUUGAGGAGUUUAGGGUAGCCAAAGCGAUCGUUGAAGCUUUGGAUAGUCGUGAAUCUCAUUUAGGUGAAUUUCAAUCUCUUCUUAAAUAUAUUUAUGAAUCAAUUGCAGGGAAGAGCUUUCUUCUUGUCUUAGAUGACGUGUGGGAUGGAAAUUACUUGAAAUGGGAACCAUUCUACCGUUGUCUAAAGAAUGGUCUCCAUGGAAGUAAAAUUUUAGUUACCACACGUAAAGGGUCAGUCGCAUCCAUGAUGGGAUCCAUAACUAUUAUCUCCGUUAAGGAGUUAGCUGAAGAGGAAUGUUGGUUGUUGUUUAAAAAGAUAGCAUUUUUUGAUCGGUCCAUCGAGGAACGUGAAAAAUUAGAACAAAUUGGGCAAAGAAUUGCAGGCAAGUGCAAAGGUUUACCUCUUGCAGCAAAGACAAUAGGGCAUCUCAUGCGUUCUAAACAAACUGAAGAAGAGUGGAAAAGAAUUUUAAAUAGUGAUUUAUGGAAAGUAGAAAAGAUUGAGAAAGAUGUUUUGUCCUCUUUAUUGUUGAGUUAUAAUGAUUUGCCAUCUAGAGUAAAAAGAUGUUUUUCAUAUUGUGCUGUCUUUCCAAAAGAUUAUAAUAUAAGAAAAGACAAACUAAUCUCAGUAUGGGUGGCUCAAGGUUAUCUUAGUGCAGAAGCAGCAGAACAAAAUGAGGAGUUGGAGACUAUAGGUGAAGAGUAUUUUAGCAUCUUAGCUUCUCGCUCUUUCUUUCAAGAGUUUAAGAAAAGUUAUGAUAAUUGGAUUAUAGAGUGUAAGAUGCAUGAUAUGGUACAUGAUUUUGCCCGAUUUGUAAGUCAAAAUGAAUGUUUUUCCAUGGCAAUUAAUGGUAGUGAAGAAUCAAACGCCACAAACUCUCUUGAUGAGAAGGUCCGUCAUUUAAUGUUAAUCUUUAGUAAAGGGGCUUCAUUACCUGUUUCCACUCUUAGAGUUAAAAGAAUGCGUAGCCUCUUUAUUAACGAUAGUGAAUCUGAUCAUUCAUCAUUAAAUGGUGAGAUCCUAGAAGAAUUAUUUAGGGAAUUGACAAGUUUAAGGGCAUUAGAUUUUGGCAAAUCGUGUAACUCAAGUUGGUCUUCGACUCUGGAGUAGGGAUGGCAAAAAUCCCCACGGGGACGGGUACCCUCGGGGAUUUUCCCCAUUCGGGGAGGGUAUGGGGAUAAUUUCAUACCCAAUUUCUUAUUCGGGGAGGGGACGGGGAAAUUUUUUUACCCAAUUUCUUAUUCGGGGAGGGGACGGGGAUGAGGUGGAAUCCCCAUCCCCUACCCAUUUCCCCAUUUUAAUUUUUAAUUUAAUUUUAAUUUUUUAAAAUUACUAGUAAAUAAAUUAUAAAAUUUAAAUUAUAAAAUUAUAAAUAUUGGUAAAAAUAAAAAAUAUCAAAAUAUUUAUAUUAUUAAACUUUUAGGCCUAAUUAGCUAAUUAAAGUUCUAAAUUUUUAUUUAGGACAUUAAAAAGACUGAGUAGAUUCUAUUAGCCAAAUUUUUUUUUAAUUUUGAUAUUCUUUAAAUAUUUUAAACUUAAAUCUAUUUUUUAUUUAAUUUUAGAUGUUAUAAUUGCCCACAGCGAAUCACAAUUUUAAUAUCUAAUCUAAUCUAAUCUAAUAUUUACUUUUGAUUUGCUCCGAUUUAACUAUUGUGUUGUAAAGGGAAUAGUCCACAUUUAUAAAGUGCCCACGCCACCAUUGAAAAAGUUAAUUUUGAAUCUAAAUUUGAUUUUAUUUGUAACAAUUUUGUAUUAGACUAUUAAUUUGUUCAUGAUAGUUUGUAAAAUAAGUUUGUAUCUCUUGUAUGUUGCGUUACUUACUAAUUUAAUGUAUGUGACUUUUGUAAUAGAUAUUAAUGUAAGAUAUAUUUCGAACUUUACUUUUAUUUGAAUUUUUUAUUUUAAUAUGAUUAACUCAAAAUCGAAAAAAAAAUGUAUUAGUUAAUCGGGGAUCGGGGACCCUCGGGGAUCCCCUGUUAUUAUCUUCNNNNNNNNNNNNNNNNNNNNNNNNNNNNNNNNNNNNNNNNNNNNNNNNNNNNNNNNNNNNNNNNNNNNNNNNNNNNNNNNNNNNNNNNNNNNNNNNNNNNACCUUAUUUGUGUUUUCAGAAAAUAGUGAAACUACCGGAGACAUUAUGCGAGUUGUAUAAUCUAGGAAAGUUAGAUAUUAGUUGUUGUUAUAGUCUUAAAGAAUUACCUGAAGGGAUUGGGAAGUUAAUAAACAUGAAGCAUUUACUAAAUAGAGAUACUCAUUCUUUAAGGUACAUGCCAGUAGGGAUUGGGAGAUUAACGGGUCUUAGGACCUUGGAUGAGUUCCACGUGAGUGCAGGAGGAGGUGUUGAUGAUAGGAAAGCAUGUAGGCUUGAAUCUCUAAAAAAAUUGGAACACCUUCAAGUAUGUGGUAUACGUAGACUGGGUGAUGUAUCAGAUGUGGGCGAGGCUAAGCGAUUAGAACUUGACAAAAAGAAAUACCUCUUCAGUUUGACCCUUGAGUUUGAUAAGAAGGAAAGAGGAAGAGAAAGGAGGAAGAACGAGGACGAUCAACUUCUUCUUGAAGCCCUGCGACCACCCCUGGAUUUUAAGGAAUUAGAGAUACGGUUCUACCGAGGCAACACUGUUUUCCCCAGCUGGAUGACGUCAUUAACCAACUUAAAGAGUUUAGAUCUCUGUAACUGCGAAAAUUGCGAGCAGCUGCCUCCUUUGGGAAAAUUGCCGUCCCUUGAAAAACUCAGCAUAAUGUUUAUGCCUGUGAAAAGAGUGGGUGAUGAAUUUUUGGGGAUAGAAAGUGGUCAUCGUGACUCAUCUUCAUCUUCAUCGGUUAUUAUUGCCUUCCCCAAAUUGAAAUCACUUUCAAUUGAGUCUCUGGACGAAUUGGAGGAGUGGGAUUAUGGGAUUACAGGAACGGGAAACACCUUCAUCAACAUCAUGCCACGUCUUUCUUCUUUGGAAAUUAAUUACUGCCCCAAAUUAAAGGCACUGCCCGACCACAUUCAUCAAACGACAACAUUGAAGGAAUUGCGCAUUUGGGGGUGUGACCUUCUGGAAGAACGUUACCGCAAGGGAGAAGGAGAAGACUGGCCUAAGAUAUCACACAUUCCCAACCUCCAUAUUGGGCUUUGACAAGUAAUUUCUUCUCUUACUCUGAUUUGCUUUGUUGUUGUUUUUAAUCUAAUUAAGAAGCGUAAAUAGCAUUUUGAAUCAAACUCUAUAUCAGAAAUCUGCAAUACUUACUUUCUAAUAUUCUGAUUUUCAUAUCCUAUGAAUAUACGAUUUUUAAUUUGUGAGAUGGGUAACGUUACUGUAAAAGAUUAUUAAUGCAAUAUGAGUAAUUCUUUUGCAGGACAAGUGACCUACAUUUAGUUUGGCUUUGGAGUUGAAUAAUAACCUUUCGGGAACUGGUGUGGACUGGCAAAGGAUGAUGAGAUAGUUUUUUGAGUGAGUAAAUUUUGGGAGCUUGAGUGUAUUGGGAUUUGCAAUUACAAUCAUCCUCUGCUUCAGGUGAUUUCUUCUCUUGCUCUGUCAUUGUUUGUUCUCUAAUUCAAAAGCAUGAAAUAUUUCAAUCAAUUUUUAUACCAGGAAUAUGCAAAAGUUUCUAAUAUUUUAUUUCCAUCUGUUACAAGAUCAAACUGAAGCAGAACUCAAACAAAAGUAUGCUACUUCUUGCGGAAAUCUUGCCUUUGUUCAGAUUAUGAAACCAUUUCCAUGCAGCAAAUUCAUCCAAAAGUUUGAAUAAGUUUCAUGGUCGGACACUGUUGGCUUCUUUUUCUUCUGGGGUGCAUUUAGGUGCUAUCAAGUGACAGCUGUAAGUAUGAUUGCACUAAGCUGCUGCUGGGAAAUUUGAGGUUUUGAUGGCUGCCCAUGUUAUUUUCAAGAAACUAUUGAUGUAAGAAGCCGUGGUUCUUUUCAUCAGCUUGAACCUGAAACUGUCGCUAUGGAUAACUCAGGUUUUUGUUAUCAACUAUAUCAUCUUUUUCACUAUUUUGAAACUCUUAAGAUUAAACGUUAGUAAAGUUGUUUCAGCUAUUCAAAUGAAAAACUCAUUGAUUUGAGACUUCCUUCAUUAUUGUUUCUAAUUACAAUGCUAACGAUCCAGAUAAAAUAAUAUUUAAUCGGCGAAGGUGUCCCUUGGAAGUACAUCCUUCUUUUUCUUUUAUUAUAUAAAUUCUUGCAAUGAGCUUAGUGAAGCUGUUGUGCUAUCAUGCCACUGCAUAAUUUGGCCCCUAAUGUGGGUACUCUGUUUCAUUGUUCUGCAAAUUCUCCAGCAGUUAAAAUCAAUAAAUUUUCUAUUAGCUCUAGUGCUUUGACCUAAAUGCUAUUCUAUAUUCUGAUUACAAUGUUUUAACCUUUAAAUUAACUACUCCUAGAUGUUGGAUUUUCUAGAACUUCAAAAUGAUUAAUGGAGAAAGAUCCCAUUAUCGUUAUUGCUAUAAGAAAUUGAUUUAUGCAUCCAAAGAUACAUUAUAUAUUUCUGUGUCUCUAUUUAUAGAUGACAUUUAAGCAUCCAUAAACCGUCAGACAGAGGAAGGGGGUUCAGUGCAAAGAUUCUGUUGACCUAGGGUUGACUGCAUAAUGUCACUUGUUCGCAAUCUAUUAUUUAUUUUAUAUUUUGAAGAAUUUAAUGGGUAAUCCUAAUUGUUUGUUUUGGCAGGUAUGUGUUGUUAUCUCCUUCUAUCUUACAGUCAUACCUAAAUAGCAUAGUUUCAUCUGUGUUACCAUGUGAUGUACAUAAUUUCACAUUUGCCUCAGAUUAAGCUUAAUUUCCCACAAAAUAGAGCUGUCGCGACUGGACUUAGGUUGAUGUCCAAAGAGGUAAAUUAUUGGCAUGCCUAGAUAAUUUGGCCAUUUCCUAAUUCAUAAGUCUACGUUAAUUUUGAUUUUGAGUUGACUGAUUUCUUUUCAAGGUCUGCUUCCUUAACGGAGUGACCAAUGUUUUUCAACUAAAUUUAUCAUAUGAUGCAGGAAGCAGGGCAGGAUAUGAAAUGAGAAGCUCAUUGGUGGAAGUAUUGCCAGUAGCAGAACCCAAUGAAAAUGAAACUAUUUCAAGGCAGCAGUUGGCAGUUGCAAGUGAAUGGAGGCCCUUGACAAAAUUCUCAAGCGGUUGCAAUGCAAUUACGAUCAUCCUCAGCCUCAGGUAAUUUCUUCUCCUGCUUUGUAUUUAUUUGUUAUCUAAUUAGGAAGCGUAAAGUAUCUUGAAUCAUUUUCUGUAUCUGGAAUAUAUGCAAGAGUUUCUAAAAUUUUGAUAUGAGUGUAAUGAUGGUAAUUUCUGUUUUCUGUCUGUCAUCAAAUGUUAGAAAACUUUCAUUGAGACCCUUGAACCGAGUCAUUUUUGACAAGUGAAGGACAAUUGCUGAAGAGUGGGAAUGGUGCUAGAUUGGGGAAUAAAGACAAAGGAGGUAAAUUAUUUGCAGUUUAUUCAGCAUUAUUUGCUUUGGACCAGCGCCUGAUUCACAAGUCUCCAUAAUUUGGCUUUUGACCAGUUAAUAAAUUUUUAAUUCCAUUGGUGCUAAAUGUACACGUGAAGCAGGCAGAGCAGGACUGUGGAAAUGAGAAGGUUUUUAGUGAAAGCUUAAACUCAGGUAAUUCUAAAAAGUACAUGUUUUUGCUGAUUUAUCUAAAUCAGGAAAUUUUAUUUCCAUCUGUUACAAGAUAAAACAGAAACAGUCAAACAGAACACACAGAAAAAUAUUCUACUUCUUGUGGCAAUCUUGCCUUCAUUCAGACAAUGAAACCAUUUCCUUUCACCAAUUUCUUCCAAAAGUUUGAAUAAGUUUCAUGGUUGGACAUAGUUAGCUUCUUUUUCUUUUGGUGCAUUUAGGUCCUAUCAAGUGACAGCCAUAAGUAUGAUUGCAUUAUUGGAAAAUUUUAGGUUUGGAUGGUUCCCCAUGUUAUUGCCAAGAAAGUCCUCAUGUCAGAAGCUGCGGUUCUUUUCAUCAGCCUGAACCCGAACCUGUCGUUAUGGAUAACUCAGGUUUUUGUCGUCAACUAUAUCAUCUUUUUUACUGUUUUGAAACUCUUAAGAUUAAACUUCAGUAAAGUUGUUUCAGUUAUCCAUGUAAUCCGGCUAAGGAUAUUUAGCAGCUUAUUUAGGCAACUGCCAGAAUUCAGUUUGUUUGCUCGAAACUUGUAUGGUGACAAGGAUACUGGCAAGGAUAGUGAGAUAGUUUUUUGUGUGAGUGAAAUUUGAAAGCUUGGGUGUUCUGGGAUUUGCAAUUGCAAUCAUCCUCUGAGUCAGGUGAUUUCUUCUCCUGCUCUGUCUUGAUUUUCUCUCUAAUUGAAAGCAUAAAGUAUUUCAAUCAAAUUCUGUACCAGGAAUACGUAAAAGUUACUAAUAUUUUAUUUCCAUCUGUUUGCAUUGAUAACUCGGCCGCAUAUGUUCUAGUUAAAGAACAAACAGAAACAGAGUUCAGGAAAAAGUUUCUUCGGCCACCAUAUUUGAAAAUGAAACCAUUUCCAGGAAGCAGUUGGCAGCAAAUUCAUAUGGAGUGUAGACAAUGAUGAGCGAAAAGGUGAUUCGCAAUUUCUUUUUUUUUUUUAAGUGAAAUUAUUUGUUAGAUUGAAGCUGAUAUUGUAAGAAGGCCAUUGAGCUAACCUAUGUCGCCACUUGCCUAGAUUGCAGGGGGUCAAGACUCAAAAGAAGCACUGAAAUUUAAAAAGCAUGCAAUAGUUCUUUUGCCAUGUGUCAAUUAAUGCAAGUUUGAAUAAGUUUAUUGGCUGAACGAUGUUAGCUUCUUUUCCUUUCGUGCACUUUGGUAUGCUAUCAAGUGACAGCCGUAUGUAUGGCUUGCAUAUAGCUGCUGCUGGGAAAAUUGACGAUUUCAUGGCUGGCCGUGUUAUUGUCUUAAAUUAGUUGUGAUAAGCUGUUGCUUGGAGAUUCUGUUGCCAAGACUUUGCUCACAUCAGAAGCUGUGGAAUCUGAACCCUUCGUUAUGUAUCAUCUUUUUCAUUGUUUUAAAACUCUCAGGAUUAAACUUGAGCGAAUUUGUUCGGUUGUCUAUAUAAUCAUGUAUUGAGUAAACUCUCAGGAAACUGAACAUGCAAAUGUUAUAACUCGGGUUGUUAGCCAAAAACUUGUUGAAUAGGGAUUUGGAUUUGUUAGGAAGUUAUCAUUUUUUAUUUUUUAUUUUGUUUUAUUUUUUUAUUUUUUUAUUUUUAUCUUCUGGUGGUGCUAUAUUUUCAAACGACAGUCCGAUUCAAAACUUGAUAUUCCAAUUAUAUUCAUAAGCUUCUAUAGUUAUCUUCAAAAAGACAAAUGGAAGGCUUUGAACGGCUUGGGUCUGAGUAUUGUAGUUUGAUUUAUUUUGAUGAAAGAACCUUUUGACAUUAAGAUUCUUUCAUGAGUUAAACAUUCUUUUUAAAACCAACUUAUUAAAAAAAAGUAACGAACAUAUAUUAUUUUGUUAGUGCUUUUUAAAUCAAAUAUAAAAAAGAGAACUGUAAUUCUUAGCAACCAAUUUUUCACUGAGUACAGCUACAACAAACUAUUAAAAAAUAAAGUGAUAGAAAAUGCCUGAUUUUUCGUACUUUCUAAUUACUUUUGGUCCUAAAAUAUGGCGAUUUGUGUAAUAAUAAGUCCAUGUAUAUCUUUAUGCCAUUAGUUUGAUAAAUAGCUAUCAAGGAUAACUUAUUAAGCUAAAAAUAUUUGAAGGAUAAAAUGAUAAAACUAAAAGGGUGGAGUAAUAUAGUUAUUUAGGAUUACAUAGUAAGUCAACUAUAUUCAAGGGAUAAAAUAUUAAAACUUGAAUAGUGAUAUUAAAAAUAUCUCGGUUAUUAUACUAUUAAAUCAUAUGCCGUAAUAGUAUUUUUUUUCAAACUUUAAAAAAUUCAGGAUUUUAAAUUAAAACAUGGAUUUCUUUAAGAUGCUAUAUAUGUUUUUUAUAGUAUUGAUAUUGGGAUUAGUGUGGACCCUUAGAUGAAAGAGUUUUAAUCUGAAUCAUUCAUUUAAUAUAAUAGAUAAUUAAAUAAUUAAUUAAAAUAUAGCAGGUAACUUAUAGGUUGUAGGUAAAAAAUUAAUUUUUUAAUUUUAAAUUAAAAUUAAUUUGGAAAAAUACCAUCCACACCCCUAAAGUUUACUUAAAUGAUCAUAUAAAUCCCUUUAGUUUCUACAUAGUUAUACAGAGCCUCUUAAUUUCAUAAAUUAUUAUUAUACUUUUAAUUAAAACAACCUAAAUGAAUAUAAAUAUAGUAAUAGGAUAGAAAUAAUAAAUAAAUAUCAGAUGAAACAAAUAAAAUAUUACAAUAAAUACAAUUAAUUAAAUAAUAUGUAUGAUGAAAAUUUUAUUCAUAUUAAGUUAUUAUUAGUCUAUCCCGAUGGAUUUACUCAAAUCAAUUAAUCCAAAAUUUAAUUUUAAGAUUGAUAUUAAUAUGGACAUAAUUAAAUAAGAUGUUGUAAUAUAUACUACUUUGAAUGUUAAGUAUAAUUAUCUAAUAUUAUUAGUAUGUGAAAUAGAUUUUAAUAUUAUUAAAAGAAUAUGACAAUAUAUAAUUUUGAAAUAAAUUUUUUAGUAUUCAUAAUAUUUUAUAAAUUUUAUCUUAUUUUAUAUAUUAUAUUUUUUUAUUUUAAUGUAUUAUAUAUGAUCAUUUAAGCAAAUUUUGGAGGUGCGGUGGUCUUUUCCCUAUUAAUUUUAUAGCAUAUUUAAAGUGUUAUAUCAUACAUCAUACAUCGCACUUUUGUUAAAGUGUUAUGUUAUUAAAAAUUAAACUUUGCAUUUAUAAUAUACUACCAUUUUAAUGUAAAGGUAAUAGAAAAUAUGAAGAUAUUUUUAAGUAGUCAAUUGUAGUUUUCUUUUACAAAAUAGCAGUAUAGAAAUACACACACACACACACACACAUAUCAAGUACUUGUAUGUUCCCCUAACUUUUAUUAAUAGGAAGGAAAUUAAAUUCAUAAUUUUCCCGGUGAAUUAUGAAUUGAUAAAUGAAAUAUAAAUAUUAGAAAAAAUUAAUUUGUCGACUAAAGAAGUAAACCAUAUUUUAUGGGCAUUUAAUACAUUAAUUUAAGGUCAAAUGAGAUAUAUCACAUGAUAUUUGAUAUAGUAGUCCAAUUUUCAACAUUUGCAUAUAGUUUCUAAGCUAGUAAUCUAAUAAAAUAUACCAAAUGAGAAAUUGAAGGCUAUUAUUUAUAUUUCACCAUUGGACAAACACCAUACAUUAGAAUAAAAAAAUCUCACAGUAGAGACGGCAUCUGUUUGCAUGUUUUGAAAAUAGAUUUUGAAAUUAGUUUAAUUACAUGAUAAUUAAAUUAUAUUAUAAAAUUAAGAAUAUGAUUUAAGUACUAUUUUAGCAAUUUUGAGUCUCACAUUGAGUAUUGAAGUUAAUUAAAUGUUGAAACUCUUUUCUAUUUGGCUUGAAAUCACUACUUAAUAAAAUUACAAAAAGUCAAUAAUGAAUGAUGUAGGACACAUAUGUAAAAUAAAUUUUAAAGUGUAAUUAAACAUUCCUAUCAAUAUUAGUUUUGUAUACAUAUUCAUAUAUUUUACUGAAACCAUAUAUAAUUAAAUUUUGUGUAAUUAAGUAAAAUAUAUUAUUCAAGUGAAUUUAUGAGAAUAUGUAAAAUUGUAGGGGUGGUCACUGAAAUUUGCCAAACUUGAGCCAACCGUGCAUGAUCCAAACAGUUUAUUUUAAUAAUUCUCAAUAUGUUAGUCUGUUUGACUGUUGGCAAAAUGAAUUCCUAUCAGCAAUGCAACACAAUUCAAAAUCAUAUCUGCAUACAACGAACAAUAUCUCAUCAAAGAUCAAAUUAUACAUUUUUUACACCAAAGCAUAAAUAUCUAAAUUGUCCCUCUUCAACUCACCAAGCUCAUACCUAACAACAGCAAGAUUAAAUGUCAUUUGAUCCAUCUUUUUUAUUAAGCUUUAUCAAUUCUUCUCAUGGUUGCAAUUUUGAAAGCUCGCUUCGCUAUUUCCAUUUGCUUUUAUGCUUUGUUUGAGCUCCAUCUACAUUUUACACUGUAAAAAAAAUUUAAAAAAAAUUACAAAGCUUCUUAUACUAGAAUAUGAGCAACAAUAUAAAUAAUAAACAAUAAAGUUAUGAUAGCACAGCAUACUCAUUAAAGUGCUUCUUUUUUUUUUUCAGCAAGAAAUUACUACUGAAUUAAAGAAUUGGCUUUGCAUUAAGGUUUGCCUUCAAUAACUCAACUCCCCACUUGGGUUUUGUCGUUUUCUUAAAAUCUCUGCUCAAUCAAUUUAAAGAUCCAUUUUUUUUUUCUUUCCAAAGAUCUAAAAGCAAUGUCUUUUAUUGGUACCCAACAAAAAUGCAAGGUCUGUGAGAAGACAGUUUGUCCAGUUGAACAGUUAUCUACUGAUGGGGUUGUUUAUCACAAGUCUUGCUUCAAGUGCUCUCACUGCAAAGGCACACUCAAGCUAAGCAAUUACUCAUCCCUGGAAGGUGCUCUUUACUGUAAGCCUCACUUUGAGCAGCUUUUGAAGGAGUCGAGUAACUUCAACAAGAAUUUCCAAUUACCUGCAAAGUCAGCUGAGAAGUUAACUCCUGAGCUGAGAAGGUCGCCUAGCAAAGUUGCCAGCAUGUUCUCUGGGCCCAAUAAAAAUGUGCUUCUUGCAGUAAAACAGUGUGUCCGUGGGAGAACGUAGCAGCGGAAAACCAAGCCUCUCACAAGACAUGUUUCAAGUGCUCACAUGGUGGUUAUUCCAUUAGCCCGUCAAAUUACGCAGCCCUAGAAGGCAUCUUGUAUUGCAAACAUAAUUUCUCCCAAUUGUUCAAGGAAAAAGGCAGCUACAACCACCUUAUAUAAAAUCUGCUUCCAUGAAGCGUGCUGCAGUCUCUGUUCAAGAAGCUUGAACAUGUUAUGUUAUCUUCCAUAAAUCUUAUUUGGCGUGGGUUUUCUCUGGCUUGAGGGUGUGCUUUCUAUUUUGAUCCCUCUUGUUGUUUUUGCGGGGAACUACCAAACCUUCGGUUCCCUCUGCUUCUUUGGAUCAUCUUUGUUGGGACAAAUUUCAUGUAAUUAGAGAUACUGAUUUAUGGGAGGCAUAAUCCCAUGGUCGUAAAUUGACCAUUUUCUGGCAAUGUUCUUUUUAAAAAGAGAUGAGCAGUUGUUUAACAAAAAAAAUAGCUGGCCUUCAUCAUGGUAUGUUACCAAACUGCUAUGUAUAGCUGCUAACUAUGAGCAUCCGAAAAUAUGGUGCAUCGUGAUUCAUGUAGUGCAAUAUGGCUACCAACGCAUCCUAAAUGGAGUAUUACUCAGUUAGUCAGCAAAAUAAGACAACAUAACUGAUAUUAAAAAAAUAAAAAAACUACAUUAAUAAGUGGGCAAGAUCAUGCCAGUUUAACUUUUCGCGCGUCGCUGCUGGAGAUAAUCAAAUCGGGGCAGAGAAAAGGAGAAUGGAAUCAGAGGCUAAGAUUAAUAAGUGGGCUUCUGCUUGCUUUGCCCCUCUUUCUUAAACGAUUGGUAGACUGCUGCUUCCACCGAUUAACCGGGUCUUCAACCACUGCUUUUACUGCCUGCCAUCUUGUUGUUUGUCGAAGGGAUGAAUUCGAGUCGAAAAGAGAAAGCGCGCUGAAAAAGAUAAAUCACUAGUGGUUAACUGCUUACUCAGCCAAGUGUUGGCUUCACUUGAUUCACCGAUUGAGGUUAUUUUGUCUUCUAUCUAAUGCAGCGAAGAAGCUUUGCUGCUUAACAUGCUGCAAUGCAACUUUAUCCUUUGAAGUUCACACUUCAGGGCUGCGCACUUUAUGUAAUCCUAUGAGUAAAAAGAAUUUGUUUUCAAAUGUGAAAAAAGAAAAUGUAAGGUAGUAACUAAAUAUUUUAUAGCAUCAAAGCAAUAUUUGAUAUGAAUUUAGUACAACAAAGAACAUCAAAUCUGUGAUUCCUUGUCUAGUGUCACCAUCGAGCAACAAAUUUAAAAGCCUACCUAUCAAAUACACGAGGCAAUAAACGGAGAAAAAGUUGAAUUACAAGAACAAGUUUACAAUUCUUGUCAAUGGUUAAUGAUUUGUGAACUGAGACAGCUUUCAAGAAUCCAAUUUCAAUACAACAACGUAAAAGAUAAACAGAUGAUGAAUUCUAUGAGAUAAAGAAGGAGAUCGUGUUUUAUCGUAUCUCUAUUUUCUUUCUUUUUAAAUUUAAAAUAAGCUUUUCAACCGGUUUGUUAACCGGUUAUAAUAUUUUUUAAAAUAAUUAAAUAUUUUCAUUAUUAAAAAUAAUGUGUACCGUUGAUUACAUCUAACGGUAUAUAUUUCUUACACUACUAAUAUCGUAAAAAAAAAAUACAGCAUCAUAGAGGGACCCUUAAAACAUUUUCAUUUGAAAUUAUUUGGUGAAGUGAAAAAGUUAAGAAAGAAAUAGUUGUCCCUUUGGUCAUUUCACAAAAAUGAAAGCCCCAUAUAACAUGGACUUGAAUGGAAGCCCAAUUGUUGUGUUUGAUUUCAAGCUUUAUCGGACCUUUGGACCUGGAUACUUUACUGCGGCCUCUAAGCGCUACAAAUUUUUUUUUUGGGAUAAAAGGCGCUUCAAUGAAAAAGCACUUUAAAACUUUGGAUUUUGCCAAAACUUCAAAGCGGUUGGUCCGGUUACGGUGUUAUGCUAACGGGUUUAAAGGUUCUGAUCCAAUGAGUUAGGGUGGAAUAUGAAUAUAUAAAUUCCAUAGCAUGUGAGGACUAGGAUUUGUUUGUUCAUAUCAAGAAAAAAGAUCUGAAAAUUUGAUGAUCAGAAGAUAAAAACACUUAAACACGUUUAUUACAGAGAAACAAACGACAACACGAUACUAGUAGUAGUUAUUCUUUUCAUCCGAUAUAUUACAUGGUAAUAUCACCACUCGUUCCACUGGUUUCAUAUACACCAUCGACCAGCAACAUGAUAAUUUUGUGUCAGUUCAUUUUGUUUGUAGGAAAGAGCAGUAUCUUUUUUAGAACUUGAAAAUAAUAAAAAGAUUUUAAAAUAUAAAUUGCAUAUUUGUUUAUUGCUGUUGUUUGGUCUAAUUUCUUACGUAGAAUUGCUUGUCAUUCUUUGUACGUUAUUGAUUAUAUUUUUGUCAGACUUGGCGUAUAUAUUCACAUAUGUUUUAUUUUGUCAUUUUGUAGAACAUUUUUACAUGCCAUAUUAUCACGACUCUUCUGUGUCUGAAUAAGAAGAAAGCAUAAUGCGACCCUCCAACAGCUUAAUCUAUGGAAUUAUCGUGUUUUGUAAGUUGAGGUCCAAUGGCGUUUUGGCACAUCAUAUGAUAGACCACUAUAUUGCGUUGCUUUACAAAAGAUUAAUAUUUUUAAAAUUAUUAGGUAAGUUUAGGCUCAGUGGCACUUUAACUCAUGAUAUGAUAGUCCAGGUUUUCAUCAGCCUGAACAUGGACCUGUCGCCAUGGAUAACUCAGGUUUUUUUUUUUUUAAUCAACUACGUCAUCUUUUCCACUGUUUUGAAACUCUUAAGAUUAAACUUUAGUAAAGUUAUUUUAGUUAUCCAUGUAAUCAAGCUGAGGAUACUUAGCUGCCUAUUUAGGCAAAUGUCAGAAUUUAGUUUGUUCGCUGGGAACUGGUGUGGUGACAGCGUCCUGGCAAAGGAUGAUGAGAUAGUUUUUUGAUUGAGUAAAUUUUGGGAGCUUGAGUGUAUUGGGAUUUGCAAUUACAAUCAUCCUCUGCCUCAGGUGAUUUCUUCUCCUGCCCUGUCGUUGUUUGUUCUCUAAUUCAAAAUUAUAAAAUUUUUCAAUCAAAUUUUAUGCCAGGAAUAUGCAAAAGUUUCUAAUAUUUUAUUUCCAUCUGUUUGCCUUGAUAACUUUGCGGCAUAUGUACUAGUUAAAUCCCUCAAAACGUAAACAAAACUCUGUUGGUAUUGAUUCCUAAGGUGGACCAUCCUACCAGUUUAACGAUGUUUCGGCCUAUAAGUUUAUGCACUGUCGCCUAUAAGACAGUGACUAAAAUUAUUGCCACUCGUUUACAAGAACUAUUACCUGAGCUGAUCGGGCCUCAUCAGACAAGUUUUGUUCCCGGACGACACAUUGUGGACAACAUUGUUAUUGCUCAGGAAGUGGUUCACUCCAUGCGCAGAAAAACUGGUAAAAGAGGGCUUAUGGCUAUUAAGGUGGAUCUCGAGAAGGCAUAUGAUCGGCUGAACUGGUCGUUUAUUUUUGAAACUCUUCAAUUGACAGGGCUCCCGAUUCAAUUAUCUCGGCUCAUCAUGGAAUGUGUUAAAUCAGCUAGCAUGAAUAUUUUGUGGAAUGGCGAGGUAACUGAGGAGUUUUUUCCGGGAAGAGGUAUUCGGCAGGGUGACCCUCUAUCUCCGUAUAUUUUUGUGCUCUGCAUCGAGCGUUUGAGCCAUGGAAUAUCCCAAGCUGUGGGGGAUGGAAGUUGGAAGCCAAUUCGGCUGGCUAAACAUGGCACUCCCCUUACCCACCUUUUUUUUGCUGAUGAUUUGCUUUUAUUUGCAGAAGCUUCGAUUGAUCAAGCUCAUAUCAUUGAUGCGGUUUUGGAGAAUUUUUGUCGAAGUUCUGAAGUAAAGGUUAACAAAGUGAAAACUACAAUUUUCUUUUCGAAGAACGUUGCUGCAAGAGAGGCCAAGCUCAUUGGUGCUGCCUUGGGGGUUUCGAUUACUCAUGAUCUGGGAAGCUAUCUUGGAAUGCCGUUACUUCAUUCGAGGGUGAAUAAAGCUACGUAUCAAUCUAUUUUAGACAAGGUAGACAUAAGGCUCAGUGGCUGGAACGCGGCUCAUUUAUCCUUUGCUGGUCGUGUUACUUUGGCGCAAUCGGUGAUUCAAGCUAUGCCAAUUUAUGCAAUGCAAACGACCAUGCUUCCUGCUUCGGUGCGCCAUAGAAUUGAUAAGAGCUGCCGUAGAUUUAUUUGGGAUGGGAAGUCGAAGAGUCCUAAGAUGUGCAUGGUGGGCUGGGAUAAAAUCUGCUUGCCGAAAUCAAGUGGUGGCUUGGGGUUUAAGAACUUAGAGGUGAUGAAUCAUGCCCUGUUGAUGAAGAUUAGUUGGGGCAUUAUCUCCAACUCAGAUAAGUUAUGGGUGCGGGUUCUCUGUUCCAAAUAUGGAUUGGACCCAUGCAAUUUGCCGUCUUCCCUCCCUGACAAACAAGGUUCGCGUAUCUGGUCUGCUAUAAGAAAAACGUGGAAUGCAACCAUGCAUGGAGCUCGCUGGGCAGUGUGUGAUAGUGCUCGAAUUCGUUUCUGGCUGGACUGUUGGGUGACGAAAUAUGAGCCUUUGAUUCACCUAGCUCUCCAACCGAUCCCUCAGGCCUCUCUCAAUGCUACGGUUAGCGAAUUUACUAAUGAUUAUGGUGGCUGGAGAUGGGCGAGCUUUGAAUUCCUACUGCCCCCUUCUGUUCUUAUGCAGAUUGCCUCGAUCAUGCCACCUGCGCCGCAUCUUGGUCCUGAUAGACUAUAUUGGAGUUAUAAUCCAAGAGGGUUGUUCACAGUCCGAACUGCUUAUGAGUCUCUUUGCUACCAUAACUUAGACACUCAAGAUAAAGUAUGGAAAUUGCCAUGGUCUUGGAAAGGGCCCCAAUCUAUAAAGCUCUUUAUUUGGCAGACUUUGCAUGGCAAAUUGAAGACCCACAGUGAGCUUAAUAGGCGUAAUAUCCCCGUUUCUGAAGUUUGUGUUAGGUGUGGGGUUUCGGCUGAGGGCAUUCUUCAUGCUGUGAGAGAUUGUAGUUGCAUUAAGAAUCUAUGGCUUAGUCUUGUUCCAACCUGUCAUCAACUUGCUUUCUUCCAAUCCAACUUACGUGCAUGGGUUGCUGCCAACAUGCAAAAUACGUGGAAAAUUGAUUCGGAGCUUCCUUGGGAUUGUAUUUUUGGAGUGGCUAUUUGGAGAUUAUGGUUUUGGCGUAAUCAAUUUAUUAUGGCUGGGAAUUUGGUAGAUAGCAAGACAAUAUAUUCGGAUAUUAUGGCCAGAGCUAGUGAGAUCCAUAGAAUUAAUAACUCACAUCUCAGCCCACAACCAAGGCGUAAGGAGAUUUUUAUUGGUUGGUUGCCUCCUCCAUGGCCAUGGUGUAAGUUGAACACAGAUGGUUUCUGUAAACAUACAGGAGCAACUGCAGCGGGUGGGGUUAUUCGCGACUCCGUUGGUAACUGGGUCUCAGGCUUUAGUAUGAAUAUUGGGGAAAGCUCAGUGAUUAUGGCUGAACUUUGGGGCCUGUAUCAAGGAUUGUCCCUCGCCUGGAAUGUUGGAAUUAGACAUCUUUUGGUGGAAGUAGACAGCCUCUGUGUAACUCAGAUGAUUUCUCAACAGAUGGUUGUGCCUAAUGUCUCCUACGCUUUAGUGGUGGCAAUUCGUGAUUUUUUAAACAGAAAUUGGCAGAUUAAUAUCUCGCAUAUCUACCGUGAAGCGAACUCAGCUGCGGAUUUCAUGGCAAAUAUGGCCCAUUUAAUACCGCAUGGUCUACAGUUAUUCUCUAACCCGCCUGUGGGUAUUUAUUCUAUUCUUUCACAAGACAUGUAUGGGGUUUGUCAACCCCGCAUUAUUCCUAUCUAGCUCGCCUUGAUGAGCCCCUUUUAAUAAAAAAAAAAAGAAGAACAAAUCGAAACAGAGCUCAGUUAAAAGUUUCUUCUGCCGUCAUAUUUGAAAAAUGAAACCAUUUCCAGGAAGCAAUGGGCAGCAAAUUCAUAUAAAGCGUAGACAAUGAUGAGUAAAAAGGUAAUUCACAAUUUCACUUUUUUUUUAAUGAAAUUAAUUGUUUGGUUGGAGAGGAUAUUGUUAGAAGGCCAUUGAGCUAACCUAUGUCACUACUUGCCUAGAUUGCAGGGGGUCAAAACUCAAAAGAGGCAUUGAUUUUAAAAGGCAUCCAAUAAUUCUUGUGGCCAUAUAUCAAUUCAUGUAAGUUUGAUUGUAAUUAUUGGUGAAGGGGUUUCACUUCCCGUCUCUAAAUAAAAAUACUGAUUCUUUAAGGUACAUGCCACUAGGGAUUGCGAGAUUAACGAGUCUUUGGACAUUGGAAGAGCUCCUUGUGAGUGGAGGAGGAGGUGUUGAUGGUAGCAAAGCAUGUGGGCAGUGGGCUUGAAUCUCUUAAAAACUCGGAACUCCUCCAAGCGUAAGUAUACGUAUACUGGGAAAUGUGUUAGAUGUGGAUGAGGCUAAGAGAUUAGAGCUUGACAAAAUGAAAUACCUCUUUCAUUGAGACUUAAAUUUGAUGGGGAAGAAGAAAAAGAAGAGGGAAGGAGGAAGAAUGAGGAUAAUCAACUUGUUCUUGAAGCCUUGCAACCACCUCUGAAUUUGAAGGAAUUAGAGAUUUGGUCAUACAGAGGCAACAUUUGUUUUCAAAUGUGAAAAAAGAAAAUGUAAGGUAGUAAUUAAAUAUAUUAUAGCAUCAAAGCAAGAUUUGAUAUGAAUUUAAUACAACAAAGAACAUCAAAUCUGUGAUUCCUUGUCUAAUGUCACCAUCGAGCAACAAAUUUAAAAGCCUACCUAUCAAAUACACGAGGCAAUAAACGGAGAAAAAGUUGAAUUACAAGAACAAGUUUACAAUUCUUGUCAAUGGUUAAUGAUUCGUGAACUCGGACAGCAUUCAAGAGUCUAAUUUCAAUACAACAACGUAAAAGAUAAACAGAUGAUGAAUUUUAUGAGAUAAAGAAGGAGAUCGUGUUUUAUCGUAUCUCUAUUUUCUUUCUUUUUAAAUUUAAAAUAAGCUUUUCAACCGGUUUGUUAACCGGUUAUAAUAUUUUUUAAAAUAAUUAAAUAUUUUCAUUAUUAAAAAUAAUGUGUACCGUUGAUUACAUCUAACGGUAUAUAUUUCUUACACUACUAAUACCGUAAAAAAAAAAUACGGCAUCAUAGAGGGACCUUAAAACAUUUUCAUUUGAAAUUAUUUGGUGAAGUGAAAAAGUUAAGAAAGAAAUAGUUGUCCCUUUGGUCAUUUCACGAAAAUGAAAGCCCCAUAUAACAUGGACUUGAAUGGAAGCCCAAUUGUUGUGUUUGAUUUCAAGCUUUAUCGGACCUUUGGACCUGGAUACUUUACUGCGGCCUCUAAGCGCUAUAAAUUUUUUUUUGGGAUAAAAGGCGCUUCAAUGAAAAAGCACUUUAAAACUUUGGAUUUUGCCAAAACUUCAAAGCGGUUGGUCCAGUUACGGUGUUAUGCUAACGGUUUUAAAGGUUCGGAUCCAAUGAGUUAGGGUGGAAUAUGAAUAUAUAAAUUCCAUAGCAUGUAAGGACUAGGAUUUGUUUGUUCAUAUCAAGAAAAAAGAUCUGAAAAUUUGAUGAUCAGAAGAUAAAAACACUUAAACACGUUUAUUACUGAGAAACAAACGACAACACGAUACUAGUAGUAGUUAUUCUUUUCAUCCGAUAUAUUACAUGGUAAUAUCACUACUCGUUCCACUGGUUUCAUAUACACCAUCGACCAGCAACAUGAUAAUUUUGUGUCAGUUCAUUUUGUUUGUAGGAAAGAGCAGUGUAUUUCUUAGAGCUUGAAAAUAAUAAAAAGAUUUUAAAAUAUAAAUUGCAUAUUUGUUUAUUACUGUUGUUUGGUCUAAUUUCUUAUGUAGAAUUUUCAGAAUCUGUAGGACGUUAAUUUAUAACUUUGGUAAUUUAAUUAUUUUCUUUUUAUUAAUGUCCGGACAAAAAAUUAUUAUAAAAGGGUAAUAUUGUAAAAGUAAGCCAAAAUAAAUAACAAAUAACGAUAAGAGUAUCAAUAUUUUAAUAGCAGGGAUAUUUCGAGAUAUUUUUAAAAAUACAGAGACUAACUGGACAUUAAUCUUAAAAUAUAAGGACUAAAUGAGCUUUUACCCUUUUUAUAAUCCACACCAUCCUGAUAUAAUUAAACACCAUUAAUAAUGUACCAGCCUUUUAAUAGUAAUUAAUUUAUUUAGUUGGCCACCUAAAAGAAUCCUGCAGGAAAUACUAGUUAAAAAAUUUAUUAAAUUUGAUUACCUCUGUAUCAUUAUAUAUAUAAAGACUGAAAUCCAAAUGAAAUAUUUUAUCAUUCAUUCAGCAAACACUUAUAAAACACAAAUAGUGAAUCUAUGCAUUGACAAUGUGGAUUAAGAAUUAUAACACAUGAAUUCAAACAUACCCUCGUGAAGUUAAGAAUAAGUUCAUACUUCAAAUGAUUUUUUUAGCUAAUAAAGCAAUCACUUUCAUUAAACGACAGUGUUGAAGGAAUUGUGCAAUUUUUUACGUUCUUUUCUAGACAGACGUUACAGAGAUGGGGAAAGUAGAGGACUGGCCUCAGAUAUCUCACAAUUAUUAUUCUUUUUCAUUGUUAUAAUAAUAAUUUUUUUCUUUUGACAGUUCUGCAGGACAAGUGAUCAGAGCUCAAUGAAUAUAUCCGUGGAGGGUGAACUUAGGUUGAUGUCAAAAGAGGUAAAUGAAUUGGCCUGUUUAUAUAUAUAUAUAUAUAUAUAUAUAUAUAUAUAUAUAUAUAUAUAUAUAUAUAUAUAUAUAUAUAUAUAUAUAUAUCAUAUAUAUAUAUAUAGAGAGAAAUGUUCCAGUCAGGAAUUUUAAAGUGCAGGAAAGUACGGGAAACCUUUAAAACCGCAUGGUUUUAAAGGCUUAAAACUGUAAGCCUUUAAAGCNNNNNNNNNNNNNNNNNNNNNNNNNNNNNNNNNNNNNNNNNNNNNNNNNNNNNNNNNNNNNNNNNNNNNNNNNNNNNNNNNNNNNNNNNNNNNNNNNNNNAGAAUUUCUCUGUUAAUAUAUAUAUAUAUAUAUAUAUAUAUAUAUAUAUAUAUCAUAUGAUGCAGGCCACAGCAGAGCAGGAUUAUGAAAAAGAGAAGCUUAUUAAUAAGUGUUUACUUGCUUUUGAAAUAUAUAUAUAUAUAUAUAUAUAUAUUUCAAAUUCAAGUUUACUUGCUUUUAUAUAAUAAGUGUUUUGGCCGAUUUAUCUAAUUCACCAAAUGUCAUUUCCGGUACAUAUCUCCAUUGGUAUCAAGAAGAGGCAGAACCCAAAGAAACGUUUCUUGCAUCUUCAUAUUUAUGCGAAUUCAUCCUUUCAUUGAGAAUAACCAUUUCCAGCCGGCAGUUGGCAAUCAAUACGCACGUCGAUGCUAUUCAUAGAUAUUAAAGACAAUGAUGAACCAAAGGUGAUAAAUCAUAAAUGUAUAAUUACCAAACAUCCAUCCUUCUCUCAUUAUGAUUUGAUUUUAAAUGAAUUAUUGCUUGGUAACAUUAUUUCCAACCAUUGCAAGAUUAUUAUUAUUAUUUUUUUUUGGGAGAAAUUUCAAUUGAAAGUGAAACCUUUAGACAUUUACCUAAUGAAGUUAGUUACUCGGGAGGGUGGAAAAAAAAAAGUUGACGCAAGUCAAUACACAAUAAUUAAUUAAAUCCGGAGUGACUAAAACAGAGCCACUACUUUUUCAAAAAUAUCUGCAUUCAUCACUUUCUCCAGCAGCUAGUCAGCUACACACGAAUCAAUUUCUCUCCUCGUUUGUCAUCCAAAAUUAUUCACCAAUACCAUGGUUGAUGCCGUCGUUUCCACUAUCUUGGAGCAGCUGAUUUCCUUCGCUGCUGAAGAGAUAAAACAACAGGUGAUCGAAGUUACACCCCUCAUAUUACAAAUACUUCCAAUGAUUUUAAUAAAUUUUGUUUUUAUCAAAAACAUUAUAUAUUUUUGCUUUAUUUUAUUUAUCUGGUAAUUUUAGAUUUUGAAAUUUGAAUUGAAUUUAAUUAAAAGGUGAUGUAGUUAGUAACCACUUAUUUUUAUUUUAUUUCAUUUAUAUUCUCAAUAACUACUCAUAUUUUGGUAACUUACUAUAACUUUCAUAUCUAAGAAAUGAUCAAAACCCACAAUUUUAACUCAGCACGAAUAUUCAACGUUGAGUCAUUAAUUCUAAACUCAGCACUGAAUCCCAUAGCUAUUACUUAGACUCUAUGAAAAAUUUCAUAGUUUUCUUACGUUCUUUGAGUUUGGUAAGUGAUUUCGUAUAAUUUCUUUUCAAGUUAAAUUUUAAUUUGGUUUAUGAUAUAGUCUCUGUGCCGAAUUGUAUCUUUUAUGAUUCUUGGAUUUUGGGCUUCAACUUUUUAGGAUUUGAUAGUCAUAUAUUUAUGCCAUGCUCAGAUUGAUUUUCAUGAUUUUUAGUAGCCGUUAAGUGACUUACAAUUUGACGAAAGUUUGAAAGGAAAAAUGUUUCAGGAUUCUGUUUUAAUUUACCUUUUAGUAGAAAUAGGAUGCUUAUAACUUAAUGUGGAUGGUUCGUAAAAUCAUGAAAUUUGGAUAGGAUUCACUAGAAAUAUGUACAAGACUCUCCAUAAAGUUUCAUAAUUUUUCAUUCGGUAUGGGGUGGUACAGGUGAAACUUGUGGUUGGUGUUGAAAAAGAAGUGAAAAGCCUUACCAGCCACCUUGAAGCCAUUCAAGUUGUGCUCGAUGAUGCAGAGGAAAAGCAAGUGAAGGACAAAGCUGUUAGUCUUUGGCUGGGUAGGCUCAAGUACGCAUCCUACGACAUUGAAGAUGUGUUGGAUGAGUGGAUCACAGCAAGACGCAAAUUGCAAAUUGAGGGUGGCGUUGAUGAAAAUGCUCUUGUUGUUCCUCAUAAGAAAAAGAAGGUAUGUCUCUGCUUUCCCGGCUCUUGUUUUGGAUUCAAACAAGAAGAAUUUGGUUUCAAACAAGUCUUUCUCCGUCAUGACAUUGCCGACAAGAUCAAAGAAAUCAAUGAAGAGCUACAUGAUAUUGCCGCUCAAAAAGACAUGUUUGAUCUUGUUAAGAGUGGCAAUAAAAGUAGUGAAAGACCAAGGCGUGUACAGAGUACCUCCUUGAUUGAUGAGGAAGAGAUUUGUGGUAGAGUUGGUGAGAGGAAUGAACUCAUAAGCAAGCUGUUGCGUGAGAGUAGCGAGCAACAAAAAGGCCUCCAUAUCAUCUCAAUUGUUGGUAUGGGAGGCAUAGGGAAAACUACUCUUACACAACUAGCUUGUAAUCAUGAUGAGGUGAAGAGAAAGUUCGACAAAAUUCUGUGGGUGUGUGUAUCAGAAACUUUUGAGGAGUUUAUGGUAGCCAAAGCGAUCGUUGAAGUUUUGGAUGGUCGUGAAUCUCAUUUAGCUGAAUUCCAUUCUCUUCUUCAACAUAUUUAUGAAUCAAUUGCAGGGAAGAGCUUUCUUCUUGUCUUAGAUGAUGUGUGGGAUGGAAAUUACUUGAAAUGGGAACCAUUCUACCGUUGUCUAAAGAAUGGUCUCCAUGGAAGUAAAAUUUUAGUUACCACACGUAGUGGGUCUGUUGCAUCCACGAUGGGAUCCACAGAUAUUAUCUCCGUCAAGGAGUUAGCUGAAGAGGAAUGUUGGUUGUUGUUUAAAAAGAUAGCAUUUUUUGAUCGGUCCAUCGAGGAACGUGAAAAAUUAGAACAAAUUGGGCAAAGAAUUGUAGGCAAGUGCAAAGGUUUACCUCUUGCAGCAAAGACAAUAGGGAGUCUCAUGCGUUCUAAACAAACUGAAGAAGAGUGGAAAAGAAUUUUAAAUAGUGAUUUAUGGAAAGUAGAAGAGAUUGAGAAAGAUGUUUUGUCCUCUUUAUUGUUGAGUUAUAAUGAUUUGCCAUCUAGAGUAAAAAGAUGUUUUUCAUAUUGUGCUGUCUUUCCAAAAGACUACGAUAUAAAAAAAGACGAACUAAUCACAUUAUGGAUGGCUCAAGGUUAUCUUAGUGCGGAACAAGAUGAAGAGAUGGAGACAGUAGGUGAAGAGUAUUUUGGCAUCUUAGCUUCUCGCUUGUUUUUUCAAGAGUUUAAGAAAAGUUAUGAUAAUCGUAUUAUAGAGUGCAAGAUGCAUGGUAUGGUACAUGAUUUUGCCCGAUUUGUAAGUCAAAAUGAAUGUUUUUCGAUGGCAAUUAAUGGUAGUGAAGAACCAAACGCCACAAACUCUCUUGAUGAGAAGGUCCGUCAUUUAAUGUUAAUCUUUAGUAAAGGGGCUUCAUUACCUGUUUCCACUCGUAGAGUUAAAAGAAUGCGUACCCUCGUAAUUAACGAUAGUAGAUCAUUAAAUGGCGAGAUCCUAGAAGAAUUAUUUAGGGAAUUGACAAGUUUAAGGGCAUUAGAUUAUGGCGGAUCGCCCCACUCAAGGCCGUUGUUGACUGCGGAGGUUCCAAGAAACAUAGAAAAGCUGGUACAUUUGAGAUACCUUAAUUUGUCUUUUCAGAAAAUAGUGAAACUACCGGAGACAUUGUGCGAGUUGUAUAAUCUAGAAAAGUUAGAUAUUAGUUGUUGUUUGUAUCUUAGAGAAUUACCUGAAGGGAUUGGGAAGUUAAUAAACAUGAAGCAUUUACGAAAUAGAGGUACUAGUUCUUUAAGGUACAUGCCAGUAGGGACUGGGAGAUUAACGGGUCUUAGGACCUUGGGUCAGUUCCAGGUGAGUGCAGGAGGAGGUGUUGAUGGUAGGAAAGCAUGUAGGCUUGAAUCUCUUAAAAAAUUGGAACACCUUCAAGUAUGUGGUAUACGUAGACUGGGUGAUGUAUCAGAUGUGGGCGAGGCUAAGCGAUUAGAACUUGACAAAAAGAAAUACCUCUUCAGUUUGACCCUUGAGUUUGAUAAGAAGGAAAGAGGAGGAGAAACGAGGAAGAACGAGGACGAUCAACUUCUUCUUGAAGCCCUGCGACCACCUCUGGAUUUAAAGGAAUUAGUGAUACGGUACUACCGAGGCAACACUGUUUUCCCCAGCUGGAUGACGUCAUUAAUCAACUUAAAGAGUUUAGAUCUCUCUUCCUGCGAAAAUUGCGAGCAGCUGCCUCCUUUGGGAAAAUUGCCGUCCCUUGAAAAACUCGGCCUAUCGGACAUGAAGAGUGUGAAAAGAGUGGGUGAUGAAUUUUUGGGGAUAGAAAGUGAUCAUCAUGGCUCAUCUUCAUCUUCAUCGGUUAUUAUUGCCUUCCCCAAAUUGAAAUCACUCUCAAUUGAGUUUCUGCGCGAAUUGGAGGAGUGGGAUUAUGGGAUUACAAGAACGGGAAACACCGUCAUCAACAUCAUGCCACGUCUUUCUUCAUUGACAAUUGUUGAUUGCACCAAAUUAAAGGCACUGCCCAACCACAUUCAUCAAACGACAACGUUGAAGGAAUUGUGCAUUGUGGAUUGUGAGCUUCUGGAAGAACGUUACCGCAAGGGGGAAGGAGAAGACUGGCCUAAGAUAUCACACAUUCCCAACAUAGAUAUUUUUUAAGAAGGAUUUGCGCAUUCGAGAUUUGGCGUUGACAAGUAAUUUCUUCUCUUACUCUGAUUUGCUUUGUUGUUGUUUUUAAUCUAAUUAAGAAGCGUAAAUAGCAUUUUGAAUCAAACUCUAUAUCCGAAAUCUGCAAUACAUACUUUCUAAUAUUCUGAUUUUCAUAUCCUACCAUUUUUAAUUUGUGAGAUGGGUAACGUUACUGUAAAAGAUUAUUAAUGGAACAUGAGUAAUUCUUUUGCAGGACAAGUGACCUACAUUUAGUUUGGCUUUGGAGUUGAAUAAUAACCUUUCAAGGCCAGGACCCAAAAGCAGGAAAAACAAAAAAAGGAACGAAGCUUAAUUUUGCCACAGAUUACAUGUAUUGCCAUUAUUGACAAGUUUCUGGACAAGUGAUCAAGGGUGAGAGUGGUGCUACAACAUUGAAUAAAGCAGUCGUGACUGAAUUUAGGUUGUGUCAAAAGUGGUAAAUUAUUUGCAUGUGUAGCUAAUUUGACCAUUUCCUGAUCUAUAAGUCUAUAUUAAUUUUGAUUUUUAGUUGAGUGAUUACAUUUCAAGGUUUGCUUACUUAACAGGGCGACCAAUUUCUUUUAACUAAAUGUAUUAUAUGAUGCAGGAAGCAAGGCAGGAUAUGAAAUAAGAAGCUUAUUAAUGGCAGUUGGCAGUGAAUGGAGGCCCUUGACUAAAUUCUCAAGCGGUUGCACUGCAAUUACGCUUAUCCGUAGCCUCAGGUAAUUUCUUCUUCUGCAUUUUUGUAAUUUGUUAUCUAAUUAAGGGGCGUGAGCUAUUUUGAAUCAAAUUCUAUAUCAGGAAUAUAUGCAACAUUUUUUAAAAUUUUGAUAUGAGAGUAAUGAUGGUAAUUUCUCUUUUUUGUCUGUCAUCGAAUGUUAAAUAACAUUCACUAAGACUCUUGAGAGUCAUUUUUUGACAAUUGCAGGACAAGCGACGAAGAGUGAGAAUGGUGUUAGAUUGGGGAUUGAGGCAAAAGGAGGUAAAUUAUUGGCAGAGAAUUUGGGAGCUUGAGUGUACAGGGAUUUGCAAUUACAAUCUUACUCUGCCUUAGGUGAUUUCUUCUCCUGCUUUGUCAUUGGUUGUUCUCUAGUUGAAAAGCAUAAAGUAUUUCAAUCAAAUUCUAUACCAAGAAUAUGCAAAACUUUAUUUCCAUCUGUUUGCAUUGAUAACUUUGCGGCAUAUGCGCUAGUUAAAGAACAAACAGAAACAGAGGUCAGGAACAAGUUUCCUCUGCCGUCAUAUUUGAAAAUGCAACCAUUUCCGGGAAGUAGUUGGCAGCAAAUUCAUAUAAAGUGUAGACAAUAAUGAGCAAAAAGGUGAUUCACAAUUUUAUUUUUUUUAAAUUAAUUGUUAGGUUGGAGUUGUUAAAAGGCCAUUGAGCUAACCUAUGUCAUUAGUUACCUAGAUUGCAGGGGGUCCCGAGACUCCAAAGAAGCAUUGAAUUUUAAAAGGCAUGCAAUAAUUCUUGUGGGCGUAUGAGUUUGAUUUAGAAUCAAACUCUAGAUCAGAAAUCUGCAAUGCAUAUUUUCUAAUAUUCUGAUUUUCAUAUCCUACUAUUUUUAAUUUGUGAGAUGGGUAACGUUACUGUAAAAGAUUAUUAAUGUAAUAUGAGUAAUUCUUUUGCAGGACAAGUGACCUACAUUUAGUUUGGCUUUGGAGUUGAAUAAUAACCUUUCGAGGUCAGGACAACAAAAAAAUGAAUCUUAAUUUGCCACAGAUUGCACUUAUUGCCAUUAUUGACAAAUUUCUUCACAAGGGAUCAAGGGCGAGGAUGUUGAUAGAAUAUUGAAUAAAGCUGCCGUGACUGAACUUACGUUGAUGUCAAAAGAGGUAAAUUAUUGGCAUGCCUGACUAUUUUGACCAUUACAUGAACAUGAGUUUACAUUAAUUUUGAUUUUGAGUUGAGUGACUUUUUAAGGUUUGCUUACUUAACCGGGUGAUGUGAUGCAGGAAGCAGGGCAGGAUAUGAAAUGAGAAGCGUAUUAGUGGAAGUAUUGCCAGUAACAGAACCCAAAAAAAAGUGGAACCAUUUUAAGGCAGCAGUUGGCAGUUGGGAGUGAAUGGAGGCCCUUGACAAAAUUCUCAAGCAGUUGCAAUGCAAUUACGAUCAUCCUCAGCCUCAGGUAAUUUCUUCUCCUGCUUUGUUGUUAUUUGUUACCUAAUUAAGAAGCAUAAAGUAUCUUGAAUCAUUUUCUGUAUCUGGAAUAUAUGCAACAGUCUCUAAAAUUUUGAUGACUGUAAUGAUUGUAGUUUCUGCUUUCUGUCCGACAUCGAAUGUAAGACGACUUUAUUAAGACUCUUGAACCGAGACAUUUUUGACAAUUGAAGGGCAAGUGCUGAAGAGUGGGAAUGGUGCUAGAUUGGGGAAUAAAGCAAAAGGAGGUAAAUUAUUGGUAGUUUCUGCAGCCUUGUUUUCUUUGAAUCAGCACCUGAUUCACAAGACUCCAUUAAUUUGGCUUUUGAUGAGCUGAGUGAUAAAUUUUCAAUUUCUUUGGUGCUAAAUGUAUGUGUGAAGCAGGUAGCAGGGCAUGACUGUGGAAAAGAGAAGAUUUUAGUGAAAGCUGAAACUCAGAUAAUUCUACAUUUAUCUAAUUCACGAAAUUUUAUUUCCAUCUGUUACAAGAUCAAACUGAAGCAGAACUCAAAGAAAGUAAUCUACUUCUUGCGGCAAUCUUGCCUUCGCUCAGAUUAUGAAACCAUUUCCAUGCACCAAAUUCAUCCAAAAGUUUGAAUAAGUUUCAUGGUUGGACACUGUUGGCUUCUUUUUCUUUUGGGGUGCAUUUUGGUGCUACCAAGUGACAGCUGCAAGUAUGAUUGCACUAACCUGCUGCUGGGAAAUUUGAGGUUUUGAUGGCUGCCCAUGUUAUUGUCAAGAAACUCCUCAUGUAAGAAGCUGUGGUUCUUUUCAUCAGCUUGAACCUGAAACUGUUGCUAUGGAUAACUCACGUUUUUAUUCUCAACUAUAUCAUCUUUUUUAGUGUUUUGAAACUCUUAAGAUUAAACUUUGGUAAAAUGUUUUCAGUUAUCCAUGUAAUCAGGCUGAGGAUAAUUUAGUAAAGUUGUUUCCGCUAUUCAAAUGAAAAACCCCAUUGAUUUUAACCAUGAUAAAGCUAAUGUUCCCAAUGAUUACUGCAGGUGAGACUUGUGAAGAGGGUGAGUGAGGCAACUGCUAAAAUUCCUGGCUGGGAUACAGUAACUAGAGGCUGAGAUCAGGUGGUGGAAUUUUUUGUUCCGUGGAUGAUACCAGAAUUGUCCAGAAAAGAUUUGUUGAUACUAAUUACAGAUGAUAGAAAGAGGUAUAGGUGGAGAAGAGAAAUCUGCGAGUCAAAUUAGGGAUAAUUGAUUCUGAUACUAGUUAUAUUGAAAAUAAUAAUAACAAUUGCAUGAAGAUAGUCAAUAUUCUUCUCUAGAUAUAUUGUAUGGACUUCCUUGCUGCCUUUAUCUAUGUGCAUGUUGACUAAAGCUAAUCUAGAAUCAAUAGAGAGGGAUAUUUAUCUAUUUUGUUUAACAUAAGAGUGCUGUAUAAUUUUUCACUAAAUACACCUACAACAAACUAUUAAUAAUAAAGUGAUAGAAGAAUGCCUAAAAUAUAGGUAUUAAUGUCAUAAUAAGCCCAUGUGGAUCUCAGUGCCGCAAGUUCGAUAAAUGGCUAUCAAGGAUUGCUUAUUAAGUCAAAAUAUUCAAAGGACAAAAUGGUAAAACUAUAAGGGUGGAGUAAUAUGGCUAUCUUGGGUUACAUAGUAAGUCAACUACAUUCAAAGUAUAAAAUAUUAGAACCUGAACGGCGGAGUAGUCGUCGUUAGAACCUGAACGGCGGAGUAAUCGUCGUUAGAAUCUGAAUGAUAUGUCUAAGACGUUGCAUGCAUCUAGAAAAUUGCAGAUGAUUAGACCUUGCCAUCUAUGCGUUGUAUGAGGUUAUAGCAACUAUCUAUCUGGUCACCGUUUUCAAGUCUCAAUUGGUAGUCCAAACUCCAAAGAAAAGAAUGAUUCUACAAUAGCAUUAAGUGUUAAUUGGACACAAAAAGAAAUGUUUUAACCACUUUAAGGAAAGUAAAUGUAAUUUUGUGUCCUAAAGAAAAGGUAAAUGUAUGCACUGUCAAUUAAUCUUUGGUCGACCAGCAACAUCAUAAUUUUGUGUAGGUUCAUUUUUGUUUCUUAGAGUUUGUAAAAAGAAUGGGAAGAUUUUAAAAUAUAAAUUUCAUAUCUGUUUAUUACUGUUGUUUGGUCUAAUUUCUUAUGUAGAAUUUUCAGAAUCUGUAGGACAUUAGUUUAUAAUUUUGAGAUUUUGCAGCCAUAAAUGUUUUUUUUUUCUUUUUUCUUUCUUUUUUUUUUUGUUGGCAUUUUAUUUUGCUCCUUUAUCUAUGUGCAUGUUGACUGGCUGCAGUGAGUGAAAAUUUACCCAUAUAUGCUGGCUAUUCUUGGACAAUAUUAGAGAAAAUAAUCAUAUUAUUUCGCUUGAUGUGAACUUCCAUAACUUAUCAAUUGAAUUGCUGUAAAAUAUUAAAUAGUUUUAUUUUUCUUUUAUCGUGUAACUUGGACCAAAAAAGGAAAUGAGUUUAACACGACCCUCAUUCUGCUUCUUGCUUUGGUUUCAAACAAGUCUUUCUCCUUUAUGACAUUUAUUGUAAUUUCAUUUGGAGACAUAUAUCUGUCGUUCAAAUAUAUUUCAUACGUAAGCUGUUAAUAAUUCUGCUUGCAGAAAGCCUACAAAGCAGCUGUGUGAUGUAAUAGAAGACCAUAGUCUCGUCAAUUUUUCAACAUUAGAUAUUCAGGUCAUCAGCUUCUCAUGAAUUCUUUCCUGAGUUUCUUUGAAUUAUUUGUGAUGUAAUAACUUGUGCAUUUGAGAAACUGUUCUCAUGAAUUCUUUCCUGAGUUUCUUUGAAUUAUUUGUGAAUAAGUUCCUAAUCGGCUGCUUCUCCUCAGGAUAAGGAAAGUGUUGCAAACUGGUGAAGCAGCUGAUAGAUAAAAGCAAUGGGUACAUCUUUGCUGGCAUGGAUCGAUGCCAGUGCGGUUGAAUUCAGCAAGACUGCCGUUCGUGAUGUUGUUGAUUGGGAUUACAUUAAGGAUGAUGACAACAUUGAUUAAAAUGGGACGUGAAGAUAUAUGGUGUGCAAAUUAACCCAACCCAACCAAACCCGUACAUUUUAUCAACCCAACCCAACCCAACCCGUAAAAAAUCACACGGAUUAGGUUGGUUUCACGGAUUGGGCGGGUUAAUUCUAAUUUCUUUAUAAGUUUACCAAAAUUAGAUCUGCUUACCUUUGUUCAUUCAGCAACAACACUUACAAUUCACAGCUAGAGAAUCUAUCCAUUGACAAUUGUGGAUUAAAAUUAUAACACCUGAAUUCAAACAUAUCCUUAUGAAGUUAUGAAUUUGUUCAUACUUCAAAUGAUUUUUUUUUUCCAAGCUAAUAAAGCAACGACUUUGAUCAAACGACGACGUUGAAGGAAUUACGUAUUUUCAAUGUCCUUUGCCAGACAGACGCUGGAGAGAGGGAAAGGAGAAGACUGGCCUAAUUAAGAUAUCUCACAAAGAUUAUUAUUGAGUUAAAAUGUUAUUGUAAAAGAUGUUUAAUACAAUAAUAGUACUUCUUUUGCAUUGUUAUAAUGAGGCUGGCGGGUUUCCUCAGAGGAUGGAUCUGGCUCGCUAGUAUGCAUUUGGGAAGCUGCUAAUUAUCGGCCAUAAAAAGUCAGGGGGUUGUGGCUCGUCCGUCGCCCAGAAAUUCCUAAACUCAUAUAUCAAACUUCAGAUGAACUUGGGCAUUAUGUAAAUAUGUAUUUUUGAGAAUUAAACUAGUGCGUUAGAAAAAUUUUGAGCCAUUGUAAUCAUUUUAUUUUGCUAAGAGAAAAUUUUACUCUGUGUUUCGCUUUGCCUUUUGUUUUUUCUGUGAUAAUAUGAUUCAUACGAAUGUGAUUACACACUAUCAUGCAUCUAUUUUCAUUUGCUUGUCAUGAAUGAUCAACAUGCUCGAAAUAUUUAUUUAGGUUGGAAAUAUUUAAAUCUAUUAAAAUACUAUACACACCCAUUUAAAAAUAAAAAUAUGAUUAUCAUAAUGAUCGCGAAGAUAACACGAUAUCAUACAUAAAAUAAAAUAUUUCGCAAAAAAGAAAAGAUACACUUGAAUACAUUGGUAUAAAAAAUAUUUUAGUGGAUUCAAGUAGCACUAAUGCCCCCUUAUCAAAAAAUAUAUAAAGAUAACUAAUCUGAUUGGGUAUACCGUGUGUGUGUGUAAUAUUUUUUGAUAUUAUUAUAUAAUAUUUUUUAAAAAGAAGAGAGUGGGCAAAGUCCAAAUCAAUUUUCUAAUCCCUAUCUCCUUUAGGAUUUCUAGUCAAAGAGGCUAAAUUGCACGAAAUUGUGCUAGCUUAUUUGAUUUUAAAAUUUUCCAAUGCACUGUAACACACUCUCAUGCUUGUACAUAGCUCGAAAAUCUCUAGAAUUUACCAGAGUAGUGUACCAUGUAGCUUGUACAUAGGUUUUUCUGGAACACUCCAAGCGUUACUAAGCAUAAGAGCUUUGAGAACUCUCUAGACAUAAAACAUUCAAGGGUAGGCCUACCCUAAAAAUAGGGCAUGAUGAUUGCCAUUUGAGCAUACAAGAAGUAAGAACAAAUCAAGUAUAUUUGUAAGCUCCCAAACUCUCUCGUACACACUCUUGUGAAUAAUAUGCUUUCUCUUUGACUACAUUACUCUCUCUUCUCUCUAGUUUUUUUCGUAAGUAUCAUAGCUUAGCUAGUCGAAAAGUUCAAGUAGGAAUGAUAAUUUUUCCUGACAGGAUGUGGGAUCCCAUCUCAUUUGGGACGGGAUUGGGACACAUUUUUAUCCCACAAAAAAAUAUAGGGACGGGAGUAGAAAUUUUUUUAUCCCACUUGUAUAUAUGGGACAGGACUGAGAUUAACAAAUUCAGUCUCGUCCCGUCCCGUCUCAUUACCAACUAGGGAUGGAAAUUUUUCCAAUUGGGAUGGGCUCUCGCAGAAUCCCAUUUAUUUUGGGAUGCAAUUGAGACAUAUUUUUAUCCCAAAAAAAUAUAUCGAGAGUGAGACUUUUUUUUAUCCCACUUGCAUAUUCGGGACGAGACUGAGAUUAGUAAAUCUCACCCUAUCCCAUCCCAUUGCCAACCCUAAGUUCAAGGCUUACUUUGCAAUUAUCUCAUAAAAGUUGUUUUAAGUACCACAGGAGUUUGUUGUGCAAAAUACUCAUCCCGUGACAUUAGCUAAAUAAAAUUAUUUGAAAGCCACUUACCCAAACUAUUAAACAAAUAUUAUUCUUUUAAUAUGUAAUCUUUUAAUAUAAAACUUUUGUCUUAAUUUUCUAUCUCCUACAAUAAAUUUUAUGAUUUUAAAAAUUGAAAAAAUUAGUAACUUUUAGAUAGAGCAUUCCUUACUGUGAAAAGAAAUAUGAAUGGUAAUAUAAAACUUACUUAUUAUAGUAUAAUGCUUUUAGUUUUUUGAAAUAUAGGUUCUUAUUUUUUUCAAGAUAAAGUUCAAAGAAAACAAGUUAAAUGUUGUGGAAAAUCUUACGCACAUACAAUAAAUUAUGACAGCUAAAUGCAAACCUGGCUGAAGUAUUAGUUGUUUUAUUACAGAGACAAAAGGACAAUAUCACUAUCCAAGUCAAAAGCAACUCAAUGUGAGUCUUAGGGCACUCGCAGUGAAUCCCAAGAUAAACUAAUUUCACUAGCAAGUUGGAUACCAAAGAGUAAGGCUUCAGCCUCAAUUAUAUUAACAUUAGCUGAGUAAACAUUAAAUACCACAAUCAAUCUCAGAAAUCAUAAUUAAACUAUCAUGAUUAAAAAUAAAGUUUUUUUUUUAGAUAUCCGUUUGUAGUAUCUCUUUAGAUGACAAGUAGGAGAUAAAGUAAAUAAAUAUUGGUUGCGUAAAUAAAAAUAAAUAAAUUUUUUAACUGAAAAAAAAAUUCCUAAAAACUAAAUAGUUCAAACUUUUUUUAACAUGAAAUAAAUAUUUGAUGCGUAAAUAAAAAAAAUUUAACUGAAAAAAAUUCCCAAGAACUAAAUAGAUCAAACUUUUUGUUUAACAUCAUGGGUUUUGUAUAUUCAAUUGAACCGAACAACUAAAUUAAAUCGAAAUUACCAUGUUCGGUUCAAAUGAAUAGACGAAAACCGAACAGUUUAUAUUUUUAUGAACUGAUGGUGCGUUUACUUCAUGAAAUGAAAAUAUGGUGGAAUGAGAAUGUGUUAAAAUGAAAAUGAGGAAUGAGAAUGAGAUUCUAAUGUUUAUUUAGUAAAAAUAAAGGGAAAUGAGAAUGUGCUGGAAUGUCAUUGAUGUGUUUAUUUGACAAAAUAAAUGACAAAAGUAUCAAUUCGGAUCCUGCUAAUGAUAGUUUGCCAUAUCCUUUGUCAUUGAACUUUCUUACAAAUGCUGUGGUUUGUUGUAGUAUAAUUAGUUCAAUCAGAAACUUCCUUGAUGUUAAUAUAGAUAUGAGUGUGCUGUGAAUAUUGAGGACUUCAUUAGACUAAGUGAUGUGAUGAUGGAGCAUUCACUUGGUCCCAAUGGAGGUUAGUCAGCCCAUUGUUGUUUACUCUUUCUUGCUUUAUCACGCAAUGAUAUUCCUUUGCUUCACAACAAAUUUCAUGAAAUUAACUUCAAUCGAGUGGCUAUGUUCAUACGCUAUUGAGAUUUUAUGGACAAUGAUUUGGUAGACUUUAUAUGCCGUCUUCUUUCUUUUUGCAGUGAUAUGUUUGUAUGCAAUGCACUUGUACUUGUUCUAUGGUUUCUAAAGUAGGCGUUUUUAUGAUAAACUAGGUCUUGGGUAUUGUAUGGACUAUCUAGAGAAGAAUAUUGACUGGUUGCAGUCGAAAUUGGAACCACUUUUGAAAGGUAAGAAGUGGCCAUUUUCCUUCAUUCUAAUGCCAAUAAUGCUGUCAUGAGACUCAUAAAAAUUGUUAAAACGUUAAUGUUUUUGGUAUUUUGCAGAUCAUUAUCUUCUGUUUGAUUUUCCUGGCCAAGUUGAAUUAUUUUUUCUUCAUUCCAAUGCCAAGAAUGUUAUAAUGAGACUCAUAAAGAAGUUAAAUCUCAGGGUAUUGUUACAUCUUACGUCUAUGAAGGGACUCAAAGAGUUGAGAUGAAUUCAUCAUUAUUAUUUUGAUGCCAGAAUUGUGCAAUUCUCAGUUGCUUCCUUUCACAUGCAGUUGACUGCAGUGCAUCUAGUUGAUGCGCAUCUUUGCAGUGACCCCGGGAAGUAUGUUAGUGCUUUGCUUCUCUCGUUGUCGACGAUGCUACAUCUGGAAUUUCCCCCAUGUCAAUGUCUUGUCUAAGAUCGGCCUGAUUGAGAAUUAUGGAAAGCUAGGUGUGGUUUUAAGUGUAGCUCUCCUACUUGUUUGUUUAGAUUGAGAUAUCAGAUAUUGUCACAAGCUCCUAUCUGCUACAUUUCCUCACCAAUCAAUUACUUUGGGUAUGUUGCAGCUUUUAAUCUCGAGUACUAUACGGAUGUGCAAGAUUUGUCAUUUUUACAGCAUGCUCUGGGUCAGGACCCUCGUUCUGCUAAGUAUAGGUUUGAAUUCUAGCUGAAUCAAUGAUGCAAAUUAUGUCCAUUGCUAUUUCUGACUGUCGUUUCUAUCAUUUUCAAUUGUUACCUCCCCUUGCCAUCUACUGCCAUACUGCAAUGCCCACACAAAUGUUAUGAAAUUUGUCAAUGGAAAUGACAUUCUAUUUGUCCAGAGACAGCUCUUAGAUGCAAGUGAACAAUUUUUGGCUUUGGCCGUAGUACAGCCUUAGAUUUCAACUUGCCAUAUCUUGUCUCGGAAGUCAAAAGAAAGCAUAUAUGUUAGCCAAAUUUUAUUUGAAUUUCUUGUGUAACAAUGAAUGGGGAAAAAAAACAGUUCCUCUUUUGUUUUGAUCAGACUCAAUGAAUAAGUGGUUAAAAUGUGCCUGUACUAGAAAUAUAGAUGUGUGGUUUCAUAAAAUUUUCUUGAUCUUAAGAAAGAGUUAUCUUGAAAAGAAGAUAACAUGGGGAAUUGAACAACUAUACAGUCAUAUUGAUGUCUGUCAACUUGGGUCAUAUGGUGUCGUUUGGAUGGAGAUGUUAGGUCCCAGAUGGUAAACUUGUUAUCGAAUUCCAGUCUACUUCAUUCAUGCUUUGAUGACAUAUGUGGUGCAGCUUCUUAUCUAAGACCUGCAUAUGUUACAGUCAACAUUCUGUUCUGUAUUUGGCUGCCAUUCUUUUCAAUGAAUUCAAACCACUUUCUGAAUACUUGGAAAUUCAUCCAGUGUUGUCAUUGAGAUGCCAAUAUGAAAAGAAGCCAUAAUUGCCCUUGAUAGUAUGCUUAUUGAUUGCCUCUUGCCUCACUCAACCUCAGGAAUCUGCUUGUAUGGUGUUCUUCUAAUUUCAAUUGGAGAUAAAUAAUAUCUGUUGUUCAAAUAUAUUUUAUUUACAAGCUGUUAAUAAAUCUGCUUGCAGAAAGCUUACAAAGGAGCUGUGUGAUGUAAUAGAAGUCUACAGUCUGGUCAAUUUUUCAACCUUAGAUAUUCAGGUCACCAGUUUCUCUUGAAUUCUUUCUUGAGUUUCUUUGAAUUAUUUGUGAAUAAGAUCUUAGUUGACUGCUUCUCUUCAGGAUAAGGAAAGUGUGGCAAAACUUGUGAAGCUGAUAGGUAAAAGCAAUGGGUACAUCUUUGCUGGCAUGGAUGCCAGUGCAGUUGAAUUCAGCAAGAUUGCCGUUCGCGAUGUUGAUUGGGAUUAUUUCGGAUAUCCUUCUUUUCACCUAUUUUCAAUCUUGUUAUUCUCAUAUUCAUAAAACUUUUUGGUUAUUUAAUUAUGGUUCAUCAUAUGCAUCUGCAUCUUCUAACUUGUUCGUUUGAGAAACUAAUUUUGCCGUUAGGUAGGCUUCGAGCUUGAUGAGUUGAUUCAUGCUUUUUCAUAAAUGUACCAAAAUCAUGGAAACUUCUUUUUCCCAGAUAUUGUAUCCACACUUUUCCCAUAUAAUUGGGUCAGACAAGUUUUGCUUAACAAAGAUAUCUACAGUAGCCGAAGUGCAGGAGAAGUACAUUAAGGAUGAUGACGAUGUUAACUAAAAUGAGACGUGAAGAUAUGUGGUGUGCAAACCGUAAGCCUGCCUCUUAAUUUUGUGCAUGUUUACUUGCUUGUGAUUCACGUUUGUUAAUCUAUUUUGCUCUCUUGCAGGAGUUAUAAAGUUUUCAAUCAAUCAAACAUUUAACUCAAGUCCUUAGCUCUUCACGGCUUGAAUGGGUCAGAUAGGACAAGCGCCGAAGAGGUGGUUUUAAUCAAACCCCUCCUAAUUAUGAUGUAUGGUCCGAAUCUCGGACUUUUUGUACAAUAUCAAGCGAUUUUUUUUUGGUUGAAUCGGCUAGUGUACGCAAAUGUCGAUUAUUGAUUUUUCUCCAGUAUUGUUUGUAAUUACAAGAAACGAAGUAAUGAAAUUUAUCACUGCGUUCAUAGUUAUGCUUAAGCUCAAAGAUUACCGUCAAGAUCAUUUUGGGCCCUCAAAGAAACAUGAUGUUGACACAUGUAAAAUUAUGAAGCUUGUGAUUAAAAUACUUUUCACAUAUAUAUGUUAAGUUCUAUUAAUAAUUAAAUAUAUGAAUAAAUAUGGUCAAUGAGGAGAGGAUAAAAUAAAAUGGUUUCAUUUUUUGAAUUACCCAUCCGCUUCAAACUUCUAAGAAGUAGAUAUACAAUCAGUGGAAUACUGAAUUGAGUACGAGCUGCGGAUAACUUAUAAAAUUGGGAUACAAGCUUCAAGGAAAGUGUAUUGCUAUUCAAAUGUAGAUUUCAAAUUAAGAAGAUAUGCCAACAAAUUAUUCUAAAUGAUGAAAUGAGCUAUCUUGAUCAAAAGGUCAAGAACCUACCUUACUUCUCUUAGAGAUAACUUGCAUCAACCGUUGUGGUAUUGAUACUUGUCUUCAGCUAGUAAAAGUGAAAGUUUCACAAUUGAAAUAAAGCUAAGGGAAGAUGCUAUGCUCCAUUUAUUAUUAUUAUUAUUAUUGACGUGGUCGAGAAGUAAAGCCGUGCAUAUGAUGAAGUAUAAAUAAGAAUGCAAUAGCCCGGAAUUCAUUUACACAAACACUUCAAUAUCCUUUCGAUCACUUUUGCAAACAUCAAUUUGUCUCCUCUUGUAUUCACCAUGGUUGAUGCCAUCGUUUCCCCUCUCGUGGAGCAGCUGACUUCCUUCGCUGCUAAAGAGAUAAUACAACAGGUGAUCGAAGUUACACCCCCCAUAGUAUAAAUACUUCUAAUGAUUUUAAUUGGUUUUGUUUUUAUCGAAAACAUUAACUUUGCUUUAUUUUACGCAUUUAGGCAUUUUAAAUUUUGAAAUUUGAAUUGAAUUUAAUUAAAAUGUGAUUUAGUUAGUAACCACUUUUUUUUUUCAUUUAUAUUCUCAAUAACUACCCAUAUUUUGGUAACUUACUGUAACCCCCGUAUCUAAGAAAUUAUCAAAACCCACAAUUUUAACUCCACAUAAAUAUUCCAUGUUGAGCUAAGUUCGAUGUUGAGGUAAGUUUUUUGCAUAACAUUCAAAUUUGUCAAAUAGUCAUUAAUUUAAUGUUUAGUAAAAACUCAUCUCUGAAAAAUUUCAUAAUUUUCUUACAUUAUUUGAGUCUGGUAAGUGACUUCAUAUAAUUUCUUUUCAAUUUAAAUUUUAAUUUGGUUUCUGAUAUAGUCUCUUUACUGAAUUUAUAUCUUUUAUGAUUCUUGGAUUUUGGGCUCCAACUUUUUAGGAUUUGAUAGUCACAUUUUAUGGCAUGCUUAGAUUGAUGUUCAUGAUUUUUAGUACUCGUUAAGUGACUGAGAAUUUGACAAAAGUUUGAAAGGAAAUCCGUUUCACGAUUCUUAUGUGGAAGGUUCGUAAAAUCAUGAAAUUUGGAUAGGAUUCAUUAGCAAUAUGUACAAGACUGUCCAUAAAGUUUCAUAAUUUUUCAUUCGGUCGGGGGUGGUACAGGUGAAACUUGUGGUUGGUGUUGAAGAAGAAGUGAAAAGCCUUACCAGCCACCUUCAAGCCAUUCAAGCUGUGCUCAAUGAUGCAGAGGAAAAGCAAGUGAAGGACAAAGCUGUUAGACAUUGGCUGGGUAGGCUCAAGUAUGCAUCCUACGACAUUGAAGAUGUGUUGGAUGAGUGGAUCACAGCUAGACACAAAUUGCAAAUUGAGGGUGGCGUUGAUGACAAUGCUCUUGCUGCUCCUCAAAAGAAAAAGAAGGUAUGUUUCUGCUUUCCUGCCUCUUGUUUUGGAUUCAAACAAGAAGAAUUUGGUUUCAGACAAGUCUUUCUACGUUAUGACAUUGCCAACAAGAUCAAAGAAAUGAAUGAAGAGCUACAUGCUAUUGCUACUCAAAAAGACAUGUUUAAUCUUGUUAAGAGUGGCAAUAAAAGUGGUGAAAGACCAAGGCGUGUACAGAGUACCUCCUUGAUUGAUGAGGAAGAGAUUUGUGGUAGAGUUGGUGAGAAGAAUGAACUCAUAAGCAAGCUGUUGCGUGAGAGUAGCGAGCAACAAAAAGGCCUCCAUAUCAUCUCAAUUGUUGGUAUGGGAGGCAUAGGGAAAACUACUCUUGCACAACAAGCUUGUAAUGAUGACGAGGUGAAGAGAAAGUUUGACAAAAUUAUGUGGGUGUGUGUAUCAGAAACUUUUGAGGAGUUUAGGGUUGCCAAAGCAAUGGUUGAAGCUUUGGAUGGUCGUGAAUCUCAUUUAGGUGAAUUCCAAUCUCUUCUUAAACAUAUUGAUGAAUCCAUUGCAGGGAGGAGCUUUCUUCUUGUCUUGGAUGACGUAUGGGAUGGAAAUUACGUGAGAUGGGAACCAUUCUAUCGUUGUCUAAAGAAUGGUCUCCAUGGAAGUAAAAUUAUAGUUACCACACGUAGUGGGUCCGUUGCAUCCAUGAUGGGAUCCAUAGAUAUUAUUCCCAUUAAGGAAUUAGCUGAAGAGGAAUGUUGGUUGUUGUUUAACAAGAUAGCAUUUUUUGGUAGGCCUAUCGAGGAACGUGAAAAAUUCGAACGAAUUGGGCGAAGAAUUGCAGGCAAGUGCAAAGGUUUACCUCUUGCUGCAAAGAUAUUAGGGAGUCUUAUGCGCUCUAAACAAACUGAAGAAGAGUGGAAAAUAAUUUUAACUAGUGAUUUAUGGAAAGUAGAAGAGAUUGAGAAAGAUGUUUUGUCCUCUUUAUUGUUGAGUUACAAUGAUUUGCCAUCUAGAGUAAAAAGAUGUUUUUCAUAUUGUGCUGUCUUUCCAAAAGACUACAAUAUAAAAAAAGACAAACUAAUUACAUUGUGGAUGGCUCAAGGUUAUCUUAGUGCAGAAGAAGAUGAGGAGAUGGAGACUAUAGGUGAAGAGUAUUUUAGCAUCUUAGCUUCUCGCUCUUUCUUUCAAGAGUUUGAGAAAAGUUAUGAUAAUCGUAUUAUAGAGUGCAAGAUGCAUGAUAUGGUACAUGAUUUUGCCCGAUUUGUAAGUCAAAAUGAAUGUUUUUCGAUGGAAAUUAAUGGUAGUGAGGAACCAAACACCAUAAACUCUCUUGAUGAGAAGGUUCGUCAUUUAAUGUUAAUCUUUAGUAAAGGGGCUUCAUUACCUGUUUCCACUCUUAGAGUUAAAAGAAUGCGUACCCUCUUAAUUAACGAUAGUAGAUCUGAUCAUUCAUUAUUAAAUGGUGAGAUCCUAGAAGAAUUAUUUAGGGAAUUGACAAGUUUAAGGGCAUUAGAUUUUGGCGGAUCGUACACACAUUUUUCUUUGACUCUGGAGAUUCCAAGAAACAUAGAAAAGCUGGUACAUUUAAGAUACCUUAAUUUGUCUUGUCAGAAAAUAGUGGAGCUACCGGAGACAUUGUGCGAGUUAUAUAAUCUACAAAAGUUAGAUAUUAGUGAUUGUUUUAAUCUUAAAGAAUUACCUGAAGGGAUUGGGAAGUUAAUAAACAUGAAGCAUUUACGAAAUAGAAGUACUAGUUCUUUAAGGUACAUGCCAGUAGGGAUUGGGAGAUUAACGGGUCUUAGGACCUUGGGUGAGUUCCACGUGAGUGCAGGAGGAGGUGUUGAUGGUGGGAAAGCAUGUAGGCUUGAAUCUCUUAAAAACUUGGAACACCUUCAAGUAUGUGGUAUACGUAGACUGGGUGAUGUAUCAGAUGUGGGCGAGGCUAAGCGAUUAGAACUUGACAAAAAGAAAUACCUCAUCAGUUUGACCCUUGAGUUUGAAAAGAAGGAGGAAGGAGGAGGAAGGAGGAAGAACGAGGACGAUCAACUUCUUCUUGAAGCCCUACAACCACUUCUCAAUUUAAAGGAAUUAGAGAUACAGUACUACCGAGGCAACACUGUUUUCCCCAGCUGGAUGACGUCAUUAACCAACUUAAAGAGUUUAGAUCUCUCUUUGUGCCUAAAUUGCGAGCAGCUGCCUCCUUUGGGAAAAUUGCCGUCCCUUGAAAAACUCAGCAUAAUGUUUAUGCCUGUGAAAAGAGUGGGUGAUGAAUUUUUGGGGAUAGAAAGUGGUCAUCGUGACUCAUCUUCAUCUUCAUCGGUUAUUAUUGCCUUCCCCAAAUUGAAAUCACUUUCAAUUGAGUCUCUGGACGAAUUGGAGGAGUGGGAUUAUGGGAUUACAAGAACGGGAAACACCGUCAUCAACAUCAUGCCACGUCUUUCUUCAUUGGAAAUUAAUUACUGCCCCAAAUUAAAGGCACUGCCCGACCACAUUCAUCAAACGACAACAUUGAAGGAAUUGCGCAUUUGGGGGUGUGACCUUCUGGAAGAACGUUACCGCAAGGGAGAAGGAGAAGACUGGCCUAAGAUAUCACACAUUCCCAACCUCCAUAUUGGGCUUUGACAAGUAAUUUCUUCUCUUACUCUGAUUUGCUUUGUUGUUGUUUUUAAUCUAAUUAAGAAGCGUAAAUAGCAUUUUGAAUCAAACUCUAUAUCAGAAAUCUGCAAUACUUACUUUCUAAUAUUCUGAUUUUCAUAUCCUAUGAAUAUACGAUUUUUAAUUUGUGAGAUGGGUAACGUUACUGUAAAAGAUUAUUAAUGCAAUAUGAGUAAUUCUUUUGCAGGACAAGUGACCUACAUUUAGUUUGGCUUUGGAGUUGAAUAAUAACCUUUCGGGAACUGGUGUGGACUGGCAAAGGAUGAUGAGAUAGUUUUUUGAGUGAGUAAAUUUUGGGAGCUUGAGUGUAUUGGGAUUUGCAAUUACAAUCAUCCUCUGCUUCAGGUGAUUUCUUCUCUUGCUCUGUCAUUGUUUGUUCUCUAAUUCAAAAGCAUAAAAUAUUUCAAUCAAUUCUUAUACCACGAAUAUGCAAAAGUUUCUAAUAUUUUAUUUCCAUCUGUUACAAGAUCAAACUGAAGCAGAACUCAAACAAAAGUAUGCUACUUCUUGCGGAAAUCUUGCCUUUGUUCAGAUUAUGAAACCAUUUCCAUGCAGCAAAUUCAUCCAAAAGUUUGAAUAAGUUUCAUGGUCGGACACUGUUGGCUUCUUUUUCUUCUGGGGUGCAUUUAGGUGCUAUCAAGUGACAGCUGUAAGUAUGAUUGCACUAAGCUGCUGCUGGGAAAUUUGAGGUUUUGAUGGCUGCCCAUGUUAUUUUCAAGAAACUAUUGAUGUAAGAAGCUGUGGUUCUUUUCAUCAGCUUGAACCUGAAACUGUCGCUAUGGAUAACUCAGGUUUUUGUUAUCAACUAUAUCAUCUUUUUCACUAUUUUGAAACUCUUAAGAUUAAACGUUAGUAAAGUUGUUUCAGCUAUUCAAAUGAAAAACUCAUUGAUUUGAGACUUCCUUCAUUAUUGUUUCUAAUUACAAUGCUAACGAUCCAGAUAAGAUAAUAUUUAAUCGGCGAAGGUGUCCCUUGGAAGUACAUCCUUCUUUUUCUUUUAUUAUAUAAAUUCUUGCAAUGAGCUUAGUGAAGCUGUUGUGCUAAUCAUGCCACUGCAUAAUUUGGCCCCUAAUGUGGGUACUCUGUUACAUUGUUCUGCAAAUUCUCCAGAAGUUAAAAUCAAUAAAUUUUCUAUUAGCUCUAGUGCUUUGACCUAAAUGCUAUUCUAUAUUCUGAUUACAAUGUUUUAACCUUUAAAUUAACUACCCCUAGAUGUUGGAUUUUCUAGAACUUCAAAUUAUAUAUAACCUUUAAAUUAUAUAUUUCUGUGUCUCUAUUUAUAGAUGACAUUUAAGCAUCCAUAAACCGUCAGACAGAGGAAGGGGGUUCAGUGCAAAGAUUCUGUUGACCUAGGGUUGACUGCAUAUGUCACUUGUUCGCAAUCUAAUAUUUAUUUUAUAUUUUGAAAAAUUUAAUGGGUAAUCCUAAUUGUUUGUUUUGGCAGGUAUGUGUUGUUAUCUCCUUCUAUCUUACAGUCGUACCUAAAUAGCAUAGUUUCAUCUGUGUUACCAUGUGAUGUACAUAAUUUCACAUUUGCCUCAGAUUAAGCUUAAUUUCCCACAGAAUAGAGCUGUCGCGACUGGACUUAGUUUGAUGUCCAAAGAGGUAAAUUAUUGGCAUGCCUAGAUAAUUUGGCCAUUUCCUAAUUCAUAAGUCUACAUUAAUUUUGAUUUUGAGUUGACUGAUUUCUUUUCAAGGUCUGCUUCCUUAACGGAGUGACCAAUGUUUUUCAACUAAAUUUAUCAUAUGAUGCAGGAAGCAGGGCAGGAUAUGAAAUGAGAAGCUCAUUGGUGGAAGUAUUGCCAGUAGCAGAACCCAAUGAAAAUGAAACUAUUUCAAGGCAGCAGUUGGCAGUUGCAAGUGAAUGGAGGCCCUUGACAAAAUUCUCAAGCAGUUGCAAUGCAAUUACGAUCAUCCUCAGCCUCAGGUAAUUUCUUCUCCUGCUUUGUUUUUAUUUGUUAUCUAAUUAGGAAGCAUAAAGUAUCUUGAAUCAUUUUCUGUAUCUGGAAUAUAUGCAAGAGUUUCUAAAAUUUUGAUAUGAGUGUAAUGAUGGUAAUUUCUGUUUUCUGUCUGUCAUCAAAUGUUAGAAAACUUUCAUUGAGACCCUUGAACCGAGUCAUUUUUGACAAGUGAAGUGCCGAAGAGUGAAGAGUAAGAAUGGUGCUAGAUUGGGGAAUAAAGCAAAAGGAGGUAAAUUAUUGGCAGCUUCUUCAGCCUUAUUUUCUUUGGACCAGUGCCUAAUUCACAAGUCUCCAUAAUUCGGCUUUUGACCAGUUGAUAGAUAAAAUUUUAAUUUCAUUGGUGCUAAUGUACCCGUGAAGCAGGCAGAGAAGGACUGUGGAAAAGAGAAGGUUUUUAGUGAAAGCUUAAACGCAGGUAAUUCUAUAAAUUAUAUGUUUUUGCUGAUUUAUCUAAAUCAGGAAAUUUUAUUUCCAUCUGUUACAAUAAAACAGAAACAGAACACAAAGAAAAAUAGUCUACCUCUUGUGGCAAUCUUGCCUUCAUUCAGACUAUGAAACCAUUUCCUUUCACCAAUUUCUUCCAAAAGUUUGAACACGUUUCAUGGUUGGACAUAGUUAGCUUCUUUUUCUUUUGGUGCAUUUAGGUGCUAUCAAGUGACAGCCAUAAGUAUGAUUGCAUUAUUGGGAAAUUUUAGGUUUUGAUGGCUCCCCAUGUUAUUGCCAAGAAAUUUUAAGUCCUCAUGUCAGAAGCUGCGUUUCUUUUCAUCAGCCUGAACCCGAACUGAGGUUUUUGUCAUCAACUAUAUCAUCUUUUUCACUGUUUUGAAACUCUUAAGAUUAAACUUCAGUAAAGUUGUUUCAGUUAUCCAUGUAAUCAGGCUAAGGAUAUUUAGCAGCUUAUUUAGGCAACUGCCAGAAUUCAGUUUGUUUGCUCGAAACUUGUAUGGUGACAAGGAUACUGGCAAGGAUAGUGAGAUAGAUUUUUGUGUGAGUGAAUUUUGAAAGCUUGGGUGUUCUGGGAUUUGCAAUUGCAAUCAUCCUCUGCUUUAGGUGAUUUCUUCUCCUGUUCUGUCUUUAUUUUCUCUCUAAUUGAAAGCAUAAAGUAUUUCAAUCAAAUUCUGUACCAGGAAUACGAAAAACUUACUAAUAUUUUAUUUCCAUCUGUUUGCAUUGAUAACUUGGCCGCAUAUGUACUAGUUAAAGAACAAACAGAAGCAGAGUUCAGGAAAAAGUUUCUUCGGCCACCAUAUUUGAAAAUGAAACCAUUUCCAGGAAGCAGUUGGCAGCAAAUUCAUACAAAGUACAGACAAUGAUGAGCAAAAAGGUGAUUCGCAAUUUCAUUUUUUAAAAAUGAAAUUAUUUGUUAAGUUGGAGCUGAUAUUGUUAGAAGGCCAUUGAGCUAACCUAUGACACUACUUGCCUAGAUUGCAGGAGGUCAAGACUCAAAAGAUGCACUGAAUUUUAAAAGGCAUGCAAUAAUUCUUAUGGCCAUUUGUCAAUGGUGGAAUGCUUUUAGCUUCUUUUCCUUUCGUGCAUUUUGGGGUUCUAUCAAGCGACAGCCGUAUGCAUGGAUGGAUAUAGCCGCUGCGUUGAUUUCUAAUGCGUUGUAUGAUGUUAUAGCAACUAUCCAUCUGGUCAAUGUUUCAAAAGAAUAAAACACAGGGAAAAAGAGAAAGCAAGUGGCCAAUCAAGUAUUCAUGUCCCAAAGAAAAGAAUGAUUCGACAAUAGCAUUAAGGGUUAAUUGGACACAAGAGAAGUGUUUUAACCACUUCAAGGAAUGUAAAUGUAAUUUUCUAUUCUGAAGAAAAAGUAAAUAUAUGCACUGUCAAUUAAUCUUUGGUCAACCAGCAACAUUCAUAAUUUCGUGUAAGUUUCAUUUCUGUUUGUUGGAAAUAGCAGUGUAUUUCUUAGAGUUUGUAAAAAAUGGAAAGAUUUUAAAAUAUAAAUUUCACAUCUGUUUAUUACUGUUGUUUGAUCUAUUUUCUUAUGUAGAAUUUUCGGAAUCUGUAGGACAUUAAUUUAUAAUUUUGAGAUUUUGUAGCCAUAAAUGUUUUUGUUCUUUUUUUCUUUUUUUUGUUGGCAUUUUAUUUUGCUCCUUUAUCUAUAUGCAUGUUGACUAAAGCUAAUCUAGAAUCAAUAGAGAGGGAUAUUUAUCUAUUUUGUUUAACAUAAGAGUGCUGUAUAAUUUUUCACUAAAUACACCUACAACAAACUAUUAAUAAUAAAGUGAUAGAAGAAUGCCUAAUUUUUCGUACUUUUUAAUUUCUUUCAGCCCUAAAAUAUAGGUAUUAAUGUCAUAAUAAGCCCAUGUGGAUCUCAGUGCCGCAAGUUCGAUAAAUGGCUAUCAAGGAUUACUUAUUAAGUCAAAAGUAUUCAAAGGACAAAAUGGUAAAACUAUAAGGGUGGAGUAAGAUGGCUACCUUGGGUUACAUAGUAAGUCGACUACAUUCAAAGGAUAAAAUAUUAGAACCUGAACGGCGGAGUAGUCGUCGUUAGAACCUGAACGGCGGAGUAAUCGUCGUUAGAAUCUGAAUGAUAUGUCUAAGACGUUGCAUGCAUCAAGAAAAUUGCAGAUGAUUAAACCUUGCCAUCCAUGCGUUGUAUGAGGUUAUAGCAACUAUCUAUCUGGUCACCGUUUUAAAAGAAUAAGACAAAGGGAAAAAGAGAAAGAAAAGAAUGAUUCGACAAUGGCAUUAAAGUUCAACGUACCCCAAGAUCUUGUAAUAAUGCCAUUAAUCAUUCUCUAGCUAGGCUAGCCUUAGAGAAAAGUGAAACUGUUGCACAGGUAGAAUCACACCCCUCAGAGAUAAUGUAUUUAUUCAGCUCUUCGAAUGAAUGAAGUUUAUUUUCUCGUCAAAAAAAAAAACUGCUCGCUCCGCUGGUUUCAUACAAUGUCAACUAGAAACAUCAUACUUUCGUGUAAGUUCAUUUCAGAAUAUUUCUUAGAGUUUGUAUAAAAUGAAAAGAUUUUAAAAUAUAAAUUUAAUAUUUGUUUAUUACCGUUGUUUGGUCUAAUUUCCUCGGGAGAAUUUUCAGAAUUUAUAGGACAUUAGUUUAUAAUUUUGAAAUUUUGUAACCUAAAUGAUUUUUUUUUCGGUUACCAUUUUGUUUUCCUGCUUUAUCUACGUGUAUGUUGACUAAAACUAAUCUAUUUUGUUAAACCUUUACCACUCUAGACAUUGCACUAAAUAUGAGUUCGUGAUGCUUGCAUUUUAUUGAUGCUGAUGAUUCGUUGAAUGUUUUAUGUUUUUGAUUUUUAAGUAUUCCGGAUCGAAGUUUGUGUCUACGCGGAAAUUGUAAAGGCAGCAUAUAAAGUACUCGUCGUUCUUUAGAUUUUAUUGAGUACACUUUUGUCACAUUUAGCGUAUGCUAUACACUACUGAUUUGCGCAUUGACAUAUAUCUUUUUUUUUUAUGAGAGGGGGCUCGUCAAAACGAGCUAAACAGGAACAAACCGGGGGUUAGAAAUCCCAAACAAGUCUUGCGAAAUGAUAGAAUAAACACCCAUAGGAGGGUUAGAGAACACAUGGAGGCCAAGAGGAGCUGAAUGAGCCAUAUUAGCCAUGAAAUCCGCAGCUGAGUUUGCUUCGCGAUAAAUAUGGGUGAUAGCAGUCUGCCAAUUUCUACUUAGUAAUUCCCGGACAGCUGAUAAUAAAGCAGUGAACGCAUUAGGAACAACCACCUGCUUAGAAAUCAUUUGUGUAAUACAAAUACUAUCCACUUCCACCAACAACCGUUUUAUGCCUACAUCCCAAGCAAGAAUUAGGCCCUGAUACAGCCCCCAAAGCUCAGCCAUAAGCACUGACCUGUCCCCAAUUUUCAUACAAAAGCCGGAUACCCAAUGACCAACUGAGUCUCGAAUAACACCUCCCGCUCCUGCUUCCCAAGUAUUUUUACAGGAGCCAUCUGUAUUUAAUUUACACCAUGGCCAAGGCGACGGCAGCCAAUGAAUAUAAAUCUCCUGUCUCCUCGGCUGCUGGCUUAGGCAAGAAUUAUUUACUCUGCAAAUUUCUUUAGCUCUCGCCAUAACAUCCAUAUAGAUUGUUAGACUAUCCACCAGCUUUCCCUCAAAGAAAAAAUGGUUCCUCCAGAACCAUAGCCUCCAAACUACCACACCAAAGAUACAAUCCCAGGGGAGGGGAGACCCAAUCUUCCAUUUAUUUUGCAGGUUCCCAGCAAUCCAUUCUCGUAAGUUCGAAUUGAAGAAAGUGUUAUGACUGGCCAUCGGAACAAGCUUCCGCCAAACCUGCUUGAUACAGCUGCAGUCUCUCAAUGCAUGGAGGAUAUCUUCAACCGCACCCCCACACCUAUCACAAUCCUCAGGAACAUUAAUAUGGCGCCUAACAAGUUCAUCACGAGUCUUGAGUUUCCCAUGCAUAAGCUGCCAAAGAAAAAGGCGGAUGGAUUGAGGCCCCUUCCAACUCCAUGGAAGCUUCCAAUUUCUGUCAUGAACAGCAGCUUGAUGAUAGCAAAGUGAUUCAUAAGCUGACCGAACCGAAAACAUGCCGCUUGGAUCAAAGCCCCAGUAAAUAAUAUCAGCCCCAAGAUGAGGAGCCGGAGGCAAGACUGAAGCAAUCUGCAUGAGAAUACCAUGCGGCAGAAGAUGCUCAAAGCUCGACCAAUUCCAUCCCCCAUGCCCAUUCGUAAAGUCACUCACAGUGGCAUUGAUAAGCUCGUGAGGAAUCGGCAAGAUGGCAAGGCUGAUCAGAGGAUAUUUCGUAGCCCAACAAUCAACCCAGAAUCGAGUUCUAACACCAUCACGAACUGACCAGCGAGCUCCCUGCACUGUUGCCAACCACGUGCUACGAAUAGCCCUCCAAAUCUGAGAACCCGGUUUGUCUGAAAGAGACAUUGGUAGGUUGCGAGACUCCAAACCAUAUUUGGAGCAGAAGACUUGCACCCACAGUUUAUCCGAAUUGGAAACAACCUCCCAGCUCAAUUUCAUCAACAUCGCCUGAUUCAUUUCGUCCAUUUUUUUGAAUCCCAGGCCUCCAUGUUUUUUCGGCUUGCAAAUUUUGUCCCACCCCACCAUACUCAUCUUGUGACUCUUUGAAUUCCCAUCCCAAAUAAAUCUUCGACAAGCUUUGUCUAUUUUAUGUCUCACUGGAGAAGGAAGUAAGGUCGUUUGCAUGGCAUAAACAGGCAUUGCUUGCAGGACUGAUUGAGCCAGAGUGACGCGUCCAGCAAAAGAUAGAUGAGCCGCGUUCCAACCAGUUAACCGCUUAUCCACUUUAUCAAGGAUGGAUUGAUACGUGUAUUUAUUAACCCGCGAAUGGAUUAAGGGCAUUCCAAGAUAAUCACCCAAAUUAUUUGUGGCCGAAACUCCCAAAGUCGAGCCUAUGAUAUUGGCAUCCCGAGAAGCGACAUUUUUUGAGAAGAAAACUUUAGUUUUCAUUUUGUUGACUUUUGCUUCCGAACUCCUACAAUAAUUAUCCAGAACAGCAUCUACGACAUAAGCUUGAUCAAUUGAAGCUUCCGCAAAUAAAAGCAAAUCAUCUGCAAAAAAGAGAUGCGUUAAAGGAGUUCCAUAUUUGGCCAACCGGAUAAGCCUCCAUCUCCUCUCCAUCACCGCUUGGGUUAUACCAUGGCUUAACCGUUCAAUGCACAGAACAAAAAGAUAAGGCGAGAGGGGAUCGCCCUGACGGAUACCCCUUCCCGGAGUGAAAGCUUAUGUCGCCUCGCCAUUCCACAAAAUACGCAUACUAGCUGAAGUUACGCAUUCCAUGAUUAGUCUAGAUAAGUGAAUUGGAAUACCAGUCUGGUUAAGCGUAUCAAAAAUGAAAUCCCAACUGAGCCGGUCAUAAGCCUUCUCAAGGUCGACCUUAAUGGCCAUAAAUCCUUUCCUGCCAGUUUUUCUGCGCAUAGAGUGAACUACUUCCUGAGCCACUACAAUAUUAUCUACUAUAUGCCUCCCAGGAACAAAGCUCGUCUGAUUGGGGCUUAUUAGAUUGGGCAGCAGUGUUUGCAAUCGAGUGGCUAUAAUUUUAGUCACCGUCUUGUAGGCCACUGUGUAUAGGCUUAUGGGCCUAAACAUCUUUAAGCUAGUGGGGUGCUCCUCUUUAGGAAUCAAAACCAAGAGGGUAGUAUUUAUCUCUUGCGGCACCUUCCCCGUUGUAAAAAUAUCAUGAAUAAACCUGCAAAACGACGGACCAACCACAUGCCAUUGGGAUUGAUAAAAUAUAGCGUGCAAACCAUCCGUACCUGGGGCUUUCAGCGGCUUCAUGCUAAACACAACGUUCCGAAUUUCCUCCCUCAAAAUUGGGGCUGCAGCCCCAUCUACGUCAUGAGAAUCCAAGGCUGGGAAAAAGUUUGGAGCAUGGUAAUUCCGAUAAGUUGCAUUAUCACUUGUAAAUAGGUCAGAAAAAUACCCCACUACAUGCCUCCUUAUAUCCUCCUCAUCAUAUAGCCAAUUCCCCGAACAGUCUCGGAUGGCCUCAAUUCUAUUCCGCCGCCUUCGAGCAAUGGUUUUUUGGUGGAAAAAAUUCGUAUUUCUGUCCCCAUGCAGAAGCCAAUCCUUUCGAGAUUUCUGAAGCCAAAGAAUUUCCUCCGAUUCAUCACCAUUUCGAGCUCAUUUUGCAUGCGGGCUUAUAAGCGCAACAAACUGUUAGAGCUAUAAUUCUCUAGAGUAGCUUGAAUUCCAUUAAUCCGAGCCAUAAGCCGGCGUUUUCUCUGAAAGAUAUUCCCAAACACAUCUCGAUUCCAAGCUUGAACCUCCUGGACAAAAUGAGAGGCUGCUGCACUAUAAUGGAUUUGCGGAUUCCACACCCGCUUAAUAAAGUUAUGAAAAUGCUCGUGAGUUAACCAAGCAGCCAAAAAGCGGAAAGGCCUGUUCCUCCUGUGACCGGCCACAGCUCUCUCAAACCGAACCAGCACCGGCCUGUGAUCCGAGGCAACCUUCGGGAGGUGGAGGACAGAAUUAUUCGGAUACUUAUGUAGCCAAUCACUAUUGCACAGAGCUCUAUCAAGCCGUUUAAAGAGCAAUCCACGUGACCAAGUAAACCUUGGACCUUUAAACUUUAAAUCAAAAAUUUGGUGCCCAUCAAACCAUUUCCGAAACAGAUUACACACUCCUGGGUUCCUGGCCUCACCCCCCUGCUUUUCAGAGGCAUAUAAGAUAGAAUUGAAAUCCCCACCUAUCAGCCAAGGGCCUCGAAUUGAAGGCGCAAGGUUCUCCAUAUGGCUCCACAACUGUCUCCUUAGCAUUGGAUUUGGGCUGGCAUACACAGCCGUUACCCAAGACACAAAGGUCUUAUUCAUACAAAAUUUAAAGUGAAUGAACUGCCUAUGAUUAAUUAAGACUUCCACCUCUAUGGAAUUUCGCCAAAGAAGCCAAAUUCCUCCAGAAAAACCCACAGCUUCCACCCGGUGCGAAUACUCAAAUCCACUUUUCUUUAUAAAGUCAUCGGCUUUAGCACCACUAGUGCGAGGUUCCAUUAACACCACCAUCGAUGGAUUGUAGUUUUUAAUAAUUGUUUUAAACGAGCGCCUAAAUACCCCCGAGGCUGCCCCUUGUACAUUCCAGAACAUGAUACUAGCUGACAUAAUAAAAAUAACAGGAGAGAAACAAACGUCUACUGCUGCUGUCCAAGGACUUCCUCCAUCCACGCCAAUGGCGUUUCUUGAACCAUCUCAACUUCAUUCUCAACCAUCCCAUCGCCAUCAACACCAUUUAUAGGUACAACUGGAUGGUUAUGAGCACUGUCACCUUCAUUCACCCGAUGGAUGGUUUGAUCAUCUGGAGGGUCUGCUACUUGUUGUGGAUCCGGACCUUGCCUCUCUAUGUGUUCCGCGGUCACGUCCCUUUCAUCACCAUUAGGAAGGGUUUGGGAGGAGCAAACAAACACUGUGUGUUUAGAGGGGUCCAGGGUGGUUGCGAAUGGUGCCACGAGUUGAUUGCUAGAAGCUUUCUGAGGGAAAAUAUGGGGUUCAAAGCUUCGGUUUGCAUGAGGUAGGAUGGAUAUUUCCUUCUCUCUGGUGCUGAAGACACUAGGCUGGAGAGGGUUACAGGUAGGAGUUACUGGGACGUUUGGUUUCCUGCUCUGAUUCCUUGCUGCCACGGCCUUAUUUUGCGGCUUACGACGAGCCAUAGUCUUUGCUGAGGUAUCUGCUCUGGCUGUGAAAGUAUGGUUUGAUGCGGGCAUGAAAGGUUGCCGUGAGGUGGAAGGGAAGUCUGGGCAAGCCUCAUGCACAUGGUUUCCACCUUCAUCCGAGACUUUGGAUAAUAUGUGAAACCGUGAGGUACCAGCUCCAGUAAACUCCCUAUUACGGUUUGAGUCUCCAGUGUUCUCCUUACCAAUAUUCGGCUUCCUUCCUCUCCUAGUGGCAAUCAUCCAGGGUCCGAAUAGUUCCACAUUAUUAUCACCAUUACUACCUACAGCCUGCUGGCCAGGAGCCUCAUUUUCCGGCACUGCCUGUUGGGGUUGACCAGCAUCUUCAGGGCUUGUCGAACUCUUAGCAUCCUUACAGUUGCUGCUACUAUGCCCGUAAGAUUCCACACUUAUAACAAAUUACUGGCAAUCCCUCGUAUUCCACCUUCUGGAUCUUCCCAUCCAAUUCAAACUGAGAUACCAGCGGCCUUGUUAACGAGAUACUUACUGCAAGACGUGCAAAUCUUCCACGAGAUGAGGAGGCUGUAUUCGAAUCGAUUUUAAUCACGUUACCCACUAACUGACCCAGCUUCUGUAGAACUUUUCGAUUAUAAAGAUGAACCGCAAGGCCUGGUAAACAGAUCCAUACCGUGACUUGAUCAAGAUCCGCAUUUGUGAAAUCAAAAGAGGGUGUCCAUGGCUGCACAGUUAAAUAUUGACCCAUUAUAAGCCACGGUCCCUUAGUUAAAACAUCCAUAGCAUCCCCUACCGAUCUGAAACGAACCAGAUAAUAAUUGUUUUCCAAGUCAAUCACGGAAAAACCCAUGGCUGAUUUCCACAUGACAUUUAAUCUUGCACACAUAGCUCUAUAGCCAAUUGUGCGGCCAAGCAACUUCACAACCACCGAGUUCUUCCAAGGCUCACUUAACUUAGCAUGAACCCUAGCCGAAAAAGUGAUGGAUGGCAUGGGUCCCUCGUUAGUUUCAAUAAUGUCUCCUUCCUCAAAAUCCCAGUCCUCUAGUCCACCUCCAAUUCCUUGCUCCAUCGCUUGUGUUGCAUUCACUAGGGUUUCUUUGUACGAAAACUGUACAGUGGUAUCCCCAGCAUGUUCUUCAUCACGAAAUCUUGCUUUUUUAAUCGUUCUAGCCUCCCUAAACGGCGGGGGAAAAAUCCCUCCGGAGUUAGGGUUUCCUUCACGUCCGAGGUUUUCGGAGCCUUCCAUAUGGUGUUGAUCUUUUUAAGUCACUCGUUUCAAUAUUUCAUUUAUUUCCUUUUCAAGCUAACAAUUAAUGUAUAUGAAUGUGCGGAUGCAUUGACAUAUAUCUUAUUUUAUCAUUUUGAAUGAAUUGCACGGCGAGGCUUAUCAACUUUGGAUGAAUCCUCCAAUUGUCGCAGUCCAAGACUGGCUGCAGUGAGUGAAAAUUUACCCAUAUAUAUGCUGGCUAUUUUUAUUGGCGACGAAUUCGUUGUAGUUGGUCCAUCUUGCUAUUCUCGGACAAUAUUAGAGAAAAUAAUCAUAUUAUUUCGCGUGAUGUGACCUUCCAUAACGUAUCAAUUGAAUUACUGUAAAAUUAUUGUGUAAGUUUAGGCCCAAUGGCACUUUAGUUCAUCACAUGAUAGCCUGGAUUUAAAAGGAAAACUAUAUUGCAUUGCUUCAAAAAAAAAAUUUAAUGUUUUUAAUAUGAAUAUUUUUAACUAUAUUCAGUUAAAAUAAUAUAUUCUUAAUAUUAAUAUUCAUAGAUGAAAUUCUUUUGCGGAUUUAAGAAUAAAAUAUCAAAUAGUUUUAUUUUUCUUUUGUUGUGUAACUUGGACCGAAAAAGAAAAUGAGCUUAACAUGACCCUCCUUCCGGCACUAUGCAUGUUUUUCUUUUAUUUUUCUUGUAUUGAUGACAGUGCUCUUGGUGCUUCUCAUCUGCUUCUUGCUUUGGUUUCAAACAAGUCUUUCUCCGUCGAGACAUUUAUUGUAAUUUGAUUUGGAGACAUCUGUCGUUCAAAUAUAUUUCAUAUGCAAGCUGUUGAUAAUUCUGCUUGAGAAAGCCUUCAAAGCAGCUGUGUGAUGUAAUAGAAGACUAUAUAUGCAAGCGGGUACCGAGCUCGAAUUCUUUCUUGAGUUUCUUUGAAUUAUUUGUGAAUGAGUUCUUAAUCGGCUGCUGCUCUUCAGGAAAAGGAAAGUGUUGCAAACUGGUGAAGCUGAUCGAUAAAAGCAAUGUACCAUCUUUGCUGCCAUGGAUCGAUGCCAGUGAGUUUUUUAAUUUGUCAACCUUUUUAAUAAUGCAUAUGUGUUUCUUCAACUUGAAGCGGCAUUUAAGACGAAAGAAGUGAUCUUUAAAGCAUUCUAUAGCAUUAUCCUUUCCUAUUAUAUAUAUCCAAUUGCUCCAAAUUAUUUGUAAAUUACUGAACACGAAUGCUGAUGAAUAAACUGAUGGCUCUAUGUAUGUAUGCACAUGCAUGGAGAAAUUUUAAGUCAGACAUUCCCAUAUAUAACUCGUGCUACCAAAUCAUUAAAUAAUCUUGAAAUCAAAGUAAUAAUUAAAUACAAAUAAAUUGCUCGAAUUGUACAUAUAUCUGAAUCAUGUAGUGAAGAAAAUACAACAACAACAACCAAUGGCUCAAAUUCCCCAUCAACUUCUAAUCUCAACACUUUUGAGUGUCAGAAGCAUUACUCUGCUACCAGUUAACAAACAUAUAAUUAGUAAUUUGCCAUUCACUUCCCUUUUAGGCCUAACACAUUUUCUAUAAAGGAGCCACAGAGUGAACUCAGCAGGAAACACUCAAUUUCAACCUACGUAGGACCAGGAAUUUCAACCAAAAAAAAAGUGUGCAAUUGCUUAUCCUAUCCUAUUGCUACUAGAAAGAAAGUGAACAAUUAAUUUCAGUGAAUAAAUUAAAAAAAAUUACUUCUGCAGAUACUCAAGCUAAGAACACAUUAACCCAUUAAAGACUCCAAAUUGCAUCAAACAAAUUGUUGUUAAACAAGUAAAACAAAGAAAGAGAGUUAAGGAAGCUGACCUAGUAGUAGGGGAGCUGAAGAAAGACUGCCAGUGAAUGUAAGAGAAAAUAAAAUGCAAUAAAUGGUGAAGUGCAGCUUUUCAUGUCAACUUGAAAUUGUUUCUUCUGUUUUUUUUUUUUUUAAUCUUUUGGAUUUUUAAAACAAAGAAAAUGAGGAGCAACCAGGGAGAUAAAAAGGGCGCCAAGGCAACUGUGUGUUGGGUUUAGAGCCCAAAAAAAAAGGAGGAUAAGACAUCGUGUUCUUGUGGAGACCAGACCUAUUACGUAACGUCCCCUUCAAUACCACUUGUUCCGUAUCUGGUUUUUUCUUCGUCUUUUACAUAUUUAUCCUGUGAUUUUACAAUAACUAAAUAAUCCCCGCAUAGUUUGCAAUUUUAUUCAUUUGAGCCCUACAGAUUUCAGUAAUAGGUAGAGUUGGCAAAACGGGUCAUCGGGUCGUGUUCGUGUCAUGUCAAAUUUAAGUCGACCCAAACCCGACCCAUUUAAUAAUCGUGUCAAAAUAUUGAGACCUAAAUCCGACACGGAAAAAUAAUCGGGUUACCCAAUAACUCGUUUAAUAUCAAUAUAUUGAACAAAAGUUACAUCAAAUAUUUACACACUAUCAUACAUACAUACAUAAUUUAUCGAUAUUAUAAAAUAUAUAUAUCUACUAAUAUAUUACACAUUUACACUAUUGAGGUUUUAAUUAUAUAUAUAUAUAUAUAUAUACCUACGAUGAUUGUUUAAGCCGCGGUAAACGCUUCUAGAACGCCCUCUGGCAGGAAGGAAGGUACUCAAAGAAAGUGGAGAUGAGGGAAACUCCGCUGGAGUGAGGGGAUUUAUCGGAAUCUCGUUCAGAGUGAGGAGUCAAUGAGGGUUUGCUUGUACUUGUGGUUCUAUUGAUAGGUGUUUGCAAUGGGCUUUCGUCUCAGGUAGUUCAGUCUCCGGGGUUACGCUUAGUUUCAUAUAAAAUAAAUGAAGAAGACAGCUGGACUUCAGAGUGGGAUCCUCCUAUGUUGUCGGCUGUUUGUUUGUCCGCAGCUAUUACAGCUUGUGCUCGAAUAUAUAUGUAUCCAUAUAUUUCCAGAUAUUAUAUAUCAAUAUAUAUAUAUAUUAUUUAUCAAUAUUAUAAAAUCUACAUAUCUAUCAAUUUUUUCACAUUUACACUAUUGAAGCUCUAAAUGUAUUUAAAAUUUUAUAAAUAAAAUAUUAUGUUUAUAUUCACCCUUUUAAAGAAUAAAAAAGAAAAUCAUUACUAAUAUUUGAGUUUUAAUGAUAAGAAUAUGUAAAUUAUUUUAAAAUAGAAAAUAUAAUCGGGUCAUUGAUCGGGUAAAUGGGUCAAGAAUUUUAACUCUAACCCGACACGGAAAAAAAUCGUGUUGACCCGGACCCGACCCAUUUAAUAAUCGUGUUAAAUUUGACGACCCAUAUUCAUUUAUUUAUGUCGUGUUCGUGUCGAGUAAUCGGGUCGUGUCAAAUUUUGCCAGCUCUAGUAAUAGGAAUUAUUAAGGGACAAGAGCGCAAAACAAAAACUCUGUCCACUACUGAUGAUAUAACAACGAACCUUUGUUUUUUUCUUCUUUUUUUUUUACAAAAUAUCAUUAGAGAAAUGAAAAUAUUAACUAACAUCACCCUACUGAUGAUAUAACAACGAACCUUUGUAGUUUCUGCCUGUUAAUAUGAAUUGAUCAGGAGUGUUUCCUCACUUAAAAAUUACGAAUUUACAAAUAUGUAUGUAAGUAUGUAUGUAUGUACGUACGUACGUGAGUAUGUAUGUACAUAUAUGCAUACACCUAUGUAACAUUUACUUAUCCAUCCUUUUGAGUUUAAAACUUAAUACACAUUUUCAUGAAAUUUUUAUUUUAUUAAGUAUACAACUACAGUAAUGUAUAUAUUUUUUAUAUAAGACAUGCCGUCAUAUUAUUCAUAAGUAAAACAAUGUGUUGUAAAUAGUUUAAUUAUUAAAUAUCAUACAAUAUCUUUCAACAACCGGCAAUAGACCUUUACCCAUUUUUCUUUUUCGACCAUUAGAUUCAUUCAGUUUACAUCCAACGGCAGUUUAGGAUGGAGACAAAAAGUGUGGUACGUUACCACAGUGGUAACAUUGGAUUGGGAUUGUAUGUCGUGUUUAAUUUGAAUUGGUUGAUUCCUCUAAUGAAUUAUUUUGAUAAAUUUAGUAGCAGUAUUUGGCGGCAAAAGUAUCAUUAAUUUUUGGAAAUAUGAUUAUGUUAUUAAUUAUUUUAGCAUUCUAAAAAGUCAAUGGUUAUGUUGGAAAUACUCUAAGGUAGAAUAGAGUACAAAUCACAGUCACACAUACAAAAUGAUAAAUAAUAAAAAAUAUAUUAUAUUUUUGAUCAUAUGAUUAUGAAGACGUAUUUUACCUUAAAGAAGUUCUAAUAAGCGAAUUCUUCUAAAACAAUAUAAAAUUUCUUUUUUAUCAUACUCAACCGCUUCAAACUUCUAAGAAGUAGAUAUACAAUGAGUGGAAUACUGAAUUGAGUGCGAGCUGCGGAUAAUAUAUAAAAUUGGGAUACAAGCUUCAAGGAAAGUGUAUUGCUAUUCAAAUGUAGAUUUCAAAUUAAGAAGAUAUGCCAGCAAAUUGUAUAAAAAUGUAUAAAUUGAUCAGUAACAUUAAUUCCAAAUGAUGAAAUGAGUUAUCUUGAUCAAAAGGUCAAGAACCUACCUUACUUCUCUUAGAGAUAACUUGCAUCAACCGUUGUGGUAUUGAUACUUGUCUUCAGCUAGUAAAAGACUAAAAGUGAAAGUUUCACAAUUGAAAUAAAGCUAAGGGAAGAUGCUAUGCUCCAUUUAUUAUUAUUAUUAUUGAUGUGGUCGAGAAGUAAAGCCAUGCAUAUGAUGAAGUAUAAAUAAGAAUGCAAUAGCCCGGAAUUCAUUUACACAAACACUUCAAUAUCCUUUUGAUCACUUUUGCAAACAUCAGUUUGUCUCUUGUAUUCACCAUGGUUGAUGCCAUCGUUUCCUCUCUUGUGGAGCAGCUGACUUCCUUCGCUGCUAAAGAGAUAAUACAACAGGUGAUCGAAGUUACACCCCCCAUAUUAUAAAUACUUCUAAUGAUUUUAAUUGGUUUUGUUUUUAUCGGAAACAUUAACUUUGCUUUAUUUUAUUUAUUUAGGCAUUUUAAAUUUUAAAAUUUGAAUUGAAUUCAAUUAAAAUGUGAUGUAGCUAGUAACCACUUUUUUUAUUUCAUUUAUAUUCUCAAUAACUACCCAUAUUUUGGUAACUUACUGUAACCCCCGUAUCUAAGAAAUGAUUAAAACCCACAAUUUUAACUCCACAUAAAUAUUCCAUGUUGAGCUAAGUUUUUGCAUAACAUUCAAGUUUGUUAAAUAGUCAUUAAUUUAAUGUUUAGUAAAAACUUAUCUCUGAAAAUUUUCAUAAUUUUCUUACAUUCUUUGAGUUUGGUGAGUGACUUCAUAUAAUUUCUUUUCAAUUUAAAUUUUAAUUUGGUUUCUGAUAUAGUCUCUUUACUGAAUUUAUAUCUUUUAUGAUUCUUGGAUUUUGGGCUCCAACUUUUUAGGAUUUGAUAGUCACAUUUUAUGGCAUGCUUAGAUUGAUUUUCAUGAUUUGAGUACUCGUUAAGUGACUGAGAAUUUGACAAAAGUUUGAAAGGAAAUCCGUUUCACGAUUCUUAUGUGGAAGGUUCGUAAAAUCAUGAAAUUUGGAUAGGAUUCGCUAGCAAUAUGUACAAGACUCUUCAUGAAGUUUCAUAAUUUUUCGUUCGGUCUGGGGUGGUACAGGUGAAACUUGUGGUUGGUGUUAAAGAAGAAGUGAAAAGCCUUAUCAGCCACCUUCAAGCCAUUCAAGCUGUGCUCGAUGAUGCAGAGGAAAAGCAAGUGAAGGACAAAGCUGUUAGACAUUGGCUGGGCAGGCUCAAGUAUGCAUCCUACGACAUUGAAGAUGUGUUGGAUGAGUGGAUCACAGCUAGACACAAAUUGCAAAUUGAGGGUGGCGUUGAUGACAAUGCUCUUGCUGCUCCUCAAAAGAAAAAGAAGGUAUGUUUCUGCUUUCCUGCCUCUUGUUUUGGAUUCAAACAAGAAGAAUUUGGUUUCAGACAAGUCUUUCUACGUUAUGACAUUGCCAACAAGAUCAAAGAAAUGAAUAAAGAGCUACAUGAUAUUGCCACUCAAAAAGACAUGUUUAAUCUUGUUAAGAGUGGCAAUAAAAGUGGUGAAAGACCAAGGCGUGUACAGAGUACCUCCUUGAUUGAUGAGGAAGAGAUUUGUGGUAGAGUUGGUGAGAAGAAUGAACUCAUAAGCAAGCUGUUGCGUGAGAGUAGCGAGCAACAAAAAGGCCUCCAUAUGAUCUCAAUUGUUGGUAUGGGAGGCAUAGGGAAAACUACUCUUGCACAACUAGCUUGUAAUGAUGACGUGGUGAAGAGAAAGUUCGACAAAAUUCUGUGGGUGUGUGUAUCAGAAACUUUUGAGGAGUUUAGGGUUGCCAAAGCAAUCGUUGAAGCUUUGGAUGGUCGUGAAUCUCAUUUAGGUGAAUUCCAAUCUCUUCUUAAACAUAUUGAUGAAUCCAUUGCAGGGAAGAGCUUUCUUCUUGUCUUAGAUGACGUGUGGGAUGGAAAUUACUUGAAAUGGGAACCAUUCUAUCGUUGUCUAAAGAAUGGUCUCCAUGGAAGUAAAAUUUUAGUUACCACACGUAGUGGGUCCGUUGCAUCCACGAUGGGAUCCAUAGAUAUUAUUCCCAUUGAGAAAUUAGCUGAAGAGGAAUGUUGGUUGUUGUUUAACAAGAUAGCAUUUUUUGGUAGGCCUAUCGAGGAACGUGAAAAAUUCGAACGAAUUGGGCGAAGAAUUGCUGGCAAGUGCAAAGGUUUACCUCUUGCAACAAAGACAAUAGGUAGUCUCAUGCGUUCUAAACAAACUGAAGAAGAGUGGAAAAGAAUUUUAAAUAGUGAUUUAUGGAAAGUAGAAGAGAUUGAGAAAGAUGUUUUGUCCUCUUUAUUGUUGAGUUACAAUGAUUUGCCAUCUAGAGUAAAAAGAUGUUUUUCAUAUUGUGCUCUCUUUCCAAAAGACUACGAUAUAGAAAAAGACAAACUAAUCACAUUGUGGAUGGCUCAAGGUUAUCUUAGUGCAGAAGAAGAUGAGGAGAUGGAGACUAUAGGUGAAGAGUAUUUUAGCAUCUUAGCUUCUCGCUCUUUCUUUCAAGAGUUUAAGAAAAGUUAUGAUAAUCGGAUUAUAGAGUGUAAGAUGCAUGAUAUGGUACAUGAUUUUGCCCGAUUUGUAAGUCAAAAUGAAUGUUUUUCGAUGGCAAUUAAUGGUAGUGAAGAACCAAACGCCACAAACUCUGUUGAUGAGAAGGUCCGUCAUUUAAUGUUAAUCUUUAGUAUAGAGGCUUCAUUACCUGUUUCCACUCCUAGAGUUAAAAGAAUGCGUACCCUCUUAAUUAACGAUAGUAGAUCUGAUCAAUCAUUAUUAAAUGGUGAGAUCCUAGAAGAAUUGUUUAGGGAAUUGACAAGUUUAAGGGCAUUAGAUUUUGACAAAUUGUACCACUCAAUUUGGUCUUCGACUCUGGAGAUUCCGAGAAACAUAGAAAAGCUGGUACAUUUAAGAUACCUUAAUUUGUCUUCUCAGAAAAUAGUGGAGCUACCGGAGACAUUGUGCGAGUUAUAUAAUCUAGAAAAGUUAGAUAUUAGUUUUUGUUUUGAUCUUAGAGAAUUACCUGAAGGGAUUGGGAAGUUAAUAAACAUGAAGCAUUUACUAAAUUAUGAUACUGAUUCUUUAAGGUACAUGCCAGUAGGGAUUGGGAGAUUAACGGGUCUUAGGACCUUGGAUGAGUUCCACGUGAGUGCAGGAGGAGCUGUUGAUGGUAGGAAAGCAUGUAGGCUUGAAUCUCUUAAAAACUUGGAACACCUUCAAGUAUGUGGUAUACGUAGACUGGGUGAUGUAUCAGAUGUGGGCGAGGCUAAGCGAUUAGAACUUGACAAAAAGAAAUACCUCUUCAGUUUGACCCUUGAGUUUGAUAAGAAGGAGGAAGAAGAAGGAGAAAGAAGGAAGAACGAGGACGAUCAACUUCUUCUUGAAGCCCUGCGACCACCUCUGGAUUUAAAGGAAUUAGAGAUACGGUUCUACCGAGGCAACACUGUUUUCCCCAGCUGGAUGACGUCAUUAACCAACUUAAAGAGUUUAAAACUCUCUUUCUGCGAAAAUUGCGAGCAGCUGCCUCCUUUGGGAAAAUUGCCGUCCCUUGAACAGCUCUUCAUAUCGUACAUGUCGAGUGUGAAAAGAGUGGGUGAUGAAUUUUUGGGGAUAGAAAGUGAUCAUCAUGGCUCAUCUUCAUCUUCAUCGGUUAUUAUUGCCUUCCCCAAAUUGAAAUCACUUUCAAUUGAGUUUCUGUGCGAAUUGGAGGAGUGGGAUUAUGGGAUUACAAGAACGGGAAACACCGUCAUCAACAUCAUGCCACGUCUUUCUUCCUUGACAAUUGCUCUUUGCCCCAAAUUAAAGGCACUGCCCGACCACAUUCAUCAAACGACAACAUUGAAGGAAUUGCACAUUUGGGAUUGCAGGCUUCUGGAAGAACGUUAUUGCAAGGGGGAAGGAGAAGACUGGCCUAAGAUAUCACACAUUCCCAACCUCCAUAUUGGGCAUUGACAAGUAAUUUCUUCUCUUACUCUGAUUUGCUUUGUUGUUGUUUUUAAUCUAAUUAAGAAGCGUAAAUAGCAUUUUGAAUCAAACUCUAUAUCAGAAAUCUGCAAUACUUACUUUCUAAUAUUCUGAUUUUCAUAUCCUAUGAAUAUACGAUUUUUAAUUUGUGAGAUGGGUAACGUUACUGUAAAAGAUUAUUAAUGCAAUAUGAGUAAUUCUUUUGCAGGACAAGUGACCUACAUUUAGUUUGGCUUUGGAGUUGAAUAAUAACCUUUCGGGAACUGGUGUGGACUGGCAAAGGAUGAUGAGAUAGUUUUUUGAGUGAGUAAAUUUUGGGAGCUUGAGUGUAUUGGGAUUUGCAAUUACAAUCAUCGUCUGCCUCAGGUGAUUUCUUCUCCUGCUCUGUCAUUGUUUGUUCUCUAAUUCAAAAGCAUAAAAUAUUUCAAUCAAUUUUUAUGCCAGGAAUAUGCAAAAGUUUCUAAUAUUUUAUUUCCAUCUGUCACAAGAUCAAACUGAAGCAGAACUCAAACAAAAGUAUGCUACUUCUUGCGGAAAUCUUGCCUUCGUUCAAAUUAUGAAACCAUUUCCAUGCAGCAAAUUCAUCCAAAAGUUUGAAUAAGUUUCAUGGUUGGACACUGUUGGCUUCUUUUUCUUCUGGGGUGCAUUUAGGUGCUAUCAAGUGACAGCUGUAAGUAUGAUUGCACUAAGCUGCUGCUGGGAAAUUUGAGGUUUUGAUGGCUGCCCAUGUUAUUUUCAAGAAACUAUUGAUGUAAGAAGCCGUGGUUCUUUUCAUCAGCUUGAACCUGAAACUGUCGCUAUGGAUAACUCAGGUUUUUGUUAUCAACUAUAUCAUCUUUUUCACUAUUUUGAAACUCUUAAGAUUAAACGUUAGUAAAGUUGUUUCAGCUAUUCAAAUGAAAAACUCAUUGAUUUGAGACUUCCUUCAUUAUUGUUUCUAAUUACAAUGCUAACGAUCCAGAUAAAAUAAUAUUUAAUCGGCGAAGGUGUCCCUUGGAAGUACAUCCUUCUUUUUCUUUUAUUAUAUAAAUUCUUGCAAUGAGCUUAGUCAAGAUGUUGUGCUAAUCAUGCCACUGCAUAUAAAUUCUCCAGAAGUUAAAAUCAAUAAAUUUUCUAUUAGCUCUAGUGCUUUGACCUAAAUGCUAUUCUAUAUUCUGAUUACAAUGUUUUAACCUUUAAAUUAACUACCCCUAGGUGUUGGAUUUUCUAGAACUUCAAAAUGAUUAAUGGAGAAAGAUCCCAUUAUCGUUAUUGCUAUAAGAAAUUGAUUUAUGCAUCCAAAGAUACAUUAUAUAUUUCUGUGUCUCUAUUUAUAGAUGACAUUUAAGCAUCCAUAAACCGUCAGACAGAGGAAGGGGGUUCAGUGCAAAGAUUCUGUUGACCUAGGGUUGACUGCAUAAUGUCACUUGUUCGCAAUCUAUUAUUUAUUUUAUAUUUUGAAGAAUUUAAUGGGUAAUCCUAAUUGUUUGUUUUGGCAGGUAUGUGUUGUUUUCUCCUUCUAUCUAACAGUCGUACCUAAAUAGCAUAGUUUCAUCUGUGUUACCAUGUGAUGUACAUAAUUUCACAUUUGCCUCAGAUUAAGCUUAAUUUCCCACAGAAUAGAGCUGUCGCGACUGGACUUAGGUUGAUGUCCAAAGAGGUAAAUUAUUGGCAUGCCUAGAUAAUUUGGCCAUUUCCUAAUUCAUAAGUCUACAUUAAUUUUGAUUUUGAGUUGACUGAUUUCUUUUCAAGGUCUGCUUCCUUAACGGAGUGACCAAUGUUUUUCAACUAAAUUUAUCAUAUGAUGCAGGAAGCAGGGCAGGAUAUGAAAUGAGAAGCUCAUUGGUGGAAGUAUUGCCAGUAACAGAACCCAAAGAAAAUGAAACUAUUUCAAGGCAGCAGUUGGCAGUUGCAAGUGAAUGGAGGCCCUGACAAAAUUCUCAAGCGGUUGCAAUGCAAUUACGAUCAUCCUCAGCCUCAGGUAAUUUCUUCUCCUGCUCUGUUUUUAUUUGUUAUCUAAUUAAAAAGCAUAAAGUAUCUUGAAUCACUUUCUCUAUCUGGAAUAUAUGCAGCAGUUUCUAAAAUCUUCAUAUGAGUGUAAUGAUGGUAAUUUCUGUUUUUUGUCUGUCAUUGAAUGUUAGACAACUUUCAGUGAGACUCUUGAACCGAGACAUUUUUGACAACUGAAGGACAAUUGCUGAAGAGUCGGAAUGGUGCUAGAUUGGGGAAUAAAGACAAAGGAGGUAAAUUAUUUGCAGUUUAUUCAGCAUUAUUUGCUUUGGACCAGCGCCUGAUUCACAAGUCUCCAUAAUUUGGCUUUUGACCAGUUAAUAAAUUUUUAAUUCCAUUGGUGCUAAAUGUACACGUGAAGCAGGCAGAGCAGGACUGUGGAAAUGAGAAGGUUUUUAGUGAAAGCUUAAACUCAGGUAAUUCUAAAAAGUACAUGUUUUUGCUGAUUUAUCUAAAUCAGGAAAUUUUAUUUCCAUCUGUUACAAGAUAAAACAGAAACAGAACACAAAGAAAAAUAUUCUACUUCUUGUGGCAAUCUUGCCUUCAUUCAGACAAUGAAACCAUUUCCUUUCACCAAUUUCUUCCAAAAGUUUGAAUAAGUUUCAUGGGUGGACCUAGUUAGCUUCUUUUUCUUUUGGUGCAUUUAGGUCCUAUCAAGUGACAGCCAUAAGUAUGAUUGCAUUAUUGGGAAAUUUUAGGUUUGGAUGGCUCCCCAUGUUAUUGCCAAGAAAGUCCUCAUGUCAGAAGCUGCGGUUCUUUUCAUCAGCCUGAACCCGAACCUGUCGUUAUGGAUAACUCAGGUUUUUGUCAUCAACUAUAUCAUCUUUUUUACUGUUUUGAAACUCUUAAGAUUAAACUUCAGUAAAGUUGUUUCAGUUAUCCAUGUAAUCAGGCUAAGGAUAUUUAGCAGCUUAUUUAGGCAACUGCCAGAAUUCAGUUUGUUAGCUCGAAACUUGUAUGGUGACAAGGAUACUGGCAAGGAUAGUGAGAUAGUUUUUUGUGUGAGUGAAAUUUGAAAGCUUGGGUGUUCUGGGAUUUGCAAUUGCAAUCAUCCUCUGAGUCAGGUGAUUUCUUCACCUGCUCUGUCUUGAUUUUCUCUCUAAUUGAAAGCAUAAAGUAUUUCAAUCAAAUUCUGUACCAGGAAUACGUAAAAGUUACUAAUAUUUUAUUUCCAUCUGUUUGCAUUGAUAACUCGGCGGCAUAUGUUCUAGUUAAAGAACAAACAGAAACAGAGUUCAGGAAAAAGUUUCUUCGGCCACCAUAUUUGAAAAUGAAACCAUUUCCAGGAAGCAGUUGGCAGCAAAUUCAUAUGGAGUGUAGACAAUGAUGAGCAAAAAGGUGAUUCGCAAUUUCUUUUUUUUUUUAAGUGAAAUUAUUUGUUAGAUUGAAGCUGAUAUUGUAAGAAGGCCAUUGAGCUAACCUAUGUCGCCACUUGCCUAGAUUGCAGGGGGUCAAGACUCAAAAGAAGCACUGAAAUUUAAAAAGCAUGCAAUAGUUCUUUUGCCAUGUGUCAAUUAAUGCAAGUUUGAAUAAGUUUAUUGGCUGAACGAUGUUAGCUUCUUUUCCUUUCGUGCACUUUGGUAUGCUAUCAAGUGACAGCCGUAUGUAUGGCUUGCAUAUAGCUGCUGCUGGGAAAAUUGACGAUUUCAUGGCUGGCCGUGUUAUUGUCUUAAAUUAGUUGUGAUAAGCUGUUGCUUGGAGAUUCUGUUGCCAAGAAUUUGCUCACAUCAGAAGCUGUGGAAUCUGAACCCUUCGAUUCUGUUGCCAAGAAUUUGCUCACAUCAGAAGCUGUGGAAUCUGAACCCUUCGUUAUGUAUCAUCUUUUUCAUUGUUUUAAAACAGUAAACUCUCAGGACACUGAGCAGGCAAAUGUUAUAACUCGGUUUGUUAGCCAAAAACUUGUUGAAGAUUCUUGACAAAGCUGCGUCGAGUGAAUUGUCGGAGCUCUGAGGGUGAGAGAAAUUAGAGGGUGUAUAGGGAUUUGGAUUUGUUAGGAAGUUAUCAUUUUUAUUUGUCCGAUUCAAAACUUGAUAUUCCAAUUAUAUUCAUAAGCUUCUACAGUUAUCUUCAAAAAGACAUUCCAAUUAUAUUCAUAAGCUUCUACAGUUAUCUUCAAAAAGACAAAUGGAAGGCUUUGAACGGCUUGGGUCUGAGUAUUGUAGUUUGAUUUAUUUUGAUGAAAGAACCUUUUGACAUUAAGAUUCUUUCAUGAGUUAAACAUUCUUUUUAAAACCAACUUAUUAAAAAAAAAGUAACGAACAUAUAUUAUUUUGUUAGUGCUUUUUAAAUCAAAUAUAAAAAAGAGAACUGUAAUUCUUAGCAACCAAUUUUUCAUUGAGUACACCUACAACAAAUUAUUAAAAAAUAAAGCGAUAGAAAAUGCCUGAUUUUUCGUACUUUCUAAUUACUUUUGGUCCUAAAAUAUGGCGAUUUGUGUAAUAAUAAGCCCAUGUAUAUCUUUAUGCCAUUAGUUUGAUAAAUAACUAUCAAGGAUAACUUAUUAAGCUAAAAAUAUUUGAAGGAUAAAAUGGGAAAACUAAAAGGGUGGAGUAAUAAAGUUAUUUAAGAUUACAUAGUAAGUUAACUAUAUUCGAGGGAUAAAAUAUUAAAACUUGAAUAGUUAUAUUAAAAAUAUCUCGGCUAUUAUACUAUUAAACCAUAUGCCGUAAUAAUGUUUUUUUUCAAACUUUAAAAAAUUCAGGAUUUUAAAUUAAAACAUGGAUUUCUUUAAGAUGCUAUAUGUGUUUUUACAGUAUUGAUAGUGGGAUUAGUGUGUACCCUUAUAUGAAAGAGUUUUAAUCUGAAUCAUUCAUUUAAUAUAAUAGAUAAUUAAAUAAUUAAUUAAAAUAUAGCAGGUAACUUAUAGGUUGCAGGUAAAAAAUUAAUUUUUUAAUUUUAAAUUAAAAUUAAUUUGGAACAAAACCAUCCACACCCCUAAGGUUUACUUAAAUGAUCAUAUAAAUCCCUUUAGUUUCUACAUAGUUAUACAGACCCUCUUAAUUUCAUAAAUUAUUAUUAUACUUUUAAUUAAAACAACCUAAAUGAAUAUAAAUAUAGUAAUAGGAUAGAAAUAAUAAAUAAAUAUCAGAUGAAACAAAUAAAAUAUUACAAUAAAUACAAUUAAUUAAAUAACAUGUAUGAUGAAAAUUUUAUUCAUAUUAAGUUAUUAUUAGUCUAUCCCGAUGGAUUUACUCAAAUCAAUUAAUCCAAAAUUUAAUUUUAAGAUUGAUAUUAAUAUGGACAUAAUUAAAUAAGAUGUUGUAAUAUAUACUACUUUGAAUGUUAAGUAUAAUUAUCUAAUAUUAUUAGUAUGUGAAAUAGAUUUUAAUAUUAUUAAAGAAUAUGACAAUAUAUAAUUUUGAAUUAAAUUUUUUAGUAUUCAUGAUAUUUUAUAAAUUUUAUGUGAUUUUAUAUAUUAUAUUUUUUAAUUUUAAUGUAUUAUAUAUGAUCAUUUAAGCAAAUUUUGGAGGUGCGGUGGUCUUUUCCCUAUUAAUUUUGUAGCAUAUUUAAAGUGUUAUAUCAUACAUGAUACAUCACACUUUUGUUAAAGUGUUAUGUUAUUAAAAAUUAAACUUUGCAUUUAUAAUAUACUACCAUUUUAAUGUAAAGGUAAUAGAAAAUAUGAAGAUAUUUUUAAGUAGUCAAUUGUAGCUUUCUUUUACAAAAUAGCAGUAUAGAAAUACAAUUGGUAAAAUGUAAUAAAAAUGGUAUGGAAAAAAGUUAGUAGAGGCAAUUAUUCUUGUAGUUGCUAAAACAUAUGAAGUGACACACACACACACACACAUAUCAAGUACUUGUAUGUUCCCCUAACUUUUAUUAAUGGGAAGGAAAUUAAAUUCGUAAUUUUCCCGGUGAAUUAUGAAUUGAUAAAUGAAAUAUAAAUAUUAGUAAAAAUUAAUUUGUCGACUAAAGAAGUAAACCAUAUUUUAUGGGCAUUUAAUACAUUAAUUUAAGGUCAAAUGAGAUAAUAUCACAUGAUAUUUGAUACAAGAGUCCAAUUUUCAACAUUUGCAUAUAGUUUCUAAGCUAGUAAUCUAAUAAAAUAUACCAAAUGAGAAAUUGAAGGCUAUUAUUUAUAUUUCACCAUUGGACAAACACCAUACAUUAGAAUAAAAAAAUCUCACAGUAGAGACGGCAUCUGUUUGCAUGUUUUGAAAAUAGAUUUUGAAAUUAGUUUAAUUACAUGAUAAUUAAAUUAUAUUAUAAAAUUAAGAAUAUGAUUUAAGUACUAUUUUAGCAAUUUUGAGUCUCACAUUGAGUAUUCAAGUUAAUUAAAUGUUGAAACUCUUUUCUAUUUGGCUUGAAAUCACUACUAAAUAAAAUUACAAAAAGUCAAUAAUGAAUGAUGUAGGACACAUAUGUAAAAUAAAUUUUAAAGUGUAAUUAAACAUUCCUAUCAAUAUUAGUUUUGCAUACAUAUUCAUAUAUUUUACCGAAACCAUAUAUAAUUAAAUUUUGUGUAAUUAAGUAAAAUAUAUUAUUCAAGUGAAUUUAUGAGAAUAUUUAAAAUUGUAGGGGUCGUCACUGAAAUUUGCCAAACUUGAGCCAACCGUGCAUGAUCCAAACAGUUUAUUUUAAUAAUUCUCAAUAUGUUAGUCUGUUUGACUGUUGGCAAAAUAAAUUCCUAUCAGCAAUGCAACACAAUUCAAAAUCAUAUCUGCAUACAACGAACAAUAUCUCAUGAAAGAUCAAAUUAUACAUUUUUUACACCAAACCAUAAAUAUCUAAAUUGUCCCUCUUCAACUCACCAAGCUCAUACCUAACAACAGCAAGAUUAAAUGUCAUUUGAUCCAUCUUUUUUAUUAAGCUUUAUCAAUUCUUCUCAUGGUUGCAAUUUUGAAAGCUCGCUUCGCUAUUUCCAUUUGCUUUUAUGCUUUGUUUGAGCUCCAUCUUUUCUCUCCAUCUACAUUUUACACUGUAAAAAAAAUUUUAAAAAAAUUACAAAGCUUCUUAUGCUAGAAUAUGAGCAACAAUAUAAAUAAUAAACAAUAAAGUUAUGAUAGCACAGCAUGCUCAUUAAAGUGCUUCUUUUUUUUUUUUUUCAACAAGAAAUUACUACUGAAUUAAAGAUUUGGCUUUGCAUUAAGGUUUGCCUUCAAUAACUCAACUCCCCACUUGGGUUUUGUCGUUUUCUUAAAAUCUCUGCUCAAUCAAUUUAAAGAUCCUUUUUUUUUUCUUUCCAAAGAUCUAAAAGCAAUGUCUUUUAUUGGUACCCAACAAAAAUGCAAGGUCUGUGAGAAGACAGUUUGUCCAGUUGAGCAGUUAUCUACUGAUGGGGUUGUUUAUCACAAGUCUUGCUUCAAGUGCUCUCACUGCACUGCAAAGGCACACUCAAGCUAAGCAAUUACUCAUCCCUGGAAGGUGUUCUUUACUGUAAGCCUCACUUUGAGCAGCUUUUGAAGGAGUCGAGUAACUUCAACAAGAAUUUCCAAUUACCUGCAAAGUCAGCUGAGAAGUUAACUCCUGAGCUGAAAAGGUCGCCUAGCAAAGUUGACAGCAUGUUCUCUGGGCCCAAUAAAAAUGUGCUUCUUGCAGUAAAACAGUGUGUCCGUGGGAGAAGGUAGCAGCGGAAAACCAAGCCUCUCACAAGACAUGUUUCAAGUGCUCACAUGGUGGUAAUUCCAUUAGCCCGUCAAAUUACGCAGCCCUAGAAGGCAUCUUGUAUUGCAAACAUAAUUUCUCCCAAUUGUUCAAGGAAAAAGGCAGCUACAACCACCUUCUAUCAAAUCUGCUUCCAUGAAGCGUGCUGCAGUCUCUGUUCAAGAAGCUUGAACAUGUUAUGUUAUCUUCCAUAAAUCUUAUUUGGCGUGGGUUUUCUCUGGCUUGAGGGUGUGCUUUCUAUUUUGAUCCCUCUUGUUGUUUUUGCGGGGAACUACCAAACCUUCGGUUCCCUCUGCUUCUUUGGAUCAUCUUUGUUGGGACAAAUUUCAUGUAAUUAGAGAUACUGAUUUAUGGGAGGCAUAAUCCCAUGGUUGUAAAUUGACCAUUUUCUGGCAAUGUUCUUUUUAAAAAGAGAUGAGCAGUUGUUUAACAAAAAAAAUAGCUGGCCUUCAUCAUGGUAUGUUACCAAACUGCUAUGUAUAGCUGCUAACUAUGAGCAUCCGAAAAUAUGGUGCAUCGUGAUUCAUGUCGUGCAAUAUGGCUACCAACGCAUCCUAAAUGGAGUAUUACUCAGUUAGUCAGCAAAAUAAGACAACAGUAAGAUAUUAAAAAAAUAAAAACUACAUUAAUAAGUGGGCAAGAUCAUGCCAGUUUAACUUUUCGCGCGUCGCUGCUGGAGAUAAUCAAAUCGGGGCAGAGAAAAGGAGAAUGGAAUCAGAGGCUAAGAUUAAUAAGUGGGCUUCUGCUUGCUUUGCCCCUCUUUCUUAAACGAUUGGUAGACUGCUGCUUCCACCGAUUAACCGGGUCUUCAACCACUGCUUUUAUUGCCUGCCAUCUUGUUGUUUGUCGAAGGGAUGAAUUCGAGUCGAAAAGAGAAAGCGCGCUGAAAAAGACAAAUCACUAGUGGUUAACUACUGACUCAGCCAAGUGUUGGCUUCACUUGAUUCACCGAUUGAGGUUAUUUUGUCUUCUAUCUAAUGCAGCGAAGAAGCUUUACUGCUUAACAUGCUGCAAUGCAACUUUAUCUUUUGAAGUUCACACUUCAGGGCUGCGCACUUUAUGUAAUCCUAUGAGUAAAAAGAAUUUAUUUUCAAAUGUGAAAAAAGAAAAUGUAAGGUAGUAACUAAAUAUAUUAUAGCAUCAAAGUAAGAUUUGAUAUGAAUUUAGUACAACAAAGAACAUUAAAUCUGUGAUUCCUUGUCUAAUGUCACCAUCGAGCAACAAAUUUAAAAGCCUACCUAUCAAAUACACGAGGCAAUAAACGGAGAAAAAGUUGAAUUACAAGAACAAGUUUACAAUUCUUGUCAAUGGUUAAUGAUUCGUGAAUUGAGAUAGCAUUCAAGAAUCCAAUUUCAAUACAACAACGUAAAAGAUAAACAGAUGAUGAAUUUUAUGAGAUAAAGAAGGAGAUUGUGUUUUAUCGUAUCUCUAUUUUCUUUCCAUUUAAAUUUAAAAUAAGCUUUUCAACCGGUUAUAAUAUUUUUUGAAAUAAUUAAAUAUUUUUAUUAUUAAAAAUAAUGUGUACCGUUGAUUACAUCUAACGCUACAUAUUUCUUACACUAUUAAUACCGUAAAAAAAAUCAUAGAGGGACCCUUAAAACAUUUUCAUUUGAAAUUAUUUGGUGAAGUGAAAAAGUUAAGAAAGAAAUAGUUGUCCCUUUGGUCAUUUCACAAAAAUGAAAGCCCCAUAUAACAUGGACUUGAAUGGAAGCCCAAUUGUUGUGUUUGAUUUCAAGCUUUAUCGGACCUUUGGACCUGGAUACUUUACUGCGGCCUCUAAGCGCUACAAAUUUUUUUUUUGGGAUAAAAGGCGCUUCAAUGAAAAAGCACUUUAAAACUUUGGAUUUUGCCAAAACUUCAAAGCGGUUGGUCCAGUUACGGUGUUAUGCUAACGGGUUUAAAGGUUCCGAUCCAAUGAGUUAGGGUGGAAUAUGAAUAUAUAAAUCCUAGUCAUGUAAGGACUAGGAUUUGUUUGUUCAUAUCAAGAAAAAAAAUCUGAAAAUUUGAUGAUCAGAAGAUAAAAACACUUAAACACGUUUAUUACAGAGAAACAAACGACAACAUGAUGCUAGUAGUAAUUUUAUUUUUCUUUUAUUGUGUAACGUGGACCAAAAAAAAGGAAAUGAAUUUAAUAAAACCGUCAUUCCGCAAUAAUAAUGUACCAGCCUGGUUUUUAUAAUCCAUACCAUCCUGAUAUAAUUAAACACCAUUAAUAAUGUACCAGCCUUUAAAUAGUAAUUAAUUUAUUUAUCUAAUUCACCAAAUGUCAUUUCCGGUACAUAUCUCCUGGUAUCAAGAAGAGGCAGAACCCAAAGAAACGUUUCUUGUAUCUUCAUAUUUGUGCGAAUUCAUCCUUUCAUUGAGAAUAACCAUUUCCAGGCGGCAGUUGGCAAUCAAUUCAUGCGCAAGUCGAUGCUAUUCAUAGAUAUUAAAGACAAUGAUGAACCAAAGGUGAUAAAUCAUAAAUGCAUAAUUACCAAACCUCCAUCCUUCUCUCAUUAUGAUUUGAUUUUAAAUGAAUUAUUGCUUGGUAACAUUAUUUCCAACCAUUGCAAGAUUAUUAUUAUUUUUUUUUGGGGAGAAAUUUCAAUUGAAAGUGAAACCUUUAGACAUUUACCUAAUGAAGUUAGUUAAUGGGGAGGGUUGGAAAAAUUCCCAAGCCGUUGCACAGCAAUUACGAUCAUCCUCGGCCUCAGGUAAUUUCUUCUCCUGCAUUUUUGUUAUUUGCUAUCAAGUGACAUUCGUAAGUAUGAUUGUAUUAAGCUGCUGCUGGGAAAUAUAAGGUUUUGAUGGCUGCCCAUGCUAUUGUCAGAAGCUGCGGUUCUUUUCAUCAGCCUGAACCUGGACCUGUCGCCAUGGAUAACUGAGGUUUUUUUUUUUUUAAAUCAACUACGUCAUCUUUUCCACUGUUUUGAAACUCUUAAGAUUAAACUUUAGUAAAGUUGUUUUAGUUAUCCAUGUAAUCAGGCUGAGGAUACUUAGCUGCCUAUUUAGGCAAAUGUCAGACUUUAGUUUGUUCGCUGGGAACUGGUGUGGUGACAGCGUCCUGGCAAAGGAUGAUGAGAUAGUUUUUUGAUUGAGUAAAUUUUGGGGGCUUGAGUAUAUUGGGAUUUGCAAUUACAAUUAUCCUCUGCCUCAGGUGAUUUCUUCUCCUGCCCUGUCGUUGUUUGUUCUCUAAUUCAAAAUUAUAAAAUAUUUCAUCAAAUUUUAUGCCGGGAAUAUGCAAAAGUUUCUAAUAUUUUAUUUCCAUCUGUUUGUCUUGAUAACUUUGCAGCAUAUGUACUAGUUAAAGAACAAAUCGAAACAGAGUUCAGUUAAAAGUUUCUUCUGCCGUCAUAUUUGAAAAAUGAACCCAUUUCCAGGAAGCAAUGGGCAGCAAAUUCAUAUAAAGCGUAGACAAUGAUGAGCAAACAGGUGAUUCACAUUAAUGAAAUUAAUUGUUUGGUUGGAGCGGACAUUGUUAGAAGGCUAUUGAGCUAACCUAUGUCACUACUUGCCUAGAUUACAGGGGGUCAAAACUCAAAAGCGGCAUUGAAUUUUAAAAGGCAUCCAAUAAUUCUUGUGGCCAUAUAUCAAUUCAUGUAUGUUUGAAUGUAAUUAUUGGUGAAGGGGUUUCACUUCCCGUCUCUAAAUAAAAAUACUGAUUCUUUAAGGUACCUGCCACUAGGGAUUGCGAGAUUAAUGAGUCUUUGGACAUUGGAAGAGCUCCUUGUGAGUGGAGGAGGAGGUGUUGAUGGUAGCAAAGCAUGUGGGCAGUGGGCUUGAAUCUCUAAAAAACUUGGAACUCCUCCAAGCGUAAGUAUACGUAUACUGGGAAAUUUGUUAGAUGUGGAUGAGGCUAAGAGAUUAGAGCUUGACAAAAUGAAAUACCUCUUUCAUUGAGACUUAAAUUUGAUGGGGAAGAAGAAAAAGAAGAGGGAAGGAGGAAGAAUGAGGAUAAUCAACUUGUUCUUGAAGCCUUGCAACCACCUCUGAAUUUGAAGGAAUUAGAGAUUUGGUCAUACAGAGGCAACAUUGUUUCCCCCCGGAUGAUGCAAAAAUUGAAGGAAUUUACCAAUCUAAGGAGUUUGACACUCUUUAAAACUGCAAAAAUUGAGAGCAGUUGCCUCCUUUGGGAAAAUUGUGAUCCUUUGAAAAUCUCAGCAUAUUGUACAUGGAGAGUGUGAAAACAGUGGGUAAUGAAUUUCUGGGAAUAGAAAGUCAUCUUCAUGACUCAUCUCCAUCUUUAUCAGUUAUUAUUGCCUUCCCCAAAUUGAAAUCACUUUCAGUUGAGGGAUUGAUGGAAUUGGAGGAGUGGGAUUAUGGGAUUAAAAGAACAGGAAACACCUUCACCAACAUUAUGCCACGUCUUUCUUCCUUGGAAAUUAGUGUGGGGUUAUGGGAUCGCACAACCACGUUGAAGGUAUUGCAGAUUGUGGCAUGUGGUACUCUAAGAAGACGUUGCAGACAGGGGAGAGCAGAAGACUGGCCUAAGUUCUCUCACAUUCUAGACAUCAUGAUUGUGUGAAAAGAGGCCCUUGACAAAAUUCUCUAGGCGGCUACAUGGAGUACAAUCAUAAAAUGCUAAUGUGGCCACCCUGGUUCUUAAUUAAGGUUGUGAAAUAUUAUUGUAAAAGAUGAUUAAUUCAAUUUGAGUCAUUCGUUUGCUUUGAUAAUGAUAGUAAUUUUAUAUUUUGACAAUUUGCAAGGUGAGAAUGGUGCUGAUUGGUGAUACAGGAUACGGUUCAAACACCAUUGAAUAAAGCUACGGACAUGGUGGCUCAACUUAGCUAUUGCUGUCAAAAUUGGUAAGUUGGCUUGUCAAUGUAUUGAUGCUUUUGUUUUCUCUCAACCCUAAUUACCUUACCUUCAUUUAGUUUGGCUUUGGAGUUGAGUAAUAACUUUCAAGGUUCUCAAACAGAGCAGGACAACCGAAAAAAAAAGCUUAAUUUGCUACUGAUCACGUGUUACCAAUUAUUAAGGUAAUUCUCGUUUACUUGCUUCUACACUAUAGAGUACGUGUUCUGGCUGGUUUAUCUAAUUCAUCAAAUGUUAUUUCCUUAUUGUUCCAUUGAUAUAUUUGUUAGAAAGUGAAACCAUUUCCAGGCAGCAGUUGGCAGUGAAUUCAUGCAAAUGUUGAUGCCAUUCAUAGAUAUUGAAGACAAUGAUGAGCCAAAGGUGAUAAAUCAUUAAUGCAUAGUUACCAAAACCUCCAUCCUUCUCUCAUUGUAAUUUGAUUUGAAAUGAAUAAUUUCUAGGUAAUUGAAGCCAAUAUUGUUAGAAACGGUGUUGAGCUACCCAAGCUAAGAAGUUGGCUGCCAAAAAAUGCAGGGGAUCAAAAGAAGCAUUGCAUUUGAAAAGGAAUGAGAUUCUGGUUGCUACAUGUCAAUUCGUAGAAGUUUCAAUAAAUUUAAUGGUUCAAGAUUUUAGUUUCUGUUUAAAUUUGUGCUACUGCAGUGCUGCAGUGCUGCUACUGGGAAAUUUAAAUCCCAUAUUAGACUUUCCUCACAUAAGAAGCUGUGGAUCUUCGGACAUCAGGUUUUUUCACAGUUCUGAAACUCUCAGGAUUAAACUCUAUUAAAGUUGUUGUAGUUGUCUACGUUCUCAGGUCAAGGAUUCUAAGCUGCCGAUUAAGGCAAAAUGUCAGAAUUCCCCUAUUAUUUUUUUUUUCAUGUAAAAUUAUGUUGUUGUCUUCGCCCAUGAAUCUUAGCUAAAUUCUGAACCAAUUGUUUGCUAUUAUAAAUUUCAUUGUUAAAUAUUAAUUGUGAUGUUGGUGUUGAGUUUCUUUUAAAGUCAGAGAAGCCUGACGAUUGAGUUCCAUGGGAUUCUGAGAAGCAGUAAUAUUUUGAACAAGUGAAGGUUCUUCGUUUUUACAGUAUGUGCAGAUGUCUAAGAGGCAGGAUUUUUAUUUCUGUAAUGCUAAAUUUCGCAAAACAAUAAAAAUAAAUAAAUGCAUGACAGUGACUUCAAGAAUUUAGAUUAUUGAAUUUGGUCAUUUUAAAAUUGUUGGAAUGUUGAACUUAAGUAAUUUUUAUAAACCAGAGCUCAGAAAUGUAGAAUAUAAAUAUUGGAGAUUUGGACUUCAAUCAUUAGACUUGAAGCUAAAGAGGUAAGCCAUUAAUUAUAUCAAAGGAUUUGGAAAAUGGAGGGAUUGGAAAAAGGAAACAUUUUCAUAAACUUCAAGAGGAACGUCACAGAAAGGGGUAAAGAGAAGAGUAGCCUAAGAUAUUAAAGACAAUGUUGAGCCAAAGGAAACAUAAAUCCCAACCAUUGCAUGUGAACAUGAUCACAAUAAGGUCAAAAACCAUUUUUUUGAGAAUUUUCAAUUGAAAGUGAAACCUUUUGACAUUUACCUAGUAAAGUUAGUUAAACGAGAGAAAUAAAGGGGAAAAGAAAAGUUGACUCAAGUCAAUACAGAAUAAUUAGUUCAAUCUGGAGUAACUAAAACAGAGCCACUAUAUUUUCAAAAAUAUCUGCAUUCAUCACCUUCUCCUCCAGCUAGUGAGCUACACACGAAUCCUUUCCUUUUAGCAUUUUUGCAGCAUCAAUUUCUCCCCUCGUUUGUCAUCAAUUUCUCCCUUCGUUUCACCAAUACCAUGGCUGAUGCAAUCGUUUCCCCUCUCUUGGAGCAGCUGAUUAUCUUUGCUGCUGAAGAGUUGAAACAACAGGGGAAGCUGGUGAGUGUUGGAUGAGUGGAUCACAGCAUGCGCCAAAUCGCAAAAUAGAUCAAUGCUCUUGGUGCUCCUUAUCUGAAGAAGAAGGUGCAAAUUGGGAGCUGCAUUUCACUGUCAUAACAUUUAUUGUAAUUUCAUUUGGAGAUAUGUAAUAUCUGUUGUCCAGAUACAUAUCAUACACCAGUUGCUAUGUAAUUUCGUUUAGGUUCAUUUUUGUUUCUUAAGAGUUUGUAAAAAGAAUGGAAAGAUUUUAAAAUAUAAAUUUCAUAUCUGUUUAUUACUGUUGUUUGGUCUAAUUUCUUAUGUAGAAUUUUCAGAAUCUGUAGGACAUUAGUUUAUAAUUUUGAGAUUUUGCAGCCAUAAAAAAAAUUUUUUUUUUUUGCCAUUUUAUUUUGCUCCUUUAUCUAUGUGCAUGUUGACUGGCUGCAGUGAGUGAAAAUUUACCUAUAUAUGCUGGCUAUUCUUGGACAAUAUUAGAGAAAAUAAUCAUAUUAUUUCGCGUGAUGUGAACUUCCAUAACUUAUCAAUUGAAUUGCUGUAAAAUAUUAAAUAGUUUUAUUUUUCUUUUAUCGUGUAACUUGGACCAAAAAAGGAAAUGAGUUUAACACGACCCUCAAUAUAACCUCCAUUUCAGCACAAUACAUGUUAAUUGUUCCCCAAGGACUUCUCCUGUUUCCCAUUCCCACCUCCAUGCUCUCGAGAGGAAUUUAGCACCCAUCAAUUUUUAUUUUUGAAAACUCGUAAUGGUCUGAUAAAAUUAAACAACAUCAAUAAUGUUACCAGUCUUUAAAUAGUAAUUAAUUUAUUUAAUUUGCCACCUAAAAGAAUCCUGCUGGAAAUAGAGGUUAAAAAUUUUAUUAGAUCUGCUUACCUUUGUUCAUUCAGCAAAAACACUUACAAUUCACAGCUAGAGAAUCUAUCCAUUGACAAUUGUGGAUUAAAAUUAUAACACCUGAAUUCAAACAUAUCCUUAUGAAGUUAUGAAUUUGUUCAUACUUCAAAUGAUUUUUUUUUCCAAGCUAAUAAAGCAACCACUUUGAUCAAACGACGACGUUGAAGGAAUUACGUAUUUUCAAUGUCCUUUUCCAGACAGAUGUUGGAGAGAGGGAAAGGAGAAGACUGGCCUAAUUAAGAUAUCUCACAAAGAUUAUUGAGUUAAAAUGUUAUUGUAAAAGAUGUUUAAUACAAUAAUAGUAAUUCUUUUGCAUUGUUAUAAUGAGGCUGGUGGGUUUCCUCAGAGGAUGGAUAUGGCUCGCUAGCAUGCAUUUGGGAAGAUGCUAAUUAUCGGCCAUAAAAAGUCAGGGGGUUGUGGCUCUUCCGUCGCCCAGAAAUUCCUAAACUCAUAUAUCAAACUUCAGAUGAACUUGGGCAUUAUGUAAAUAUGUAUUUUUGAGAAUUAAACUAGUGCGUUCGAAAAAUUUUGAGCCAUUGUAAUCAUUUUAUUUUGCUAAGAGAAAAUUUUACUUUGUUUCGCUUUGCCUUUUGUUUUUUCUGUGAUAAUAUGAUUCAUACGAAUGUGAUUACACACUAUCAUGCAUCUAUUUUCAUUUGCUUGUCAUGAAUGGUCAACAUGCUCGAAAUAUUUACUUAGGUUGGAAAUAUUUGAAUCCACUAAAAUACUAUACAAACCCAUUUUAAAAUUAAAAAAAUGAUUAUCAUAAUACUCGUGAAGAUAACACGAUAUCAUACAUAAAAUAAAAUAUUUCGCAAAAAAGAUAAGAUACAAAUCUUGAGUAAAUAGGUACAAAAAAUAUUUUAGUGGGUUAAGUAGCACUAAUGCCCCCUUAUCAAAAAAUAAAUAAAAAUAACUAGUCUGAUUGGGUAUACCGUUUAUAUAUAUGUACAUAUUCUUGAUAAUGUGUAAUGUACAUUAUAGACAAAGAUUUUGAAAGCAAUAUUUUUUAAAAAGUCGAGAGAAUAGGAAAAGUCUAAAUCAAUUUUCUAAUCUCUACCUCCUUUAUGAUUUAAACUUUAGUGUUUAGUGUCGCGAGCCACUCAAAUUUUCUAAUCAAAGAGACUAAAUUGCACGAAAUUGUGCUAGCUUAUUUGAUUCUAGAAAUUUCUACUACACUGUAACACACUCUCACGUAGGGAUGGCAAUGGGGAGGGGAGGGGAGGGGACCAAUCUCCCCAUAUCCAUCCCCGAUAUUUUACAUAUGUCCCCGUCCCCGUCAGAAUUGCUUGAGAGAAUCCCCAUCCCCUCCUCGAAUAAUAACAGGGGAUCCCCGAGGGUCCCCGGUCCCCGAAUAACUAAUAAUCUAAUACAUUUUUUUAUUUUCGAUUUUAAAUUAAUCAUAUUAAAAUAAACUCAUACCGCUAUUGUAAGCUCGUAACCAAUUUUGACAGCACAUUAAGGCCUCCAAUGUGCUUGGAUGAAGUCUGUUAUGGUAUGGGCUCACAACUCUACCACUAGUGUUAAAAGCUGAUUCAGAAGCAACUGUUGUAAUUGGAAUUGCCAAAAUAUCUCUAGCAAUUCGAGCUAAUGUAGGAUACCUAUUAGCAUUUGUCUUCCACCAACUCAAAAUAUUAAAAUCUUCCAUCCGAGGUAUAACUUUCUCAUCCAAAUAUGAAUCUAAUUCAUCUGCAACAACUGCACAAUCUCCAUUGUUUACAUAAUCAUCAAAACCUAUCAUCCAUUUGGUUGCUUUCUUAUAAGAAUCCCCUGUAGAUCUAGUAGAAGAACUACUACCAGUAUAAUCAAAGCAAUAAACAGUUGGUGAAAACUUCAAUUAAUACUCUUCAACUAAUUCCCGGCAAAGGAUGACCACUUUCCCAACAUACAACUAUUUUGAUAUUUAUUAUUUUUAACAAUAUUUAUAAUUUUGUUAUUUAUUUAUUAGUAAUUUUAAAAAUAAAAAUAAAAUUAAAAAUUAAAAUGGGGAAAUGGGUAGGGGAUGGGGAUUCCACCUCAUCCCCGUCCCCUCCCCGAAUAAAAAAUUGGGUAAAAAAUUUUCCCCGUCCCCUCCCCGAAAAAAAAAUUGGGUAUAAAAUUAUCCCCGUACCCUCCCCGAAUGGGGAAAAUCCCCGAGGGUAUCCGUCCCCGUGGGGAUUUUUGCCAUCCCUACUCUCACGCUUGUACAUACCUCGAAAUUCUCUAGAAUUUACUAGAGUAGUGUUGCAUGUAGCUUGUACAUAGGUUUUUCUGGAACACUCCAGGCAUUACUAAGCAUGAGAGCCUUGAGAACUCUCUAGCCAUAAAACAUUCUAGGGUAAGCCUACCCUAAAAAUAGGGCAUGAUGCUUGCCACUUGAGCAUACAACAAGUAAGAACAAAUCAAGCAUACUUGUGAGCUCUCAAACUCUCUUAUACACACUUUUAUGAAUAAUAUAUUCUCUCUUUGGCUAUAUUGCUCUCUCUUCUCUCUAGUUUUUUUCGCAAGCAUCAAACCUUAGUUAGUCGAAAAAUUCAAGGCUUACUUUAUAGCUAUCUCGUAAAAGUUGUUUAAGUACCAUAGAGAUUUGCUGUGCAAAAUACUCAUCACAUGACAUUAGCUAAAUAAAAUUGUUUGAAAGCCACUUACCCAAACUAUUAAACGAAUAUUGACUUUUGUCUUAAUUUUCUAUCUCCUACGAUAAAUUUUAUAGUUAAAAAUUGAAAAAAAUUAAUAACUAUUAGAUAGAGCAUUCUUUAUUGUUAAAAGAAAUCUAUAUAGAUAGAUAGAUGGUAAUAUAAAAACUUACUUAUUGUAGUAUAAUGUUUUUAGUUUUUUGAAACACAGAUUCUCACUUUUUAAAGAUAAAAUUCAAAGAAAACAAGUUAAAUGUUGUAGAAAAUCUUCCAGCCAUACAAGAAAUUGUGAUGGCUAAAUGCAAACCUAACUAAAGUAUUAGUUGUUUUAUUACAAUCUCCAAAAAGAUGAGCAAUUCCAAAAUCUUUUUUUGUGACAAUAAACACUACACGUCAGUAAUUAUCCAGGUCAAAAGCAAGCUACUCUAUUAAAAAAAAAAAAAACUUGCAGUGAAUUCGAAGAUAAACCAAUUUUACUAGCAAGUUGGAUACAAAAGAGUAGGGCUUCGGCCUCAAUUACUCAGUGUACCAACAACUCAAUCUCGGUGAGUUAAAAUCAACUUCCAUCAGUCUUUUAUUUGUUGAUAGAUCGAUUAAGGUACCAAAAAGAAUAAUUAAAGAUGUAUUAGUUCAAGUUAAUAAAUUCAUAUAUCUUGUGGAUUUUAUUAUUUUGGAAACUGAACCAAUUGCUAAUGAAUGCAAACAAAUUCCUGUUACAUUGGGUCGUCCAUUUUUAACUACUGCUAAUACAUUGAUUAAUUGCUGGAAUGGAGUAAUGAAUUUAUCUUUCGGCAACAUGACAUUGGAACUUGAUGUGUUCAACAUAUGUAAACAACCUCACCACCAGGAAGAUGAUGAUAAUGAGAAUUAGGAGAUUGAUUUCAUCGAGCCAAUCAUUGAGGAACACAUUCAGAAUAAGAAUUUUACAAAUUCUGUGGAAAUUUAUUCUUCUUGUUCUUUUGAAUCGAGUAAAGAAUUAAAUUAUGAUACUGCUAACAUAUAACCUACAAUUGAUUCUAUGCAGGUACAUGCUGACAAUGGCCAAUCAAACUUUAAAGAUACAGAACAACCUGAAGAACCAAACGAAGAGCAAGUACCAGAGCUCAAAUUAAAGCCCUUACUGGAAGAAUUGAAGUAUGUCUAUCUUGGAGAACAACAGAUUUAUCCUGUGGUAAUUUUUUUCCCAACUCACGCUUGAUCAAGAAGGUAAGUUGUUGUCUGUACUAAAAAGGCAUAAAACUGCAUUUGGCUGGACUUUAAAAGACAUAAAAAACAAUAAUUCUUUAAUCUGCACACACCGAAUACACUUAGAGGAAAAUACCAAAACAACCCAUCAACAUCGACAUUAUAUGUGUAAACAUUAAAUACCAAAAUCAACCCCAAAAACUAUAAAUAAAAUAUCAUGAUUAAAAUGAAGUUUUUUUUUAGAUAUUCGUUGUAGUAUCUCUUUAGAUCGCAAACAAGAGAUAAAAUAAAUAAAUAUUUGCUAUGUAAAUAAAAAUAAAUAAUUUUUUUUAACUGAAAAAUAUUCUCAAAAACUAAAUAGUUCAAACUUUUUUUAACAUCAUGUGUUUCUAGGGUUGGGCAUUCAGUUCGGUUUUUACCGAACCGAACAACUAAAUUAAAUCGAAAUUACCUGUUCGGUUCAAUUGAAUAGACAAAAACCGAAGAGUUUAUAUUUUCAUGAACUGAAUGAUUUGUGUUUCAGUUGAGUUCGGUUCGAUUCUGGACCUGAACCGAACCGAACCGAUCCGUGAAUCGUAAACUGCCCACCCUUACGUAGUAGUUUCCGUUAACCGACGUUGUAUUGCUCGUAUAAAAUUGUUCAAAUGUUCAAAUCACAGUCUCCCGCUCUCAGCUCAGUCAGAGUUUCCAGGUCCAGAGACUUCCCGCUGACUGAGAACUUUUUCGUAGCAGGUCUACAAAUAAUGGAGUAGAGCUGAUUUUAUGAUUAAUUUAUUUCCUUUUUCAAUUUCUCUUGAUUGCGAUUUAAUCUGGAAAGUUAAACGUGAAUUGUUUAGUGCGGAUUAAAUGUUCGACGAAUUUCCCACAAGAGUAUUAAGUUCAAGAGAAAAAAAGAAAACAAUUGAGCGUGAGCGUGAGCGAGAAUGGUGUUUGGGCAAGUGGUGAUUGGUCCGCCCGGCUCGGGAAAGACCACUUACUGCAAUGGCAUGUCUCAGUUUCUCAGCCUUGUUGGCAGGUAACUUCGUUUCUUGAUUUCAAGCAGCUUUAUCUUCGAUGACCAAAAAUAUUGAUUUGGGCUUUGCCAUUAAAUGAAUGUAAGAGCAGUAGGGAAUAACUGAGUUAUAGGAUUAGCUUUAAGUGAACAUUGAUGGUAAUGUGAAGGUUGUAUGUGUUCAGUGGCAAGCUGUAUGCCAAUUUGGUCUAUAUGGUUGCUUAGGUAGUAACUUAUUAAUUUUUAGGCAGGAAGGUUGCAGUCAUCAAUUUAGUUCCUGCUAAUGAUAGUUUGCCGCAUCCUUUGUCAUUGAACUUUCUUACAAAUGCUGUGGUUUGUUGUAGUAUAAUUAGUUCAAUUGGAAAUUUCCUUGAUGUUAAUAUAGAAAUGAGUGUGCUGUGAAUAUUGAGGACCUCAUUAGACUAAGUGAUGUGAUGAUGGAGUAUUCACUUGGUCCCAAUGGAGGUUAGUCAGCCUAUUGUUGUUUACUCUUUCUUGCUUUAUCACGCAAUGAUAUUCCUUUGCUUUACAACAAAUUUCAUGAAAUUAACUUCAAUCAAGUGGCAAUGUUCAUACGCUGUUGAGAUUUUAUGGACAAUGAUUUGGUAGAAUUUAUAUGCCGUCUUCUUUCUUUUUGCAGUGAUAUGCUUGUAUUCAAUGAGCUUGUACUUAUUCUAUGGUUUCUAAAGUAGGUGUUUUUAUGAUAAACUAGGUCUUGUGUAUUGUAUGGACUAUCUAGAGAAGAAUAUUGACUGGCUGCAGUCGAAAUUGGAACUACUUUUGAAAGGUAAGUAGAGGCCAUUUUCCUUCAUUCUAAUGCCAAUAAUGCUGUCAUGAGACUCAUAAAAAUUGUUAAAACGUUAAUGUUUUUGGUAUUUUGCAGAUCGUUAUCUUCUGUUUGAUUUUCCUGGCCAAGUUGAAUUAUUUUUUCUUCAUUCCAAUGCCAAGACUGUUAUAAUGAGACUCAUAAAUAAGUUAAAUCUCAGGGUAUUGUUACAUCUUACAUCUAUGAAGGGACUCAAAGAGUUGAGAUGAAUUCAUCUUUGUUAUUUUGAUGCCAGAAUUGUGCAAUUCUCAGUUUGUUCCUUUCACAUGCAGUUGACUGCAGUGCAUCUAGUUGAUGUGCAUCUUUGCAGUGACCCCAGGAAGUAUGUUAGUGCUUUGCUUCUCUCAUUGUCUACGAUGCUACAUCUGGAACUUCCCCAUGUCAAUGUCUUGUCUAAUCGAUCUGAUUGAGAAUCAUGGAAAGCUAGGUGUGGUUUUAAGUGUAGCUCUCCUGCUUGUUUGUUUAGUUUGAAAUAUCAGAUAUUGUCACAAGAUCCUAUUUGCUACAUUUCCUCACCAAUCAAUUAUUUUGGGUCUGUUGCAGCUUUUAAUCUCGAGUACUAUACAGAUGUGCAAGAUUUGUCAUAUUUACAGCAUGCUCUCGGUCAGGACCCUCGUUCUGCUAAGUACAGGUUUGAAUUCUAGCUGAAUCAAUGAUGCAAAUUAUGUCCAUUGUUAUUUCUGCUGUUGUUUCUAUCAUUUUCAAUUGUUACUUCCCCUUUCCAUCUACUACCACACUACAAUACCCACACAAAUGUUGUGAAAUUUGUCAAUGGAAAAAAAACAGUUCCUCUUUUAUUUUGAUCAGACUCAAUGAAUAAGUGGUUAAAAUGUGCCUGUCCUAGAAAUAUAGAUGUGUGGUUUCGUAAAAUUUUCUUGAUCUUAAGAAAGAGUUAUCUCGAAAAGAAGAUAACAUGGAGAAUUCAACAACUAUACAGUCAUAUUGAUGUCUGUCAACUUGGGUCAUAUGGUGUCGUUUGGAUGGAGAUGUUAGGUCCCAGAUGGUAAACUUGUUAUCGAAUUCCAGUCUACUUCAUUCAUGCUUUGAUGACAUAUACGGUGCAGCUUCUUAUCUAAGACCUGCAUAUGUUCAAUCAUCAUUCUGUUCUGUAUUUGGCUGCCAUUCUUUUCAAUGAAUUCAAACCACUUCUGAAUACUUGCAAAUUCAUCCAGUGUUGUCAUUGAGAUGCCAAUAUGAAAGGAAGCCAUAAUUGCCCUUGAUAGUAUGCUUAUUGAUUGCCUCUUGCCUCACUCAGCCUCAUGAAUCUGCUUGUAUGGUGUUCUUGUAAUUUCAUUUGGAGAUUAGUAAUAUCUGUUGUUCAAAUGUAUUUUAUAUACCAGCAGUUAAUAAUUCUGCUUGCAGAAAGCUUACAAAGGAGCUGUGUGAUGUAAUUUUUCAACCUUAGAUAUCCAGGUCAUCAGUUUCUCUUGAAUUCUUUCUUGAAUUUCUUUGAAUUAUUUGUGAAUAAGAUCUUAGUUGGCUGCUUCUCUUCAGGAUAAGGAAAGUGUGGCAAAACUCGUGAAGCUGAUAUAUAAAAGCAAUGGGUACAUCUUUGCUGGCAUGGAUGCCAGUGCAGUUGAAUUCAGCAAGAUUGCCGUUCGCGAUGUUGAUUGGGAUUAUUUCGGAUAUCCUUCUUUUCACCUAUUUUCAAUGUUGUUAUUCUCAUAUUCAUAAAAUUUUUUGGUUAUUUAAUUAUGGUUCAUCAUAUGCAUCUGCAUCUUCUAACUUGUUCGUUUGAGAAACUAAUUUUGCCGUUAGGUAGGCUUCGAGCUUGAUGAGUUGAUUCAUGCUUUUUUCAUAAAUGUACCAAAAUCAUGGAAACUUCUUUUUCCCAGAUAUUGUAUCCACACUUUUUCCAUGUAAUUGGGUCAGACAAGUUUUGCUUAACAAAGAUAUCUACAGUAGCCGAAGUGCAGGAGAAGUACAUUAAGGAUGAUGAUGAUGUUAACUAAAAUGAGACGUGAAGAUAUGUGGUGUGCGAACCGUAAGCCUGCCUCUUAAUUUUGUGCAUGUUUACUUGCUUGUGAUUCACGUUUGUUAAUCUAUUUUGCUCUCUUGCAGGAGUUAUAAAGUUUUCAAUCAAUCAAACAUUUAACUUAAGUCCUUACCUCUUGCUGCAAAGACAAUGGGAAGUCUCAUGAGCUCUAAAAAAACUGAAGAAGAGUGGAAAAUAAUUUUAAAUAGUGAUUUAUGGAAGGUAAAAGAGAUCGAGAAAGGUGUUCUAACCCCUUUGUGGUUGAGUUAUAAUGAUUUGCCGUCCAGAGGAAAAAGAUGUUUCUCGUAUUGUGCUGUCUUUCCAAAAGACUACAAUAUAAAAAAAGACAAAUUAAUUACUUUGUGGAUGGCUCAAGGUUAUCUUAGUGCAGAAGCAGCAGAACAAGAUGAGGAGUUGGAGACUAUAGGUGAAGAGUAUUUUGGCAUCUUAGCUUCUCGCUCUUUCUUUCAAGAGUUUCAGAAACGUUAUGAUAAUCGUAUUAUAGCGUGCAAGAUGCAUGAUAUGGUACAUGAUUUUGCCCAAUUUGUUAGUCAAAAUGAAUGUUUUUCGUUGGAAGUUAAUGGUAGUGAGGAACUAACCGUCACAAACUCUACAAACUCUCUUGAUGAGAAGGUCCGUCAUUUAAUGUUAAUCUUUAGUAAAGGGACUUCAUUACCUGUUUCCACUCGUAGAGUUAAAAGAAUGCGUACCCUCUUAAUUAACGAUAGUAGAUCUGAUCAUUCAUUAUUAAAUGGUGAGAUCCUAGAAGAAUUAUUUAGGGAAUUGACAAGUUUAAGGGCAUUAGAUUUUGGCAAAUCGUAUAACUCAAGUUGGUCUUCGACUGUGGAGAUUCCGAGAACCAUAGAAAAGCUGGUACAUUUAAGAUACCUUAAUUUGUUUUAUCAGGGAAUAAAGAAACUACCGGAGACAUUAUGCGAGUUGUAUAAUCUAGAAAAGUUAGAUAUUAGUUUAUGUUUUAAUCUUAAAGAAUUACCUGAAGGGAUUGGGAAGUUAAUAAACAUGAAGCAUUUACGAAAUAGAGGUACUAGUUCUUUAAGGUACAUGCCAGUAGGGAUUGGGAGAUUAACGGGUCUCAGGACCUUGGAUGAGUUCCACGUGAGUGGAGGAAAGCGUGUAGGCUUGAAUCUCUUAAAAAAUUGGAACACCUUCAAGUAUGUGGUAUACGUAGACUGGGUGAUGUAUCAGAUGUGGGCGAGGCUAAGCGAUUAGAACUUGACAAAAAGAAAUACCUCUUCAGUUUGACCCUUGAGUUUGAUAAGAAGGAGGAAGAAGAAGGAGAAAGGAGGAAGAACGAGGACGAUCAAGUUCUUCUUGAAGCCCUACAACCACCUCUCAAUUUAAAGGAAUUAGAGAUAGAGUACUACCGAGGCAACACUGUUUUCCCCAGCUGGAUGACGUCAUUAACCAACUUAAAGAGUUUAGAUCUCUCUUCCUGCGAAAAUUGGGAGCAGCUGCCUCCUUUGGGAAAAUUGCCAUCCCUUGAAGCACUCAGCCUAUGGGACAUGAAGUGUGUGGAAAGAGUGGGUGAUGAAUUUUUGGGGAUAGAAAGUGAUCAUCAUGGCUCAUCUUCAUCGGUUAUUAUUGCCUUCCCCAAAUUGAAAUCACUUUCAAUUGAGGUUCUGCGCGAAUUGGAGGAGUGGGAUUAUGGGAUUACAAGAACGGGAAACACCGUCAUCAACAUCAUGCCACGUCUUUCUUCCUUGACAAUUGCACUUUGCCCCAAAUUAAAGGCACUGCCCGACCACUUUCAUCAAACGACAACAUUGAAGGAAUUGCACAUUUGGGAUUGCAGGCUUCUGGAAGAACGUUAUUGCAAGGGGGAAGGAGAAGACUGGCCUAAGAUAUCACACAUUCCCAACCUCCAUAUUGGGCUUUGACAAGUAAUUUCUUCUCUUACUCUGAUUUGCUUUGUUGUUGUUUUUAAUCUAAUUAAGAAGCGUAAAUAGCAUUUUGAAUCAAACUCUAUAUCAGAAAUCUGCAAUACUUACUUUCUAAUAUUCUGAUUUUCAUAUCCUAUGAAUAUACGAUUUUUAAUUUGUGAGAUGGGUAACGUUACUGUAAAAGAUUAUUAAUGCAAUAUGAGUAAUUCUUUUGCAGGACAAGUGACCUACAUUUAGUUUGGCUUUGGAGUUGAAUAAUAACCUUUCGAGGUCCCGACAACCAAAAAACGAAGCUUAAUUUGCCACAGAUUGCACGUAUUGCCAUUAUUGACAAUUUUCUGCACAAGCUUAGGUUGAUGUCAAAAGAGGUAAAUUAUUGGCAUGCCUGACUAUUUUGACCAUUACACGAUUCAUAAGUUUACAUUAAUUUUGAUUUUGAGUUGAGUGAUUAGUUUUCUAGGUUUGCUUACUUUAACUGGGUGACCAAUUUCUUGUAACUAAAUGUAUGAUGUGAAGCAGAACUCAAACAAAAGUAUGCUACUUCUUGCGGAAAUCUUGCCUUUGUUCAGAUUAUGAAACCAUUUCCAUGCAGCAAAUUCAUCCAAAAGUUUGAAUAAGUUUCACGGUUGGACACUGUUGGUUUCUUUUUCUUCUGGGGUGCAUUUAGGUGCUAUCAAGUGACAGCUGUAAGUAUGAUUGCACUAAGCUGCCGCUGGGAAAUUUGAGGUUUUGAUGGCUGCCCAUGUUAUUUUCAAGAAACUAUUGAUGUAAGAAGCUGUGGUUCUUUUCAUCAGCUUGAACCUGAAACUGUCGCUAUGGAUAACUCAGGUUUUUGUUAUCAACUAUAUCAUCUUUUUCACUAUUUUGAAACUCUUAAGAUUAAACUUUAGUAAAGUUGUUUCAGCUUUUCAAAUGAAAAACUCAUUGAUUUGAGACUUCCUUCAUUAUUGUUUCUAAUUACAAUGCUAACGAUCCAGAUAAGAUAAUAUUUAAUCGGCGAAGGUGUCCCUUGGAAGUACAUCCUUCUUUUUCUUUUAUUAUACAAAUUCUUGCAAUGAGCUUAGUGAAGCUGUUGUGCUAAUCAUGCCACUGCAUAAUUUGGCCCCUAAUGUGGGUACUCUGUUACAUUGUUCUGCAAAUUCUCCAGAAGUUAAAAUCAAUAAAUUUUCUAUUAGCUCUAGUGCUUUGACCUAAAUGCUAUUCUAUAUUCUGAUUACAAUGUUUUACCUUUAAAUUAACUACCCCUAGAUGUUGGAUUUUCUAGAACUUCAAAAUGAUUAAUGGAGAAAGAUCCCAUUAUCGUUAUUGCUAUAAAAAAUUGAUUUAUGCAUCCAAAGAUACAUUAUAUAUUUCUGUGUCUCUAUUUAUAGAUGACAUUUAAGCAUCCAUAAACCGUCAGACAGAGGAAGGGGGUUCAGUGCAAAGAUUCUGUUGACCUAGGGUUGACUGCAUAAUGUCACUUGUUCGCAAUCUAUUAUUCUUUUCAAGGUCUGCUUCCUUAACGGAGCGACCAAUGUUUUUCAACUAAAUUUAUCAUAUGAUGCAGGAAGCAGGGCAGGAUAUGAAAUGUGAAGCUCAUUGGUGGAAGUAUUGCCAGUAACAGAACCCAAAGAAAAUGAAACUAUUUCAAGGCAGCAGUUGGCAGUUGCAAGUGAAUGGAGGCCCUUGACAAAAUUCUCAAGCGGUUGCAAUGCAAUUACGAUCAUCCUCAGCCUCAGGUAAUUUCUUCUCCUGCUUUGUAUUUAUUUGUUAUCUAAUUAGGAACCGUAAAGUAUCUUGAAUCAUUUUCUGUAUCUGGAAUAUAUGCAAGAGUUUCUAAAAUUUUGAUAUGAGUGUAAUGAUGGUAAUUUCUGUUUUCUGUCUGUCAUCAAAUGUUAGAAAACUUUCAUUGAGACCCUUGAACCGAGUCAUUUUUGACAAGUGAAGUGCUGAAGAGUGAAGAGUAAGAAUGGUGCUAGAUUGGGGAAUAAAGCAAAAGGAGGUAAAUUAUUGGCAGCUUCUUCAACCUUAUUUUCUUUGGACCAGUGCCUAAUUCACAAGUCUCCAUAAUUCGGCUUUUGACCAGUUGAUAGAUAAAAUUUUAAUUUCAUUGGUGCUAAUGUACCCGUGAGGCAGGCAGAGAAGGACUGUGGAAAAGAGAAGGUUUUUAGUGAAAGCUUAAACUCAGGUAAUUCUAAAAAUUAUAUGUUUUGGCUGAUUUAUCUAAAUCAGGAAAUUUUAUUUCCAUCUGUUACAAUAAAACAGAAACAGAACACAAAGAAAAAUAUUCUACUUCUUGUGGCAAUCUUGCCUUCAUUCAGACUAUGAAACCAUUUCCUUUCACCAAUUUCUUCCAAAAGUUUGAACACAUUUCAUGGUUGGACAUAGUUAGCUUCUUUUUCUUUUGGUGCAUUUAGGUGCUAUCAAGUGACAGCCGUAAGUAUGAUUGCAUUAUUGGGAAAUUUUAGGUUUUGAUGGCUCCCCAUGUUAUUGCCAAGAAAUUUUAAGUCCUCGUGUCAGAAGCUGCGUUUCUUUUCAUCAGCCUGAACCCGAACCUGUCACUAUGGAUAACUGAGGUUUUUGUCAUCAACUAUAUCAUCUUUUUCACUGUUUUGAAACUCUUAAGAUUAAACUUCAGUAAAGUUGUUUCAGUUAUCCAUGUAAUCAGGCUAAGGAUAUUUAGCAGCUUAUUUAGGCAACUGCCAGAAUUCAGUUUGUUCGCUCGAAACUUGUAUGGUGACAAGGAUACUGGCAAGGAUAGUGAGAUAGUUUUUUGUGUGAGUGAAUUUUGAAAGCUUGGGUGUUCUGGGAUUUGCAAUUGCAAUCAUCCUCUGCUUUAGGUGAUUUCUUCUCCUGUUCUGUCUUUAUUUUCUCUCUAAUUGAAAGCAUUUCAAUCAAAUUCUGUACCAGGAAUACGAAAAAUUUACCAAUAUUUUAUUUCCAUCUGUUUGCAUUGAUAACUUGGCCGCAUAUGUACUAGUUAAAGAACAAACAGAAGCAGAGUUCAGGAAAAAGUUUCUUCGGCCACCAUAUUUGAAAAUGAAACCAUUUCCAGGAAGCAGUUGGCAGCAAAUUCAUACAAAGUAUAGACAAUGAUGAACAAAAAGGUGAUUCGCAAUUUCAUUUUUUUAAAAUGAAAUUAUUUGUUAAGUUGGAGCUGAUAUUGUUAGAAGGCCAUUGAGCUAACCUCUGACACUGCUUGCCUAGAUUGCAGGAGGUCAAGACUCAAAAGAUGCACUGAAUUUUAAAAGGCAUGCAAUAAUUCUUAUGGCCAUUUGUCAAUGGUGGAAUGCUUUUAGCUUCUUUUCCUUUUGUGCAUUUUGGGGUUCUAUCAAGCGACAGCCGUAUGUAUGGAUGGAUAUAGCUGCUGCGUUGAUUUCUAAUGCAUUGUAUGAUGUUAUAGCAACUAUCCAUCUGGUCAAUGUUUCAAAAGAAUAAGACAGGGAAAAAGAGAAAGCAAGUGGCCAAUCAAGUUGCAUCAACCAAAUUGUUGUUAAACAAGUAAAACAAAGAAAGAGAGUUAAGGAAGCUGACCUUGUAGUAGGGGAGCUGAAGAAAGGCUGCCAGUGAAUGUAAGAGAAAAUAAAAUGCAAGAAAUGGUGAAGUGCAGCUUUUCAUGUCAACUUGAAAUUGAUUUUUCUGUUUGUUUUUUUUUUUUUGUAAUCUUUUGGAUUUUUCAAACAAAGAAAAUGAGGAGCAACCAGGGAGAUAAAAAGGGCGCCAAGGCAACUGUGUGUUGGGUUUAGAGCCAAAAAUAAAUAAAUAAAUAAAUAAGACAUCGUGUUCUUGUGGAGACCAGACCUAUUACGUAACGUCCCCUUCAAUACCACUUGUUCCGUAUCUGGUUUUCUCUUCGUCGUUUACAUAUUUAUCCUGUGAUUUUACAAUAACUAAAUAAUCCCCGCAUAGUUUGCAAUUUUAUUCAUUUGGGCCCUACAGAUUUCAGUAAUAGGAAUUAUUAAGGGACAAGAGCGCAAAACAGAAACUCUGUCCACUACUGAUGAUAUAAUAACGAACCUUUGUUUUUUUUUUUUAAAAAAAAAAAGAGUAACAAAAUAUCAUUAGACAAAUGAAAAUAUUAUCUAACAUCACCUAUUCACCUUACUGAUGAUAUGAAAAUAUGUAUGUAUGUAUGUAUGUAUGUACAUAUAUACAUACACCUAUGUAACAUUUACUUAUACAUUCUUUUGAGUUUAAAUCUUAAUACAACUACAUACAACCACAUCAAUGUAUAUAUUUUUUACAUAAGACAUGCCGUCCUAUUAUUCAUAAGUAAACAAUGUGCCGUAAAUAGUAUUCUGUGUUUUCUCAAAGUUGACUUUUCGUCUUUUAUUUUCAGACGCAGACGCUAUGUCAUUUUGUAAUCGUCCGAACAUAUACAGAGCAGAAUUGGUGUUAUCUGAUUUUGUGAUGCAAUAAGAUUUGCACUUCCUGUGCAUUCAAUGGAAUCAUGCCACGCUAGUAGACAAUAUGCUAGUUUGAACAAACUUGUUUGAAUGGCAAAAACGACAUGACCUGCUGUAGUAUUAAUUCUUUCCCGAACCAACGGGUGAUUUGCUACGUUGGAUCAUGAAAAUUAACCAAAAUAAAAAUUCUUAAGGAAUUAGUUAGUUAAUUGAUUGAUCGAAUUUAAUCUAAAUUUGAAAAUGAUAAGAUAAAUUUAAAUUUAUUAUUAUUAUUAUUAUUAUUAUUUUAAAGUGGGUGGGUUUAUACAAUUUGAGCGGUGGAAAUAUCACUGCUGAAUUAUUAAAUAUACAGUGUAAAAUUUUGACCUUUAAAAUAUUCCCUUUUUUUUUUUAUUUAGCACUAUAAGUUUAAAAAUUUAACAUUUUACCUCAAUAAUUAAAUACUUUUAACUUUAAUCUUCAAAUAUUUACCCUACAACAUUUGGACCUAAAUUUUUAAUCCGACUCGGCCCCUGACCCAAGUGGGAAGAAGAUCAGGCUUAUAAGUUAUAACUAUCACCAACAUAACAUCUUCUGGAAAAUAAUAAGAUUACUCACCUGCAAUUAUGUGAUCAAACUAAUGGUAAGCAAAAUAGAACAGCGUUAUUUCAGUCCCCUUUCAGUUUCUUUAUCAUUUUUCUUUUCCUAUUUAUAAGCUUAAUUCGGUUCAAAAUCGGCUAAUUCACUUUGAUUUCACUUUUCUUUCUUUCGGUUCAAAAAAAUUGAACCCAUUGGCUGUCAAUUCAAUUUUGUUGAAAACCAACUUUGCCUGAAUUUAAGUAAUAAUAGAGGAAAAAAAAAGAGUACUUAGCAGAAGAGAUUUCUCAUUUUUUUCUCAUUCAAACUUCUAAAAUAAAAGAAAAAAAAACAAGAGUAAUUGUUAAUUAUCAAAAUUUUGUUUAUACUAUUCCACCAAGAAAAUUAUACAAAAAAAAAAAUUUUAAAAAUUGGAGAAGAAAUAUGAGGUGAAAUACGUGGAUGGCUUAGACUAAUAAUGUGAACAAAUUCCUCUUGGAAGCAUGUCAUUGUUCAUCCGGACAACACGCGGCGAUGAGAUUCGAGAAUAAAAGGAUAGGAAUCAACUGUAACCUCAUAAACAAAUGGCCUUGGAGUUGUAACCAAAGCUUUUAAUUAUUGAUCAUUAAGAUCGAUAUAAAGUAUCACGAAAUGAUGUGUACGACGACAAUAUCAAUAGCGUAGUGUGAAGACCUGGCUGUAAACACAAGGCUCGGCAGAUUAAUUAAACAAGAGUAUCCGAAUUUUCUAUGAUAAUCUCUAGGAAACGAUCAGCUAUAAUGUACGAAAUUAAAAUAUUGCAUAUAUUUUUGAAUUUUUGAACUCAUGCAUUAAUUUAAAAAAUUAUAUCGUAUUAUAAUUUAUUCACAAAAGAAAGAAAAAUUCACUAAUCAAGUGAAAUCGUAUUCUUAUUGAAAUGAAUUCCAGUAAUUGGAUAAAUAUAAGUAUUUCUUCCGUUGUAAUUUUUGUUUAACAGAAAAUCUAUUUGAGAUUUUGUGAGAAGAAACUCAACAAUAAAGUUUGAUAGACUUUGUGGAUAUUAAGAGUUUGACAAGUAAUUGAAAUCUGAAGUUUACUGAAAUUUACGAGCAAACAAACUGAAAUCCGAAGUUUACUGAAGUUUACUAUCAAGAGUUUCAAAACAGUGAAAAAGAUGAUAUAGUUGAUGACAAAAACCUGAGUUAUCCAUAGCGACAAGUAACAUACUGAAGUAAGCCGUUGGGAGCUGGCCUGUUCAUGGGCUAUUUUUCUCUGAUGAUCUGCAUUUUUCUUCCUUUUAAAGUGAACCUUGACUCGUAUCAAACCUGUCAAAAGAACAGUUCAUCAACUGAGCUGAGAUUUGCUUUCCUUUUUCAAAACCCACCUGAGAUAUUGUAAUUCCCAAAUUUCUCUCUCUCAGCUACACGAGCAAGCAGCCGCUUUUUCACUUCAUCGAAGAAGGUAAGCGAUUUAUCUAUUUCGUCCGAUUGAUUUCUUGUUUCGUUUUCAGUGUUCGGGUAAAUUAUUGGCAUGCCUGACUUUUUGACCAUUACAUGAUUCAUAAAUUUCUAUUAAUUUUGAUUUUGAGUUGACUGGUUACUUUUAUAGGUUUGUUUACUUUGACUAGGUGACCAAUUUCUUGUAACUAAAUUUAUGACGUGAUGCAGGAAGCUCGGCAGGAUAUGAAAUGAGAAUCUUAUUAGUGGAAGGAUUGCCAGUAACAGAACCCAAAGAAAAUGAAACCAUUUCAAGGCAGCAGUUGGCAGUUGGGAGUGGAUGGAGGCCCCUGACAAAACUUCAGUAAACUUCAGAUUUCAGUUUGUUUGCUCGAAACUUGCAUGGUGACAAGGAUACUGGCAAGGAUAAUGAGAUAGUUUUUGUGUGAAUGAAAUUACGAUCAUCCUCAGCCUUAGUUGUUAUUUGUUACCUAAUUAAGAAGCAUAAAGUAUCCUGAAUCAUUUUCGUUGUCUGGAACAUAUGAGUGUAAUGAUUGUAAUUUCUGUUUUCUGUCUGUCAUCGAAUGUAAGACAACUUUAUUAAGAUUCUUGAACCGAGUCAUUUUUGACAAUUGAAGGACAAGUGCUGAAGAGUGGGAAUGCAAAAAGUUUUGUUGUUUCUAGCCUUGUUUUCUUUGAACCAGCGCCUGAUGAUAUAACAGAAACAAGGCUAGAAACAACAAAAACUCUGUCCACUACUGAUGAUAUAACAACGAACCUUUGUUUUUUUCUUUUUUCUUUUUUUUUUUAAAAAAAGUAACAAAAUAUCAUUAGAGAAAUGAAAAUAUUAUCUAACAUCACCCUACUGAUGAUAUGAAAAUAUGUAUGUAUGUAUGUAUGUAUAUACGUAUGUAUGUACAUAUAUACAUACACCUAUGUAACAUUUAAUUAUACAUUCUUUUGAGUUUAAAUCUUAAUACACAUUUUCAUGAAAUUUUUAUUUUAUUAAGUAUACAACUACAUACAACUACAUUAAUGUAUAUAUUUUUUACAUAAGACAUGCCGUCCUAUUAUUCAUAAGUCAACAAUGUGUUGUAAAUAGUGUUCGUGUCUCAAAGUUGACUUUUCGUCUUUUAUUUUCAGACGCAGACGAUAUGUCAUUUUAUACACAGCAGAAUUGGUGUUAUCUGAUUUUGUGAUGCAAUAAGAUUUGCACUUCCUGUGCACUCAAUGGAAUCAUUUCUUUGUAACUAAUUGGGUGCUGGAAUGGUGGUCAAAUCUCGAACGAAGACAGAUCUAUCAAACUCCAGAAUUGGUGUUAUCUGAUUAAUUGAUUGAUCGAAUUUUAUCUAAAUUUGAAAAUGAUAAGAUAAUUUUGAAUUUAUUAUUAUAAUUAUUAUUUUAAAGUGGGGUGGGUUUAUACAAUUUGAGCGGUGGAAAUAUCACUACUGAAUUAUUAAAUAUACAGUGUAAAAUUUUGACCUUUAAAAUAUUCCCUUUUUUUUUUAUUUAGCAUCUAUAAAUUUAAAAAUUUAACAUUGUACCUCAAUAAUUAAAUACAUUUAACUUUAAUCUUCAAAUAGUUACCCUACAACAUUUGGACCUAAAUUUUUAAUCCGAUUCGGCCCCUGAUCCAAGUGGGAAGAAGAUCAGGCUUAUAACUAUCACCAACGUAACAUCUUCUGGAAAAUAAUAAGAUUAUUCACCUGCAAUUAUGUGAUCAAACUAACGGUAACCAAAAUAGAACAGCGUUAUUUGAGUCCCCUUUCAGUUUCUUUAUCAUUUUUCUUUUCCUAUUUAUAAGCUUAAUUCGGUUCAAAAUUGGCUAAUUCACUUUAAUAAGUUUAUUGGUUUGAACGCUGUUAGCUUCUUUUCCUUUCGUGCAUUUUGGUAUGCAACAGUUCUUGCCUAUGACACUGCUUGCCUAGAUUGCAGAAGGUCAAGGCUCAAAAGAAGCACUGAAUUUUAAAAGGCAUGCAACAGUUCUUGUGCCAUAUGUCAAUUCAUGCAAGUUUGAAUAAGUUUUUUGGUAUGCUAUCAAGUGACAGCCGUAUGUAUGGUUUGCAUAUAGCUGCUGCUGGGAAAUGUGAGGAUUUCAUGGCUGGCCGUGUUAUUGUCUUAAAUUAGAUGUGAUAAGCUGUUGCUUGGUGAUUCUGUUGCCAAGAAUUUGCUCACAUCAGAAGCUGUGGAACCUGAACCCUUCUCUAGAUAUCAUCUUUUUCAUUGUUUUAAAACUCUCAGGAUUAAACUUGAGUAAUUUUGUUCGGUUGUCUAUAUAAUCAUGUAUUGAGUAAACUCUCAGGAUACUGAGCAGGCAAAUGCCAUAACUCGGUUUGUUCUUCAAAAACUUGUUUAAGAUUCUUGACAAAGCUGCAUGAAGUGAAUCUUGGGAGCUUUGAGGGUGAGAGAAAUUAGAGGGUGUAUAGGGAUUUGGGCUUAUUAGGAAGUUAUAUAUGUAUUUCGUCACUUAUCAUUAUCAUUUUUUUUUUCACAGAAAACCUUCUGAUGGUGCUAAAUUUUCAAACACCGGUCCGAUUCAAAACUUCAUAUUCCAAUUAUAUUCAUAAGACAAAUGGAACACUUUGAACGGCUUGUGUCCGAGCAUUGUAGUUUGAUUUAUUUUGAUGACAGUACCUUUUGACAUUGAGAUUCUUUCAUGAUUUAAACAUUCUUUUAAAAACUAAAUUAUUAAAAAAAAAGUAACUAACAUAUAUUAUUUUAUUAGUGCUUUUUAAAUCAAAUAUACAUAGGAGAACUGUAAUUCUUAGCAAUCAAUUUUCCACUAAAUACACCUGCAACAAACUAUUAAUAGCAAAGUGAUAGAAAAUACCUGAUUUUUCAUACUUUCUAAUUUCUUUUGGUCCUAAAAUAUGGGCAUUUGUGUAAUAAUUAGCCCAUGUGGAUCUCUAUGCCAUGAGUUUGAUAAGUAGCUAUCAAGGAUCACUUAUUAAGCUAAAAAUAUUUGGAGGACAAAAUUGUAAAACUAAAAGGGUGGAGCAAAUAUGGCUAUCUAGGAUUAAAUAGUAAGUCAACUAUAUUUAAAGGAUAAAAUAUUAAAACUUGAAAUGUGAUAUUAAAAAUAUCUCAACUAUUAUGUUAUUAAACCAUAUGUUGUAAUAGUUUAUUUUUUAAGCUUCAAAAUGUUCAGGAUUUUAGAUUGAAACAUUUUCAUUUGAAAUUAUUUGGUGCAGUCACAAGUUAAGAAAGAAAAAGUUGUCCCAUUGGUCAUUUCACAAAAAUGAAAGCCCUGUAUAACAUGGGCUUGAAUGGAAGCCCAAUUGUUUGUGUUUGAUUAAUUGAUUUCAAGCUUUAUCGAACCUUUGUACCUGGAUACUUUACUGCGGCCUCUAAGCGCUAUAAAUUUUUUUGGGGAUAAACGGCGCUUCAAUGAGGUCAUCUCCGAUGCUUAACACCAUUUUGGUGUAAUACCAACAUUAAAAAUAUACAUUUUUCACACUAAAUUACUAUUUCAUCUCCAACCCAUUUACACCAAAAAAAAUAUUUUUCUUUUUAUUCUUUUAAUUCUCAAGAAUUAAUUCAAUUAACACAAUAAAUACUACUAUUAACAUAGAUAAUUAAGUAAUAAGUAAUUUUAUCGAUUAACAAAAAAAUAUAGAAAAUUAUUAAAUUUGCAUUUAAUUAACUAAAUUAGUACAUUAUGAAAAUUAAACAUUACAUUAAUAUAGAAAAAUACAAUAACAAUAAUAAUAAUUUUAUAUCUAAUAUUUUGAUGAUAUUGGAGGAUCUAAUAAUGAUCUUCCAGAUUAUUAAAUAAUUGUUCUAAUUUAUACUAGUAGUAGUAGCUUUUUUAAUUUGUGUUAAUUUAAUUUUGUAAUAUGUAAUAUAGUAAUUAAUGUUACUAGCAUUUUAUUAUUAUUAUUAAUUUUUGUGUUGAAUAUUUUUUAUUUAAAAUAUUAGUAUAAUAUUCAAAAAUUAAAAAAUGAAAUAAAAAUAAUAACAAAAAUAAUAAUAAUAAUAACUUAAAAUAUUAUAUAAAAUAGGACAUAUAUGUAAAUAAGAAAAAGUAAUAAAGAUAUUUAAGAGCUUUUUUUCCUAGCACCAAAUGAAUAGUGUUACACCAUAUUUGGUGCAAUACUAUUCACAACACCAUUUUGUUGUUGGUUUUGGUGUUACAUUGGAGAAGCAUUUUACACCAAAAAUAGUGUAAAAGGUGGUUUGGUGUUAGUUUUGGUGUCACAUUGGAGAUGGCCUGGAAAAGCACUUGAAAACUUUGGAUUUUUGGUUCGUCCAGUUACGGUGUUAUGCUAACGGGGUUAAAGGUUCCGAUCCAAUGAGUUAGGAUCCGAAGGUUACUGAAGUUUACUAUCAAGAGUUUCAAAACAGUGAAAAAGAUGAUAUAGUUGAUGACAAAAACCUGAGUUAUCCAUAGCGACAAGUAACAUACUGUUUAUUACAGAGAAACAAACGACAACAUGAUACUAGUAGUAGUUAUUCUUUUCAUCCGAUAUAUUACAUGGUAAUAUCACUACUCGUUCCACUAGUUUCAUGUACACUGUCGACCAGCAACAUGAUAAUUUCGUGCCAGUUCAUUUUGGUUUGUUGGAAAAAGCAGUGUAUUUCUUAGAACUUGAAAAUAAUAAAAAUAUUUUAAAAUAUAAAUUGCAUAUUUGUUUAUUACCAUUCUUUGGUCUAUUUCUUCUGUAGACUUUUCAGAAUCUGUAGGACGUUAGUUUAUAACUUUGGGAUUUUGUAGCCCUAAUUUUUUUUUUUGGCAUUUUAUUUUGCUGCUUUAUCUAUGUGCAUGUUAACUAAAUUAAGCUAAUCUAGAAUUAAUAGAGAGGGAUAUUUAUCUAUUUUGUUUAACCUUUACCACUCUAGGCAUUGUACUACAUGUGAGCUUGUGAUGCUUGCAUUUUAUUGAUGUUGAUGAUUCGUUGAAUGUUUUAUUUUUUGAUUUUUUAAGUUUUCCAGAGUCAUGUUUGUGUCUACGAAGAAAUUGUAAAGGCUGUGCACGAAGCACUUGUCAUUCUUUAGACUUUAUUGAUUAUAUUUUUGUCAGAUUUGCGUGUAUAUUCACAUAUGUUUUAUUUUUUCAUUUUGUAGGACAUUUUUACAUGCCAUAUUAUCACGACUCUUCUGUGUCUGAAUAAGAAGAAAGCAUAAUGCGACCCUCCAACAGCUUAAUCUAUGGAAUUAUCGUGUUUUGUAAGUUCUGGUCCAAUGGCGUUUUGGCACAUCAUAUGAUAGACCACUAUAUUGCGUUGCUUUACAAAAGAUUAAUAUUUUUAAAAUUAUUAACUCAUGAUAUGAUAGUCCAGGUUUUCGAGGACCACUAUAUUGUAUGGAUUUAAAAAAAAUUAAUAUUUUUUAAUAUUAAUAUUCUAAAUUAUAUUCAGUUAAAAUAUUAAAUAUUAAAUACAUUCUUAACAUUAAUAUUCUUAGAUGAAAUUCUUUUGCUGACUUAAGAAUAAAGUAUUAAAUAAUUUUAUUUUUCUUUUAUUUUGUAACGUGGACCCAAAAAAAAAAGGAAAUGAAUUUAAUAAAACCUUCAUUCCGCCAACAUGCAUGUUAAUUGUUUCCAAAUUCCAACCUCCGUACUCUCUUGAGGAGUUUCCCAUUCAUCAAUUAUUAUUUUUUAUAAUCCAUACCAUCCUGAUAUAAUUAAACACCAUUAAUAAUGUACCAGCCUUUAAAUAGUAAUUAAUUUAUUUAUCUAAUUCACCAAAUGUUUUUUUCCGGUACAUAUCUCCAUUGGUAUCAAGAAGAAGCAGAACCCAAAGAAAUGUUUCUUGCAUCUUCAUAUUUGUGCGAAUUCAUCCUUUCAUUGAGAAUAACCAUUUCCAGGCAGCAGUUGGCAAUCAAUUCAUGCGCAUGUCGAUGCUACUCAUAGAUAUUAAAGACAAUGAUGAACCAAAGGUAAUAAAUCAUAAAUGCAUAAUUACCAAACCUCCAUCCUUCUCUCAUUAUGACUUGAUUUUAAAUGAAUUAUUGCUUGGUAACAUUAUUUCCAACCAUUGCAAGAUUUUUUUUUGGAGAAAUUUCAAUUGAAAGUAAAACCUUUAGACAUUUACCUAAUGAAGUUAGUUAAUCGGGAGGGUGGAAAAAAAAAAGUUGACGCAAGUCAAUACACAAUAAUUAAUUAAAUCCGGAGUCACUAAAACAGAGCCACGACUUUUUCAAAAAUAUCUGCAUUCAUCACUUUCUCCAGCAACUAGUCAGCUACACACGAAUCAAUUUCUCUCCUCGUUUGUCAUCCAAAAUUAUUCACCAAUACCAUGGCUGAUGCAAUCGUUUCCCCGCUCUUGGAGCAGCUGAUUUCCUUCGCUGCUGAAGAGAUAAAACAACAGGUGAUCGAAGUUACACCCCUCAUAUUACAAAUACUUCCAAUGAUUUUAAUUGGUUUUGUUUUUAUCAAAAACAUUAUAUAUUUUUGCUUUUUUUUAUUUAUCUGAUAAUUUUAUAUUUUGAAAUUUGAAUUGAAUUUAAUUAAAAGGUGAUGUAGUAACCACUUAUUUUUAUUUUAUUUCAUUUAUAUUCUCAAUAACUACUCAUAUUUUGGUAACUUACUAUAACUUCCAUAUCUAAGAAAUGAUCCAAACCCACAAUUUUAACUAUGUAUAAAUAUUCAACGUUGAGCUAAGGUUUUGCAGAACAUUCAAGUUUAUCAAAUAGUCAUUAAUUUAAUGUUUUAGUAAAACCUCAACUCAUCACUGAAUCCCAUAGCUAUUACUUAGACACUAUGAAAAAUUUCAUAGUUUUCUUACAUUCUUUCAGUUUGGUAAGUGAUUUCAUAUAAUUUCUUUUCAAGUUAAAUUUUAAUUUGGUUUCUGAUAUAGUCUCUUUGCCGAAUUGUAUCUUUUAUGAUUCUUGGAUUUUGGGCUCCAACUUUUUAGGAUUUGAUAGUCACAUUUUAUGCCAUGCUCAGAUUGAUUUUCAUGAUUUUUAGUACCCGUUAAGUGACGUACAAUUUGACAAAAGUUUGAAAGGAAAUAUGUUUCAGAAUUCUGUUUUAAUUGACCUUUUAGUGGAAUUAGGAUGCUUAUAACUUAAUGUGGAUGGUUCGUAAAAUCAUGAAAUUUGGAUAGGAUUCACUAGCAAUAUGUACAAGACUCCCCAUAAAGUUUCAUAAUUUUUCAUUCGGUCUGGGGUGGUACAGGUGAAACUUGUGGUUGGUGUUGAAAAAGAAGUGAAAAGCCUUACCAGCCAUCUUCAAGCCAUUCAAGUUGUGCUCGAUGAUGCAGAGGAAAAGCAAGUGAAGGAAAAAGCUGUUAGUCUUUGGCUGGGUAGGCUCAAGUAUGCAUCCUACGACAUUGAAGAUGUGUUGGAUGAGUGGAUAACAACAAGACGCAAAUUGCAAAUUGAGGGUGGCGUUGAUGAAAAUGCUCUUGUUGUUCCUCAUAAGAAAAAGAAGGUAUGUCUCUGCUUUCCCGGCUCUUGUUUUGGAUUCAAACAAGAAGAAUUUGGUUUCAAACAGGUCUUUCUCCGUCAUGACAUUGCCGACAAGAUCAAAGAAAUCAAUGAAGAGCUACAUGAUAUUGCCGCUCAAAAAGACAUGUUUGAUCUUGUUAAGAGUGGCAAUAAAAGUAGUGAAAGACCAAGGCGUGUACAGAGUACCUCCUUGAUUGAUGAGGAAGAGAUUUGUGGCAGAGUUGGUGAGAGGAAUGAACUCUUAAGCAAGCUGUUGUGUGAGAGUAGCGAGCAACAAAAAGGCCUUCAUAUCAUCUCAAUCGUUGGUAUGGGAGGCAUAGGGAAAACAACUCUUGCACAACUAGCUUGUAAUCAUGACGAGGUGAAGAGAAAGUUCGACAAAAUUCUGUGGGUGUGUGUAUCAGAAACUUUUGAGGAGUUUAGGGUUGCCAAAGCGAUCGUUGAAGUUUUGGAUGGUCGUGAAUCUCAUUUAGCUGAAUUCCAUUCUCUUCUUCAACAUAUUUAUGAAUCCAUUGCAGGGAAGAGCUUUCUUCUUGUCUUAGAUGACGUGUGGGAUGGAAAUUACUUGAAAUGGGAACCAUUCUACCAUUGUCUAAAGAAUGGUCUCCAUGGAAGUAAAAUUUUAGUUACCACACGUAAAGGGUCAGUCGCAUCCAUGAUGGGAUCCAUAGAUAUUAUCUCCGUUAAGGAGUUAGCUGAAGAGGAAUGUUGGUUGUUGUUUAACAAGAUAGCAUUUUUUGAUCGGUCCAUCGAGGAACGUGAAAAAUUAGAACAAAUUGGGCAAAGAAUUGCAGGCAAGUGCAAAGGUUUACCUCUUGCAGCAAAGACAAUAGGGAGUCUCAUGCGUUCUAAACAAACUGAAGAAGAGUGGAAAAGAAUUUUAAAUAGUGAUUUAUGGAAAGUAGAAGAGAUUGAGAAAGAUGUUUUGUCCUCUUUAUUGUUGAGUUAUAAUGAUUUGCCAUCUAGAGUAAAAAGAUGUUUUUCAUAUUGUGCUGUCUUUCCAAAAGACUACAAUAUAGAAAAAGACAAACUAAUCACGUUAUGGAUGGCUCAAGGUUAUCUUAGUGCAGAAGAAGAUGAAGAGAUGGAGACAGUAGGUGAAGAGUAUUUUGGCAUCUUAGCUUCUCGCUCAUUUUUUCAAGAGUUUAAGAAAAGUUAUGAUAAUCGGAUUAUAGAGUGUAAGAUGCAUGAUAUGGUACAUGAUUUUGCCCGAUUUGUAAGUCAAAAUGAAUGUUUUUCGAUGGCAAUUAAUGGUAGUGAAGAACCAAACGCCACAAACUCUCUUGAUGAGAAGGUCCGUCAUUUAAUGUUAAUCUUUAGUAUAGAGGCUUCAUUACCUGUUUCCACUUGUAGAGUUAAAAGAAUUCGUAGCCUCUUAAUUAACGAUAGUAGAUCUGAUCAUUCAUUAUUAAAUGGUGAGAUCCUAGAAGAAUUAUUUAGGGAAUUGACAAGUUUAAGGGCAUUAGAUUUUUGCAAAUCGUAUAACGCAAGCUGGUCUUCGACUCUGGAGAUUCCGAGAAACAUAGAAAAGCUGGUACAUUUAAGAUACCUUAAUUUGUCUUAUCAGGGAAUAAAGAAACUACCGGAGACAUUAUGCGAGUUGUAUAAUCUAGAAAAGUUAGAUAUUAGUUAUUGUUAUAAGCUAGAAGAAGUACCUGAAGGGAUUGGGAAGUUAAUAAACAUGAAGCAUUUACGAAAUAGAGGUACUAGUUCUUUAAGGUACAUGCCGGUAGGGAUUGGGAGAUUAACGGGUCUUAGGACCUUGGGUGAGUUCCACGUGAGUGCAGGAGGAGGUGUUGAUGGUAGGAAAGCAUGUAGGCUUGAAUCUCUUUAAAACUUGGAACACCUUCAAGUAUGUGGUAUAUGUAGACUGGGUGAUGUAUCAGAUGUGGGCGAGGCUAAGCGAUUAGAACUUGACAAAAAGAAAUACCUCUUCAGUUUGACCCUUGAGUUUGAUAAGACGGAAAGAGGAGGAGAAAGGAGGAAGAACGAGGACGAUCAACUUCUUCUUGAAGCCUUGCGACCACCCCUGGAUUUAAAGGAAUUAGAGAUACGGUACUACCGAGGCAACACUGUUUUCCCCAGCUGGAUGGCGUCAUUAACCAACUUAAAGAGUUUACAUCUCCAUAGGUGCGAAAAUUGCGAGCAGCUGCCUCCUUUGGGAAAAUUGCCGUCCCUUGAAAAUCUCUACAUAUGGCGCAUGGAGAGUGUGAAGAGAGUGGGUGAUGAAUUUUUGGGGAUAGAAAGUGAUCAUCAUGACUCAUCGUCAUCUUCAUCAGUUACUAUUGCCUUCCCCAAAUUGAAAUCACUCACAAUUUAUUCGAUGCUGGAAUUGGAGGAGUGGGAUUAUGAGAUUACAAGAACAGGAAACACCGUCAUCAACAUCAUGCCACGUCUUUCUUCCUUGACAAUUGUUGAUUGCACCAAAUUAAAGGCACUGCCCGACCACAUUCAUCAAACGACAACGUUGAAGGAAUUGAGCAUUUUUAUGUGUUGGCUUCUGAACAAACGUUACCGCAAGGGGAAAGGAGAAGACUGGCCUAAAAUAUCACACAUUCCCAACCUCCAUAUUGGGCUUUGACAAGUAAUUUCUUCUCUCACUCUGAUUUGCUUUGUUGUUGUUUUUGUUGAAAAGUUAAAAAGUUUGGUUGGAAAAGAAAAGUGAGCCACAUGCAUUGCUUUUGUUUUUCAAAGUCGGCACCAAAUUGCAAACUGUAUUUGGCAUUUGACAAUCCUGCACCAAAUGAAGAAAAAUGCAAAAGUUAGCAAAAUUUGUCAAAUUGACAGAGAUGGAGAUUGAUAAAUUGCAGAGGGAUUAGGUGGAAUAGUGCAUGCUUGAAGCCUAUAAAUUGAAGCCAUUUCUUCAUUCUAAAUAAUCCCAAAAUUGUUAAACUUAUAAGUUUCUAAGCUUUUGAGAGAAGUGAGAGAAGUGUGUCUGUGGAAUUUAUUUUUCCUGCAGAGUGUGAGAGUACUUGGUAUAUUUGGGUUUCUGGGAAGUGAGAUUCGUUACUCAAAUAUUGUAUUCUAUUAAUUGUUAAAUAAACAAUUAUUCUUUCUUACCUCCGUGGAUGUAGGUUUAAUUACCGAACCACGUAAAAUCUUGUGUCCUUUAUUUUUCAGUAAUUAUUUGGUGCGCUUGAUUCCGCAUUCCGCGCACAACAGUUUUUAAUCUAAUUAAGAAGCGAAAAUAGCAUUUUGAAUCAAACUCUAUAUCAGAAAUCUGCAAUACUUACUUUCUAAUAUUCUGAUUUUCAUAUCCUAUGAAUAUACGAUUUUUAAUUUGUGAGAUGGGUAACGUUACUGUAAAAGAUUAUUAAUGCAAUAUGAGUAAUUCUUUUGCAGGACAAGUGACCUACAUUUAGUUUGGCUUUGGAGUUGAAUAAUAACCUUUCGAGGUCCCGACAACCAAAAAACAAAGCUUAAUUUGCCACAGAUUGAACGUAUUGCCAUUAUUGACAAUUUUCUGCACAAGUGUGACUGAACUUAGGUUGAUGUCAAAAGAGGUAAAUUAUUGGCAUGCCUCACUAUUUUGACCAUUACAUGAUUCAUAAGUUUACAUUAAUUUUGAUUUUGAGUUGAGUGAUUAGUUUUCUAGGUUUGCUUACUUUAACUGGGUGACCAAUUUCUUGUAACUAAAUGUAUGAUGUGAUGCAGGAAGCAGGGCAGGAUAUGAAAAGAGAAGCUUAUUAGAGGAAGGAUUGCCAGUAACAGAAUCCAAAGAAAAAGAAACCAUUUCGAGGCAGCUGUUGGCAGUUGGCAGUGAAUGGAGCCCCUUGAAAAAAUUCCCAAGCCGUUGCACUGCAAUUACGAUCAUCCUCGGCCUCAGGUAAUUUCUUCUCCUGCAUUUUUGUUAUUUGCUAUCAAGUGACUAUUUUAAGUAUGAUUGCAUUAAGCUGCUGCUGGGAAAUUUGAGGUUUUGAUGACUGCCCAUGCUAUUGUCAGAAGCUGCGGUUCUUUUCAUCAGCCUGAACCUGGACCUGCCGCUAUGGAUAACUCAGGUUUUUUUUUUUUUUUAAUCAACUGCCAUCUUUUCCACUGUUUAGAAACUCUUAAGAUUAAACUUUAGUAAAGUUGUUUUAGUUAUCCAUGUAAUCAGGCUGAGGAUACUUAGCUGCCUAUUUAAGCAAAUGUCAGAAUUUAGUUUGUUCGCUGGGAACUGGUGUGGACUGGCAAAGGAUGAUGAGAUAGUUUUUUGAGUGAGUAAAUUUUGGGAGCUUGAGUGUAUUGGGAUUUGCAAUUACAAUCAUCGUCUGCCUCAGGUGAUUUCUUCUCCUGCUCUAUCAUUGUUUGUUCUCUAAUUCAAAAGCAUAAAAUAUUUCAAUCAAUUUUUAUGCCAGGAAUAUGCAAAAGUUUCUAAUAUUUUAUUUCCAUCUGUUACAAGAUCAAACUGAAGUAGAACUCAAACAAAAGUAUGCUACUUCUUGCGGAAAUCUUGCCUUUGUUCAGAUUAUGAAACCAUUUCCAUGCAGCAAAUUCAUCCAAAAGUUUGAAUAAGUUUCAUGGUUGGACACUGUUGGCUUCUUUUUCUUCUGGGGUGCAUUUAGGUGCUAUCAAGUGACAGCUGUAAGUAUGAUUGCACUAAGCUGCCGCUGGGAAAUUUGAGGUUUUGAUGGCUGCCCAUGUUAUUUUCAAGAAACUAUUGAUGUAAGAAGCUGUGGUUCUUUUCAUCAGCUUGAACCUGAAACUGUCGCUAUGGAUAACUCAGGUUUUUGUUAUCAACUAUAUCAUCUUUUUCACUAUUUUGAAACUCUUAAGAUUAAACUUUAGUAAAGUUGUUUCAGCUAUUCAAAUGAAAAACUCAUUGAUUUGAGACUUCCUUCAUUAUUGUUUCUAAUUACAAUGCUAACGAUCUAGAUAAAAUAAUAUUUAAUCGGCGCAGGUGUCCCUUGGAAGUACAUCCAACUUUUUCUUUUAUUAUAUAAAUUCUUGCAAUGAGCUUAGUGAAGCUGUUGUGCUAAUCAUGCCACUGCAUAAUUUGGCCCCUAAUGUGGGUACUCUGUUACAUUGUUCUGCAAAUUCUCCAGAAGUUAAAAUCAAUAAAUUUUCUAUUAGCUCUAGUGCUUUGACCUAAAUGCUAUUCUAUAUUUUGAUUACAAUGUUUUAACCUUUAAAUUAACUACCCCUAGAUGUUGGAUUUUCUAGAACUUCAAAAUGAUUAAUGGAGAAAGAUCCCAUUAUCGUUAUUGCUAUAAGAAAUUGAUUUAUGCAUCCAAAGAUACAUUAUAUAUUUCUGUGUCUCUAUUUGUAGAUGACAUUUAAGCAUCCAUAAACCGUCAGACAGAGGAAGGGUGAUGGGUGUCGAAGCCAACAAAAAUAAAUUCCUACUCUAAAUAAAUUGUGUAUAGUGAUUGAGCAGGGUCGUGUCCACAGAGAUCGGUAAUUAAUUAAAUCCUUUUGAAACGUAAAACAUAAAAUGGGGGAAUUGUUGACAAUAAUAAAAAUCAAAUUAAAAUAACAAGAAUGCAAAUUAAAGUUGUAAUUCAAAUUAGAGAAAGCUCUGGUUGAAGGAAUUAACUCAGCUUGAUUCGACUACUGAUCAUUGAUUCAAAUAUAGAUUAUUAUUACUCAUGAAUAGACCGGUUAUAGCUACUGAGACCCUCUAAUAGCCAAUCUCUCCUUAACUAGUCGAUAACCAAGGUACGACCAUUGGUUAUUUCCCUAAUCAAUAGACAACCCUAGAUACGAUCAUAGAAUUUAAUCAAUUGACAGCCUGAAAAACCAGAGAGACCCAAAUCCUAAUCAACACAUAUGAUGAUUCAUUUAAAUUAGAUUGUUUAUUCUCACAACACAACUCUCUGCUAUGUUAUUUGUCACAAACAUUAAAUUCUUCAUACGAUGAAUCCUUUAAUUGACAAUAGAUUAAGUUGAUAAUUAAAUAGUGGCCAAUUACCUAAUUAACAAACAUAAUCAUGAAAAUAAUUCAGAGAAUAAACAAAUACCCAAAAAGUAAUAAAACAAUUAAAGCACAAGAAAGAUCUCACAGUAGUGAUGAAUCAAAGCUUCAUUAACCUUCAACCAGAAAAAUAGGUUUAGCUCUUCAUAGAGAGAAGAGAAAAAUUAGAUCUAGGGUUUCUUUCUUUUUCUCCAAUCCAAAAAUCCCCCUUUUUCACAAUAGAUUCCUCCCUUAAAUACUUUCUCUCUCUUCUCUUUUAGAAUUCUAUUUAAAAUAAAAUCCUAAUAUCUGAAAUAUUAAAUUCGUAAUUACAAAAAUAACCAAAAAUACAAAACACGUUAAACUAAAAACUGCAGGUCCGCAGUUGACAGCACGCGCCCACGCCUUAUCAACAAAGUUCUUCUGACGCUCAUAAUUUCUCCAAGAGAACAAUCAUCCUUAAACAUCAUCUUAUAGCUCAAUUUUAUCAUCAAUCAAUAGAAUUGCACCUACAAAAGUAAAACACAAGUAAAUCACUAUUAUUAAGUGCAAAACAUUGAUAUUAAGGGAAGUAAAUAAUGCAAAACUAGUGCAUAAAUUGCACUCUAACAAAGGGGGUUCAGUGCAAAGAUUCUGUUGACCUAGGGUUGACUGCAUAAUGUCACUUGUUCGCAAUCUAUUAUUUAUUUUAUAUUUUGAAGAAUUUAAUGGGUAAUCCUAAUUGUUUGUUUUGGCAGGUAUGUGUUGUUAUCUCCUUCUAUCUAACAGUCGUACCUAAAUAGCAUAGUUUCAUCUGUGUUACCAUGUGAUGUACAUAAUUUCACAUUUGCCUCAGAUUAAGCUUAAUUUCCCACAAAAUAGAGCUGUCGCGACUGGACUUAGGUUGAUGUCCAAAGAGGUAAAUUAUUGGCAUGCCUAGAUAAUUUGGCCAUUUCCUAAUUCAUAAGUCUACAUUAUUUUUGAUUUUGAGUUGACUGAUUUCUUUUCAAGGUCUGCUUCCUUAACGGAGUGACCAAUGUUUUUCAACUAAAUUUAUCAUAUGAUGCAGGAAGCAGGGCAGGAUAUGAAAUGAGAUCUCAUUGGUGGAAGUAUUGCCAGUAGCAGAACCCAAUGAAAAUGAAACUAUUUCAAGGCAGCAGUUGGCAGUUGCAAGUAAAUGGAGGCCCUUGACAAAAUUCUCAAGCGGUUGCAAUGCAAUUACGAUCAUCCUCAGCCUCAGGUAAUUUCUUCUCCUGCUUUGUAUUUAUUUGUUAUCUAAUUAGGAAGCGUAAAGUAUCUUGAAUCAUUUUCUGUAUCUGGAAUAUAUGCAAGAGUUUCUAAAAUUUUGAUAUGAGUGUAAUGAUGGUAAUUUCUGUUUUCUGUCUGUCAUCAAAUGUUAGAAAACUUUCAUUGAGACCCUUGAACCGAGUCAUUUUUGACAAGUGAAGGACAAUUGCUGAAGAGUGGGAAUGGUGCUAGAUUGGGGAAUAAAGACAAAGGAGGUAAAUUAUUUGCAGUUUAUUCAGCAUUAUUUGCUUUGGACCACCGCCUGAUUCACAAGUCUCCAUAAUUUGGCUUUUGAGCAGUUGUUAAUAAAUUUUUAAUUCCAUUGGUGCUAAAUGUGCACGUGAAGCAGGCAGAGCAGGACUGUGGAAAUGAGAAGGUUUUUAGUGAAAGCUUAAACUCAGGUAAUUCUAAAAAGUACAUGUUUUUGCUGAUUUAUCUAAAUCAGGAAGUUUUAUUUCCAUCUGUUACAAGAUAAAACAGAAACAGAACACAAAGAAAAAUAUUCUACUUCUUCUGGCAAUCUUGCCUUCAUUCAGACAAUGAAACCAUUUCCUUUCACCAAUUUCUUCCAAAAGUUUGAAUAAGUUUCAUGGUUGGACAUAGUUAGCUUCUUUUUCUUUUGGUGCAUUUAGGUCCUAUCAAGUGACAGCCAUAAGUAUGAUUGCAUUAUUGGGAAAUUUUAGGUUUGGAUGGCUCCCCAUGUUAUUGCCAAGAAAGUCCUCAUGUCAGAAGCUGCGGUUCUUUUCAUCAGCCUGAACCCGAACCUGUCGUUAUGGAUAACUCAGGUUUUUGUCAUCAACUAUAUCAUCUUUUUUACUGUUUUGAAACUCUUAAGAUUAAACUUCAGUAAAGUUGUUUCAGUUAUCCAUGUAAGCAGGCUAAGGAUAUUUAGCAGCUUAUUUAGGCAACUGCCAGAAUUGAGUUUGUUUGCUCGAAACUUGUAUGGUGACAAGGAUACUGGCAAGGAUAGUGAGAUAGUUUUUUGUGUGAGUGAAAUUUGAAAGCUUGGGUGUUCUGGGAUUUGCAAUUGCAAUCAUCCUCUGAGUCAGGUGAUUUCUUCUCCUGCUCUGUCUUGAUUUUCUCUCUAAUUGAAAGCAUAAAGUAUUUCAAUCAAAUUCUGUACCAGGAAUACGUAAAAGUUACUAAUAUUUUAUUUCCAUCUGUUCGCAUUGAUAACUCGGCGGCAUAUGUGUUGUGCGCGGAAUGCGGAAUCAAGCGCGCCAAAUAAUUAUAGAAAAAUAAAGGACACAAGAAUUACGUGGUUCGGUAAUUAAACCUACAUCCACGGAGGCAAGAAAGAAUAAUUGUUUAUUUAACAACUAAUAGAGUACAAUAUUUGAGUAACGAAUCUCACUUCCCAGAAACCCAAAUAUACCAAGUACUCUCACACUCUGCAGGAAAUAUAAAUUCCCCAGACACACUUCUCUCACUUCUCUCAAAAGCUUAGAAACUUAUAAGCUUAACAAUUUUGGGAUUAUUUCAAAUGAACAAUUUCCCUUCUAUAUAUAGGAACCGUAGCUCACCUACCACUUCCAAUUUGGCUACAACUUGCCGAAUUGAUAAAUUGAAUUUAGAAUGGAAAAUCAAUUUGGUGAGCAACAAAAUCAACAAGUUUGAAAAAUCAAUUGGCUUCUAGAAAAACAUCACAUUUUUCCUCCAUACAAUUUCAACAAAAUCGUCCCACCAACCAUGUCUUUUGAAAUUUGCAUGCCAUUCUUUGACUUGUUGUGCGCGGAAUGCGGAAUCAAGCUCACCAAAAAUUACUGCAAAAAUAAAGGACACAAGAAUUUACGUGGUUCGGUAAUUAAACCUACAUCCACGGAGGCAAGAAAGAAUAAUUGUUUAUUUAACAAUUAAUAGAAUACAAUAUUUGAGUAACGAAUCUCACUUCCCAGAAACCCAAAUAUACCCAGUACUCUCACACUCUGCAGGAAAGAUAAAUUCCCCAGACACACUUCUCUCACUUCUCUCAAAAGCUUAGAAACUUAUAAGCUUAACAAUUUUGCGAUUAUUUCAAAUGAACAAUUUCCCUUCUAUAUAUAGGAACCGUAGCUCACCUACCACUUCCAAUUUGGCUACAACUUGCCGAAUUGAUAAAUUGAAUUUAGAAUGGAAAAUCAAUUUGGUGAGCAACAAAAUCAACAAGUUUGAAAAAUCAAUUGGCUUCUAGAAAAACAUCACAUUUUUCCUCCAUACAAUUUCAACAAAAUCGUCCCACCAACCAUGUCUUUUGAAAUUUGCAUGCCAUUCUUUGACUUUUCAACAAUUCUCCACCUCGGCGAAAAUUUUCCAAAUCUGAGCCGACUACCAACUAACCAUCCCCAAAGUGAUCCUUCAAUAAGGAUCCAGAAUGGCUGUGUCGAUUCGACUGCCUACGUACCCAAACUGUCUUGAUUUUCUCUCUAAUUGAAAGCAUAAAGUAUUUCAAUCAAAUUCUGUACCAGGAAUACGUAAAAGUUACUAAUAUUUUAUUUCCAUCUGUUCGCAUUGAUAACUCGGCGGCAUAUGUGUUGUGCGCGGAAUGCGGAAUCAAGCGCGCCAAAUAAUUAUAGAAAAAUAAAGGACACAAGAAUUACGUGGUUCGGGAAGCAGUUGGCAGCAAAUUCAUAUGGAGUGUAGACAAUGAUGAGCAAAAAGGUGAUUCUCAAUUUCUUUUUUUUUUAAAGUGAAAUUAUUUGUUAGAUUGAAGCUGAUAUUGUAAGAAGGCCAUUGAGCUAACCUAUGUCGCCACUUGCCUAGAUUGCAGGGGGUCAAGACUCAAAAGAAGCACUGAAAUUUAAAAAGCAUGCAAUAGUUCUUUUGCCAUGUAUCAAUUAAUGCAAGUUUGAAUAAAAUUAACAUAUAUCAAGACACAACUAGAAACAUCAUACUUUCGUGUAAGUUCAUUUCAGAAUAUUUCUUAGAGUUUGUAUAAAAUGAAAAGAUUUUAAAAUAUAAAUUUAAUAUUUGUUUAUUACCGUUGUUUGGUCUAAUUUCCUCGGGAGAAUUUUCAGAAUUUAUAGGACAUUAGUUUAUAAUUUUGAAAUUUUGUAACCUAAAUGUUUUUUUUUUUCGGUUACCAUUUUGUUUUCCUGCUUUAUCUACGUGUAUGUUGACUAAAACUAAUCUAUUUUGUUAAACCUUUACCACUUUAGACAUUGCACUAAAUAUGAGUUCGUGAUGCUUGCAUUUUAUUGAUGCUGAUGAUUCGUUGAAUGUUUUAUGUUUUUGAUUUUUAAGUAUUCCGGAUCGAAGUUUGUGUCUACGCGGAAAUUGUAAAGGCAGCAUAUAAAGUACUCGUCGUUCUUUAGAUUUUAUUGAGUACACUUUUUUCACAUUUAGCGUAUGCUAUACACUACUGAUUUGCGCAUUGACAUAUAACUUAUUUUAUCAUUUUGAAUGAAUUGCACGGCGAGGCUUAUCAACUUUGGAUGAAUCCUCCAAUUGUCACAGUCCAAGACUGGCUGCAGUGAGUGAAAAUUUACCCAUAUAUAUGCUGGCUAUUUUUAUUGGCGACGAAUUCGUUGUAGUUGGUCCAUCUUGCUAUUCUCGGACAAUAUUAGAGAAAAUAAUCAUAUUAUUUCGCGUGAUGUGACCUUCCAUAACUUAUCAAUUGAAUUACUGUAAAAUUAUUGUGUAAGUUUAGGCCCAAUGGCACUUUAGUUCAUCACAUGAUAGCCUGGAUUUAAAUGGAAAACUAUAUUGCAUUGCUUCAAAAAAAUAAAUUAAUGUUUUUAAUAUGAAUAUUUUUAACUAUAUUCAGUUAAAAUAAUAUAUUCUUAAUAUUAAUAUUCAUAGAUGAAAUUCUUUUGCGGAUUUAAGAAUAAAAUAUCAAAUAGUUUUAUUUUUCUUUUGUUGUGUAACUUGGACCGAAAAAGAAAAUGAGCUUAACAUGACCCUCCUUCCGGCACUAUGCAUGUUUUUCUUGUAUUGAUGACAGUGCUCUUGGUGCUUCUCAUCUGCUUCUUGCUUUGGUUUCAAACAAGUCUUUCUCCGUCAAGACAUUUAUUGUAAUUUCAUUUGGAGACAUCUGUCGUUCAAAUAUAUUUCAUAUUCAAGCUGUUGAUAAUUCUGCUUGAGAAAGCCUACAAAGCAGCUGUGUGAUGUAAUGGAAGACUAUAUAUGCAAGCGGUCAUCAGUUUCUCUUGAAUUCUUUCUUGAGUUUCUUUGAAUUAUUUGUGAAUGAGUUCUUAAUCGGCUGCUGCUCUUCAGGAAAAGGAAAGUUUUGCAAACUGGUGAAGCUGAUCGAUAAAAGCAAUGUACCAUCUUUGCUGGCAUGGAUCGAUGCCAGUGAGUAGCUCAUUGGUGGAAGUAUUGCCAGUAACAGAACCCAAAGCAAAUGAAACUAUUUCAAGGCAGCAGUUGGCGCUUGCAAGUGAAUGGAGGCCAUUGACAAAAUUCUCAAGUGGUUGCGAUGCAAUUACGAUCAUCCUCAGCCUCAUGUAAAUUCUUCUCCUGCUUUGUUUUUAUUUGUUAUCUAAUUAAGAAGCACAAAGUAUCUUCAAUCAUUUUCUGUAUCUGGAAUAUAUGCAACAGUUUCUAAAAUUUUGAAACGAGUGUAAGGAUGGUAAUUUCUGUUUUCUGCCUGUCAUCCAAUGUUAGACAACUUUCAUUGAGACUCUUGAACAGAGUCAUCUUUGCUGGCAUGGAUCGAUGCCAGUGAGUUUUUUUAUUUGUCAACCUUUUUAAUAAUGCAUAUGUGUUUCUUCAACUUGAAGCGGCAUAUAAGACGAAAGAAGUGAUCUUUAUCCAAUUGCUCCAAAUUAUUUGCAAAUUACUGAACACGAAUGCUGAUGAAUAAACUGAUGGCUCUAUGUAUGUAUGCACAUGCAUGGAGAAAUUUUAAGUCAGACAUUGACUCGUGGUACCAAAUCAUUAAAUAAUCUUGAAAUCAAAGUAAUAAUUAAAUACAAAUAAAUUGCUCGAAUUGUACAUAUAUCUGAAUCAUGUAGUGAAGAAAAUACAACAACAACAGCCAAUGGCUCAAAUUCCCUAUCAACUUCUAGUCUCAACACUUUUGAGUGUCAGAAGCAUUACUCUGCUACUAGUUAACAAACAUAUAAUUAGUAAUUUGCCAUUCACUUCCCUUUUAGGCCUAACACAUUUUCUAUAAAAGAGCCACAGAGUGAACUCAGCAGGAAACACUCAAUUUCAACCUACGUAGGACCAGGAAUUUCAACCAAAAAAAAAGUGUGCAAUUGCUUAUCCUAUCCUAUUGCUACUAGAAAGAAAGUGAACAAUUAAUUUCAGUGAAUAAAUUAAAAAAAAAAUUACUUCUGCAGAUACUCAAGCUAAGAACACAUUAACCCAUUAAAGACUCCAAAUUGCAUCAAACAAAUUGUUGUUAAACAAGUAAAACAAAGAAAGAGAGUUAAGGAAGCUGACCAAGUAGUAGGGGAGCUGAAGAAAGACUGCCAGUGAAUGUAAGAGAAAAUAAAAUGCAAGAAAUGGUGAAGUGCAGCUUUUCAUGUCAACUUGAAAUUGAGUUUUCUGUUUUUUUUUUUUUUUUUAAUCUUUUGGAUUUUUCAAACAAAGAAAAUGAGGAGCAACCAGGGAGAUAAAAAGGGCGCCAAGGCAACUGUGUGUUGGGUUUAGAGCCAAAAAAAAAAAGAAUAAGACAUCGUGUUCUUGUGGAGACCAGACCUAUUACGUAACGUCCCCUUCAAUACCACUAGUUCCGUAUCUGGUUUUUUCUUCGUCUUUUACAUAGUUUGCAAUUUUAUUCAUUUGAGCCCUACAGAUGAUAUAAGGGACAAGAGCGCAAAACAGAAACUCUGUCCACUACUGAUGAUAUAACAACGAACCGGGGUUUUUAAUUAAAUACCCUUUAAUAGUUUCAAAAUUAUUUAAAUACCUCCUCCCUUUUUAGUUUUCAUGGAUACCCUAACAAAAUUAUUUAAAAAUGGUUCAAUUUUAUUCUACUCUCAGGAAUUAAGUGUUGGAUAGACUAGAAAAUUCUGAGUACAAAGCAUCGCUUGUUUUCGUUGGUUUUUUUUUUGCAUUCCAGUAGAAAGGUUGUGUACAAUUGAAUCUGAUAACUAUGGCAGGAGGUAAGUUUUCUAACUUGCGCAUGAUGAAUAUAGUCUUUUAUUUCUUCCAUUGUAAUUUUUGUUUAAUAGAAAAUCUAUUUGAGAUUUUGUGAGAAGAAACUCAACAAUAAAGUUUGAUAGACUUUGUGGAUAUUAAGAGUUUGACAAGUAAUUGAAAUCUGAAGUUUACUGAAGUUUACGAGCAAACAAACUGAAAUCCGAAGUUUACUGAAGUUUACUAUCAAGAGUUUCAAAACAGUGAAAAAGAUGAUAUGGUUGAUGACAAAAACCUGAGUUAUCCAUAGCGACAAGUAACAUACUGAAGUAAGCCGUGGGGAGCUGGCCUGUUCAUGGGCUAUUUUUCUCUGAUGAUCUGCAUUUUUCUUCCUUUUAAGUGAACCUUGACUCGUAUCAAACCUGUCAAAAGAACAGUUCAUCAACUGAGCUGAGAUUUGCUUUCCUUUUUCAAAACCCACCUGAGAUAUUGUAAUUCCCAAAUUUCUCUCUCUCAGCUACACGAGCAAGCAGCCGCUUUUUCACUUCAUCGACGAAGGUAAGCGAUAAUAUCUAUUUCGUCCGAUUGAUUUCUUGUUUCCUUUUCAGUGUUCGGGUAAAUUAUUGGCAUGCCUGACUUUUUGACCAUUACAUGAUUCAUAAAUUUAUAUUAAUUUUGAUUUUGAGUUGACCGGUUACUUUUAUUGGUUUGCUUACUUUGACUAGGUGACCGAUUUCUUGUAACUAAAUUUAUGACGUGAUGCAGGAAGCUGGGCAGGAUAUGAAAUGAGAAUCUUAUUAGUGGAAGGAUUGCCAGUAACAGAACCCAAAGAAAAUGAAACCAUUUCAAGGCAGCAGUUGGCAGUUGGGAGUGAAUGGAGGCCCCUGACAAAACUUCAGUAAACUUCAGAUUUCAGUUUGUUUGCUCGAAACUUGCAUGGUGACAAGGAUACUGGCAAGGAUAAUGAGAUAGUUUUUGUGUGAAUGAAAUUACGAUCAUCCUCAGACUCAGGUAAUUUCUUCUCCUGCUUAGUUGUUAUUUGUUACCUAAUUAAGAAGCAUAAAGUAUCUUGAAUCAUUUUCGUUGUCUGGAAUAUAUGCAACAGUUUUUAAAAUUUUGAUAUCAGUGUAAUGAUUGUAAUUUCUGUUUUCUGUCUGUCAUCGAAUGUAAGACAACUUUAUUAAGAUUCUUGAACCGAGUCAUUUUUGACAAUUGAAGAACAAGUGCUGAAGAGUGGGAAUGCAAAAAGUUUUGUUGUUUUUAGCCUUGUUUUCUUUGAACCAGCGCCUGAUUCACAAGAGUUCAUUAAUUUGGCUUUUGAUCAGCUGAUUGAUAAAUGUUCAAUUUCUUUGGUGAUAAAUGUAUAUGUGAAGCAGGCAGCAGGGCAUGACUGUGGAAAAGAGAAGAUUUUAGUGAAAGCUGAGACUCAGAUAAUUCUACGCGUUUUGGCUGAUUUAUAUAAUUCGUGAAAUUUUAUUUCCAUCUGUUACAAGAUCAAACUGCAAUUAGCAAUUUAACAUUCCCUUAAAACCACUAGCUACAUUUCAUCUUUGCACAAUUACACUUAAAAUUCCACUAAAAGAAACUCUUGAGUUGCUCGCAAGCUAUAUGUCAUUAUCCAUUGAAUUCUUACCACAUACAUCUCACCUUUCAAUCAAUCACAUAAUAAUCAAUAUACAUAUUGUAAGAAUUCAACAAAUGGAGAACAUAAUAUACUAUAAAAGCAUCCAAAAUUUUUCCAUCUCAAAUUAUUACUAAACUUCUUGAACAAGUUGAAGAUUGGGGGGAAAAAGUGCAAGAAGGAAAAGCAUUAUUCUACUAGUUUCUAGGUUUCUCAUUUGAACAGAAAGAUUAAAUAAGAUAUUUGUGUAUGGCUGUAGUACUACACGGUAUCUGCUAGAAAGCAAAAUACCUUCUGCUGAUUGCACAUUGGAAUGGGAAUAAGUUGGUAAAUAUAUAAGUUACAUAAAUUAUUUUGGAUAAUUCUGCUGGUGAAUUAAUUAUCUUAAAAUCACCCUUUUAUUUUUUAAAAAAUCUUAAGUUAUUUUUCAUAUAUCUUAGGAAGACAAACAAACUUUCAUCAACUCUCCUUUUUUAGCUUUUCCCUUCAAUAAUGUUAGAAAUUCUAACAUUUGAGUCCUGCUUGAGCUUAAUACUAUUUAUCACUCAUUUAUUAGAUGAUGAAUUUUUUAAAUUAUAAAGUUAUUUGACUACCAUUCAAUGAAUGAAUGUCACAUCAUUUAAAACUCAAAGAAAAGUAUUCUACUUCUUGCGGCAAUCAUGCCUUCAUUCAGACUAUGAACCAUUUCCUUUCACCAAAUUCUUCAUAAACAUUGAAUAAGUUUCAUGGUUGGACAUAGUUAGCUUCUGUUUCUUUUGGUGCAUUUAGGUGCUAUCAAGUGACGGCCGUAAGUAUGAUUGCAUUAUUGGGAAUUUUACGAUUUGAUGGUUCCCCACGUUAUUGCCAAGAAAGUUCUCAUGUCGGAAGCAGCGGUUCUUUUCAUCAGCCUGAACCCGAACCUGUCGCUAUGGAUAACUCAGGUUUUUGUCAUCAACUAUAUCAUCUUUUUCACUGUUUUGAAACUCUUAAUAUUAAACUUACAGUAAACUUCAGAUUUCAGUUUGUUUGCUCGAAACUUGUAUGGUGACAAGGAUACUGGCAAGGAUAAUAAGGUAGUUUUUUGUGUGAGUGGAUUUUGAGAGCUUGUGUGUAUAGGGAUUUGCAAUUACAAUCAUCCUCUGCCUCAGGUGAUUUCUUCUCCUGCUCUGUCUUUAUUUGCUCUCUAAUUGAAAAGCAUAAAGUAUUUCAAUCAAAUUCUGUACCAGGAAUAUGUAAAAGUUCCUAAUAUUUUAUUUUCAUUUGUUUGCAUUGAUAACUUGACGGCAUAUGUACUAGUUAAAGAACAAACAGAAUCAGAGCUCAAGAAAAAGUUUUUUCUGCCAUCAUAUUUGAAAAUGAAGUCAUUUGCAGGAAGCGGUUGGCAGCAAAUUCAUACAAAGUGUAGACAAUGAUGAGCAAAAAAGGUGAUUCACAGUUUGAUUUUUUUUUAAUAAUGAAAAUAAUUUGGUAGGUUGAAGCUGAUAUUGUAAGAGGGCCAUUGAGCUAACCUAUGUCGCUACUUGCCAAGAUUGCAGGGCGUUAAGACUCAAAAGAAGCACUGAAUUUUAAAAGGCAUGCAAUAGUUCUUGUGCCAUAUGUCAAUUCAUGCAAGUUGGAAUAAGUUUAUUGGUUUGAACGCUGUUAGCUCCUUUUCCUUUCGUGCAUUUUGGUAUGCUAUCAAGUGACAGCCGUAUGUAUGGUUUGCAUAUAGCUGCUGCUGGGAAAUGUGAGGAUUUCAUGGCUGGCCGUGUUAUUGUUUUAAAUUAGAUGUGAUAAGCUGUUGCUUGGAGAUUCUGUUGCCAAGACUUUGCUCACAUCAGAAGCUGUGGAACCUCAACCCUUCUCUAGAUAUCAUCUUUUUCAUUGUUUUAAAACUCUCAGGAUUAAACUUGAGUAAAUUUGUUCGGUUGUCUAUAUAAUCAUGUAUUGAGUAAACUCUCAGGAUACCGAGCAGGCAAAUGCCAUAACUCGGUUUGUUCUUCAAAAACUUGUUUAAGAUUCUUGACAAAGCUGCAUGAAGUGAAUCUUGGGAGCUUUGAGGGUGAGAGAAAUUAGAGGGUGUAUAGGGAUUUGGGUUUAUUAGUAAGUUAUAUAUGUAUUUCGUCACUUAUCAUUAUCAUUUUUAUUUUCACAGAAAACCUUCUGAUGGUGCUAAAUUUUCAAACACCGGUCCGAUUCAAAACUUCAUAUUCCAAUUAUAUUCAUAAGACAAAUGGAACACUUUGAACGGCUAGUGUCCGAGCAUUGUAGUUUGAUUUAUUUUGAUGAAAGUACCUUUUGACAUUGAGAUUCUUUCAUGAUUUAAACAUUCUUUUUUAAACCAAAUUAUUAAAAAAAGUAACUAACAUAUAUUAUUUUAUUAGUGCUUUUUAAAUCAAAUAUACAUAGGAGAACUGUAAUUCUUAGCAAUCAAUUUUUCACUAAAUACACCUGCAAUAAACUAUUAAUAACAAAGUGAUAGAAAAUACCUGAUUUUUCAUACUUUCUAAUUUCUUGUGGUCCUAAAAUAUGGGCAUUUGUGUAAUAAUUAGCCCAUGUGGAUCUCUAUGCCAUGAGUUUGAUAAAUAGCUAUCAAGGAUCACUUAUUAAGCUGAAAAUAUUUGGAGGACAAAAUUGUAAAACUAAAAGGGUAGAGCAAAUAUGGCUAUCUAGGAUUAAAUAGUAAGUCAACUAUAUUUAAAGGAUAAAAUGUUAAAACUUGAACUGUGAUAUUAAAAAUAUCUCAACUAUUACAUUAUUAAACCAUAUGUUCUAAUAGUUUUUUUUUAAGCUUCAAAAUGUUCAGGAUUUUAGAUUGAAACAUUUUCAUUUGAAAUUAUUUGGUGCAGUCACAAGUUAAGAAAGAAAAAGUUGUCCCAUUGGUCAUUUCACAAAAAUGAAAGCCCUGUAUAACAUGGACUUGAAUGGAAGCCCAAUUGUUUGUGUUUGAUUAAUUGAUUUCAAGCUUUAUCGGAUCUUUGGACCUGGAUACUUUACCGCGGCCUCUAAGCGCUAUAAUUUUUUUUUUUUUGGGAUAAACGGCGCUUCAAUGAGGGCAUUUCCAAUACUUAACACUAUUUUGGUGUAACACCAACACUAAAAAUGUACAUUUUUCACACUAAAUUACUAUUUAAUCUCCAACCCAUUUGAUCUACCAUGAUUGUGACUCCCACUGGGGCCACGUUCUGUUGAUCACCCUCUCGUCACCGAUAGCGCCUCCGCUUGUGGCGAACUUGCUUGUCUAUUUUCCCUAUUUUUCCGCUUACUCUCCUCAUUUAAUACGGAGGCUGCAACAUCAUCGAAAACUAGACUGUCCACUGAAUUGUAGUUUGUCAGGUUGACGAUGAGUUGUUCAUACGAAUCUUAUAGACUUUGAAGUAGAAGCUCUGCAUGUACAUUAUCCUCUAUAUUAUGACCCAACGUUGUGAGUUGUGAAAAUAGAGUCUUCAAGGUGUUGAUGUGGUCGGUCACCAUUGUAGAUUCCACCAUUCGAAGAGUAUAAAGUCUCCUCUUCAAAAAGAUUUUGUUGUGUAGUGACUUGGCCUCGUACAAUUUUGUAAGAGUAUCUCAUAUUUCCUUUGCUGUAUUUUUCUCUGCCACACUGGAUAAUACUCCAUCCGCAAGUGCCAAGUGUAGAUCAGAAAUAGCGUUGCCAUCUAUCUCAUUCCACUUGUCAUCAGUUAUCUCCAUGGGCCUUUCUCCAAUUGCUGCCAAACAAUUAUUUUUCCUCAAUACAACUUUCAUCUUCAUUUUCCACAAUGAAAAAUUAUUUCCGUUAAACUUCUCAAUUUCAUAUUUUGCUGCCAUUUUUUUGAUAAAUACCGCACACAAGUUAGUGUAUCACCUUGAAUAGUUGUCGGUAUGUGUGAGAAUGCACACCAGGAAAGUUCCCAGGAAAGACUGGAGGGGUCACACUGGUCCACUUAAAACUCAGACUCCUUAAGCACUUAUCGCGUUUGUAACAGAACUUUCCUAGACAUGUACAAAACCACACAGUUGCUUUUACUUACACCACUAUUUCCUACUUUGCAGUGCAAAAGUUCUUGGAUCGCUCCCAUCGUUUCUCGUGAACAGUACCAUAUACGUGAACAGUGCCACAUACAUGAAUAGUACCGUAUACGUGAACAGUACCGUAUACGUGAAUACUACCCUUUACGUGAACAGUACUUGACUCCAAAAAAUUCAACCAAUAGCUUUGAUACCACUGUUAGGAAAUUGGUAGGUGAAGCAGACACGCAGCUAAAAUAAAAUUGGAAGAAAAUAAAGAACAAGUACAAAGUGGACACCAAGAAAUUACGUGGUUCGGCUUUUAGCCUACGUUCACGGGCGAAGAUAGAAGGAAAAUAUUAUACUAGUGAUAUGAAGAUUACAAGUAUUGUAAUAUUUUGGCUCACUAUCCAAAACCCCAAUACACUCAAUCUCUCACUCAAUAAACUCUCAGGAGCUUUAUUAUUUUAAGCUCUUAAAAUCUCUCAAGCUUUCUCCUUAUUAUUCUCUCACAAAUUGUAUGCUAAAAUUAGGGUGGGAAGCCCUCUUUAUAUAUCCAAGAUUUUGGCUCUUUUUUUUUUAUAUAACAAGUCAACACGGCACCAUUAAGAAUGGCGAGCCAUGUUGAAUGGCAUGGCACCGCCCAUCUAGAUGGCCGGUGCCAACCAUGACUUUAACAUUCUAUCACUUGGAGAUUUGAUUGAGAAUCAAUCAAUCUCCACAUCAUCCUUUCUACUUCGCCAUAAUCAUGUUGCCUACGUUUUUACUAGGCCACAAGAGGAUCUACUCCAGUUAAACUUAUCAAUAUUGAUUGGCUUAGUCAAAACAUCUGCUAGGUUCUCCUUCGUAUGGAUUUUUGCAAAUUGACACUUCCAUCUUCCACUACUUCUCGAACGAAGUGAUACUGAACUCCUAUGUGCUUUGUCUUGGAAUGAAAGGCUGGAUUCCUUGCAAUGUGCAAGGCACUCUGACUGUCACAAAACACAGGAAUUUUCUGUUGUUUGUGCCCGAGCUCCUCCAAUAAUCUUUGUAUCCAAAUAGCUUCCUUGCAAGCUUGUAUAGCUGCCAUGUAUUCUGCUUCUGUUGUAGAUAAAGCCAGAACGGUCUGCAGUUUCCAAACCCAACUUACAACUCCUCAUGCAAAUGUAAACACAUAACUAGUAGUGGAUUUCCUUUUAUCAAGGUCUCCUGCAAAAUCUGAAUCCACAUAGCCCCUGACAGUAAACUCUGAUCCUCAAUAACAUAAUACAACAUCUGAGGUUCCUCUUAUGUAUCUCAGAAUCCUCUUCACAGCUAUCCAAUGCUGUCCACCAGGAUUCACCAUGUAUCGACUGAUUGCUCCCACUGCUUGUGCAAUGUCUGAUCUUGUACAUAUCAUAGCGAACAUCAAACUUCCCACUGCUGAUGCAUACGGUACUUGAGACAUCUCCUUCCUCUCUGCUUCAUUGCUAGGACACAUACUUGAGGAUAAUUUGAAAUUAACAGGAAGUGGGGUAGAAAUUGACUUACAAUCUUGCAUGUUGAAGCGCCACAAGAUUUUCUUCAAGUAGUUAUUCUCAGAAAGCCAAAUCUUUCUGUUAUUUCUGUCUCAGUGAAUUUGCAUCCCUAGAAUCUUGUUUGCUGGUCCCAAGUCCUUCAUUUCAAACUCCCUAGCCAACAGUGCCUUCACUUCUUGGAUUCGAUCUUUGUCGGGGCCUGCUACCAACAUGUCAUCCACAUAUAACAACAAAAUAAUGAAAUCAUUAUCUUCAAACCUUUUGUAAUAUGCACAAUGGUCUGAACUGAGUCUGUUAUAUCCAAGACUCAUGAUGAAGGAAUCAAAUCUCUUAUACCAACACCUCGGCGCCUGUUUGACACCGUAUAGAGAUUUGUUCAACCUACAAACCAAGUUUUCCUUUUCUGUUUCUGCAAAACCUUCUGGUUUGAGCAUAUAAAUUUUCUCUUCAAGUUCUCCAUGAAGAAAUACAGUUUUCACAUCUAACUGCUCUAGAUGUAGGUCAAAUAUAGCACACAUUGCCAAGACUACUCUGACUGUUGUGAGUCGAACCACCGGAGAAAAUAUCUCGUUGAAGUCAAUACCUUCUUUCUGAGCAUAUCCUUUCACCACCAAUCUUGCACGAUACCGCUCCACUUGAUCAUUGCCAUCACGUUUGAUCUUGUAGACCCAUUUGUUUCCAAUGACUUUUCUUCCAUGUGGUAGUGGUACAAGUUCCCAUGUCUUAUUUUUAUGUAGAGCUUCAAUUUCUUCCUGCAUUGCUGUCAUCCACAAAGCAACAUUUGAACUUUCUAAAGCUUCAUGGAAAGUUGAUGGCUCUCCAUCCUCUGUUAGAAGACAGUAUGCAACAUGGAUCUCUGUGACAUACUCCGAGUGCCACGCUGGCGAUCGUCUCUCACCAAUUGACCAAAGAACUUCUGGAGUCUCAGACUCGACUGGUUCUUGUUCCUCGUGCUCUGGUGCUGCUUUAGAAGAAUCUGAAUCUUCUAGAUUAUUUCCACAUAUACCGGCACAGUUUCUGACUUUUCUUUUACAGUGUCAUCAUCUCCAUCUUUCCUUUACAGUUGAUCUUCUACAAAAAUAACAUCUCUGUUGAUGACGAUCUUGUGGGCAGUGGGGUCCCACAAACGAUACCCCUUUACUCCAUUAGCAUAUCCCAAGAAGAUACAUCUUCUAGAUUUUGGAUCCAGCUUUGUUCUUUCUUACGGAUUGUACAUCACAUACACAGGACAUCCAAAUGCAUGUAAGUAGGAAUAAUCAGCUGGCUUUCCAGUCCACAUCUCCACGUUGUCUUCAGCCCAAUAGCUGUAGAUGACGACUGAUUUACUAUAUAACAAGCAGUUUUGGCUGCUUCUUCCCAAAAUGAAUUGGGUAGACCAGCAGUCCUCAACAUAGCUCUUAUUCUUUUGUAAGAGUUUUGUUCAUCUACUCCGCCACUCCAUUUUGUUGAGGAGUGUAUGCUACCGUGAACUGUCUAUGAAUACCUUCUUACUUACAGAAAGCAAGAAACUCACCGUCUGUAUACUCUCCACCAUUAUCUGUCCUCAAGCACUUGACCCUUUUACCAGAUUCAAGUUCCACCCGCGCUUUGUAUUCUUUAAAUACUGGAAAUAUAAUUGACUUUUUCAUAAUUGGAUACACCCAACAUCUCCUGGAAUAAUCAUCAAUGAAAGUCACCAUAUACUUUGCACCUCCCAUGGAUAUAUCCAGUGAUUCCCAAACAUCAGAAUGAAUCAAGUCUAAAAUGCAUUUACUUCUAGCAAUAGAUUUACUGAAUUUUAAUCUAUGCUGCUUACUUGUAACACAAUGCUCGCAAAAUGGUAAACUUACCGAUUUAAGCCCCGGAAGUAAUUUUCACUCAGAGAGAAUCUUCAAACAUUCUGACAUGUGACCAAAUUUGAGAUGCCACAUCAUCGUUGACUCUUCUCCAUUUGAUACGAGACACGCAUUAGCCUCCUAUAGUGUUUCUCCUUUAAGCAUGAAUAGAUUAGCACCGAUCUUUUCUGCCUUCAUCAAUACAAGCGCUCUUUUAACAAUUUUCGUAAUUUCAUUCUCCAUAUGAGUUUUAUACCCAUGACUAUCCAUUUGUCCCAAAGACAAUAGAUUUUUAUUCAGGUCAUUGACAUGUCGUACCUCCCCAAUUGUGCGAAUUGUACCAUCAAAAUUUUUAUUUUGAUAGUGUCAAUACCAGCGAUCUCCAAGGUAUGAUCAUUACCCAUAUAUAUAGAUCCUCCUGAGAUAUGUUCAUAUGUGUGGAACCAUUCUCUCCGAGAGGUCAUGUGCCAGGUAGCUCCUGAGUCUAUAAUCCAGACAUCAGAUAGUCGUUUUCUACCUUCUAAAACAGUUGUUGCCUCGCUUUAGAGAAUUUCACCAUUAUCUGAAGUACUUGCUACACACCCUUGAGCAUUUGAUGACUCAGGUUAUUUGCCCUCUCUUCUCUUCUGGUUACUCCAACACUUUUUCUUGACGUGCCCUUUCUUGCCACAGUUGUAGCAUUUAACAUUCUUCUUACUUCUGGAUUUUGAUCUACCAUGAUUAUGACUUCUACUGGGGUCACGUUCUGUUGAUCUCCCUCUCGUCACCAAUAGCGUCUCCGCUUGCUGCGAACUUGCUUGUCUGCUUUCAUUAUUUUUCCGCUUACUCUCCUCAUUUAAUACGGAGGUUGCAACAUCGUCGAAAACUAGACCGUCCGCUGGAUUGUUGUUUGUUAGGUUGAUGAUGAGUUGAUCAUACGAAUCUGGUAGACUUUGAAGUAGAAGCUCUGCAUGUACAUUAUCCUCUAUAUUAUGAUCCAACGUUGUGAGUUGCGAAAAUAGAGUCUUCAAGGUGUUGAUGUGGUCGGUCACCAUUGUAGAUUCCACCAUUCGAAGAGUAUAAAGUCUCUUCUUCAAGAAGAUUUUGUUGUGUAGUGACUUGGCCUCGUACAAUUUUGUAAGAGUAUCUCAUAUUUCCUUCGCUGUAUUUUUUUCUGCCAUACUGGAUAAUACUCCAUCCGCAAGUGCCAAGUGUAGAUAAAAAAUAGCGUUGCCAUCUAUCUCAUUCCAUUUGUCAUCAGUUAUCUCCAUGGGCUUUUCUCCAAUUGCUGCAAAACAAUUAUUUUUCCUCAAUACAGCUUUCAUCUUCAUUUUCCACAACAAAAAAUUAUUUCCGUUAAACUUUUCAAUUCCAUACUUUGCCGUCAUUUUGUUCAUAAAUACCGCACACAAGUUAGUGUACCACCUUGAAUAGUUGUCAGUAUGUGUGAGAAUGCACACUAGGAAAGUUCUCAGGAAAGACUGGAGGGGUCACACUGGUCCCACUUAAAACCCAAACUCCUUAAGCUCUUAUCGCCUUUGUGACAGAACUUUCCUAGACAUGUACAGAAUCACACAGUUGCUUUACUCACACCACUAUUCCCUGCUUUGCACCGCAAAAUUCUUGGAUCGCUUCCACCGUUUCUCGUGAACAGUAUCGUAUACGUGAACAAUGUCGUACAUGUGAAUAGUAUCAUACAUGUGAAUAGUAUCGUAUACGUGAACAGUACCGUAUACAUGAAUACUACCCUUUACGUUAAGAAAUUGGUGGGUGAAGCAGACACGCAGCUAAAAUAAAAUUGGAAGAAAAUAAAGAACAAGCACAAAGUGGACACCAAGAAAUUACGUGGUUCGACUUUUAACCUACGUCCACGGGCGAAGACGGAAGAAAAAUAUGAUACUAGUGAUAUGAAUAUUACAAGUAUUGUAAUAUUUUAAUUUACUACCCAGAACCCCAAUACACUCAAUCUCUCACUCACUAGACUCUCAGGAGCUUUAUUAUUUUAAGCUCUUAAAAUCUCUCAAGCUCUCCUUAUUAUUCUCUCACAAAUUGGAUGCUAAAAUGAGGUGGGAAGCCCUCUUUAUAUAGCCAAAAUUUUGGCUCCUUUUUUUUUUUUAUAACAAGUCAACACGGCACCACCAAGAAUGGUGGGCCGUGUUGAAUGGCAUGGCACCGCCCAUCUAGAUGGCCGGUGCCAACCAUGACUUUAACAUUAUAGUCCAAGUUUUCGAGGACCACUAUAUUGUAUUGAUUUAAAAAAAACUAAUAUUUUUAAUAUUAAUAUUCUAAAUUAUAUUCAGUUAAAAUAUUAAAUAUUAAAAACAUUCUUAAUAUUAAUAUUCUUAGAUGAAAUUAUUUUGCUGACUUAAGAAUAAAAUAUUAAAUAAUUUUAUUUUUCUUUUAUUGUGUAACGUGGACCAAAAAAAAGGAAAUGAAUUUAAUAAAACCUUCAUUCAAAACCUUCAUUCCGCCACCAUGCAUGCAUGUUAAUUGUUUCCAAAUUCCAACCUCCGUACUCUCUUGAGGAGUUUCCCAUUCAUCAAUUAUUAUUUUUUAUAAUCCAUACCAUCCUGAUAUAAUUAAACACCAUUAAUAAUGUACCAGCCUUUAAAUAGUAAUUAAUUUAUUUAGUUGGCCACCUAAAAGAAUCCUGCAGGAAAUAGAGGUUAAAAAUUUUAUUAAAUUUGCUUACCGCUGUAUCAUUAUAUAUAUAAAGAGUGAAAUCUAAAUGAAAUUUUUUAUCAUCCAUUCAGCAAACACUUAUAAUUCACAAAUAGUGAAUCUAUGCAUUGACAAUGUGGAUUAAGAAUUAUAACACAUGAAUUCAAACAUACCCUUGUGAAGUUAAGAAUAAGUUCAUACUUCAAAUGAUUUUUUAGCUAAUAAAGCAAUCAGUUUCAUUAAACGACAGCGUUGAAGGAAUUGUGCAAUUUUUUACGUUCUUUUCUAGACAGACGUUACAGAAAUGGGGUAAGUAGAGGGCUGGCCUCAGAUAUCUCACAAUUGUUAGUGAGAUAAAAUGUUAUUGUAAAAGGCGUUUAAUAGAAUAAUAUUAAUUCUUUUGCAUUGUUAUAAAAAUAUUUUUUUCUUUUGACAGUUCUGCAGGACAAGUGAUCAGAGCUCAAUGAAUAUAGCCGUGGAGGCACAGCAGAGCAGGAUUAUGAAAAAGAGAAGCUUAUUACAGGUCAUUCAAGUUUACUUGCUUUUAUAUAAUAAGUGUUUUGGCCGAUUUAUCUAAUUCACCAAAUGUUUUUUCCGGUACAUAUCUCCAUUGGUAUCAAGAAGAGGCAGAACCCAAAGAAACGUUUCUUGCAUCUUCAUAUUUGUGCGCAUUCAUCCUUUCAUUGAGAAUAACCAUUUCCAGGCAGCAGUUGCCAAUCAAUUCGCACGUCGAUGCUAUUCAUAGAUAUUAAAGACAAUGAUGAACCAAAGGUGAUAAAUCAUAAAUGCAUAAUUACCAAACCUCCAUCCUUCUCUCAUUAUGAUUUGAUUUUAAAUGAAUUAUUGCUUGGUAACAUUAUUUCCAACCAUUGCAAGACCUUUUUUUUUUUUUGGGAGAAAUUUCAAUUGAAAGUGAAACCUUUAGACAUUUACCUAAUGAAGUUAGUUAAUCGGGAGGGUGGAAAAAAAAAAGUUGACGCAAGUCAAUACACAAUAAUGAUUAAUUAAAUCCGGAGUGACUAAAACAGAGCCACUACUUUUUCAAAAAUAUCUGCAUUCAUCACUUUCUCCAGCAGCUAGUCAGCUACACACGAAUCAAUUUCUCUCCUCGUUUGUCAUCCAAAAUUAUUCACCAAUACCAUGGCUGAUGCAAUCGUUUCCACUAUCUUGGAGCAGCUGAUUUCCUUCGCUGCUGAAGAGAUAAAACAACAGGUGAUCGAAGUUACACCCCUCAUAUUACAAAUACUUCCAAUGAUUUUAAUUGGUUUUGUUUUUAUCAAAAACAUUAUAUAUUUUUGCUUUUUUUUAUUUAUCUGAUAAUUUUAUAUUUUGAAAUUUGAAUUGAAUUUAAUUAAAAGGUGAUGUAGUAACCACUCAUUUUUAUUUUAUUUCAUUUAUAUUCUCGAUAACUAACCAUAUUUUGGUAACUUAAUAUAACUCUCGUACAUAAGAAAUGAUCCAAACCCACAAUUUUAACUCUGUAUAAAUAUUCAACGUUGAGUCAUUAAUUCUCAACUCAGCACUGAAUCCCAUAGCUAUUACUUAGACUCUAUGAAAAAUUUCAUAGUUUUCUUACAUUCUUUGAGUUUGGUAAGUGAUUUCGUAUAAUUUCUUUUCAAGUUAAAUUUUAAUUUGGUUUAUGAUAUAGUCUCUGUGCCGAAUUGUAUCUUUUAUGAUUCUUGGAUUUUGGGCUCCAACUUUUUAGGAUUUGAUAGUCACAUUUUAUGCCAUGCUCAGAUUGAUUUUCAUGAUUUUAACUACCCGUUAAGUGGCUUACAAUUUGACAAAAGUUUGAAAGGAAAUAUGUUUCAGGAUUCUGUUUUAAUUGACCUUUAAGUAGAAAUAGGAUGCUUAUAACUUAAUGUGGAUGGUUUGUAAAAUCAUGAAAUUCGGAUAGGAUUCACUAGAAAUAUGUACAAGACUCUCCAUAAAGUUUCAUAAUUUUUCAUUCGGUAUGGGGUGGUACAGGUGAAACUUGUGGUUGGUGUUGAAAAAGAAGUGAAAAGCAAGUUGUGCUCGAUGAUGCAGAGGAAAAGCAAGUGAAGGACAAAGCUGUUAGUCUUUGGCUGGGUAGACUCAAGUACGCAUCCUACGACAUUGAAGAUGUGUUGGAUGAGUGGAUCACAGCAAGACGCAAAUUGCAAAUUGAGGGUGGCGUUGAUGAAAAUGCUCUUGUUGUUCCUCAUAAGAAAAAGAAGGUAUGUCUCUACUUUCCCGGCUCUUGUUUUGGAUUCAAACAAGAAGAAUUUGGUUUCAAACAAGUCUUUCUCCGUCAUGACAUUGCCGACAAGAUCAAAGAAAUCAAUGAAGAGCUACAUGAUAUUGCCGCUCAAAAAGACAUGUUUGAUCUUGUUAAGAGUGGCAAUAAAAGUAGUGAAAGACCAAGGCGUGUACAGAGUACCUCCUUGAUUGAUGAAGAAGAGAUUUGUGGCAGAGUUGGUGAGAGGAAUGAACUCUUAAGCAAGCUGUUGUGUGAGAGUAGCGAGCAACAAAAAGGCCUUCAUAUCAUCUCAAUCGUUGGUAUGGGAGGCAUAGGGAAAACAACUCUUGCACAACUAGCUUGUAAUCAUGACGAGGUGAAGAGAAAGUUCGACAAAAUUCUGUGGGUGUGUGUAUCAGAAACUUUUGAGGAGUUUAGGGUUGCCAAAGCGAUCGUUGAAGUUUUGGAUGGUCGUGAAUCUCAUUUAGCUGAAUUCCAUUCUCUUCUUAUAAGUAUUGAUAAAUCUAUUGCGGGAAAGAGAUUUCUUCUUGUCUUAGAUGACGUAUGGGACGGAGAUUACAUUAAGUGGGAACCGUUCUACCGUUCCCUAAAGAAUGGUCUCCAAGGAAGUAAAAUUUUGGUUACUACACGUAAGGAGUCAAUUGCGUUUAUGAUGGGAUCCAUUGAUAUUAUCUCUAUCAAGGGAUUGGCCGAAGAAGAAUGUUGGUCGUUGUUUAAGCGGUUAGCAUUUUUCGGUCGAUCCAUUGAGGAAUGUGGAAGAUUGGAACAAAUUGGACAAAGAAUUGCAGGAAAGUGUAAAGGCUUACCUCUUGCAGCAAAGGUAAUAGGGAGUCUCAUGCGUUCUAAAAAAACUGAAGAAGAGUGGCAAAGAAUCUUAAAUAGUGAGCUAUGGAAAAUAGAAGAGAUCGAGAAAGGUGUUCUAACUCCUUUGUGGUUGAGUUAUAACGAUUUGUCAUCUCGAGUAAAAAGAUGUUUUUUAUAUUGUGCUGUCUUUCCAAAAGACUACAAUAUAAAAAAAGACAAACUAAUUACAUUAUGGAUGGCUCAAGGUUAUCUUAAUGCAGAACAAAAUGAAGAGAUGAAGACAAUAGGUGAAGAGUAUUUUGGCAUCUUAGCUUCUCGCUCUUUCUUUCAGGAGUUUACGAAAAGUUAUGAUAAUCGUAUUAUAUGGUGCAAGAUGCAUGAUAUGGUGCAUGAUUUUGCCCGAUUUGUAAGUCAAAAUGAAUGUUUUUCGAUGGAAAUUAACGGCAGUGAGGAACCAAACGCCACAAACUCUCCUCAUGGGAAGCUUCGUCAUUUAAUGUUAAUCAUUGGUGAAGGGGCUUCAUUUCCUGUCUCCACUUGUAGAGUCAAAAGAAUGCGAAGCCUCUUAAUUGAUAGUAGCAGAUUUGAUUAUCAGUCGUUAAAUGGUGAGAUCCUAGAAGAAUUAUUGAGGGAAUUGACAAGUUUAAGGGCAUUCGAUUUUUGCAGAUCGGACCACACACGAUUGGGUUUCACUCUAGAGAUUCCAAGAAAUAUAAAAAAGCUGAUACAUUUAAGAUACCUUAAUUUGUCUGGUCAGAAAAUAGAGAAGCUACCGGAGGCAUUGUGCGAGCUAUAUAAUCUAGAGAAGUUAGAUAUUUGUGGUUGUUGGUGUCUUAAAGAAUUACCUGAAGGGAUUGGGAAGUUAAUAAACAUGAAGCAUUUACUAAAUAGAAAUACCGAUUCUGUAAGGUACAUGCCAGUAGGGAUUGCGAGAUUAAAGAGUCUUCAGACAUUGGAAGAGGUCAGUGUGAGUGGAAGAGGAUGUCUUGAUGGUAGGAAAGCAUGUAGGCUCGAAUCUCUUAAAAACUUGGAACACCUUCAAAUAUGCGGUAUACGUGGACUGGGUGAUGUAUCAGACGUGGGCGAGGCUAAGCGAUUAGAACUUGACAAAAAUAAAUACCUCUUCAGUUUGACCCUUUGGUUUGAUAAGAAGGAGGAAGAAGGAGAAAGGAGGAAGAACGAGGACGAUCAACUUCUUCUUGAAGCCCUGCAACCACCUCUGGAUUUAAAGAAAUUAACGAUAUGGUCAUACAGAGGCAACACUGUUUUCCCCAGCUGGAUGAUGUCAUUAACCAAUUUAAGGAGUUUAGGUCUCUGUUACUGCAAAAAUUGUGAGCAGCUGCCUCCUUUGGGAAAAUUGCCAUCCCUUGAAACGCUCCACAUAUUGGGCAUGAAUAGUGUGAAAAGAGCGGGUAAUGAAUUUUGGGGUAUAGAAAGUAAUCACCAUGACUCAUCUUCAUCUUCAUUUUCAUCAGUUAUUAUUGCCUACCCCAAAUUAAUAUCACUUUCAAUUCAUUGUCUGACGGAAUUGGAGGAGUGGGAUUAUGGGAUUACUAGAACGGGAAACACGUUCAUCAACAUCAUGCCACGUCUUUCUUCCUUGCGAAUUACUAUGUGCCCCAAACUAAAGGCACUGCCCGACCACAUUCAUCAAACGACAACACUGAAGGACUUGACCGUUGGGUGGAACUCUGAUCUUCUGCAAGAACGUUACAGCGAGGGUAUAGGAGAAGACUGGCCUAAGAUAUCUCACAUUCCCAACGUCAGGAUUUGGCAAGACGUAAUUUCUUCUCCUACUCUGAUUUGCUUUGUUGUUGUUUUUAAUCUAAUUAAGACGCAUAAAUAGCAUUUUGAUUUUGAGUUGACAAUUUUCUGGACCAGUGAUCAAGGGUGAGAAUGGCGCUAGGAUAUUGAAUAAGGCACUGAACUUAGGCUGAUGUCAAAAGAGGUAAAUUAUUGACAUGUGUAGCUAAUUUGACCGUUUCCUGAUUCAUAAGUCUACAUUAAUUUUGAUUUUGAGUUGAGUGAUUACAUUUUAAGGUUUGCUUACUUAACAGGGCCAGGACAUGAAAUGAGAAGCUUAUUAGUGGCAGUUGGCAGUGAAUGGAGGACCUUGACUAAAUUCUCAAGCGGUUGCACUGCAGUUACGCUCAUCCUAAGCCUCCUGUAAUUUCUUCUCCUGCAUUUUUGUAAUUUGCUAUCUAAUUAAGGAGCGUAAACUAUUUUGAAUCGACUUCUAUAUCAGGAAUAUAUGCAACAUUUUCUAAAAGUUUGAUAUGAGUGUAAUGAUGGUAAUUUCUCUUUUUUGUCUGUCAUCGAAAUGUAAGAUAACAUUCAUUAAGACUCUUGAGAGUCGUUUUUGGCAAUUGCAGGACAAGUGAUGAAGAGUGAGAAUGGUGCUAGAUUGGGGAUUAAAGCAAAAGGAGGUAAAUUAUUGGCAGAGAAUUGUGAGAGCUUGAGUGUACUGGGAUUUGCAAUUACAAUCAUCCUCUGCUUCAGGUGAUUUCUUCUCCUGCUCUGUCGUUGUUUGUAUCUCAAUCAAAUUCUAUAACUGGAAUAUGCAAAAGUUUCGAAUUUUUUAUUUCUAUCUGCUUGCAUUGAUAACAUCACGGCAUAUGCACUAGUUAAAGAACAAACAGAAACAGAGCUCCGGAAAAAGUUUCUUCUGCCAUCACAUUUGAAAAUUCAUGUAAAAUGUAGACAGUAAUCAGCAAAAAGGUGAUUCACAAUUUCAUUUUUUUUAUGAAAUUGAUUGUUAGGUUGGAGUUGCUAAAAGGCCAUUGGGCUAACCUAUGUCGUUACUUACCUAGAUCAAGACUCAAAACAAGCAUUGAAUUUUAAAAGGCAUGCAAUAAUUUUUGUGGCCAUAUGUCAAGUCAGGUAAGUUUGAAUAUAAUUAUUGUUGAAGGGGUUUUAUUUUCGGUGUCCAAAUAGAGAUACUGAUUCUUUAAGGUAAUGCCAGUAGGAAUUGCAAGAUUAACAAGUCUUCGGACAUUGCGAGAGUUCCAUUGAGUGGUGGAUGAGGUGUUGAUGGUAGCAAAGCAUGUGGUAUGCGUAGACUGGAAAACAUGUAAGAUGUGGGCGAGGCUAAGAGAUUAGAGAUUGACCAAAUGAAAUACCUCUUUAGUUUGAGGCUUAAAUUUGAUGGUGAAGAAGAAGGAAGGAGGAAGAAUGAGGAUGAUCAACAUCAGCUUGUUCUUGAAACCUUGCAACCACCUCUGACUUUGAAGGAAUUAGAGAUAUGGUCAUACAGAGGCAACACUGUUUCUGCAAGUAGUCCUCUCUUUUCUUUUUAUUAUAUUUUAUUUAGUUAUUAUUUAUUAUUUAUUUUUUGGUUUACUCUGCUUCUUCUUUUUACGUUUCUCAAAUUUUGAAUUUCAUUACUUUUGAACAUACGACAGUCUGUUAUGUGGCGACCCUGGUUUUUAAUUAAGGUUGUAAAAUAUUAUUGUAAAAGAUGAUUUAUUCAAUUUGAGUAAUUCGUUUGCUUUGAUAAUGAUAGCAAUUUUUUAUUUUGACAAUUUGCAAGGUGAGAAUGGUGCUGAUUGGUGAUUCAGGAUAUGGUUCAAACACCAUUGAAUAAAGCUAUGGACAUGGUGGCUCAACUUAGCUAGAUUGGUAUCAAAAUUGGUAAGUUGGCUUGUCAAUGUACCGAUGCUUUUGUUUUCUCUCAACCCUAAUUACCUUAACUUCAUUUAGUUUGGCUUUGGAGUUGAGUAAUAACUUAUUGUUCAAAUGUUAUUUCCUUAUUGUUCUAAUUCAUCAAAUGUUAUUUCCUUAUUGUUCCAUUGAUAUAUUUGUUGCAUAUCAAGCAGAAACAGAACCCAAAGAAAAUGAAACCAUUUCCAGGCAGCAGUUGGCAGUGAAUUCAUGCAAAUGUUGAUGCCAUUCAUAGAUGUUGAAGACAAUGUUGAGCCAAAGGCGAUAAAUCAUUAAUGCAUAAUUCCCAAAACCUCCAUCCUUCUCUCAUUGUAAUUUGAUUUGAAAUGAAUAAUUGCUAGGUAAUUGAAGCCAAUGUUGUUAAAGACCGUGUUGAGCUACCCAAGCUAAGAAGUUACUUGCCAAAAAAUGCAGGGGAUCAAAAGAAGCAUUGCAUUUGAAAAGGCAUGAGAUUCUGGUGGCUACAUGUCAACUCAUAUAUGUUUGAAUAAGUUUGAUCGUUCAAGAUUGUUAGCUUCUGUUUAAAUUUGUGCUACUGCGGUGCUACAAUGCUGCUACUGGGAAAUUUGAAUCCCAUAUUAGACUUUCCUCACAUCAGAAGCUGUGGAUCUUCGGACAUCAGGUUUUUUCACAGUUCUGAAACACUCAGGAUUAAACUCUAUUAAAGUGUUGUAGUUAUCUUGUUGUCAGAAUUCCCAUAUUAUUAUCUUUUUCAUGUAAAAUUAUCUUGUUGUCUUCGCCCAUGAAUCUAAGCUAAAAUUUGAACCAAUUGUUUGCCAUUAUAAAUUUCAUUGUUAAAUGUUAAUUAUGAUGUUGGCGUUGAGUUUCUUUUAAAGUCAUAGAAGCCUGACGAUUGAGUUCCAUGGGAUUCUGAGAAGCAGUAAUAUUUGAACAAGUGAAGGUUCUUCUCUUUUAAUUAUGUUCUGCACUUUUACAGUUUGGCUUUGGAGUUGAGUAAUAACCUUUCGAGGUCGCGGCUAUAAAAAGGCGAUGCUCAAUUUGCCACAGAUUACAUGUAUUGCCAUCAUUGACAAUUUUCUGGAUAAGUGAUGAAGGGUGAGAGUGGUGCUAGACUUCAGCCCUCCAGAAUAUUGAAUAAAGCUGUCAAAAGAGGUAAAUUAUUGGCAUGCCUGUUAGUGAAUUGGAUAAAGCUGGAGCAGAGCAUGAUGUUGCUGUAUAGCUGGAGCAGAGCAUGUUGUUGCUGUGUAGCUGGUUGUAGCAGAUCAACUCACUGAGCUGACCUGUCAAAGCUGGAGCAGAGCAGAGCAGAGCGGAUAAAGCUGGAGCAGAGCAGAGCGGAUAAAGCUGGAGCAGAGCAGAGCAUGAUGUUGCUGUAUAGCUGGAGCAGAGCAUGCUGUUGCUGUGUAGCUGGAGCAGAGCAUGCUGUUGCUGUGUAGCUGGUUGUAGCAGAUCAACUCACUGAGCUGACCUGUCAAAGUUAGUUAGCUGGUUGAGCUGAUGUGUAAAGUUAGUUAUGCAGCAAAUGGUUAUGUGAUGUAACAAACUCGUGUGUGUAGUGAAGAUUGUAGCUUAGUAUAAAUGUCAAUCAGUAUUCAUUAAGUUGAAAUAUCUGAGGAUAAUAAAAAGGUUCUUUAGAGUUCUCUUUCAUUUUCUUUUACUUUCUUGCUUGCCAAACAAUAUAGAACUAAGUUUCUUUCAUGGUAUCAGAGCCAUAAAUGGCAAAUACAGUUCAAAACAACAACUCUUUUAGUUUUGUUACGCCUGUAAAGCUAGAUCAAAACAACUAUAUUUUGUGGCGCACACAAAUUCUAGCUUCGAUCAAAGGAAAUGGUUUGGAAGGUUUUAUCAAUGGUGAUCGAGAAUGUCCUGAGCAGUUUCUUUCUUCUGGCAACAACAAUGGAGCUGAAAUCUUAACUGAAUCUGGAUCCAGAUCUGUUACUGAAUCUGGAUCCAGAUCUGUUACUGAAUCUGGAUCCAGAUCUGUUAAUCCAGAGUUCGUAGCUUGGAUGAAGGCUGAUCAACUUCUGCUGAGUUGGAUGAUGUCAUCGAUACAACAAAAUCUGCUUGCUACUAUGAUUGACUCAACAACCUCAAAACAGCUUUGGGAGACUCUUGCUAGUAUGUUUAUCUCUCAAUCACAGGCUAGAAUUCAAACACUUAGAAUGCAGAUUCAAACUAUUAAGAAAGGUGCAAUGCAUAUGUCUGAUUACUUUGUAAAAGUAAAACGUAUAGCUGAUACUUUAGCUCUAGCUGGAAAACCUGUUGAGUUAAAUGAUCUUGUGAUGCAUGUAUUAACUGGUCUUGAUUCAUCAGAUUAUGAAUCUUUAGUCACUGCUGUGUUAGCUCGAGGUGAAAAGAUAACAUUAGAUGAACUAUAUUCUUUGCUGUUAAAUCAUGAAAAUAGAGUUGAGCAAAAGAAAGGAAAAAUUGCUGGUGAUGUGAUGCAUAACAUGACAGCAAAUAUUGUUCAGAAGAACUCAUAUGCUAGAAAGAAUAAUGGAAAUUUUCAGAAACAGUAUGGAAAUAACUCUGGAGGUGGUAAUAAUUCUGGAUAUGGAUAUGGUCAGUUUAAUAAUAAUAGUAAUUUCUCUGAAGUUGUUUGCCAAAUUUGCUUCAUACCUGGUCAUGCAGCCUAUAAAUGCAGAAAUAGGUACAACUCAUCUUUUGUUCCACAUAGGAACCAUGGUAGAGGUAAUAUGAAUGGUGGCGGAGGUUUUAAUCAAGGGCAAUAUGGUCGAGGAAGAGCCUUUAAUGGUAAUAGUGGAAGAGGUUUUGGAGGUUUUGGUUCAAAUGCUGGUUUUGGACAAAAUGUUGGUUUUGGUAAUGCCCCCAGGGGUUUUGGCUAUCAAGGAAAUAUAGUAUAUCCAGAGAGCAACCCAUCUGCUUAUUUCUCAUUCAACCCUGGAUCAUCUAAUUUUGUUUCUGGUCUAGGACAUAAUAAUCUGGAACAGUCAAGUGCUUCCUCCUCCUCUGCUAUGUCUUCUUCACUUCCACCUGAACACAUUGAAGAUCCUUCCUGGUAUAUUGAUAGUGGAGCAACAAAUCAUAUUACCAACGAUCUAGGUAAGCUUCUGGAUUCAAAAGUUUACACUGGUACUGAAAGGUUAUUUGUUGGAGAUGGAAAUGCAUUAGCUAUUACACAUGUAGGGUCAGUUGUGCUAAAUACUUCAGCUUCUCAAUCCUUAUUUCUUAACCAUGUUCUUCAUGUCCCUUUUAUUACUAAGAAUUUGCUUAGCAUCUCAAAAUUGUUGGCUGACAAUCCAGUUACUGUUGAAUUUCUUGGUGAUUUGUGUUUUAUAAAGGCCAAGAACACAGGGAAAAUUUUACUUGAAGGUGUUGCUAAAGGUGGGCUUGUAUAGAGUCUCUUCUCAUGCUGCUGUUCAUUCAGUCUUUCUCAGUUCAGUUGGUCAAAACAAAAUUCAGUCUCUUUUUGCUUGUUCUCCUGUUUUUAAUUCUGCUCAGCUCUCUACUGUUAGCUCUUAUGAGUUGAAUAAAACGUCAUGUCUGUCAGUUGUUGCAAAGGGUUCUAUUGAUGUAAAUCUUCUUCAUAGAAGAUUAGGACACCCAGCAUCUUAUACUCUCAAAACCAUUCUCAAAGCUUGUAACAACUCUACUGCUUUUAAUAAAGUUGACAGUUUGAAAUUUUGUUCAGCAUGCCAAUAUGGUAAAAAUCACAUGCUGCAUUUUGAUUCAGUAGAAACAAAAACUUCAGCACCUUUACAACUGAUAUAUGCAGAUCUUUGGGACCCUUCUCAUGUUUGUUCUACCCAAGGAUAUAAUUACUACUUGUCAAUCCUAGAUGAUUACAGUAGGUUUACCUGGAUUUUUCCCUUAUCAGCAAAAUCUGAUGCUCUUGAAGUUUUUACCAAUUUCAAAAUAUUCAUUGAGAAGCAUCUUCAACUUUCCAUCAAAACUGUACAAACUGACUGGGGAGGGGAGUUCAGAACAUUUUCAUCGUUACUCACUACUUCUGGCAUCCAUUUUCGACAUCCUUGCCCCCACAUUCAUCAUCAAAAUGGAAAAAUUGAGAGGAAACAUAGACACAUAGUUGAUGUAGGACUGACUUUAUUAGCUCAAGCACAUUUACCACUCAAAUUUUGGUGGAAUACAUUCCAUACAGCUGUCUACUUGAUAAACAGACUUCCAACUCCAGUUCUAAACAGCAUUUCUCCUUUUCAAAAGUUGUUUAAUUCCCAACCAGAUUAUUCAACACUUAAAAUUUUCGGCUGUGCUUGUUAUCCAACACUCAGACCAUACAAUAGACAUAAGUUUGAUUUCAGAACAGCUAGAUGUAUAUUCAUUGGCUACAGUUCACGACACAAGGGAUAUCAGUGUCUUCACUCUUCUGGGAGGGUCUAUAUUUCAAAUCAUGUAACCUUUGAUGAAAGUUCUUUUCCUUAUGAGUCAGGAACAGAUUUUUCUUCAGUUUCUUCAAACUGUCAGUCAUCAACUCAUUCUGAGUCUUCUUUUAAUUCUUCUACUCCUUUUGUUACUCAGUUACAAGCACCUUUAGCAGCAUCAUCAGAAUAUCAUCUUAAUGAUUCUCAGUCACAUGCUUCUAUUUCCUUCCCAAAUUCUACUCCAGUUUACUUUUCUGAUAAUUUCAAUUCCACUUCUUCUUCUCCUUCUUCACCAUCCCAUCAUUCACCUCCACAUACCUUGUCACAACCUGCAUCAUCUGGUCAUCCAAUGAUAACCAGGUCAAAAGCAGGUAUCUUCAAGCCCAAGAUCUACUUGUCAGCUUUACUAGCUCAGAAAUCAGAACCAACCUCUGUUUCCAAAGCACUUUCUGAUCCUAUGUGGUAUAAAGCUAUGCAAGAAGAGUAUCUAGCUCUUAAAACCAAUCACACCUGGGAUUUAGUCUUACCUGCUACUCCAGUGAAGAUAGUUGGCAACAAGUGGGUAUUUCGAGUAAAGUAUAACUCAGAUGGUUCAGUUUCAAGGUAUAAAGCCAGGCUUGUGGCUAAAGGGUUUCAUCAGACACAUGGGAUUGACUACACAGAAACCUUCAGUCCAGUGGUUAAGUCCUCCACUGUUAGAGUUAUUCUUAGCUUAGCAGUAUUGAGUCACUGGGUUGUAAGGCAGGUGGAUGUUAACAAUGCCUUUCUAAAUGGCAUUUUAAUUGAAGAUGUGUACAUGGCUCAACCUCAAGGUUUUGUUGAUUCAACUAAACCUAAUCAUAUCUGCAAGCUAAAUAAGGCUUUGUAUGGCUUAAAACAGGCUCCUAGAGCCUGGUUUGAUAGGUUUAAGGAUGCAAUGAUCUCCAAGUGGCAUUUUUAGCAUUCCAGGUCUGAUAACUCUCUCUUUUAUGCCUGGAACAGUGGUCAUCUAACUGUUGUUUUGGUCUAUGUUGAUGAUAUUAUCAUCACUGGUUCCAGUCCAUCCAUAAUUCAACAAGUUAUCCAGAAUAUGCAUCAAGCUUUUGCUUUAAAAGACCUGGGGGAACUUCACUAUUUUCUGGGGAUUGAAGUCAGCAAAUCUUCACAAGGGGUUUCCUUGACACAAGCAAAGUACAUUGCUGAUAUUCUGGAUAAACAUGGCAUGACAGACUGCAGUCCUGUGCCAACUCCAAUGUCUACAGGCUUUUAUCUCACCAAAGACUCAGGAGAGCCACUUGAUAAUGUUUCUCAAUAUCGAAGUGUUAUAGGAGCUCUUCAAUAUGUUACUCUUACCAGACCUGACAUUGCCUUCUCUGUAAACAAGUUAAGUCAGUUCCUUUCCAGUCCUAGAACUCAACAUUGGGAAGCAUGUAAAAGGUUAUUGAGGUACUUAAAAGGCAUUAUCCAUCUGGGGCUGCAUUUCUACAAUCAAGGAGCUCUGCAAUUACAUUGUUUUUCAGAUUCUGAUUGGGCUUGUGAUCAUGAUGAUAGGAAGUCAGUGGCUGGCUUUGCUGUUUAUCUAGGUCCUAAUCUUGUUUCCUGGUCGUCAAAGAAACAAGCUGUUGUUUCCAGAUCCAGCACAGAAGCUGAGUAUAGAUCUCUUGCUCAUGCUGCUUCAGAAGUUACCUGGAUUAAAUCCUUACUUGGUGAACUUAGUAUCACAUUAAGCUCCACUCCUAUGAUGUGGUGUGAUAAUCAAGGAGCAAUUGCUUUAGCUUAUAAUCCAGUUUAUCAUGCUAAGACUAAGCAUGUUGAAUUGGAUAUACAUUUUAUCCGAGAUAAGGUCACUGCUAAAGAGGUUGCAGUAUGCUAUGUGCCUAGUCCAGAUCAAACAGCAGAUGUGUUGACUAAGGCUCUUACUUUCAAACAAUUCAGUUACUUCAGAAGCAAGCUGAAUGUUCAUCCUAAACAUUUCAGCUUGAGGGGGGAUGUUAGUGAAUUGGAUAAAGCUGGAGCAGAGCAUGAUGUUGCUGUAUAGCUGGAGCAGAGCAUGUUGUUGCUGUGUAGCUGGUUGUAGCCAAAGCUGGAGCAGAGCAGAGCAGAGCGGAUAAAGCUGGAGCAGAGCAGAGCGGAUAAAGCUGGAGCAGAGCAGAGCAUGAUGUUGCUGUAUAGCUGGAGCAGAGCAUGCUGUUGCUGUGUAGCUGGUUGUAGCAGAUCAACUCACUGAGCUGACCUGUCAAAGUUAGUUAGCUGGUUGAGCUGAUGUGUAAAGUUAGUUAUGCAGCAAAUGGUUAUGUGAUGUAACAAACUCGUGUGUGUAGUGAAGAUUGUAGCUUAGUAUAAAUGUCAAUCAGUAUUCAUUAAGUUGAAAUAUCUGAGGAUAAUAAAAAGGUUCUUUAGAGUUCUCUUUCAUUUUCUUUUACUUUCUUGCUUGCCAAACAAUAUAGAACUAAGUUUCUUUCAAUGCCUAGCUAAUUUGACCACUACCUGAUUCAUAAGCCUACAUCAAUUUUGAUUUUGAGUUAAGUGAUUAAUUUUCAAGGUUUGCUUACUUAACCGGCGACUAAUUUCUUGUAACUAAAUGUAUCAUAUGAUGCAGGAAGCAGGGCAAGAUAUGAAAUGAGAAGCUUAUUAGUGGAAGGAUUGCCAGAAACAGAACCCAAAGAAAAUGAAAACAUUUCAAGGCAGCAGUUGGCAGCUGGCAAUGAAUGGAGGCCCUUGAAAAAAUUCCCAAGCCGUUGCACUGCAAUUACGAUCAUCCUCGGCCUCAGGUAAUUUCUUCUCCUGCAUUUUUGUUAUUUGCUAUCAAGUGACAUUCGUAAGUAUGAUUGCAUUAAGCUGCUGCUGGGAAAUUUGAGGUUUUGAUGGCUGCCCAUGCUAUUGUCAGAAGCUGCAGUUCUUUUCAUCAGCCUGAACCUGGACCUGUCGCCAUGGAUAACUCAGGUUUUUUUUUUUUUUAAUCAACUACGGCAUCUUUUCCACUGUUUUGAAACUCUUAAGAUUAAACUUUAGUAAUGUUGUUUUAGUUAUCCAUGUAAUCAGGCUGAGGAUACUUAGCAGCCUAUUUAGGCAAAUGUCAGAAUUUAGUUUGUUCGCUGGGAAUUGGUGUGGACUGGCAAAGGAUGAUGAGAUAGUUUUUUGAGUGAGUAAAUUUUGGGAGCUUGAGUGUAUUGGGAUUUGCAAUUACAAUCAUCGUCUGCCUCAGGUGAUUUCUUCUCCUGCUCUGUCAUUGUUUGUUCUCUAAUUCAAAAGCAUAAAAUAUUUCAAUCAAAUUGUAUGCCAGGAAUAUGCAAAAGUUUCUAAUAUUUUAUUUCCAUCUGUUUGCCUUGAUAACUUUGCUGCAUAUGUACUAGUUAAAGAACAAAUCGAAACAGAGCUCAGUUAAAAGUUUCUUCUGCCGUCAUAUUUGAAAAAUGAAACCAUUUCCAGGAAGCAAUGGGCAGCAAAUUCAUAUAAAGCAUAGACAAUGAUGAGCAAAAAGGUGAUUCACAAUUUCACUUUUUUUAAUGAAAUUAAUUGUUUGGUUGGAGCGGAUAUUGUUAGAAGGCCAUUGAGCUAACCUAUGUCACUACUUGCCUAGAUUACAGGGGGUCAAAUAAGGCAUCCAAUAAUUCUUGUGGCCAUAUAUCAAUUCAUGUAAGUUCGAAUGUAAUUAUUGGUGAAGGGGUUUCACUUCCCGUCUCUAAAUAAAAAUACUGAUUCUUUAAGGUACAUGCCACUAGGGAUUGCGAGAUUAACGAGUCUUUGGACAUUGGAAGAGCUCCUUGUAGUGGAGGAGGAGGUGUUGAUGGUAGCAAAGCAUGUGGGCAGUGGGCUUGAAUCUCUUAAAAACUUGGAACUCCUCCAAGCGUAAGUAUACGUAUACUGGGAAAUGUGUUAGAUGUGGAUGAGGCUAAGAGAUUAGAGCUUGACAAAAUGAAAUAACUCUUUCAUUGAGACUUAAAUUUGAUGGGGAAGAAGAAAAAGAAGAGGGAAGGAGGAAGAAUGAGGAUAAUCAACUUGUUCUUGAAGCCUUGCAACCACCUCUGAAUUUGAAGGAAUUAGAGAUUUGGUCAUACGGAGGCAACAUUGUUUCCCCCCGGAUGAUGCAAAAAUUGAAGGAAUUUACCAAUCUAAGGAGUUUGACACUCUUUAAAACUGCAAAAAUUGAGAAAAGUUGCCUCCUUUGGGAAAAUUGUGAUCCUUUGAAAAUCUCAGCAUAUUGUACAUGGAGAGUGUGAAAACAGUGGGUAAUGAAUUUCUGGGAAUAGAAAGUGAUCUUCAUGACUCAUCUUCAUCUUCAUCAGUGAUUAUUGCCUUCCCCAAAUUGAAAUCACUUUCAGUUGAGGGAUUGAUGGAAUUGGAGGAGUGGGAUUAUGGGAUUAAAAGAACAGGAAACACCUCCACCAACAUUAUGCCACGUCUUUCUUCCUUGGAAAUUAGUGUGGGGUUAUGGGAUCGCACAACGACGUUGAAGGUAUUGCAGAUUGUGGCAUGUGGUACUCUAAGAAGACGUUACAGACAGGGGAGAGCAGAAGACUGGCCUAAGAUCUCUCACAUUCCAGACAUCAUGAUUGUGUGAAAAGAUGCCCGUGACAAAAUUCUCUAGGCGGCUACAUGGAGUACAAUCAUAAAAUGCUAAUGUGGCCACCCUGGUUCUUAAUUAAGGUUGUGAAAUAUUAUUGUAAAAGAUGAUUAAUUCAAUUUGAGUUAUUCGUUUGCUUUGAUAAUGAUAGUAAUUUUAUAUUUUGACAAUUUGCAGGGUGAGAAUGGUGCUGAUUGGUGAUACAGGAUAUGGUUCAAACACCAUUGAAUAAAGCUACGGACAUGGUGGCUCAACUUAGCUAGAUUGCUGUCAAAAUUGGUAAGUUGGCUUGUCAAUGUAUUGAUGCUUUUGUUUUCUCUCAACCCUAAUUACCUUAACUUCAUUUAGUUUGGCUUUGGAGUUGAGUAAAUUCUGGCCUCUUCCGAAAAAAAAAGCUUAAUUUGCUACUGAUCACGUGUUACCAAUUAUUUAAGGUAAUUCUCGCUUACUUGCUUCUGCACUAUAGAGUACGUGUUCUGGCUGGUUUAUCUAAUUCAUCAAAUGUUAUUUCCUUAUUGUUCCAUUGAUAUAUUUGUUAGAAAGUGAAACCAUUUCCAGGCAGCAGUUGGCAGUGAAUUCAUGCAAAUGUUGGUGCCAUUCAUAGAUAUUGAAGACAAUGAUGAGCCAAAGGUGAUAAAUCAUUAAUGCAUAGUUACCAAAACCUCCAUCCUUCUCUCAUUGUAAUUUGAUUUUAAAUGAAUAAUUGCUAGGUAAUUGAAGCCAAUAUUGUUAGAAACGGUGUUGAGCUACCCAAGCUAAGAAGUUAGCUGCCAAAAAAUGCAGGGGAUUAAAAGAAGCAUUGCAUUUGAAAAGGAAUGAGAUUCUGGUUGCUACAUGUCAAUUCGUAGAAGUUUCAAUAAAUUUAAUGGUUCAAGAUUGUUAGUUUCUGUUUAAAUUUGUGCUACUGCAGUGCUACAACGCUGCUACUGGGAAAUUUGAAUCCCAUAUUAGACUUUCCUCACAUCAGAAGCUGUGGAUCUUGAGACAUCAGGUUUUUUCACAGUUCUGAAACUCUCAGGAUUAAACUCUAUUAAAGUUGUUGUAGUUGUCUACGUUCUCAGGUCAAGGAUUCUAAGCUGCCGAUUAAGCAUUGCGCAUUUUCAUUUGUCCGAUUCAAGAGGAACGUCACAGAAAGGGGUAAAGAAAAGAGUAGCCUAAGAUAUUAAAGACAAUGUUGAGCCAAAGGAAACAUAAAUCCCAACCAUUGCAUGUGAACAUGAUCACAAUAAGGUCAAGAACCUACCAAACCAUUUUUUUGAGAAUUUUCAAUUGAAAGUGAAACCUUUUGAUAUUUACCUAAUAAAGUUAGUUAAACGAGAGAAAUAAAGGGGGAAAGAAAAGUUGACUCUAAGUCAAUACAGAAUAAUUAGUUCAAUACAGAAUAAUUGCUGUAAAAUAUUAAAUAGUUUUAUUUUUCUUUUAUCGUUUAACUUGGACCAAAAAAGGAAAUGAGUUUAACACGACCCUCAUUCUGCUUCUUGCUUUGGUUUCAAACAAGUCUUUCUCCUUUAUGACAUUUAUUGUAAUUUCAUUUGGAGACAUAUGUCUGUCGUUCAAAUAUAUUUCAUACGCAAGCUGUUAAUAAUUCUGCUUGCAGAAAGCCUACAAAGCAGCUGUGUGAUGUAAUAGAAGACCAUAGAUAGUCUCGUCAAUUUUUCAACAUUAGAUAUUCAGGUCAUCAGCUUCUCAUGAAUUCUUUCCUGAGUUUCUUUGAAUUAUUUGUGAUGUAAUAACUUGUGCAUUUGAGAAACUGUUCUCUUGAAUUCUUUCUUGAGUUUCUUUGAAUUAUUUGUGAAUAAGUUGUUAAUCGGCUGCUUCUCUUCAGGAUAAGGAAAGUGUUGCAAACUGGUGAAGCAGCUGAUAGAUAAAAGCAAUGGGUACAUCUUUGCUGGCAUGGAUCGAUGCCAGUGCGGCUGAAUUCAGCAAGACUGCCGUUCGUGAUGUUGUUGAUUGGGAUUACAUUAAGGAUGAUGACAACAUUGAUUAAAAUGGGACGUGAAGAUAUAUGGUGUGCAAAUUAACCCAACCCAACCAAACCCGUACAUUUUAUCAACCCAACCCAACCUGUAAAAAAUCACACGGGUUAGGUUAGUUUCACGGAUUGGGAGGUUGGUGCCCACCCCUAAAUAUAACCUCCAUUUCAGCACAAUGCAUGUUAAUUGUUCCCCAAGGACUUCUCCUGAUUCCCAUUCCCAACCUCCAUGCUCUUGAGAGGAAUUUAGCACCCAUCAAUUUUUAUUUUUGAAAACUCGUAAUGGUCUGAUAAAAUUAAACAACAUCAAUAAUGUUACCAGUCUUUAAAUAGUAAUUAAUUUAUUUAAUUUGCCACCUAAAAGAAUCCUGCUGGAAAUAGAGGUUAAAAAUUUUAUUAGAUCUGCUUACCUUUGUUCAUUCAGCAAAAACACUUACAAUUCACAGCUAGAGAAUCUAUCCAUUGACAAUUGUGGAUUAAAAUUAUAACACCUGAAUUCCAACAUAUCCUUAUGAAGUUAUGAAUUUGUUCAUACUUCAAAUGAUUUUUUUUUCCCAAGCUAAUAAAGCUACCACUUUGAUCAAACGACGACGUUGAAGGAAUUGCGUAUUUUCAAUGUCCUUUUCCAGACAGACGUUCGAGAGAGAGAAAGGAGAAGACUGGCCUAAUUAAGAUAUCUCACAAAGAUUAUUAUUGAGUUAAAAUGUUAUUGUAAAAGAUGUAUAAUACAAUAAUAGUAAUUCUUUUGCAUUGUUAUAAUGAGGCUGGUGGGUUUCCUCAGAGGAUGGAUCUUGCUCGCUAGUAUGCAUUUGGGAAGCUGCUAAUUAUUGGCCAUAAAAAGUCAGGGGGUUGUGGCUCUUCCGUCGCCCAGAAAUUCCUCAACUCAUAUCUCAAACUUCAGAUGAACUUGGGCAUUAUGUAAAUAUGUAUUUUGAGAAUUAAACUAGUGCCUUAGAAAAAAUUUGAGCCAUUGUAAUCAUUUUAUUUUGCUAAGGGAAAAUUUUACUUUGUGUUUCGCUUUGACUUUUUUUUUUUUGCCUUGUGAUAAUAAGAUUCAUACGAAAGUGAUUACACGCCUAUCAUGCAUCUAUUUUCAUUUGCUUGUCAUGAGAGAUCAACAUGCUCGAAAUAAUUACUUAGGUUGGAAAUAUUUGAAUCCACUAAAAUACUAUACAAACCCAUUUUAAAAUUAAAAAAAUGAUUAUCAUAAUACUUGUGAAGAUAACACGAUAUCAUACAUAAAAUAAAAUAUUUCGCAAAAAAGAUACGAUACAAAUCUUGAGUAAACAGGUACAAAAAAUAUUUUUUUUUGGUUAAACCACGAGGUACAAAAAAUAUUUUAGUGGGUUAAGUAGCACUAAUGCCCCCUUAUCAAAAAAUAUAGAAAAAUAACUAGUUUGAUUGGGUAUACCGUUUAUAUAUAUGUACAUAUUCUUGAUAAUGUGUAAUGUAUAUUAUAGACAAAGAUUUUGAAAGCAAUAUUUUUUGGUAUUAUUAUAUAAUAUUUUUUAAAAAGUUGAGAGAAUAGGCAAAGUCCAAAUCAACUUUCUAAUCCCUACCUCCUUUAUGAUUUAAACUUUAGCGUUUAGUGUCGCGAGCCACUCAAAUUUUCUAAUCAAAGAGACUAAAUUGCACGAAAUUGUGCUAGCUUAUUUGAUUCUAGAAAUUUCCAGUACACUGUAACACACUCUCAGGCUUGUACAUACCUCGAAAUUCUCUAGAAUUAAUUUACUAGAGUAGUGUUGCAUGUAGCUUGUACAUAGGUUUUUCUGGAACACUUCAGGUAUUACUAAGCAUGAGAGCUUUGAGAACUCUCUAGCCAUAAAACAUUCUAGGGUAUGUCUACCCUAAAAAUUGGGCAUGAUGCUUGCCACUUGAGCAUACAACAAGUAAGAACAAAUCAAGCAUACUUGUAAGCUCUCAAACUCUCUUAUACACACUUUUAUGAAUAAUAUACUUUCUCUUUGGCUAUAUUGCUCUCUCUUCUCUCUAGUUUUUUCGCAAGCAUCAUACCUUAGUUAGUCGAAAAGUUCAAGGCUUACUUUAUAGCUAUCUCACAAAAGUUGUUUAAGUACCACAUGGAUUUGCUGUGUAAAAUACUCAUCACAUGACAUUAGCUAAAUAGAUUUGUUUGAAAGCCACUUACCCAAACUAUUAAACGAAUAUUAACUUUUGUCUUAAUUUUCUAUCACCUAUGAUAAAAUUUAUAAUUAAAAAUUGAAAAAAUUAAUAACUAUUAGAUAGAGCAUUCUUUACUGUUAAAAGAAAUCUAUAUAGAUAGAUAGAUGGUAAUAUAAAAACUUACUUAUUGUAGUAUAAUGUUUUUAGUUUUUUGAAACAUAGAUUCUUACUUUUUUAAGAUAAAAUUCAAAGAAAACAAGUUAAAUGUUGUGGAAAAUCUUCCAGCCAUACAAGAAAUUGUGAUAGCUAAAUGCAAACCUAACUAAAGUAUUAGUUGUUUUAUUACAAUCUCCAAAAAGAUGAGCAAUUCCAAAAUAUUUUUUUGUAACAAUAAACACUAUAGGUCAGCAAUUAUCCAAGUCAAAAGCAAGCUACUCUAUUAAAAAAAAAAAAAACUUGUAGUGAAUCUGAAGAUAAACCAAUUUUACUAGCAAGUUGGAUACCAAAGAGUAGGGCUUCAGCCUCAAUUACUCAAUGUACCAACAACACAGUCUCGGUGAGUUAAAAUCAACUUCUACCACUCUUUUACUUGCUGAUAGAUCGAUUAAGGUACCAAAAGGAAUAAUCGAAGAUGUAUUAGUUCGAGUUGAUAAAUUCAUAUAUCCUGUGGAUUUUAUUGUUUUGGAAACUGAACCAAUUGCUAAUGAAUGCAAACAAAUUCCUGUUACAUUGGGUCGUCCAUUUUUAGCUACUGCUAAUGCAUUGAUUAAUUGCUGGAAUGGAGUAAUGAGUUUAUCUUUCGGCAACAUGACAUUGGAACUCAAUGUGUUCAACAUAUGUAAACAACCUCACCACCAGGAAGAUGAUGAUAAUGAGAAUGAGGAGAUUGAUUUCAUCGAGCCAAUCAUUGAUGAACACAUUCAGAAUAAGAAUUUUACAAACUCAGUGGAAAUUUAUUCUGCUCGUUCUUUUGAAUCGAGUAAGAAAUUAGAUUACGAUACUGAUAACAUAUACCCUACACUUGAUUCUAUGCAGGUACUUGCUGACGGUGACCAAUCAAACUUUAAAAAUACAGAACAAUCUAAAGAACCAAACGAAGAGGAAGUACCAGAGCUCGAAUUAAAGCCCUUACCGGAAGAAUUGAAGUAUGCCUAUCUUGGAGAAUAACAAACUUAUCCGGUGGUAAUUUCUUCCCAACUCACGCAUGAUCAAGAAGGUAAGUUGUUGUCUGUACUAAAAAGGCAUAAAACUGCAUUUGGUUGGACCUUAAAAGACAUAAAAAGUAUUAAUCCUUUAAUCUGCACACACCGAAUACACUUAAAGGAAAAUACCAGAACAACCCGUUAACAUCGACAUUAUCAGUGUAAACAUUAAAUACCAAAAUCAACCCCAAAAACUAUAACUAAACUAUCAUGACUAAAAUAAAGUUUUUUUUUUUUAGAUAUUCGUUGUAGUAUCUCUUUAGAUGACAAACAAGAGAUAAAAUACAUAAAUAUUUGCUGUGUAAAUAAAAAUAAAUAAUUUUUUUGAACUGAAAAAUAUUCUCAAAAACUAAAUAGUUCAAACUUUUUUUAACAUUAUCGGUUCUGGACCUGAACCGAACCGUGAACCGUAAACUGCCCACCCUUACGUAGUUGUUUCCGUUAACCGAUGUUGUAUUGCUGGUAUAAAAUUGUUCAAAUGUUCAAAUCACAGUCUCCCGCUCUCAGCUCAGUCAGAGUUUCAGGUCCAGAGACUUCCCGCUGACUGAGAGCUUUUUUGUAGCAGUUCUACAAAUAAUGGAGUAGAGCUGAUUUUAUGAUUAAUUUAUUUCCUUUUUCAAUUUCUUAUGAUUGCGAUUUAAUCUGGAAAGUUAAACGUGAAUUGUUUAGUGCGGAUUAAAUGUUCGACGAAUUUCCCGCAAGAGUAUUAAGUUAAAGAGAAAAAAGAAAACAAUUGAGCGUGAGCGUGAGCGUGAGCGAGAAUGGUGUUUGGGCAAGUGGUGAUUGGUCCGCCCGGCUCGGGAAAGACCACUUACUGCAAUGGCAUAACUCAGUUUCUCAGCCUUGUUGGCAGGUAACUUCGUUUCUUGAUUUCAAGCAGCUUUAUCUUUGAUGACCAAAAAAAUUGAUUUGGGCUUUGCCCAUUAAAUGAAUGUAAGAGCGGUAGGGAAUAACUGAGUUAUAGGAUUAGCUUUAAGUGAACAUUGAUGGUAACAUGCGCGUGAAGGUUGUAUGUGUUCAGUGGCAAGCUGUAUGCCAAUUUGGUCUAUAUGGUUGCUUAGGUAGUAACUUAUUAAUUUUUACGCAGGAAGGUUGCAGUCAUCAAUUUAGAUCCUGCUAAUGAUAGUUUGCCGCAUACUUUGUCAUUGAACUUUCUUACAAAUGCUGUGGUUUGUUGUAGUAUAAUUAGUUCAAUUGGAAACUUCCUUGAUGUUAAUAUAGAAAUGAGUGUGCUGUGAAUAUUGAGGACCUCAUUAGACUAAGUGAUGUGAUGAUGGAGUAUUCACUUGGUCCCAAUGGAGGUUAGUCAGCCUAUUGUUGUUUACUCUUUCUUGCUUUAUCACGCAAUGAUAUUCCUUUGCUUUACAACAAAUUUCGUGAAAUUAACUUCAAUCAAGUGGCAAUGUUCAUAUGCUGUUGAGAUUUUAUGGACAAUGAUUGGUAGACUUUAUAUGCCGUCUUCUUUCUUUUUGCAGUGAUAUGCUUGUAUUCAAUGAGCAUGUACUUAUUCUAUGGUUUCUAAAGUAGGUGUUUUUAUGAUAAACUAGGUCUUGUGUAUUGUAUGGACUAUCUAGAGAAGAAUAUUGACUGGCUGCAGUCGAAAUUAGAACCACUUUUGAAAGGUAAGAAGAGGCCAUUUUCCUUCAUUCUAAUGCCAAUAAUGCUGUCAUGAGACUCAUAAAAAUGUUAAAACGUUAAUGUUUUUGGUAUUUUGCAGAUCAUUAUCUUCUGUUUGAUUUUCCUGGCCAAGUUGAAUUAUUUUUUCUUCAUUCCAAUGCCAAGACUGUUAUAAUGAGACUCAUAAAGAAGUUAAAUCUCAGGGUAUUGUUACAUCUUACAUCUAUGAAGGGACUCAAAGAGUUGAGAUGAAUUCAUCUUUGUUAUUUUGAUGCCAGAAUUGUGCAAUUCUCAGUUGGUUCCUUGCACAUGCAGUUGACUGCAGUGCAUCUAGUUGAUGUGCAUCUUUGCAGUGACCCCGGGAAGUAUGUUAGUGCUUUGCUUCUCUCAUUGUCUACGAUGCUACAUCUGGAACUUCCCCAUGUCAAUGUCUUGUCUAAUCGAUCUGAUUGAGAAUCAUGGAAAGCUAGGUGUGGUUUUAAGUGUAUCUCUCCUACUUGUUUGUUUAGUUUGAAAUAUCAGAUAUUGUCACAAGCUCCUAUUUGCUACAUUUCCUCACCAAUCAAUUACUUUGGGUAUGUUGCAGCUUUUAAUCUCGAGUACUAUACAGAUGUGCAAGAUUUGUCAUAUUUACAGCAUGCUCUCGGUCAGGACCCUCAUUCUGCUAAGUACAGGUUUGAAUUCUAGCUGAAUCAAUGAUGCAAAUUAUGUUCAUUGCUAUUUCUGCUGUUGUUUCUAUCAUUUUCAAUUGUUACCUCCCCUUGCCAUCUACUGCCACACUGCAAUGCCUACACAAAUGUUAUGAAAUUUGUCAAUGGCAAUGCCAUCCUGUUUGUCCAGAGACAGCUCUUAGAUGCAAGUGAACAAUUUUUGGCUUUGGCCGUAGUACAGCCUUAGAUUUCAACUUGCCAUAUCUUGUCUCGGAAGUCAAAAGAAAGCGUAUAUGUUAGCCAAAUUUUAUUUGAAUUUAUUAAGUAACAAUGAAUGGGUCAGAAAAACAGUUCCUCUUUUGUUUUGAUCAGACUCAAUGAAUAAGUGUUUAAAAUGUGCCUGUCCUAAAAAUAUAGAUGUGUGGUUUCACAAAAUUUUCUUGAUCUUAAGAAAGAGUUAUCUUGAAAAGAAGAUAACAUGGAGAAUUCAGCAACUAUACAGUCAUAUUGAUGUCUGUCAACUUGGGUCAGAUGGUGUCGUUUGGAUGGAGAUGUUAGGUCCCAGAUGGUAUGCUUGUUAUCAAAUUCCAGUCUAAUUCAUUCAUGCUUUGAUGACAUAUGCGGUGCAGCUUCUUAUCUAAGACCUGUAUAUGUUCAGUCAUCAUUCAGUUCUGUAUUUGGCUGUCAUUCUUUCAAUGAAUUCAAACCACUUUCUGAAUACUUGCAAGGGAAAUUAUCAUUCGUAUACCCUAUAUUUACUCUGUUAUCAAAAAUACUACAACACUUUGAGGGUGUAUCAAUCGUCCACCAUAAGUUGACAAAAUGUAUCAACCGACCACCAAACCGUUAAUUGUCGUUUGAAAGUUAACGGAAUUACAGUGAAUUGACGAUUUUACCCUUGAAAAUUAUCACUUGUAUACCCAUAAAAUUCUCUUUUUAGCACUUGUAUACCCUUAAAUUAUCACUUGUAUCAUAUGAAAAGACCAAAUUACCCUUCUGAUGUUAUCAUAUUUAAACGGCAACUAACGGUUUGGUGGUCGGCUGAUACAUUUUGUCAACUUAGGGUGGACGAUUGAUACACCCUCAAAGUGUUGUAGUAUUUUUGAUAAUUGAGUAAACUAAGGGUAUACAAGUGAUAAUUUCCCUACUUGCAAAUUCAUCCAGUGUUGUCAUUGAGAUGCCAAUAUGUAAAGGAGCAAUAGUUGCCCUUGAUAGUAUGCUUAUUGAUUGCCUCUUGCCUCACUCAGCCUAAGGAAUCUGGUUGUAUGGUGUUCUUGUAAUUUCAUUUGGAGAUAAGUAAUAUCUGUUGUUCAAAUGUAUUUUAUAUACAACCAGUUCAUAAUUCUGCUUGCAGAAAGCUUACAAAGGAGCUGUGUGAUGUAAUAGAAGACUACAGUCUGGUCAAUUUUUCAACUUUAGAUAUUCAGGUCAUCAGUUUCUCUUGAAUUCUUUCUUGAGUUUCUUUGAAUUAUUUGUGAAUAAGAUCUUAGUUGGCUGCUCCUCUUCAGGAUAAGGAAAGUGUGGCAAAACUCGUGAAGCUGAUAGAUGAAAGCAAUGGGUACAUCUAUGCUGGCAUGGAUGCCAGGGCAGUUGAAUUCAGCAAGAUUGCCGUUCGCGAUGUUGAUUGGGAUUAUUUCGGAUAUCCUUCUUUUCACCUAUUUUCAAUCUUGUUAUUCUCAUAUUCAUAAAACAUUUUGGUUAUUUAAUUAUGGUUCAUCAUAUGCAUCUGCAUCUUCUAACUUGUUCGUUUGAGAAACUAAUUUUGCCGUUAGGUAGGCUUCAAGCUUGAUUCAUGCUUUUUUCAAAAAUGUACCAAAAUCAUGGAAACUUCUUUUUCCCAGAUAUUGUAUCCACACUUUUCCCAUAUAAUUGGGUCAGACAAGUUUUGCUUAACAAAGAUAUCUACAGUAGCCGAAGUGCAGGAGAAGUACAUUAAGGAUGAUGACGAUGUUAACUAAAAUGGGACGUGAAGAUAUGUGGUGUGCAAACCGUAAGCCUGCCUCUUAUUUUUGUGCAUGUUUACUUGCUUGUGAUUCACGUUUGUUAAUCUAUUUUGCUCUCUUGCAGGAGUUAUAAAGUUUUCAAUCAAUCAAACAUUUAACUCAAGUCCUUAGCUCUUCACGGCUUGAAUGGGUCAGAUAGGACAAGCGCCGAAGAGGUGGUUUUAAUCAAACCCCUCCUAAUUAUGAUGUAUGGUCCAAAUCUCGGACUUUCUGUACAAUAUCGAGCGAUUCGGACCUUUCAAGUCGAAUAUUGAUUUUUCUCCAGUAUUGUUUGUAAUUACAAGAAACGAAGUAAUGAAAUUUAUCACUGCGUUCAUAGUUAUGCUUAAGCUCAAAGAUUACCGUCAAGAUCAUUUUGGGCCCUCAAAGAAACAUGAUGUUGACACAUGUAAAAUUAUGAAGCUUGUGAUUAAAAUACUUUUGACAUAUAUAUGUUAAGUACUAUUAAUAAUUAAACAUAUGAAUAAAUAUGGUCAAUGAGGAGAGGAUAAAAUAAAAUGGUUUCAUUUUUUGAAUUACUCAACCGCUUCAAACUUCUAAGAAGUAGAUAUACAAUGAGUGGAAUACUGAAUUGAGUGCGAGCUGCGGAUAACUUAUAAAAUUGGGAUGCAAGCUUCAAGGAAAGUGUAUUGCUAUUCAAAUGUAGAUUUCAAAUUAGGAAGAUAUGCCAGCAAAUUGUAUAAAAAUGUAUAAAUUGAUCAGUAACAUUAAUUCCAAAUGAUGAAAUGAGUUAUCUUGAUCAAAAGGUCAAGAACCUACCUUACUUCUCUUAGAGAUAACUUGCAUCAACCGUUGUGGUAUUCAUACUUGUCUUCAGCUAGUAAAAGUGAAAGUUUCACAAUUGAAAUAAAGCUAAGGGAAGAUGCUAUGCUGCAUUUAUUAUUAUUAUUAUUGAUGUGGUCGAGAAGUAAAGCCAUGCAUAUGAUGAAGUAUAAAUAAGAAUGCAAUAGCCCGGAAUUCAUUUUCACAAACACUUCAAUAUCCUUUUGAUCACUUUUGCAAACAUCAAUUUGUCUCCUCUUGUAUUCACCAUGGUUGAUGCCGUCAUUUCCCCUCUCGUGGAGCAGCUGACUUCCUUCGCUGCUAAAGAGAUAAUACAACAGGUGAUCGAAGUUAAACCCCCCAUAUUAUAAAUACUUCUAAUGAUUUUAAUUGGUUUUGUUUUUAUCGAAAACAUUAACUUUGCUUUAUUUUACUUAUUUAGGCAUUUUAAAUUUUGAAAUUUGAAUUGAAUUUAAUUAAAAUGUGAUGUAGUUAGUAACCACUUUUUUUUAUUUCAUUUAAAUUCUCAAUAACUACCUAUAUUUUGGUAACUUACUGUAACCCCCGUAUCUAAGAAAUGAUCAAAACCCACAAUUUUAACUCCACAUAAAUAUUCCAUGUUGAGCUAAGUUCGAUGUUGAGGUAAGUUUUUGCAUAACAUUCAAGUUUGUCAAAUAGUCAUUAAUUAAAUGUUUAGUAAAAACUUAUCUCUGAAAAAUUUCAUAAUUUUCUUACAUUCUUUGAGUUUGGUAAGUGACUUCAUAUAAUUUCCUUUCAAUUUAAAUUUUAAUUUGGUUUCUGAUAUAGUCUCUUUACUGAAUUUAUAUCUUUUAUGAUUCUUGGAUUUGGGGCUCCAACUUUUUAGGAUUUGAUAGUCACAUUUUAUGGCAUGCUUAGAUUGAUUUUCAUGAUUUUUAGUACUCGUUAAGUGACUGAGAAUUUGACAAAAGUUUGAAAGGAAAUCCGUUUCACGAUUCUUAUGUGGAAGGUUCAUAAAAUCAUUAAAUUUGGAUAGGAUUCAUUAGCAAUAUGUACAAGACUCUCCAUGAAGUUUCGUAAUUUUUCAUUCGGUCUGGGGUGGUACAGGUAAAGCUUGUGGUUGGUGUUGAAAAAGAAGUGAAAAGCCUUACCAGCCACCUUCAAGCCAUUCAAGCUGUUAGCGAUGAUGCAGAGGAAAAGCAAGUGAAGGACAAAGCUAUUAGACUUUGGCUGGGUAGGCUCAAGUACGCAUCCUACGACAUUGAAGAUGUGUUGGAUGAAUGGAUCACGGCAAGAGGCAAAUUGCAAAUUAAGGGUGGCGCUGAUAAGAAAAAGAAGGUUUGUUUCUGCUUUCCCGCCUCUUGUUUUGGAUUCAAACAAGUCUUUCUACGUCAUGACAUUGCCAACAAGAUCAAAGAAGUCAGUGAAGAGCUACAUGAUAUUGCCACCCAAAAAGACAUGUUUAAAUUUGAGAGUAGCAGUAAAAGUAGUGAAAGACCAAGGCGUGUGCAGAGUACCUCCUUGAUUGAUGAGGAAGAGAUUUGUGGUAGAGUUGGUGAGAGGAAUGCACUCUUAAGCAUGCUGUUGUGUGAGAGCAGUGAGCAACAAAAAGGCCUUCAUAUCAUCUCAAUUGUUGGUAUGGGAGGCAUCGGGAAAACAACUCUUGCACAACUAGCAUGUAAUCAUGUUGAGGUAAAGAGAGAGUUUGACAAAAUUUUAUGGGUGUGUGUAUCAGAAACUUUUGACGAGUUUAGGAUUGCCAAAGCGAUGCUUGAAGCUUUGACUGGUUCAACUUCUAAUUUAGAUGCAUUGCAAUCUCUUCUUAUAAGUAUUGAUGAAUCUAUUGCGGGAAAGAGAUUUCUUCUUGUCUUAGAUGACGUGUGGGACGGAGAUUACAUUAAAUGGGAACCAUUCUACCGUUGCCUAAAGAAAGGUCUCCAUGGAAGUAAAAUUUUAAUUACGACACGUAAGGAGUCAAUUGUGAGCAUGAUGAGAUCCACAGAUAUUAUCUCUAUCAAGGAAUUGGCUGAAGAAGAAUGUUGGGCAUUGUUUAAGCGGUUAGCAUUUUUCGGUCGUUCCACUGAGGAGUGUGAAAAAUUGGAACAAACUGGUCAAAGAAUUGCAAGAAAGUGUAAAGGUUUACCUCUUGCUGCAAAGACAAUGGGAAGUCUCAUGAGCUCUAAAAAAAUUGAAGAAGAGUGGAAAAGAAUUUUAAAUAGUGAUUUAUGGAAGGUAGAAGAGAUCGAGAAAGGUGUUCUAACCCCUUUGUGGUUGAGUUAUAACGAUUUGCCAUCUAGAGUAAAAAGAUGUUUCUCGUAUUGUGCUGUCUUUCCAAAAGACUACAAUAUAGAAAAAGACAAACUAAUUACUUUGUGGAUGGCUCAAGGUUAUCUUAGUGCAGAAGCAGCAGAACAAGAUGAGGAGUUGGAGACUAUAGGUGAAGAGUAUUUUGGCAUCUUAGCUUCUCGCUCUUUCUUUCAAGAGUUUGAGAAACGUUAUGAUAAUCGUAUUAUAGCGUGCAAGAUGCAUGAUAUGGUACAUGAUUUUGCCCAAUUUGUUAGUCAAAAUGAAUGUUUUUCGUUGGAAGUUAAUGGUAGUGAGGAACUAAACGUCACAAACUCUACAAACUCUCUUGAUGAGAAGGUCCGUCAUUUAAUGUUAAUCUUUAGUAAAGGGGCUUCAUUACCGGUUUCCACUCUUAGAGUUAAAAGAAUGCGUACCCUCUUAAUUAACGAUAGUAGAUCUGAUCAUUCAUUAUUAAAUGGUGAGAUCCUAGAAGAAUUAUUUAGGGAGUUGACAAGUUUAAGGGCAUUAGAUUUUGGCAAAUCGUAUAACUCAAGUUGGUAUUCGACUCUGGAGAUUCCGAGAAACAUAGAAAAGCUGGUACAUUUAAGAUACCUUAAUUUGUUUUAUCAGGGAAUAAAGAAACUACCGGAGACAUUAUGCGAGUUGUAUAAUCUAGAAAAGUUAGAUAUUAGUUUAUGUUUUAAUCUUAAAGAAUUACCUGAAGGGAUUGGGAAGUUAAUAAACAUGAAGCAUUUACGAAAUAGAGGUACUAGUUCUUUAAGGUACAUGCCAGUAGGGAUUGGGAGAUUAACGGGUCUCAGGACCUUGGAUGAGUUCCACGUGAGUGGAGGAGGAGGUGUUGAUUGUAGGAAAGCAUGUAGGCUUGAAUCUCUCAAAAACUUGGAAAACCUUCGAGUGUGUGGUAUAUGUAGACUGGGUGAUGUAUCAGAAGUGGGCGAGGCUAAGCGAUUAGAACUUGACAAAAAGAAAUACCUCUCUUGUUUGAGACUUCGGUUUGAUAAGAAGAAAGAAGAAGGAGAAAGGAGGAAGAACGAGUACGAUCAACUUCUUCUUGAAGCCCUACAACCACCUCUCAAUUUAAAGGAAUUAGAGAUAGAGUACUACCGAGGCAACACUGUUUUCCCCAGCUGGAUGACGUCAUUAACCAACUUAAAGAGUUUAGAUCUCUCUUCCUGUGAAAAUUGCGAGCAGCUGCCUCCUUUGGGAAAAUUGCCAUCCCUUGAAAAUCUCCACAUAUAUCGCAUGGAGAGUGUGAAAAGAGUGGGUGAUGAAUUUUUGGGGAUAGAAAGUGAUCAUCAUGGCUCAUCUUCAUCGGUUAUUAUUGCCUUCCCCAAAUUGAAAUCACUCACAAUUUCUUUGAUGCUGGAAUUGGAGGAGUGGGAUUAUGGGAUUACAAGAACGGGAAACACCGUCAUCAUCAUCAUGCCACGUCUUUCUUCCUUGACAAUUGGGAAUAGUCCCAAAUUAAAGGCACUGCCCAACCACAUUCAUCAAACGACAACAUUGAAGACAUUGCGCAUUUGGAGGUGUGACCUUCUGGAAGAACGUUACCGCAAGGGGGAAGGAGAAGACUGGCCUAAGAUAUCACACAUUCCCAAUCUCCAUUUUGGGCUUUGACAAGUAAUUUCUUCUCUUACUCUGAUUUGCUUUGUUGUUGUUUUUAAUCUAAUUAAGAAGCGUAAAUAGCAUUUUGAAUCAAACUCUAUAUCAGAAAUCUGCAAUACUUACUUUCUAAUAUUCUGAUUUUCAUAUCCUAUGAAUAUACGAUUUUUAAUUUGUGGGAUGGGUAACGUUACUGUAAAAGAUUAUUAAUGCAAUAUGAGUAAUUCUUUUGCAGGACAAGUGGCCUACAUUUAGUUUGGCUUUGGAGUUGAAUAAUAACCUUUCGAGGUCCCGACAACCAAAAAACGAAACUUAAUUUGCCACAGAUUGCACGUAUUGCCAUUAUUGACAAUUUUCUGCACAAGCUUAGGUUGAUGUCAAAAGAGGUAAAUUAUUGGCAUGCCUGACUAUUUUGACCAUUACAUGAUUCAUAAGUUUACAUUAAUUUUGAUUUUGAGUUGAGUGAUUAAUUUUCUAGGUUUGCUUACUUUAACUGGGUGACCAAUUUCUUGUAACCAAAUGUAUGAUGUGAUGCAGGAAGCAGGGCAGGACAUGAAAAGAGAAGCUUAUUAGAGGAAGGAUUGCCAGUAACAGAAUCCAAAGAAAAAGAAACCAUUUCGAGGCAGCAGUUGGCAGUUGGCAGUGAAUGGAGCCCCUUGAAAAAACCCCCAAGCGGUUGCACUGCAAUUACGAUCAUCCUCGGCCUCAGGUAAUUUCUUCUCCUGCAUUUUUGUUAUUUGCUAUCAAGUGACUAUUUUAAGUAUGAUUGCAUUAAGCUGCUGCUGGGAAAUUUGAGGUUUUGAUGACUGCCCAUGCUAUUGUAAGAAGCUGCGGUUCUUUUCAUCAGCCUGAACCUGGACCUGCCGCUAUGGAUAACUCAGUUUUUCUUUUUUUUAAUCAACUGCCAUCUUUUCCACUGUUUAGAAACUCUUUAAGAUUAAACUUUAGUAAAGUUGUUUUAGUUAUUCAUGUAAUCAGGCUGAGGAUACUUAGCUGCCUAUUUAGGCAAAUGUCAGAAUUUAGUUUGUUCGCUGGGUACUGGUGGGGACUGGCAAAGGAUGAUGAGAUAGUUUUUUGAGUGAGUAAAUUUUGGGAGCUUGAGUGUAUUGGGAUUUGCAAUUACAAUCAUCGUCUGCCUCAGGUGAUUCUUUUUCCUGCUCUGUCAUUGUUUGUUCUCUAAUUCAAAAGCAUAAAAUAUUUCAAUCAAUUUUUAUGCCAGGAAUAUGCAAAAGUUUCUAAUAUUUUAUUUCCAUCUGUUACAAGAUCAAACUGAAGCAGAACUCAAACAAAAGUAUGCUACUUCUUGCGGAAAUCUUGCCUUUGUUCAGAUUAUGAAACCAUUUCCAUGCAGCAAAUUCAUCCAAAAGUUUGAAUAAGUUUCACGGUUGGACACUGUUGGCUUCUUUUUCUUCUGGGGUGCAUUUAGGUGCUAUCAAGUGACAGCUGUAAGUAUGAUUGCACUAAGCUGCUGCUGGGAAAUUUGAGGUUUUGAUGGCUGCCCAUGUUAUUUUCAAUAAACUAUUGAUGUAAGAAGCUGUGGUUCUUUUCAUCAGCUUGAACCUGAAACUGUCGCUAUGGAUAACUCAGGUUUUUGUUAUCAACUAUAUCAUCUUUUUCACUAUUUUGAAACUCUUAAGAUUAAACUUUAGUAAAGUUGUUUCAGCUAUUCAAAUGAAAAACUCAUUGAUUUGAGAAUUCCUUCAUUAUUGUUUCUAAUUACAAUGCUAACGAUCCAGAUAAAAUAAUAUUUAAUCGGCGAAGGUGUCCCUUGGAAGUACAUCCUUCUUUUUCUUUUAUUAUAUCAAUUCUUGCAAUGAGCUUAGUGAAGCUGUUGUGCUAAUCAUGCCACUGCAUAAUUUGGCCCCUAAUGUGGGUACUCUGUUACAUUGUUCUGCAAAUUCUCCAGAAGUUAAAAUCAAUAAAUUUUCUAUUAGCUCUAGUGCUUUGACCUAAAUGCUAUUCUAUAUUCUGAUUACAAUGUUUUAACCUUUAAAUUAACUACCCCUAGAUGUUGGAUUUUCUAGAACUUCAAAAUGAUUAAUGGAGAAAGAUCCCAUUAUCGUUAUUGCUAUAAGAAAUUGAUUUAUGCAUCCAAAGAUACAUUAUAUAUUUCUGUGUCUCUAUUUAUAGAUGACAUUUAAGCAUCCAUAAACCGUCAGACAGAGGAAGGGGGUUCAGUGCAAAGAUUCUGUUGACCUAGGGUUGACUGCAUAUGUCACUUGUUCGCAAUCUAUUAUUUAUUUUAUAUUUUGAAGAAUUUAAUGGGUAAUCCUAAUUGUUUGUUUUGGCAGGUAUGUGUUGUUAUCUCCUUCUAUCUAACAGUCGUACCUAAAUAGCAUAGUUUCAUCUGUGUUACCAUGUGAUGUACAUAAUUUCACAUUUGCCUCAGAUUAAGCUUAAUUUCCCACAGAAUAGAGCUGUCGCGACUGGACUUAGGUUGAUGUCCAAAGAGGUAAAUUAUUGGUAUGCCUAGAUAAUUUGGCCAUUUCCUAAUUCAUAAGUCUACAUUAAUUUUGAUUUUGAGUUGACUGAUUUCUUUUCAAGGUCUGCUUCCUUAACGGAGUGACCAAUGUUUUUCAACUAAAUUUAUCAUAUGAUGCAGGAAGCAGGGCAGGAUAUGCAAUGAGAAUCUCAUUGGUGGAAGUAUUGCCAGUAACAGAACCCAAAGAAAAUGAAACUGUUUCAAGGCAGCAGUUGGCAGUUGCAAGUGAAUGGAGGCCCUUGACAAAAUUCUCAAGCGGUUGCAAUGCAAUUACGAUCAUCCUCAGCCUCAGGUAAUUUCUUCUCCUGCUUUGUAUUUAUUUGUUAUCUAAUUAGGAAGCGUAAAGUAUCUUGAAUCAUUUUCUGUAUCUGGAAUAUAUGCAAGAGUUUCUAAAAUUUUGAUAUGAGUGUGAUGAUGGUAAUUUCUGUUUUCUGUCUGUCUUCAAAUGUUAGAAAACUUUCAUUGAGACGCUUGAACCGAGUCAUUUUUGACAAGUGAAGUGCUGAAGAGUGAAGAGUAAGAAUGGUGCUAGAUUGGGGAAUAAAGCAAAAGGAGGUAAAUUAUUGGCAGCUUCUUCAGCCUUAUUUUCUUUGGACCAGUGCCUAACUCACAAGUCUCCAUAAUUCGGCUUUUGACCAGUUGAUAGAUAAAAUUUUAAUUUCAUUGGUGCUAAUGUACCCGUGAAGCAGGCAGAGAAGGACUGUGGAAAAGAGAAGGUUUUUAGUGAAAGCUUAAACUCAGGUAAUUCUAAAAAUUAUAUGUUUUGGCUGAUUUAUCUAAAUCAGGAAAUUUUAUUUCCAUCUGUUACAAUAAAACAGAAACAGAACACAAAGAAAAAUAUUCUACUUCUUGUGGCAAUCUUGCCUUCAUUCAGACUAUGAAACCAUUUCCUUUCACCAAUUUCUUCCAAAAUUUUGAACACGUUUCAUGGUUGGACAUAGUUAUCUUCUUUUUCUUUUGGUGCAUUUAGGUACUAUCAAGUGACAGCCAUAAGUAUGAUUGCAUUGUUGGGAAAUUUUAGGUUUUGAUGGCUCCCCAUGUUAUUGCCAAGAAAUUUUAAGUCCUCAUGUCAGAAGCUGCGUUUCUUUUCAUCAGCCUGAACCCGAACCUGUCACUAUGGAUAACUGAGGUUUUUGUCAUCAACUAUAUCAUCUUUUUCACUGUUUUGAAACUCUUAAGAUUAAACUGUUGAGAAGUCAAUAUUAGCCCAAAUAAGUCCACACCUAAAUUAAUUUGAUGUCAUUGCUUACAUCAAUUUAGUUAGGUGAAUAUUAGCCCAAAUAAGUCCACACCUAAAUUAAUUUGAUGUCAUUGCUUACAUCAAUUUAGUUAGGUGAAAAUUAGGUAUUUUUCCCAUGUUUAAUUUCAAUGGUUUAAAUUAGUUUGUGGUUAUUUUAAUGAGUGGUUUAGAUUGUUUCUUGUAACCUAUAAAUACCUCAUUUGUAUUUGAGUUUUAUUAUUCAACAAUAAAAAGCUUUAUUAUAAGCAUUUGAAAGCUUUCUUAAGAGUUCUUCUCUUUUUGCAAUUUUGUGAGAUUAUUCUAAAGAGAGUUUUUCUUCUUCUUGAUCAAUUAGAGUUUUUACUCUAUUUUGAUUCAACAUUUGGUAUCAGAGCAUUGGUUGUAAAGUCUCUUGAAAUUCCGAGUAUGCUCUGUGGUUGCAGUUUUGACUGAUCUUCCACAUCAGAAAAGAUUUCUUGAGAUUAUUGCUGGGGUUAUCACAAACCUUGAGAGGGAGCUUCUUUGUGUCAAGAGUAGUGUAUUAUUCUGCACGGUAGUCACUCAAGAUUGUUCGGUGUAGUCAAAGUCUUGUCGAUACGAUGGGUGAUCUUCAAGUUGUUGGAGGAAUCAAGAAGCUCAACAACCAAAACUAUAACACGUGGGCAACGUGUAUAGAAUCUUACCUUCAAGGUCAAGACUUGUGGGAGGUUGUCGGUGGUAGUGAAGUUACACAACCGGCAGCGGAAGAUGCUAACGGCGUCUUGCGGAAGUGGAAAAUUAAAGCAGGCAAAGCAAUGUUUGCUUUAAAGACCACAAUAGAAGAAGAAAUGUUGGAGCACAUUCGGGAUGCUAAAUCACCGAAGGAAGCGUGGGACACCUUCGCUACACUCUUUUCGAAGAGGAACGAUACAAAAUUGCAACUUCUCGAGAAUGAACUUCUAUCAAUGGUGCAACGCGACAUGGCGGUUGCCCAAUACUUUCACAAGGUGAAGUCGAUAUGCCGUGAAAUUUCAGAAUUAGAUCCGACAGCUGCUAUUGGGGAAGCCAGGAUAAAAAGAAUAAUUGUCCAUGGCUUGAGACCCGAAUACCGAAGCUUUGUAGCCGCUGUACAAGGAUGGCCGACACAACCAUCACUUGUUGAGUUUGAAAAUUUGCUGACAGGCCAAGAAACUAUGGCCAAGAAAAUGGGAGGAGUCUCACUAAAGGGUGAAGAGGAAGCGCUUUACACCAACCAAAGCAGAGGUGGUUCAAGACAGCACAACAAAGGCGGAUCUAGAAAGACUGGUGAACAGACAAAAAGUCAUCAGGGAGGGAAUGGCUCUCGUCCAGGGGGAGCUUCGAAGAAUCGUGACAGUAAUAGAAAGUUCGAUGGCGAAUGUUACAAUUGCGGGAAGAAGGGCCACAUGAAGAGAGAUUGUUGGUCCAAAAAGAAGUCUACCGAAAGCAAUAUUGCUACUUCUAGUUCUAAAGAAGAUAGUGAAGAUAGCUGGGAUGCCGAAGCAUUACUCGCUAUGGAGGAAGAAGAAUUAGCUCUCACGGUAACAACACCAGAAAAGAUUAACUACGAGAAUGAUUGGAUCGUAGACUCAGGCUGCUCAAAUCACAUGACGGGUGAUAGACAGAAGUUGCAAAACUGUUCUGAGUACAAGGGAAAUCGUGUGGUGGUAACAGCUGACAACUCAAGGUUACCGAUAGCUCACAUCGGUAAAGCGAUCGUUACACCUCGAUAUAGUCCCAACCAAGUGCCACUUCAAGAUGUCUACCAUGUUCCAGGAAUGAAGAAAAAUUUGCUAUCCGUAGCUCAAUUGACAUCAUCAGGCCACUAUGUCUUGUUUGGUCCACAAAAUGUGAAGGUAUUUCGAGACCUGAAGAUCUCAGAAAACCCUACGAUGGAGGGACGACGAUUGGAGUCAGUUUAUGUGAUGUCAGCUGAGUCUGCAUACGUAGACAAGACAAGAAGGAAUGAGACGGCAGAUCUGUGGCACAUGCGGCUAGGUCAUGUUAGUUAUUCCAAGCUAAGUGUGAUGGUGAAGAAGUCGAUGCUUAAGGGACUUCCACAACUUGACGUGAGAACAAAUACUGUUUGCGCGGGAUGUCAAUAUGGUAAAGCACAUCAAUUGCCAUACGAGGAGUCGAAGUUUAAAGCAAAGAAACCAUUAGAGUUAAUUCACUCUGAUGUGUUUGGACCAGUUAAGCAACCAUCAAUUGGCGGAAUGCGGUAUAUGGUUACGUUCAUUGAUGAUUUCUCCAGAUAUGUAUGGGCUUUCUUCAUGAAAGAAAAAUCUGAAGCAUUCUCAAAGUUCAAAGAGUUCAAAGAGAUAGUCGAAGGAGAAGUGGAGCAAAAGAUUCGUUGCUUGCGCACAGACAACGGGGGUGAGUAUAGCUCGAGAGAGUUUUCUCAAUACCUACGGGAAUGCCAAAUACGUCAUCAGUAUACUUGUGCCAAUACGCCACAACAAAAUGGUGUAGCAGAGAGGAAGAAUCGGCACCUUGCUGAAAUUUGCCGGAGUAUGCUACAUGCGAAGAAUGUACCUGGAAGAUUUUGGGCCGAAGGUAUGAGAACUGCAGCUCAUGUCAUCAACAAGCUUCCUCAACCAAGGUUGGAGUUUGUUUCACCCUUUGAGAAAUUGUGGAACAAGAAACCUACAGUUAGCUAUUUUCGAGUAUUCGGUUGUGUAUGCUAUGUAUUUGUUCCUGACCAUCUACGUAGCAAGAUCGAUAAGAAAGCAGUCAGAUGUAUCUUUGUGGGAUACGACAAUCAGCGAAAAGGGUGGAAGUGUUGUGAUCCAGUAGAUGGAAGGUGCUACACAUCACGAGAUGUGGUGUUUGAUGAAGCAUCCUCAUGGUGGACCUCAGAAAAAGAAGUGCUGCCAGACUCGAAAGAAUUCGGAGACAUGCUACAACAAAAGAUGGGGGAGCAUACUGUCCAAAUUCAUCUAAGCUCAGCUGGGGAUCUAUGCGAUAGUGAUAGCGAACGAAGAGUAACUCUAAAUCCUUGGCAAUCUGGGGUGUAUCGACAACCAGAUGAAGAAGGUGUGCCUAGUGAAACAGAAGAAUCAACUCCAUUACGAAGGUCAACAAGAACCCGAAGGCCAAAUCCCAAAUACGCUAAUGCAGCCAUAGUUGAAGAAGCAACUGGAAUAGAACCUGAGACGUUCGAAGAAGCGUCACAGAGUUCUGAGUGGAUGACAGCUAUGAAAGACGAGAUCACUGCACUUGAGCAAAAUCAGACCUGGGAACUCGUGCCAAAGCCAAAAGAUGUGAAACCCAUAUCCUGCAGAUGGGUUUACAAAAUAAAGCACUGUCCAGAUGGGUCAAUCGAGAGGUACAAGGCUCGAUUGGUAGCUCGUGGUUUCUCUCAACAAUAUGGACUAGAUUAUGACGAAACGUUUAGUCCAGUGGCAAAACUUACAACCGUCCGAGUCUUACUUGCACUUGCAGCCAACAAAAGCUGGAACUUGUGGCAGAUGGACGUGAAGAAUGCCUUUCUCCAUGGAGAGCUGGAUAGAGAGAUCUACAUGAUUCAACCGAUGGGUUUUCAGAACCGAGGUCACCCUGAGUAUGUGUGUAAACUGCGAAAGGCUCUCUACGGACUAAAACAAGCACCCAGGGCGUGGUAUGGCAAGAUUGCUGAAUUUCUAACUCAAAGUGGGUAUUCAGUAACAUCUGCAGACUCCAGCUUGUUUGCUAAAGCUAAUGGAGAAAGGAUAGCUAUUGUGCUCGUGUACGUAGAUGAUCUAAUCAUCACUGGAGAUGAUGUUGAAGAAAUUUUCCGAACAAAGGAGAACUUGUCAGUUCGUUUUCAAAUGAAAGAACUUGGACAACUUAAGCAUUUCCUUGGGCUAGAGGUUGAUCAGACGAAAGAAGGGAUAUUUCUUUGUCAACAGAAAUAUGCCAAAGAUUUGUUGAAGAAGUUUGGGAUGCUAGAAUGUAAGCCGAUCUCAACACCGAUGGAACCAAAUGCCAAGAUGUGUGCACAUGAAGGCAAAGACCUGGAAGAUGCAUCGAUGUAUCGACAAUUAGUGGGUAGUCUAAUCUACUUAACCUUGACUCGACCUGACAUUUCUUAUGCAGUUGGCGUGAUGAGUCGAUACAUGCAAAAUCCGAAGAAGUCUCAUUUAGAAGCGGUUCGGCGAGUACUCAGAUAUGUGAAGAGUACAAUAGACUAUGGUCUUUUAUACAAGAAAGGUGGAAAUUGCAAACUAGUUGGCUACUGUGAUGCUGACUAUGCAGGAGAUCACGAUACUCGCAGAUCAACUACUGGGUAUAUGUUUACCCUUGGAUCUGGAACGAUUUCUUGGUGUAGCAAGAGACAACCGACUGUGUCCAUGUCAACUACGGAAGCAGAGUAUCGAGCAGCAGCAAUGGCAGCUCAAGAAAGCACGUGGCUGAUACAACUAAUGAAUGAUCUACAUCAACCACUAGAUUAUACAGUUCUGUUGUACUGUGACAACCAAUCGGCAAUUCGGCUGGCGGAGAAUCCUGUUUUUCAUGCAAGAACUAAACAUGUGGAAGUGCAUUACCACUUUGUUAGGGAAAAAGUUCUGCAAGAAGAGAUUGAGAUGAGGCAAGUCAAGACAGAUGAACAAAUUGCUGACUUGUUUACAAAAAGCUUGAGUGUUGGAAAGUUUGAACAUUUCCGUCGUCAGCUUGGCAUGAUUCAAAGAAUGGGGGCUAACAUUGAGGGGGAGUGUUGAGAAGUCAAUAUUAGCCCAAAUAAGUCCACACCUAAAUUAAUUUGAUGUCAUUGCUUACAUCAAUUUAGUUAGGUGAAUAUUAGCCCAAAUAAGUCCACACCUAAAUUAAUUUGAUGUCAUUGCUUACAUCAAUUUAGUUAGGUGAAAAUUAGGUAUUUUUCCCAUGUUUAAUUUCAAUGGUUUAAAUUAGUUUGUGGUUAUUUUAAUGAGUGGUUUAGAUUGUUUCUUGUAACCUAUAAAUACCUCAUUUGUAUUUGAGUUUUAUUAUUCAACAAUAAAAAGCUUUAUUAUAAGCAUUUGAAAGCUUUCUUAAGAGUUCUUCUCUUUUUGCAAUUUUGUGAGAUUAUUCUAAAGAGAGUUUUUCUUCUUCUUGAUCAAUUAGAGUUUUUACUCUAUUUUGAUUCAACAUAAACUUCAGUAAAGUUGUUUCAGUUAUCUAUGUAAUCAGGCUAAGGAUAUUUAGCAGCUUAUUUAGGCAACUGCCAGAAUUCAGUUUGUUCGCUCGAAACUUGUAUGGUGACAAGGAUACUGGCAAGGAUAGUGAGAUAGUUUUUUGUGCGAGUGAAUUUUGAAAGCUUGGGUGUUCUGGGAUUUGCAAUUGCAAUCAUCCUCUGCUUUAGGUGAUUUCUUCUCCUCUUCUGUCUUUAUUUUCUCUCUAAUUGAAAGCAUAAAGUAUUUCAAUCAAAUUCUGUACCAGGAAUACGAAAAAUUUACUAAUAUUUUAUUUCCAUCUGUUUGCAUUGAUAACUUGGCCGCUUAUGUACUAGUUAAAGAACAAACAGAAGCAGAGUUCAGGAAAAAGUUUCUUCGGCCACCAUAUUUUAAAAUGAAACCAUUUCCAGGAAGCAGUUGGCAGCAAAUUCAUAGAAAGUAUAGACAAUGAUGAGCAAAAAGGUGAUUCGCAAUUUCAUUUUUUUAAAAUGAAAUUAUUUGUUAAGUUGGAGCUGAUAUUGUUAGAAGGCCAUUGAGCUAACCUAUGACACUGCUUGCCUAGAUUGCAGGAGGUCAAGACUCAAAAGAUGCACUGAAUUUUAAAAGGCAUGCAAUAAUUCUUAUGGCCAUUUGUCAAUGGUGGAAUGCUUUUAGCUUCUUUUCCUUUCGUGCAUUUUGGGGUUCUAUCAAGCGACAGCCGUAUGUAUGGACGGAUAUAGCUGCUGCGUUGAUUUCUAAUGCGUUGUAUGAUGUUAUAGCAACUAUCUAUCUGGUCAAUGUUUCAAAAGAAUAAGACACAGGGAAAAAGAGAAAGCAAGUGGCCAAUCAAGUAUUCAUGUCCCAAAGAAAAGAAUGAUUCGACAAUAGCAUUAAGGGUUAAUUGGACACAACAGAAGUGUUUUAACCACUUCAAGGAAUGUAAAUGUAAUUUUCCAUUCUAAAGAAAAAGUAAAUAUAUGCACUGUCAAUUAAUCUUUGGUCAACCAGCAACAUUCAUAAUUUCGUGUAAGUUUCAUUUCUGUUUGUUGGAAAUAGCAGUGUAUUUCUGAGAGUUUGUUCAAAAUGGAAAGAUUUUAAAAUAUAAAUUUCACAUCUGUUUAUUACUGUUGUUUGGUCUAAUUUCUUAUGUAGAAUUUUCAGAAUCUGUCGGACAUUAGUUUAUAAUUUUGAGAUUUUGCAGCCAUAAAUUUUUUUUUUUUUUGGUUGCCAUUUUAUUUUGCUCCUUUAUCUAUGUGCAUGUUGACUGGCUGCAGUGAGUGAAAAUUUACCCAUAUUUGCUGGCUAUUCUUGGACAAUAUUAGAGAAAAUAAUCAUAUUAUUUCGCGUGAAGUGAACUUCCAUAACUUAUCAAUUGAAUUGCUGUAAAAUAUUAAAUAGUUUUAUUUUUCUUUUAUCGUGUAACUUGGACCAAAAAAGGAAAUGAGUUUAACAUGACCCUCAUUCCGGCACUAUGCAUGUUUUUCUUGUAUUGAUGACAGUGCUCUUGGUGCUUCUCAUCUGCUUCUUGCUUUGGUUUCAAACAAGUCUUUCUCCGUCGAGACAUUUAUUGUAAUUUCAUUUGGAGACAUAUAUCUGUCGUUCAAAUAUAUUUCAUAUGCAAGCUGUUAAUAAUUCUGCUUGCAGAAAGCCUACAAAGCAGCUGUGUGAUGUAAUAGAAGACCAUAGUCUGGUCAAUUUUUCAGCAUUAGAUAUUCAGGUCAUCAGCUUCUCAUGAAUUCUUUCCUGAGUUUCUUUGAAUUAUUUGUGAUGUAAUAACUUGUGCAUUUGAGAAACUGUUCUCUUGAAUUCUUUCUUGAGUUUCUUUGAAUUAUUUGUGAAUAAGUUGUUAAUCGGCUGCUUCUCUUCAGGAUAAGGAAAGUGUUGCAAACUGGUGAAGCAGCUGAUAGAUAAAAGCAAUGGGUACAUCUUUGCUGGCAUGGAUCGAUGCCAGUGCGGUUGAAUUCAGCAAGACUGCCGUUCGUGAUGUUGUUGAUUGGGAUUAUUUUCAACCUUAUGAUUCUCAUAUCCAUAGAACCUUUUGGUUAUUUAAUCAUAUUUCAUCGUAUGCAUCCGCAUCUUCAUGUGCGUUUGAGAAACUGUUUUGCGGUUAGGCAGGUUUCAAUCUUGAUUCAUGCGUCUUUCAUAAAUGUACAAAAUUAUGGAAACUUCUUUUUCCCAGAUAUUAUAUCUGCACUUAUUCCCAUGUAAUCGAGUCAGACAAGUUUUGCUUAACAAAGAUGUCUACAGUCGCUGAAGUGCAGGAGGAGUACAUUAAGGGUGAUGACAACAUUGAUUAACCCAACCCAACCUGUAAAAAAUCACACCGGUUAGGUUGGUUUCACGGAUUGGGCGGGUUGGUGCCCACCCAUAAAUAUAACCUCCAUUUCAGUACAAUGCAUGUUAAUUGUUCUCCAAGGACUUCUCUUGUUUCCCAUUCCCAACCUCCAUGCUCUCGAGAGGAAUUUGGCACCCAUCAAUUUUUAUUUUUGAAAACUCGUAAUGGUCUGAUAAAAUUAAACAACAUCAAUAACGUUACCAGUCUUUAAAUAGUAAUUAAUUUAUUUAAUUUGCCACCUAAAAGAAUCCUGCUGGAAAUAGAGGUUAAAAAUUUUAUUAGAUCUGCUUACCUUUGUUCAUUCAGCAAAAACACUUACAAUUCAUAGCUAGAGAAUCUAUCCAUUGACAAUUGUGGAUUAAAAUUAUAACACCUGAAUUCAAACAUAUCCUUAUGAAGUUAUGAAUUUGUUCAUACUUCAAAUGAUUUUUUUUUCCCCAAGCUAAUAAAGCGACCACUUUGAUCAAACAACGAUGUUGAAGGAAUUGCGUAUUUUCAAUGUCCUUUUCCAGACAGACGUUCGAGAGAGGGAAAGGAGAAGACUGGCCUAAUUAAGAUAUCUCACAAAGAUUAUUAUUGAGUUAAAAUGUUAUUGUAAAAGAUGUUUAAUACAAUAAUAGUACUUCUUUUGCAUUGUUAUAAUGAGGCUGGUGGGUUUCCUCAGAGGAUGGAUCUGGCUCGCUAGUAUGCAUUUGGGAAGCUGCUAAUUAUCGGCCAUAAAAAGUCAGGGGGUUGUGGCUGUUCCGUCGCCCAGAAAUUCCUAAACUCAUAUAUCAAAUUUCGGAUGAACUUGGGCAUUAUGUAAAUAUGUAUUUUUGAGAAUUAAACUAGUGCGUUAGAAAAAUUUUGAGCCACUGUAAUCAUUUGAUUUUGCUAAGAGAAAAUUUUACUCUGUGUUUCGCUUUGCCUUUUGUUUUUUCUGUGAUAAUAUGAUUCAUACGAAUGUGAUUACACACUAUCAUGCAUCUAUUUUCAUUUGCUUGUCAUGAAUGAUCAACAUGCUCGAAAUAUUUAUAUAGGUUGGAAAUAUUUAAAUCUAUUAAAAUACUAUACACACCCAUUUUAAAAUAAAAAUAUGAUUAUUAUAAUGAUCGCGAAGGUAACACGAUAUCAUAAAUAAAAUAAAAUAUUUCGCAAAAAAGAUAAGAUACGCUUGAAUACAUUGGUAUAAAAAAUAUUUUAGUGGAUUCAAGUAGCACUAAUGCUCCCUUAUCAAAAAAUAUAUAAAGAUAACUAAUCUGAUUGGGUAUACCGUGUGUGUGUGUGUAAUAUUUUUUGAUAUUAUUAUAUAAUAUUUUUUAAAAAGAAGAGAGAGUGGGCAAAGUUCAAAUCAAUUUUCUAAUCCCUAUCUCCUUUAGGAUUUAAACUUCGGUGUUUAGUGUCACGGGUCGCUCAAAUUUUCUAGUCAAAGAGGCUAAAUUGCACGAAAUUGUGCUAGCUUAUUUGAUUUUAAAAUUUUCCAAUGCACUGUAACACACUCUCAUGCUUGUACAUAGCUCGAAAAUCUCUAGAAUUUACCAGAGUAGUGUAGCAUGUAGCUUGUACAUAGGUUUUUCUGGAACACUCCAAGCAUUACUAAGCAUAAGAGCUUUGAGAACUCUCUAGACAUAAAACAUUCAAGGGUAGGCCUGCCCUAAAAAUAGGGCAUGAUGAUUGCCAUUUGAGCAUACAAGAAGUAAGAACAAAUCAAGUAUAUUUGUAAGCUCCCAAACUCUCUCGUACACACUCCUGUGAAUAUUAUGCUUUCUCUUUGACUAUAUUACUCUCUCUUCUCUCUAGUUUUUUUUCGCAAGUAUCAUAUCUUAGCUAGUCGAAAAGUUCAAGUAAGAAUGAUAAUUUUUCCUGAUGGGAUGGGAUGGGAUGGGAUCCUGUGGGAUCCCAUCUCAUUUAGGACGGGAUUGGGAUACAUUUUUAUCCCAUAAAAAAAUAUAGGGACGGGAGUAGAACUUUUUUUAUCCCACUUGUAUCUAUGGGACAGGACUGAGAUUAACAAAUCCAGUCUCGUCACGUCUCGUCUCAUUGCCAACUAGGGAUGGAAAUUUUUCCAAUUGAGAUGGGCUCUCACAGAAUCCCAUUUUUUUGGGGAUGCGAUUGAGACAUAUUUUUAUCCCAAAAAAAUAUAUCGACAGUGACACUUUUUUUUAUCCCACUUGCAUAUUCGGGACGAGACUGAGAUUAGUAAAUCCCACUCUAUCCCAUCACAUUGCCAACCCUAAGUUCAAGGCUUACUUUGCAACUAUCUCAUAAAAGUUGUUUUAAGUACCACAGGAGUUUGUUGUGCAAAAUACUCAUCCCGUGACAUUAGCUAAAUAAAAUUGUUUGAAAGCCACUUACCCAAACUAUUAAACAAAUAUUAUUCUUUUAAUAUGCAAUCUUUUAAUAUAAACUUUUGUCUUAAUUUUCUAUCUCCUACAAUAAAUUUUAUGAUUUUAAAAAUUGAAAAAAUUAAUAACUUUUAGAUAGAGCAUUCCUUACUGUUAAAAGAAAUAUGAAUGGUAAUAUAAAACUUACUUAUUAUAGUAUAAUGCUUUUAGUUUUUUGAAAUAAGGUUCUUAUUUUUUUCAAGAUAAAAUUCAAAGAAAACAAGUUAAAUGUUGUGGAAAAUCUUACGCCCAUACAAUAAAUUAUGACAGCUAAAUGCAAACCUGGCUGAAGUAUUAGUUGUUUUAUUACAAUCUCCAAAAAGAUGAGCACUUCCAAAAUCUUUCUUUGUAACAAUAAACACUACUGGUCAGCAACUAUCCAAGUCAAAAGUAACUCAAUGUGAGUCUUAGUGCACUUGCAGUGAAUCCCAAGAUAAACUAAUUUCACUAGCAAGUUGGAUACCAAAGAGUAAGGCUUCAGCCUCAAUUAUAUUAAAAUCUGAGUAAACAUUAAAUACCACAAUCAAACUCAGAAAUCAUAAUUAAACUAUCAUGAUUAAAAAUAAAGUUUUUUUUUUAGAUAUCCGUUUGUAGUAUCUCUUUAGAUGACAAAUAGGAGAUAAAAUAAAUAAAUAUUGGUUGCGUAAAUAAAAUAAAUAAUUUUUUUAACUGAAAAAAAUUCCUAAAAACUAAAUAGUUCAAACUUUUUUUAACAUGAAAUAAAUAUUAGAUGCGUAAAUAUAAAAAAAUUAACUGAAAAAAUUUCCCAAGAACUAAAUAGUUCAAACUUUUUGUUUAACAUCAUGGGUUUUGUAUAUUCAAUUGAACCGAACAACUAAAUUAAAUCGAAAUUACCCUGUUCGGUUCAAAUGAAUAGACGAAAACCGAACAGUUCAUAUUUUUUGAACUGAUGGUGCGUUUACUUCAUGAAAUGAAAAUAUGGUGGAAUGAGAAUGGGCUGGAAAUGAGAAUGUGUUGAAAUGAGAAUGAAGAAUGAGAAUGAGAUUCUAAUGUUUACUUAAUAAAAAUAAAGGGAAAUGAGAAUGUGCUGGAAUGUCAUUGAUGUGUUUAUUUGACAAAAUAAAUGGGAAUAAAGAAUGAGAAUGAGAAUUAAUUUACCAAAAUACCCAUAGUAUUAAAUAAUAUAAUUUUUAUUUUACUAGAUACAUGUAUAAAUAUUAUUAUAAAAAUAAUAUUAAUUAAAAUAAUAAAUGUUAAGAAUGAUAAUAUUAAUAAAAAUAAUAAUAACAAUAAUUAAUAAUAACUAAAAUAAUAAAGUUAAUAAAAAUAACAACAACAAUAAUAAUAAUAAUAAUAAAUGUUAAUGAUGAUGAUGAUGAUAAAUGUUAAUAAUGAUAAUAUUAGUAAAAAAAUAAUAACAGUAAUUAAUAAUAACUAAAAUAAUAAAGUUAAUAAUAAUAAUAAUAACAUUUAAAAUAAUAAAAUUAAUUGUGAUUUGAAUCAGAGUAAUUCGAAAAAUAUAAAAAAAUUAAAAUGAUACAAAAAUAAACAUAAAUUUUAUCCCCGUUCCCUCAUUUUCAUUCUCAAUUCCCCAUGAAAAUAGAAUUCCCAUUUCUUAUUUUCAAAUUACGGAAUCCCCAUAUUUUAUUAUCAUUCCCAAAUUAUAUUUUACCAAAUAAAUAUAAAUUUUAUUCAUAUUUUUUCAUUUCCAUUCUUUAAACCUUCAAGUAAACACAAUUUUCUUUUAAUUCGGGUUCUGGGCCUGAACCGAACCGUACCGUAAACUGCCCACCCUUACAGUAGUUUUCGGGGUUUUUAAUUAAAUAUGCCUUAAAAGUAGUGUAUUUAGUUAAAUAUACCCAUGUUUGAAAAUUAUCUAAGUAUGCCUUUUUAUGUGGUACAUUGUCUAAAAUAUCCCUAAAGAAAAAUAUAAAACACACACACAACUCACAACACUCUUUGCUUCUCACGUAUUUAUCAUCUAUACAAAAACUCACACCACACUCAAAAUCACUCACAAACAGCUAAUGCACUGAGUUUGUUUGCAGUUGGGUGUAUUAUUCAUCCCAUGAAUAAGGUAUUUGAAACUUUUUUUAUUUUAUUUUGGGCUAUCUAUUCAAUUUGUUGACAUUAUAUUAUUUUUAGGGUUUUGUUUGGUUUGUGAUAAACACUAAAGCAACUCAUAUUUUCAUUACAUUUGCAUCAUAUGACUGUUAUUUGAUGGAUUUUAUAACUACAUUCGUUAAAAUCUGAAGUUGUUGUCAAAUUUUUUUCUGCACCCGACAUACACGACAGCAGUCGUGUAUGUAUGUAUUUACAUGACUGUAGUCGUGAAAAUGUGCAAAAAAUUUCAAUUAUUAUGACACCUUAUUAUUCUAUUGGUUCAAAAAAUAUAUAUUUUUCACUAUAUAUAUCCUUUUACUAUUACUAUACUAUAGUCGUGUGUGUGAAUAAGUUACACGACUACUAACGUGUACGUAUAAACUUACAUACUAUAAUUGUUAAUAAGUUACACGACUACUAUGAACCUUAUAUACUUGUUAUUUUUUGUUGUUUUAAUUUUUUUAAUAUCUUUCAUAUUUAGUGAUAAAUUUUUACCUUUUUGUUUCGCAGAUGAAUAAACAUGUUUGUGUGACUUUCUAAGAACAAGUAUUGAAGGGAGGCGACCAGAGACUUAUAAAAUAUGGACUGAGUGUUUGGGUUGAAUAUGCCAAAAAUUUAUGAUGAAUGUUAAAUAACUUCUAUUAUAUUACGACUUAUUUACGAUUUCAAUAAUUAUUGGAUUUGUGUUAUUUGAUAGGCAAUCGAACUAUAGUUAGUUUCAUUUAUUUGAAGUUUGAUAUGUUUAAAAUCUAUAUUGAUUGUGUCAUCAAUAUAAUGAAUGAUUGAAAAGAAUUUUUAUUCUGUGCACAUACCCGAGUACAAUCGUGUAUUUUGGCUGUUACAAAACUAGUCAUGUUUAUUUCUAAAUACUCGACUACAGUCGUGUAUCUGUGCAAAUACUCGAUUAUCACAGAGAGUUUGUCAUAUUUAUUUCUAAAUACUCGACCAUAGUCGUGUAUCUAUGCAAAUACUCGACUACAGUCAAGUAUUUUGUCACAGAGAGCUUGUUAUUUUUAUUUGUAAAUACCCGACUACAGUCGUGUAUAUGUGCAAAUACCCAACUGCAGUCGAGUAUUUUGUCACAGAGCUUAUUAUGUUUAUUUCCAAAUACCCGACCGCAGUCGUGUAUCUGUGUAAAUACUCGACUGCAGUCGAGUAUUUUGUCACAGCUUAUUAUGUUUAUUUUUAAAUACCCGACCACAGUCGUGUAUCUGUGCAAAUACCCGACUACAGUCGAGUAUUUUGUCACAGAGCGUAUUAUGUUUAUUUCCAAAUACCCGACCGCAGUCGUGUAUUUGUGCAAAUACCUGACUGCAGUCAUGUAUUCUCUUACAGUGUAUUCCUUGUGUAUAUAUUGUGCAAACUAUCUUAUCUAUCAUUAAUAUAAAUAACAAAGAAAUAAAAUAUAUUAAUGCUGUCAAUUGUCUUUAAUGACAUCAAAUAUCAAUAACAUCCUCAUUACAACUAUUACAUCUCAUAAUCUAAAAAAUGACACUACAAAGUUUUUUUCCAUGACCUAUGCCCAAAUAAUUUUACAACCAAGGCUUGUCGAAAUUAUGUAACAUGAUUUUGUUGGCAUUAUGAAUUGACAUCAAGUCCAUGGACUAGGACCUCCAAGUACCGCAACAAAAAUGCUCCACAUUCACCACUAAAAAAAUUCAUAUAAAUCAAUUGUUAAAAAUCAUCAUUCUUAUUAUUAUGUUCAAAACACAUUAUAUAUAUAGUACAUACCCUGAUUUUUGUUGCGGGAUGUCACGCACUCGCACGAUGGGCCAAGGAAUUUUCGAAAUAACCUCACUACAGUCUGGAUGUGUUUCGUGAUAUGCUAUCUUCUGAAGUACUAGAGGUAUCAUGUCUGCAACAGGCAGCAAUUGUCUCACCAAAACUGAAUCCUUUGUUAAGUCUAUCAUGGAGUCAUAAAUAGAAAUCUUGCCCCCAAGUAUAUCGACCACACCGAGAACCCAAUGAUCAUUCAUGAAUAUUGGCAAAUACACCUACGAAAUACAGACAAUAUUCUUAACAAGUAACGGCAAAUAUAUCUACGAAAUGCUGUAACUGUUUUUAUCUACUUGCAGUUGAUUUAUUAAUAGUAUACUAUCAAUAGUUUUAUGCUAAAACAAAUAGCAAAUUGUUAAUAAAUUAGAAUUGUAAAAUAAAGGUUCUACAACAAAUAAUAGAGAAAACCCAGAUUGUAGCAUAAUGAAUGCAUACGCAGUUGAAGAAAAUUGAUAUAUAAUUCCCAUGGAUGAAGUUCAACUACAAACAAUAAGUAAAAUUAUAUAAAGAUCUAAUGCAUAAACUAGUGUAGCCAUAACCGAAAAUUCAUAAGGAUAAUAUUUAAUUAGGAACUCCCACAACCAUUAUUAAAGAGCUAUUAAUUCACUCUCUUCAAUUUCAAAUUCACAAGUUAAAGAAGCUUCAUUACAUUACCAACAAGAAAGAUUAUCAGUAAAUAAGCAAGAUAAUGACCAAAAUCAUGUGGGUAAUUUGUUUUUUAAAACCCUAUUGCAUAUAACCCUAACAAUUAUGCACCAUAAAUUCUCUUUAUAAAGUAAAAAAUAAGUGUAAAUGUGGUUAAUGACCUUUAGUUCGGUGAAUUUCCAGCCUUUAAUUCGGUGAUUUUGUAGCCUUUAAUGUGGUGGAUGAACUUGCAGCAGCAGGAGCAUGAACUUGCAGCAGCAGGAGCAUGAACUUGCAGCAGCAGGACAAGCGUUGUGUAUGGUAGCUCGUGAAUGCAGAUUUUGAAAUUUGAAGAAUUAAAUUGGGGUAAUUUUAUAAUUGCACAUUGAAAAAGGUAUAUAAAAAAAAUUUUGAAUUAUGGGGGUAUAGUUGGAUAAAUACCUAACCUUUAGGGUAUAGCGGGGACAAAUCCCUGGUAGUUUUCAUUAACCGACGUUGUACUGCUGGUAUGAAGUUGUUCAAAUGUUCAAAUCAGUCUCUCGCUUUCAGCUCAGUCAGAGUUUCCAGGUCCAGAGACUUCCCGCUGACUGAGAGCUUUUUUAGUAGCAGGUCUACAAAUAAAGGAAUAGAGCUGAUUUAAUGAUUAAUUUAUUUCCUUUUUCAAUUUCUUUUGAUUGCCAUUUAAUCUGGAUAAGUUAAACGUGAAUUAUUUAGUGCAGAUUAAAUGUUCGACGAAUUUCCCGCAAGAAUAUUAAGCUAAAGAGAAAAAAAGAAAACAAUUGAGCGUGAGCGGGAAUGGUGUUUGGCCAAGUGGUGAUUGGUCCGCUCGGCUCGGGAAAGACCACUUACUGCAAUGGCAUGUCUCAGUUUCUCCGCCUUGUUGGCAGGUAACUCCGUUUCUUGAUUUCAAGCAGCUUUAUCUUUGAUGGCCAAAAAAAUUGAUUUGGGCUUUGCCCAUUAAAUGAAUGUAAGAGCGGUAGGGAAUAACUGAGUUAUAGGAUUAGCUUUAAGUGAACAUUGAUGGUAACAUGCAUGUGAAUGUUGUAUGUGUUCAGCGGCAAGCUGUAUGCCAAUUUGGUCUAUAUGGUUGCUUCGGUGGUAACUUAUUAAUUUUUAUGCAGGAAGGUUGCAGUCAUCAAUUUCGAUCCUGCUAAUGAUAGUUUGCCAUAUCCUUUGUCGUUGAACUUUCUUACAAAUGCUGUGGUUUGUUGUAGUACAAUUAGUUCAAUCAGAAACUUCCUUGAUGUUAAUAUAGAUAUGAGUGUGCUGUGAAUAUUGAGGACUUCAUUAGACUAAGUGAUGUGAUGAUGGAGCAUUCACUUGGUCCCAAUGGAGGUUAGUCAGCCCAUUGUUGUUUACUCUUUCUUGCUUUAUCACGCAAUGAUAUUCCUUUGCUUUACAACAAAUUUCGUGAAAUUAACUUCAAUCAAGUGGCUAUGUUCAUACGCUGUUGAGAUUUUAUGGACAAAGAUUUGGUAGACUUUAUAUGCCGUCUUCUUUCUUUUUGCAGUGAUAUGUUUGUCUUCAAUGCACUUGUACUUGUUCUAUGGUUUCUAAAGUAGGUGUUUUUAUGAUAAACUAGGUCUUGUGUAUUGUAUGGACUAUCUAGAGAAGAAUAUUGACUGGUUGCAGUCGAAAUUGGAACCACUUUUGAAAGGUAAGAAGUGGCCAUUUUCCUUCAUUCUAAUGCCAAUAAUGCUGUCAUGAGACUCAUAAAAAUUGUUAAAAUGUUAAUGUUUUUGGUAUUUUGCAGAUCAUUAGCUUCUGUUUGAUUUUCCUGGCCAAGUUGAAUUAUUUUUUCUUCAUUCCAAUGCCAAGAAUUUUAUAAUGAGACUCAUAAAGAAGUUAAAUCUCAGUGUAUUGUUACAUCUUACGUCUAUGAAGGCACUCAAAGAGUUGAGAUGAAUUCAUCAUUGUUAUUUUGAUGCCAGAAUUGUGCAAUUCUCAGUUGCUUCCUUUCACAUGCAGUUGACUGCAGUGCAUCUAGUUGAUGCGCAUCUUGGCAGUGACCCCGGGAAGUAUGUUAGUGCUUUGCUUCUCUCAUUGUCUACGAUGCUCCAUCUGGAACUUCCCCAUGUCAAUGUCUUUUCUAAGAUCGACCUGAUUGAGAAUUAUGGAAAGCUAGGUGUGGUUUUAAGUGUAGCUCUCCUACUUGUUUGUUUAGUUUGAAAUAUCAGAUAUUGUCACAAGCUCCUAUCUGCUACGUUUCCUCACCAUUCAUUUACUUUGGGUAUGUUGCAGCUUUUAAUCUCGAGUACUAUAUGGAUGUGCAAGAUUUGUCAUAUUUACAGCAUGCCUUGGGUCAGGACCCUCGUUCUGCUAAGUACAGGUUUGAAUUCUAGCUGAAUCAAUGAUGCAAAUUAUGUCCAUUGCUAUUUCUGACUAUUGUUUCUAUCAUUUUCAAUUGUUACCUCCCCUUUCCAUCUACUGCCACACUACAAUGCCCACACAAAUAUCAUGAAAUUUUUCAAUGGAAAUGCCUUUCUGUUUGUCCAGAGACAGCUCUUAGAUGCAAGUGACCAAUUUUUGGCUUUGGCCAUGUUACAGCCUUAGAUUUCAAUUUGCCAUAUCUUGUCUCGGAAGUCAAAAGAAAGCAUAUUUGUUAGCCAAAUUUUAUUUGAAUUUCUUGUGUAACAAUGAAUGGGGGAAAAAAAAAAGUUCCUCUUUUGUUUUGAUCAGACUCAAUGAAUAAGUGGUUAAAAUGUGCCUGUACUAGAAAUAUAGAUGUGAGGUUUCAUAAAAUUUUCUUAAUCUUAAGAAAGAGUUAUCUUGAAAAGAAGAUAACAUGGAGAAUUCAACAACUAUACAGUCAUAUUGAUGUCUGUCAACUUGGGUCAUAUGGUGUUGUUUGGAUGGAGAUGUUAGGUCCCAGAUGGUAUACUUGUUAUCAAAUUCCAGUCUACUUCAUUCAUGCUUUGAUGACAUAUGCGGUGCAGCUUCUUAUCUAAGACCUGCAUAUGUUACAGUCAACAUUCUGUUCUGUAACUCAACCUCAGGAAUCUGCUUGUAUGGUGUUCUUCUAAUUUCAAAUGGAGAUAAGUAAUAUCUGUUGUUCAAAUAUAUUUUAUUUACAAGCUGUUAAUAAGUCUGCUUGCAGAAAGCUUACAAAGGAGCUGUGUGAUGUAAUAGAAGUCUACAGUCUGGUCAAUUUUUCAACCUUAGAUAUUCAGGUCAUCAGUUUCUCUUGAAUUCUUUCUUGAGUUUCUUUGAAUUAUUUGUGAAUAAGAUCUUAGUUGGCUGCUUCUCUUCAGGAUAAGGAAAGUGUGGCAAAACCUGUGAAGCUGAUAGGUAAAAGCAAUGGGUACAUCUUUGCUGGCAUGGAUGCCAGUGCAGUUGAAUUCAGCAAGAUUGCCAUUCGCGAUGUUGAUUGGGAUUAUUUCAGAUAUCCUUCUGUUCACUUAUUUUGAAUCUUGUUAUUCUCAUAUUCAUAAAACUUUUUGGUUAUUAUUAUGGUUCAUCAUAUGCAUCUACAUCUUCUAACUUGUUCGUUUGAGAAACUAAUUUUGCCGUUAGGUAGGCUUCAAGCUUGAUUCAUGCUUUUUUCAAAAAUGUACCAAAAUCAUGGAAACUUCUUUUUCCCAGAUAUUGUAUCCACACUUUUCCCAUAUAAUUGGGUCAGACAAGUUUUGCUUAACAAAGAUAUCUACAGUAGCCGAAGUGCUGGAGAAGUACAUUAAGGAUGAUGACGAUGUUAACUAAAAUGGGACGUGAAGAUAUGUGGUGUGCAAACCGUAAGCCUGCCUCUUAUUUUUGUGCAUGUUUACUUGCUUGUGAUUCACGUUUGUUAAUCUAUUUUGCUCUCUUGCAGGAGUUAUAAAGUUUUCAAUCAAUCAAACAUUUUAACUUAAGUCCUUAGCUCUUCACGGCUUGAAUGGGUCAGAUAGGACAAGCGCCGAAGAGGUGGUUUUAAUCAAACCCCUCCUAAUUAUGAUGUAUGGCCCGAAUCUCGGACUUUUUUUACAAUAUCAAGCGAUUUUUUUUAGUUGAAUCGGCUAGUGUACACAAAUGUCGAUUAUUGAUUUUUCUUUAGUAUUGUUUGUAAUUACAAGAAACGAAGUAAUGAAAUUUAUCAGUGCGUUCAUAGUUACGCUUAAGCUCAAAGAUUACCGUCAAGAUCAUCAACCUGCUGAUGAUCUGAAGCUUCCAUAGAAAAAGGAACCGGACAAAACCCAAGAGAGAGAACAAAAAUAAAUUAAUUAAAAAAAAAGAAGAAAAAUUGCCAAAGCUACUGGUCAGUUGACAUCAAUCUUUUGCACGUGGGAUGGAAAUGGAACACUGGGCACUUUGGAUGACUCAUAACUCACAAGAGAGCAUCGAAUUUAGGCCGAAUCAUAUAAAGUACGCUAAGCCUUAGUGCGUGCGCUGUUGCGUUGCUGUGUCUGCCGGUGAGAAUAAUUUUUCGUUUUUAAGGUAAUUUUCAUUUAUUUAUUUAUUUUUUUGGUGCAUAUGGUCGAACACUUGGUGGGCACCUCAGUUUUUGGAAUGUUCUCUUCAAUGAAUACAGGGAAAAAGGGACAAAAAUUAAGAACUUUAUUUUGUUCGCGUGGAAUCGAUAUCUGGAUUGGGAUUGUAUGUCGUGUUUAAUUUGAAUUGGUUGAUUCCUCUAAUGAAUUAUUUGAUAAAUUUAGUAGCAGUAUUUGGUGGCAAAAGUAUCAUUAAUUUUUGGAAAUAUGAUUAUAUUAUUAAUUAUUUUAGCAUUCUAAAAAGUCAAUGGUUAUGUUGGAAAUACUCUAAGGUAGACUAGAGUACAAAUCACAAUCACACAUAAAAAGUGAUAAAUAAUAAAAAAUAUAUUAUAUUUUUGAUCAUAUGAUUAUGAAGAUGUAUUUUACCUUAAAGAAGUUAUAAUAAGCGAAUUCUUUUAAAAAAGAAUAAAAUUUCUUUUUUAUCAUACUCAACCGCUUCAAACUUCUAAGAAGUAGAUAUACAAUGAGUGGAAUACUGAAUUGAGUGCGAGCUGCGGAUAACAUAUAAAAUUGGGAUACAAGCUUCAAAGAAAGUGUAUUGCUAUUCAAAUGUAGAUUUCAAAUUAAGAAGAUAUGCCAGCAAAUUGUAUAAAAAUGUAUAAAUUGAUCAGUAACAUUAAUUCCAAAUGAUGAAAUGAGUUAUCUUGAUCAAAAGGUCAAGAACCUACCUUACUUCUCUUAGAGAUAACUUGCAUCAACCGUUGUGGUAUUGAUACUUGUCUUCAGCUAGUAAAAGUGAAAGUUUCACAAUUGAAAUAAAGCUAAGGGAAGAUGCUAUGCUCCAUUUAUUAUUAUUAUUAUUGACGUGGUCGAGAAGUAAAGCCGUGCAUAUGAUGAAGUAUAAAUAAGAAUGCAAUAGCCCGGAAUUCAUUUACACAAACACUUCAAUAUCCUUUUGAUCACUUUUGCAAACAUCAAUUUGUCUCCUCUUGUAUUCACCAUGGUUGAUGCCAUCGUUUCCACUGUCUUGGAGCAGCUGAUUUCCUUCGCUGCUAAAGAGAUAAAGCAACAGGUGAUCGAAGUUACACCCGCAUAUUAUAAACACUUCUAAUGAUUUUAGUUGGUUUCCUUUUUAUCGAAAACAUUAUUUUUGCUUUAUUUUAUUUAUUUGGCAAUUUUAAAUUUGGAAAUUUGAAUUGAAUUUAAUUAAAAUGUGAUGUAGUUAGUAACCACUUAUUUUUAUUUUAUUUCAUUUAUAUUCUCAAUAACUACUCAUAUUUUGGUAACUUACUAUAACUUCCAUAUCUAAGAAAUUAUCAAAACCCACAAUUUUAACUCAGCACGAAUAUUCAAUGGUGAUCUAAGCUUUUGCAGAACACUCAAGUUUGUCAAACAUUCAUUAAUUCAAUGUUUAGUGAAAAAAACUCUUCUCAGCACAGAAUUCCAUGUCCAUUACUUAGGCUCUCUGAAAAAUUUCAUAAUUUUCAUACAUUCUUUGAGUUUGGUAAGUGAUUUCAUAUAAUUUCUUUUCAAGUUAAAUUUUAAUUUGGCUUCUGAUAUAGUCUCUUUGUUGAAUUUGUAUCUCUUAUGAUUCUUAGAUUUUGGGCUCCAACUUUUGAGGAUAUGAUAGUCACAUUUUAUGCUAUGCUCAGAUUGAUUUUUAUGAUUUUUUGUUCCCGUUAAGUGACUUAGAAUUUGACAAAAGUUUGAUAGGAAAUCUGUUUCACGAUUUUGUUUUAAUUGACCUUUUAGUGGAAAUAAGAUGCUUAUAACUUAAUGUGGAUGGUUUGUAAAAUCAUGAAAUUUGGAUAAUAUAAAUUUGUACGAGACUCUCCAUAAUAUUUCAUGAUUUUUCAUUAGCUCUGGGGUGUUACAGGUGCUACUUGUGACUGGUGUCAAAAAAGAAGUGAAAAAAAUUACCAACCACCUUCAAGCCAUUCAAGCUGUGCUCGAGGAUGCAGAGGAAAAGCAAGUGACGGAAACAGCUGUCAGACUUUGGCUGGGUAGGCUCAAGUCCGCAUCCUACGACAUUGAAGAUGUGUUGGAUGAGUGGAUCACAGCAAGAGGCAAAUUGCAAAUUAAGGGCAGCGUUUAUGACAAUGCUCUUGUUGCUCCUAAUCAGAAGAAGAAGGUAUGUUCCUGCUUUCCUGCCUCUUGCUUUGGUUUCAAACAAGUCAUUUUGCAUCGUGACGUAGCUGUCAAGAUCAAAGAAAUCAAUGAAGAGCUGGACGAUAUUGCCACUCAAAAAGACAUGUUUAAAUUUGUUGGGAGUGUCAGUAAAAGUAGUGAAAGACCAAGACGUGUGCAGAGUACCUCCUUGAUUGAUGAGGAAGAGAUUUGUGGUAGAGUUGGUGAGAGGGAUGCACUCUUAAGCAUGCUGUUGUGUGAGAGCAGUGAGCAACAAAAAGGCCUUCAUAUCAUCUCAAUUGUUGGUAUGGGAGGCAUCGGGAAAACUACUCUUGCACAACUAGCUUGUAAUCAUGACAAGGUGAAGAGUCAGUUCGACAAAAUUUUAUGGGUGUGUGUAUCAGAAACUUUUGAUGAGUUUAGGAUUGCCAAAGCGAUGCUUGAAGCUUUGACUGGUUCAACUUCUAAUUUAGAUGCAUUGCAAUCUCUUCUUAUAAGUAUUGACGAAUCUAUUGCGGGAAAGAGGUUUCUUCUUGUCUUAGAUGAUGUGUGGGACGGAGAUUACAUUAAAUGGGAACCAUUCUACCGUUGCCUAAAGAAAGGUCUCCAUGGAAGUAAAAUUGUAAUUACCACACGUAAUGAGUCAAUUGCCAGCAUGAUGAGAUCCGCAGAUAUUAUCUCUAUCAAGGAAUUGGCUGAAGAAGAAUGUUGGGCAUUGUUUAAGCAGUUAGCAUUUUUCGGUCGAUCCACUGAGGAGUGUGAAAAAUUGGAACAAAUUGGUCAAAGAAUUGCAAGAAAGUGUAAAGGUUUACCUCUUGCUGCAAAGACAAUGGGAAGUCUCAUGAGCUCUAAAAAAACUGAAGAAGAGUGGAAAAGAAUUUUAAAUAGUGAUUUAUGGAAGGUAGAAGAGAUUGAGAAAGGUGUUCUAACCCCUUUGUGGUUGAGUUAUAACGAUUUGCCAUCUAGAGUAAAAAGAUGUUUCUCGUAUUGUGCUGUCUUUCCAAAAGACUACAAUAUAGAAAAAGACAAACUAAUUACUUUGUGGAUGGCUCAAGGUUAUCUUAGUGCAGAAGCAGCAGAACAAGAUGAGGAGUUGGAGACUAUAGGUGAAGAGUAUUUUGGCAUCUUAGCUUCUCGCUCUUUCUUUCAAGAGUUUGAGAAACGUUAUGAUAAUCGUAUUAUAGCGUGCAAGAUGCAUGAUAUGGUACAUGAUUUUGCCCAAUUUGUUAGUCAAAAUGAAUGUUUUUCGUUGGAAGUUAAUGGUAGUGAGGAACUAAACGUCACAAACUCUACAAACUCUCUUGAUGAGAAGGUCCGUCAUUUAAUGUUAAUCUUUAGUAAAGGGACUUCAUUACCUGUUUCCACUCGUAGAGUUAAAAGAAUGCGUACCCUCUUAAUUAACGAUAGUAGAUCUGAUCAUUCAUUAUUAAAUGGUGAGAUCCUAGAAGAAUUAUUUAGGGAAUUGACAAGUUUAAGGGCAUUAGAUUUUGGCAAAUCGUAUAACUCAAGUUGGUCUUCGACUGUGGAGAUUCCGAGAACCAUAGAAAAGCUGGUACAUUUAAGGUACCUGAAUUUGUUUUAUCAGGGAAUAAAGAAACUACCGGAGACAUUAUGCGAGUUGUAUAAUCUAGAAAAGUUAGAUAUUAGUAUAUGUUUUAAUCUUAAAGAAUUACCUGAAGGGAUUGGGAAGUUAAUAAACAUGAAGCAUUUACGAAAUAGAGGUACUAGUUCUUUAAGGUACAUGCCAGUAGGGAUUGGGAGAUUAACGGGUCUCAGGACCUUGGAUGAGUUCCACGUGAGUGGAGGAGGAGGUGUUGAUUGUAGGAAAGCAUGUAGGCUUGAAUCUCUCAAAAACUUGGAAAACCUUCGAGUGUGUGGUAUACGUAGACUGGGUGAUGUAUCAGAUGUGGGCGAGGCUAAGCGAUUAGAACUUGACAAAAAGAAAUACCUCUCUUGUUUGAGACUUCGGUUUGAUAAGAAGGAGGAAGAAGAAGGAGAAAGAAGGAAGAACGAGGACGAUCAACUUCUUCUUGAAGCCCUACAACCACCUCUCAAUUUAAAGGAAUUAGAGAUAGAGUACUACCGAGGCAACACUGUUUUCCCCAGCUGGAUGACGUCAUUAACCAACUUAAAGAGUUUAGAUCUCUCUUCCUGCGAAAAUUGCGAGCAGCUGCCUCCUUUGGGAAAAUUGCCAUCCCUUGAAGCACUCAGCCUAUGGGACAUGAAGUGUGUGGAAAGAGUGGGUGAUGAAUUUUUGGGGAUAGAAAGUGAUCAUCAUGGCUCAUCUUCAUCGGUUAUUAUUGCCUUCCCCAAAUUGAAAUCACUUUCAAUUGAGUUUCUGCGCGAAUUGGAGGAGUGGGAUUAUGGGAUUACAAGAACGGGAAACACCGUCAUCAACAUCAUGCCACGUCUUUCUUCCUUGACAAUUGCUCAUUGCCCCAAAUUAAUGGCACUGCCCGACCACUUUCAUCAAACAACAACAUUGAAGGAAUUGCACAUUUGGGAGUGCAGGCUUCUGGAAGAACGUUACCGCAAAGGGGAAGGAGAAGACUGGCCUAAGAUAUCACACAUUCCCAACCUCCGUAUUGGGCUUUGACAAGUAAUUUCUUCUCUUACUCUGAUUUGCUUUGUUGUUGUUUUUAAUCUAAUUAAGAAGCGUAAAUAGCAUUUUGAAUCAAACUCUAUAUCAGAAAUCUGCAAUACUUACUUUCUAAUAUUCUGAUUUUCAUAUCCUAUGAAUAUACAAUUUUUAAUUUGUGAGAUGGGUAACGUUACUGUAAAAGAUUAUUAAUGCAAUAUGAGUAAUUCUUUUGCAGGACAAGUGACCUACAUUUAGUUUGGCUUUGGAGUUGAAUAAUAACCUUUCGAGGUCCCGACAACCAAAAAACGAAGCUUAAUUUGCCACAGAUUGCACGUAUUGCCAUUAUUGACAAUUUUCUGCACAAGCUUAGGUUGAUUUCAAAAGAGGUAAAUUAUUGGCAUGCCUGACUAUUUUGACCAUUACAUGAUUCAUAAGUUUACAUUAAUUUUGAUUUUGAGUUGAGUGAUUAGUUUUUAUACCCGGAAUAUGCAAAAGUUUCUAAUAUUUUAUUUCCAUCUGUUACAAGAUCAAACUGAAGUAGAACUCAAACAAAAGUAUGCUACUUCUUGCGGAAAUCUUGCCUUUGUUCAGAUUAUGAAACCAUUUCCAUGCAGCAAAUUCAUCCAAAAGUUUGAAUAAGUUUCAUGGUUGGACACUGUUGGCUUCUUUUUCUUCUGGGGUGCAUUUAGGUGCUAUCAAGUGACAGCUAAGUAUGAUUGCACUAAGCUGCCGCUGGGAAAUUUGAGGUUUUGAUGGCUGCCCAUGUUAUUUUCAAGAAACUAUUGAUGUAAGAAGCUGUGGUUCUUUUCAUCAGCUUGAACCUGAAACUGUCGCUAUGGAUAACUCAGGUUUUUGUUAUCAACUAUGUUGAUGCGAGAUUCCGGUUCUCCUCGUUCUACGACCAGGAUCUCUGCUCGAUCAACUUCACCACGACCAGGAGGUCUCCUAGUAAUGCUUCUUCUCCAGAUGUCCCUGCACACACAGACAAGUCAGAGUACGCCGGUUGUUCUCCCGGCGCAAACCCUCCGACGCUCAAGUCAGAUAUGAAGGUUCGGGGAACGCUUGCCACAGGUCUUAUGGCUUUUUCGUGGUUUUCUCUUUUAUCUCAAAAAUGCUAACCCUUUUACCUUCGUUGGCUACCUUUUUAUAGGCUUCCUCUGAAUCCCAGUUUUCCGCUUUUUUCGAGACGGUCUGGGGCUCUGACUGCUGCGUUAUGGGCAAACGUGGGAUCUUGCGUGUUACGCCACGGUUCAGGGGAAAGCGUGGCUGUCGUGGUUCUGUGAGAUCUUGUGUGUUACGCCACGGUUCAGGGGAAAGCGUGGCUGUCGUGGUUCUGUGAGAUCUUGCGUGUUACGCCACGGUUCAGGGGAAAGCGUGGCUGUCGUGGUUCUGUGAGAUCUUGCGUGUUACGCCACGGUUCAGGGGAAAGCGUGGCUGUCGUGCCUAGAUUCUUGGGCUGGAGAGUAUGUCUUGCCAACUGCCGUCGACCGGGUCUCCUCGCCUCUCGACCUCUAGCCGGAAUGGCCUUAUGCCUCUUAUAGGAAAUUGGCCUAGCGGAUGACAACAUCGUGGACGAGCAGGAUACUUCUGCUCCUGUUCUGAUGGCUGCCCAUGUUAUUAACACACCGGUUCACAGAACUCCGCUGUGGUUCUUUUCAUCAGCCUGGUCUCGUCGACGUAUUUAUGGAUAACUCAGGUUUUUGUUACAAACUAUAUCAUCUUUUUCACUAUUUUGAAACUCUUAAGAUUAAACUUUAGUAAAGUUGUUUCAGCUAUUCAAAUGAAAAACUCAUUGAUUUGAGACUUCCUUCAUUAUUGUUUCUAAUUACAGUGCUAACGAUCCAGAUAAAAUAAUAUUUAAUCGGCGAAGGUGUCCCUUGGAAGUACAUCCUUCUUUUUCUUUUAUUAUAUAAAUUCUUGCAAUGAGCUUAGUGAAGCUGUUGUGCUAAUCAUGCCACUGCAUAACUUGGCCCCUAAUGUGGGUACUCUGUUACAUUGUUCUGCAAAUUCUCCAGAAGUUAAAAUCAAUAAAUUUUCUAUUAGCUCUAGUGCUUUGACCUAAAUGCUAUUCUAUAUUCUGAUUACAAUGUUUUAACCUUUAAAUUAACUACCCCUAGAUGUUGGAUUUUCUAGAACUUCAAAAUGAUUAAUGGAGAAAGAUCCCAUUAUCGUUAUUGCUAUAAGAAAUUGAUUUAUGCAUCCAAAGAUACAUUAUAUAUUUCUGUGUCUCUAUUUAUGGAUGACAUUUAAUCAUCCAUAAACUGUCAGACAGAGGAAGGGGGUUCAGUGCAAAGAUUCUGUUGACCUAGGGUUGACUGCAUAUGUCACUUGUUCGCAAUCUAUUAUUUAUUUUAUAUUUUGAAGAAUUUAAUGGGUAAUCCUAAUUGUUUGUUUUGGCAGGUUUGUGUUGUUAUCUCCUUCUAUCUUACAGUCGUACCUAAAUAGCAUAGUUUCAUCUGUGUUACCAUGUGAUGUACAUAAUUUCACAUUUGCCUCAGAUUAAGCUUAAUUUCCCACAGAAUAGAGCUGUCGCGACUGGACUUAGGUUGAUGUCCAAAGAGGUAAAUUAUUGGCAUGCCUAGAUAAUUUGGCCAUUUCCUAAUUCAUAAGUCUACAUUAAUUUUGAUUUUGAGUUGACUGAUUUCUUUUCAAGGUCUGCUUCCUUAACGGAGUGACCAAUGUUUUUCAACUAAAUUUAUCAUAUGAUGCAGGAAGCAGGGCAGGAUAUGAAAUGAGAAGCUCAUUGGUGGAAGUAUUUCCAGUAGCAGAACCCAAUGAAAAUGAAACUAUUUCAAGGCAGCAGUUGGCAGUUGCAAGUGAAUGGAGGCCCUGACAAAAUUCUCAAGCGGUUGCAAUGCAAUUACGAUCAUCCUCAGCCUCAGGUAAUUUCUUCUCCUGCUCUGUUUUUAUCUGUUAUCUAAUUAAAAAGCAUAAAGUAUCUUGAAUCACUUUCUGUAUCUGGAAUAUAUGCAGCAGUUUCUAAAAUCUUCAUAUGAGUGUAAUGAUGGUAAUUUCUGUUUUUUGUCUGUCUUUGAAUGUUAGACAACUUUCAGUGAGACUCUUGAACCGAGACAUUUUUGACAAAUGAAGGACAAUUGCUGAAGAGUGGGAAUGGUGCUAGAUUGGGGAAUAAAGACAAAGGAGGUAAAUUAUUUGCAGUUUAUUCAGCAUUAUUUGCUUUGGACCAGCGCCUGAUUCACAAGUCUCCAUAAUUUGGCUUUUGACCAGUUGUUAAUAAAUUUUUUUAUUCCAUUGGUGCUAAAUGUACACGUGAAGCAGGCAGAGCAGGACUGUGGAAAUGAGAAGGUUUUUAGUGAAAGCUUAAACUCAGGUAAUUCUAAAAAGUACAUGUUUUUGCUGAUUUAUCUAAAUCAGGAAAUUUUAUUUCCAUCUGUUACAAGAUAAAACAGAAACAGAACACAAAGAAAAAUAUUCUACUUCGUGUGGCAAUCUUGCCUUCAUUCAGACAAUGAAACCAUUUCCUUUCACCAAUUUCUUCCAAAAGUUUGAAUAAGUUUCAUGGUUGGACAUAGUUAGCUUCUUUUUCUUUUGGUGCAUUUAGGUCCUAUCAAGUGACAGCCAUAAGUAUGAUUGCAUUAUCGGGAAAUUUUAGAUUUCGAUGGCUCCCCAUGUUAUUGCCAAGAAAGUCCUCAUGUCAGAAGCUGCGGUUCUUUUCAUCAGCCUGAACCCGAACCUGUCGUUAUGGAUAACUCAGGUUUUUGUCAUCAACUAUAUCAUCUUUUUUACUGUUUUGAAACUCUUAAGAUUAAACUUCAGUAAAGUUGUUUCAGUUAUCCAUGUAAUCAGGCUAAGGAUAUUUAGCAGCUUAUUUAGGCAACUGCCAGAAUUCAGUUUGUUCGCUCGAAACUUGUAUGGUGACAAGGAUACUGGCAAGGAUAGUGAGAUAGUUUUUUGUGUGAGUGAAAUUUGAAAGCUUGGGUGUUCUGGGAUUUGCAAUUGCAAUCAUCCUCUGAGUCAGGUGAUUUCUUCUUCUGCUCUGUCUUUAUUUUCUCUCUAAUUGAAAGCAUAAAGUAUUUCAAUCAAAUUCUGUACCAGGAAUACGUAAAAGUUACUAAUAUUUUAUUUCCAUCUGUUUGCAUAGAUAACUUGGCGGCAUAUGUUCUAGUUAAAGAACAAACAGAAACAGAGUUCAGGAAAAAGUUUCUUCGGCCACCAUAUUUGAAAAUGAAACCAUUUCCAGGAAGCAGUUGGCAGCAAAUUCAUAUGGAGUGUAGACAAUGAUGAGCAAAAAGGUGAUUCGCAAUUUCUUUUUUUUUUUAAGUGAAAUUAUUUGUUAGAUUGAAGCUGAUAUUGUAAGAAGGCCAUUGAGCUAACCUAUGUCGCCACUUGCCUAGAUUGCAGGGGGUCAAGACUCAAAAGAAGCACUGAAAUUUAAAAAGCAUGCAAUAGUUCUUUUACCAUGUGUCAAUUAAUGCAAGUUUGAAUAAGUUUAUUGGCUGAACGAUGUUAGCUUCUUUUCCUUUCGUGCACUUUGGUAUGCUAUCAAGUGACAGCCGUAUGUAUGGCUUGCAUAUAGCUGCUGCUGGGAAAAUUGACGAUUUCAUGGCUGGCCGUGUUAUUGUCUUAAAUUAGUUGUGAUAAGCUGUUGCUUGGAGAUUCUGUUGCCAAGACUUUGCUCACAUCAGAAGCUGUGGAAUCUGAACCCUUCGUUAUGUAUCAUCUUUUUCAUUGUUUUAAAACUCUCAGGAUUAAACUUGAGCGAAUUUGUUCGGUUGUCUAUAUAAUCAUGUAUUGAGUAAACUCUCAGGAUACUGAGCAGGCAAAUGUUAUAACUCGGUUUGUUAGCCAAAAACUUGUUGAAGAUUCUUGACAAAGCUGCAUCAAGUGAAUUGUCGGAGCUCUGAGGGUGAGAGAAAUUAGAGGAUUUGGAUUUGUUAGGAAGUUAUCAUAUUUAUUUUUAUUUUUUUAUUUUUCCCAGAAAAUCUUCUGGUGGUGCUAUAUUUUCAAACGACAGUCCGAUUCAAAACUUGAUAUUCCAAUUAUAUUCAUAAGCUUCUAUAGUUAUCUUCAAAAAGACAAAUGGAAGGCUUUGAACGGCUUGGGUCUGAGUAUUGUAGUUUGAUUUAUUUUGAUGAAAGUACCUUUUGACAUUGAGAUUCUUUCUUGAGUUAAACAUUCUUUUUAAAACCAACUUAUUAAAAAAAAAGUAACUAACAUAUAUUAUUUUGUUAGUGCUUUUUAAAUCAAAUAUAAAAAAGAGAACUGUAAUUCUUAGCAACCAAUUUUUCACUGAGUACAGCUACAACAAACUAUUAAAAAAUAAAGUGAUAGAAAAUGCCUGAUUUUUCGUACUUUCUAAUUACUUUUGGUCCUAAAAUAUGGCGAUUUGUGUAAUAAUAAGCCCAUGUAUAUCUUUAUGCCAUUAGUUUGAUAAAUAGCUAUCAAGGAUAACUUAUUAAGCUAAAAAUAUUUGAAGGAUAAAUUGGUAAAACUAAAAGGGUGGAGUAAUAAAACAACAGCUGCAGAUCUCGAAUGCAUCUUCAUUACAGUAUGUUCCAAGGAAGUGUAAUGCCAUAGCUCAUGCUAUAGCAAAAGUGGCUCUGGAUUUUGAGAAUUCUGUUAUAUGGCUGGAAGAGUUUCCAGUCCAGAUCAUGAUGUUACUCUCAAAUUUUAUCAAUUAGAAAGCUUUACUUUCUUUUCAAAAAAAAAAAAAAAAACAAGAAUUUCCAAUUACCUGCAAAGUCAGCUGCGAAGUUAACUCCUGAGCUGAGAAGGUGGCCUAGCAAAGUCUCUGGGCCCAAUAAAAAUGUGCUUUUUGCAGUAAAACAGUGUGUCCGUGGGAGAAGGUAGCAGCGGAAAACCAAGCCUCUCACAAGACAUGUUUCAAGUGCUCACAUGGUGGUUAUUCCAUUAGCCCGUCAAAUUACGCAGCCCUAGAAGGCAUCUUGUAUUGCAAACAUAAUUUCUCCCAAUUGUUCAAGGAAGAAGGCAGCUACAACCACCUUAUAUCAAAUCUGCUUCCAUGAAGCGUGCUGCAGUCUCUGUUCAAGAAGCUUGAACAUGUUAUGUUAUCUUCCAUAAAUCUUAUUUGGCGUGGGUUUUCUCUGGCUUGAGGGUGUGCUUUCUAUUUUGAUCCCUCUUGUUGUUUUUGCGGGGAACUACCAAACCUUCGGUUCCCUCUGCUUCUUUGGAUCAUCUUUGUUGGGACAAAUUUCAUGUAAUUAGAGAUACUGAUUUAUGGGAGGCAUAAUCCCAUGGUCGUAAAUUGACCAUUUUCUGGCAAUGUUCUUUUUAAAAAGAGAUGAGCAGUUGUUUAAAAAAAAAAAAAAAUAGCUUGCCUUCAUCAUUGUAUGUUACCAAAGUGCUAUGUAUAGCUGCUGACUAUGAGCAUCCGAAAAUGGUGCAUCGUGAUUCAUGUAGUGCAAUAUGGCUACCAACGCAUCCUAAAUGGAGUAUUACUCAGUUAGGGUGUGUUUGGGAUUGAGGUUCUGUAGCUUUUAAGCUACAGCUGUUGUGAAAAAAAAGCUGUAAUUAUGAAACAAAAGUUAAUAAUAUAUAGUAAAUAUAAAUUUUAAAUAAUAAUUUUGAUAAGAUUAUUAAAGAUAUAAUAAAUUUUAUAUUAUACAAGUGAAAAAUAAUAUCAACAUAGCUUAAAAGCUACAGCAGUUAGUGUUUACCAAACACUUUAGUGCUGUAGUUUUUAAGCUAUAACUGCCCAACCUCAAUCCCAAACGCACCCUUAGUCAGCAAAAUAAGACAACAUAACUGAUAUUAAAAAAAAAACUACAUUAAUAAGUGGGCAAGAUCAUGCCAGUUUAACUUUUCGCGCGUCGCUGCUGGAGAUAAUCAAAUCAGGGCAGAGAAAAGGAGAAUGGAAUCAGAGGCUAAGAUUAAUAAGUGGGCUUCUGCUUGCUUUGCCCCUCUUUCUUAAACGAUUGGUAGACUGCUGCUUCCACCGAUUAACCGGGUCUUCAACCACUGCUUUUACUGCCUGCCAUCUUGUUGUUUGUCGAAGGGAUGAAUUCGAUUCGAAAAGAGAAAGCGCGCUGAAAAAGAUAAAUCACUAGUGGUUAACUGCUGACUCAGCCAAGUGUUGGCUUCACUUGAUUCACCGAUUGAGGUUAUUUUGUCUUCUAUCUAAUGCAGCGAAGAAGCUUUGCUGCUUAACAUGCUGCAAUGCAACUUUAUCCUUUGAAGUUCACACUUCAGGGCUGGGCACUUUAUGUAAUCCUAUGAGUAAAAAGAAUUUGUUUUCAAAUGUGAAAAAAGAAAAUGUAAGGUAGUAACUAAAUAUAUUAUAGCAUCCAAGCAAGAUUUGAUAUGAAUUUAGUACAACAAAGAACAUCAAAUCUGUGAUUCCUUGUCUAAUGUCACCAUCGAGCAACAAAUUUAAAAGCCUACCUAUCAAAUACACGAGGCAAUAAACGGAGAAAAAUUUGAAUUACAAGAACAAGUUUACAAUUCUUGUCAAUGGUUAAUGAUUCGUGAACUGAGAUAGCAUUCAAGAAUCCAAUUUCAAUACAACAACGUAAAAGAUAAACAGAUGAUGAAUUUAUGAGAUAAAGAAGGAGAUCAUGUUUUAUCGUAUCUCUAUUUUCUUUCUUUUUAAAUUUAAAAUAAGCUUUUCAACCGGUUUGUUAACCGGUUAUAAUAUUUUUUUAAAAUAAUUAAAUAUUUUCAUUAUUAAAAAUAAUGUGUACCGUUGAUUAUAUCUAACGGUACAUAUUUCUUACACUACUAAUACCGUAAAAAAAAAUACAGCAUCAUAGAGGGACCCUUAAAACAUUUUCAUUUGAAAUUAUUUGGUGUAGUAAAAAAGUUAAGAAAGAAAUAGUUGUCCCUUUGGUCAUUUCACAAAAAUGAAAGCCCCAUAAAAGAUAAACAGAUGAUGAAUUUUAUGAGAUAAAGAAGGAGAUCGUGUUUUAUCGUAUCUCUAUUUUCUUUCUUUUUAAAUUUAUGAGAUAAAGCGGUUGGUCCAGUUACGGUGUUAUGCUAACGGGUUUAAAGGUUCCGAUCCAAUGAGUUAGGGUGGAAUAUGAAUAUAUAAAUUCCAUAGCUAAGGACUAGGAUUUGUUUGUUCAUAUCAAGAAAAAAGAUCUGAAAAUUUGAUGAUCAGAAGAUAAAAACACUUAAACACGUUUAUUUCAGAGAAACAAACGACAACAUGAUACUAGUAGUAGUUAUUCUUUUCAUCCGAUAUAUUACAUUGUAAUAUCACUACUCGUUCCACUGGUUUCAUAUACACCAUCGACCAGCAACAUGAUAAUUUCGUGUCAGUUCAUUUUGUUUGUAGGAAAGAGCAGUGUAUUUCUUAGAGCUUGAAAAUAAUAAAAAGAUUUUAAAAUAUAAAUUGCAUAUUUGUUUAUUACUGUUGUUUGGUCUAAUUUCUUAUGUAGAAUUGCUUGUCAUUCUUUGGACGUUAUUGAUUAUAUUUUUGUCAGACUUGGCGUAUACAUUCACAUACGUUUUAUUUUGUCAUUUUGUAGAACAUUUUUACACGCCAUAUUAUCACGACUCUUCUGUGUCUGAAUAAGAAGAAAGCAUAAUGCGACCCUCCAACAGCUUAAUCUAUGGAAUUAUCGUGUUUUGUAAGUUGAGGUCCAAUGGCGUUUUGGCACAUCAUAUGAUAGACCACUAUAUUGCGUUGCUUUACAAAAGAUUAAUAUUUUUAAAAUUAUUAACUCAUGAUAUGAUAGUCCAGGUUUUCGAGGACCACUAUAUUGUAUUGAUUUUUAAAAAAAAUUAAUAUUUUUUAAUAUUAAUAUUCUAAAUUAUAUUCAGUUAAAAUAUUAAAUAUUAAAUACAUUCUUAAUAUUAAUACUCUUAGAUGAAAUUCUUUUGCUGACUUAAGAAUAAAAUAUUAAAUAAUUUUAUUUUUCUUUUAUUGUGUAACGUGGACCCAAAAAAAAAAGGAAAUGAAUUUAAUAAAACCUUCCUUCCGCCACCAUGCAUGUUAAUUGUUUCCAAAUUCCAACCUCCGUACUCUCUUGAGGAGUUUCCCAUUCAUCAAUUAUUAUUUUUUAUAAUCCAUACCAUCCUGAUAUAAUUAAACACCAUUAAUAAUGUACCAGCCUUUAAAUAGUAAUUUAUUUAUUUAUCUAAUUCACCAAAUGUCAUUUCCUGUACAUAUCUCCAUUGGUAUCAAGAAGAAGCAGAACCCAAAGAAACGUUUCUUGCAUCUUCAUAUUUGUGCGAAUUCAUCCUUUCAUUGAGAAUAACCAUUUCCAGGCAGCAGUUGCCAAUCAAUUCAUGCGCACGUCGAUGCUAUUCAUAGAUAUUAAAGACAAUGAUGAACCAAAGGUGAUAAAUCAUAAAUGCAUAAUUACCAAACCUCCAUCCUUCUCUCAUUAUGAUUUGAUUUUAAAUGAAUUAUUGCUUGGUAACAUUAUUUCCAACCAUUGCAAGAUUUUUUUUGGAGAAAUUUUAAUUGAAAGUAAAACCUUUAGACAUUUACCUAAUGAAGUUAGUUAAUCGGGAGGGUGGAAAAAAAAAAGUUGACGCAAGUCAAUACACAAUAAUUAAUCAAAUCCGGAGUGACUAAAACAGAGCCACUACUUUUUUAAAAAUAUCUGCCUUCAUCACUUUCUCCAGCAGCUAGUCAGCUACACACGAGUCAAUUUCUCUCCUCGAUUGUCAUCCAAAAUUAUUCACCAAUACCAUGGCUGAUGCAAUCGUUUCCACUAUCUUGGAGCAGCUGAUUUCCUUCGCUGCUGAAGAGAUAAAACAACAGGUGAUCGAAGUUACACCCCUCAGAUUACAAAUACUUCCAAUGAUUUUAUUUGGUUUUGCUUUUAUCAAAAACAUUAUAUAUUUUUGCUUUAUUUUAUUUAUCUGGUAAUUUUAGAUUUUGAAAUUUGAAUUGAAUUUAAUUAAAAGGUGAUGUAGUAACCACUUAUUUUUAUUUUAUCUCAUUUAUAUUCUCAAUAACUACUCAUAUUUUGGUAACUUACUAUAACUUCCAUAUCUAAGAAAUGAUCCAAACCCACAAUUUUAACUCAGCACGAAUAUUCAAUGGUGAUCUAAGCUUUUGCAGAACACUCAAGUUUGUCAAACAGUCAUUAAUUCAAUGUUUAGUAAAAAAAACACUUCUCAGCACAGAAUUCCAUGUCCAUUACUUAGACUCUAUGAAAAAUUUCAUAAUUUUCUCACAUUAUUUGAGUUUGGUAAGUGAUUUCAUAUAAUUUCUUUUCAAUAUAAAUUUUAAUUUGGUUUCUUAUAUACUCUCUUUGCUGAAUUUGUAUCUUUUAUGAUUCUUAGAUUUUGGGCUCUAACUUUUUAGGAUUUGAUAGUCACAUUUUAUGCCAUGCUUAAAUUGAUUUUCAUGAUUUUUACUACCCGUUAAGUGACUUAGAAUUUGACAAAAGUUUGAAAGGAAAUCUACUUCAGGAUUCUGUUUUAAUUGACCUUUUAGUGGAAAUAAGAUGCUUAUAACUUAAUGUGGAUGUACAAGACUCUCCAUGAAGUCUCAUAAUUUUUCAUUCGGUCUGGGGUGUUACAGGUGAAGCUUGUGGUUGGUGUCGAAAAAGAAGUGAAAAGCCUUACCGGCCACCUUCAAGCCAUUCAAGCUGUGCUCGAUGAUGCCGAGGAAAAGCAAGUGAAGGACAAAGCUGUUAGUCUUUGGCUAGGUAGGCUCAAGUACGCAUCCUACGACAUUGAAGAUGCGUUGGAUGAAUGGAUCACAGGAAGACGCAAAUAGCAAAUUGAGGGUGGCAUUGGUGAAAAUGCUCUUAUUGCUCCUCAUAAGAAAAAGAAGGUACGUUUCUGCUUUCGUGCCUCUUGUCUUGGAUUCAAACAAGAAGAAUUUGGCUUCAAACAAGUCUUUCUACGUCAUGACAUUGCUGACAAGAUCAAAGAAAUCAAUGAAGAGCUACGUAAUAUUGCCACUCAAAGAGACAUGUUUAAAUCUGAGAGUGGCAGUAAAAGUAGUGAAAGACCCAGGCGUGUACAGAGUACCUCCUUGAUUGAUGAGGAAGAGAUUUGUGGUAGAGUUGGUGAGAGGAAUGAACUCUUAAGCAUGCUGUUGUGUGAGAGUAGGGAGCAACAAAAAGGCCUUCAUAUCAUCUCAAUCGUUGGUAUGGGAGGCAUAGGAAAAACAACUCUUGCACAACUAGCAUGUAAUCAUGUUGAGGUGAAGAGAAAGUUUGACAAACUUUUAUGGGUGUGUGUAUCGGACCCUUGUGAGCAGUUUAGGAUUGCCAAAGCGAUCGCUGAAGCUUUAGGCAUUCCCUCUUCUAAUUUAGGUGAAUUUCAAUCUCUUCUUAAACUUAUAUCUGAAUCUAUUACUGGAAAACGAUUUCUUCUUGUCUUAGAUGAUGUGUGGGAUGGAGAUUGUAUAAAAUGGGAACCAUUCUACCUUUGUCUAAAGAAUGGUCUCCAUGGAAGUAAAAUUUUGGUUACCACACGUAAAAAAUCAGUUGCAUCUAUGAUGGGAUCUACUAAUACUGAUAUUGUCACUGUCAUGGAAUUGGCUGAAGAAGAAUGUUGGUCAUUGUUUAAGCGGUUAGCAUUUUUCGGUCCGUCUAUUAAUGAUUGUGAAAAUUUGGAACAAAUUGGGCGAAGAAUUGCAGGCAAGUUUAAAGGUUUGCCUCUUGCUGCAAAGACAAUAGGGAGUCUCAUGCGCUCUAAACAAAUUGAAGAAGAGUGGGAAAGGAUUUUAAAUAGUGAUUUAUGGAGAGUAGAAGAGAUGGAGAAAGGUGUUCUGUCCUCAUUGGUGUUGAGUUACAACGAUUUGCCGUCCAAAGUAAAAAUAUGUUUUUCCUAUUGUGCUGUCUUUCCAAAAAACUACAAUAUAAAAAAAGAUGAACUAAUUACAUUGUGGAUGGCUCAAGGUUAUCUUAGUGCAGAACAAAAUAAGGAGAUGGAGACUAUAGGUGAAGAGUAUUUUAGCAUCUUAGUUUCUCGCUCUUUCUUUCAAGAGUUUGAGAAAAGUUAUGAUAAUCGUAUUAUAGAGUGCAAGAUGCAUGAUAUGGUACAUGAUUUUGCCCGAUUUGUAAGUCAAAAUGAAUGUUUUUCGAUGGAAAUUAAUGGUAGUGAGGAACCAAACACCAUAAACUCUCUUGAUGAGAAGGUUCAUCAUUUAAUGUUGAUCAUUGGUAGGGAGGCUUCAUUUCGUGUCCCUAUUUGUAGAGUGAAAAGAAUUCGUAGCCUCUUAAUUGAUAAUAGUAGAACUUCUCGUUCGUAUUUUAAUGGUGAGAUCCUAGAAGAAUUAUUUAGGGAAUCGACAAGUUUAAGGGCAUUAGAUUUUUGGGGAUCAUAUGUCGUAAGCCCAUUUUCGACUCUAAAGAUUCCAAGAAACAUAGAAAAUCUAGUACAUUUAAGAUACCUUAACCUGUCUUGUCAGAACAUAAGGAAACUACCGGAGACAUUAUGUGAGUUAUAUAAUCUAGAAAAGUUAUAUAUUACUCGUUGUCUGUAUCUUGAAGAAUUACCUGAAGGGAUUGGGAAGUUAAUAAACAUGAAGCAUUUACUAAAUUAUCGUACAGAUUCUUUAAGGUACAUGCCAGUAGGGAUUGGGAGAUUAACGGGUCUUAGGACCUUGGAUGAGUUCCAUGUGAUUGGAGGAGGAGGUGUUGAUGGUAGGAAAGCAUGUUGGUUUGAAUCUCUUAAAAACUUGAAACACCUUCAAGUAUGUGGUAUACGCAGAUUGGGUGAUGUAUCAGAUGUGGGCGAGGCUAAGCGAUUAGAACUUGACAAAAAGAAAUACCUCUCUUGUUUGAGACUUUGGUUUGAUAAGAAGGAGGAAGGAGGAGAAAGGAGGAAGAACGAGGAGGAUCAACUUCUUCUUGAAGCCUUGCGACCACCCCUGGAUUUAAAGGAAUUAGAGAUACGGUACUACCGAGGCAACACUGCUUUCCCCAGCUGGAUGACGUCAUUAAUCAAUUUAAGGAGUUUAGAUCUCUCUUUGUGCGAAAAUUGCGAGCAGCUGCCUCCUUUGGGAAA
rnacentral:lncRNA from 1 species